rnacentral:lncRNA from 1 species
CAUAUUCCCUUGGAUCCCUGGAAAUUUCUCAAAGUUUGAGCAAUAUGAGAGGUUAAGAUUUUCAAGAGAUUCCAAAUACCCAAUGCUGCCUGGGAGUUCCUUAAUACCACUCCUAUAUAGAUAUAGCUCUCUUAAACGUCCCAUAUUGGUAAAAUACAUCUGAAAAUUUCUCAAACUUUGAACAAUAUGCAAGAGAAAGAAUUUCAAGAGAGGUUAAGGACCCAAUGCUAUUUGGGAGUUCCUUAAUAGCAGUUUUAUCUAAAAAAAGUUUCAACAAACAUUUCAUAUUCCCUCUAAUCUCCGGAAAUUUCUCAAAUUUUGAGCAACGUGAGAGGUUAAGAAAUACAAGAGAUUCCAAACACCCAAUGCUACUUGGGAGUUCUUUAAUACCACUCUUACUUAAAUAAAGCCUCCUUAAAUGUCCCAUAUAGGUAAAUGUAUCUAGAAAUUUCUCAAACUUCGAACAUCCUUCUAAAUGAAGGUCCCUAAAAAAUUUCAUAUUCUCAUGGAUCUCAGGAAAUUUCUCAAAGUUUGAACAAUUUGAGAGACUAAGGACUUCAGGAGAUGCUAAAUGCACAAUGCUACUCGGUAGUUCUUUAAUCCCACUCUCAUUUAAAUAAAGUUCCUUCAAAUGUUCCAUAUUCCCAUGGAUCUUAGGAAACUUCUUCAAGUUUUGACAUCGAUUGAGAUAAAUAACUUUAAGAGAUUCAAACCUCAUGCUACUUGGGAAACUUCGGAGCUGUUCACAUCCUCCUAAAUUCAAGUAAUUCAAUCAUUUGAGAUCACCAAUAGAUGAAUGAAGUUCAUGCAAGCUUGUACAACCUUCAAGAUUCAGUCUGUCCAAAUUUGGCAUGCAUUAGAAUUUUGGCAUUUUGACUAGCUGUUUUGAGUUACUUAGAUCAAUGCCCUUUAAUUCUUCAAGACACUGUAACAGAAGACAUUCUGUUAAUAACAAAAAUUUCUUCAACUUGAAAAUUAUUAUAAAGAAAAAAAAACAUUAAAUAAUGAUCAUACCUUAUUCCCUUUCCAAAGUUGUUUUAUGUUACUAGACUUCAAGUUGAUUUCAAUAAGGUGCUUUCCAUAAAAGUUCCAAGGUAAAGACGUCAAAGUGCAUCUUUGCCAAUGAAGAUAUCUCAAAUCAUGAGGAAAUUGAAAGUCUUUAGGAAGAAGCACUUUAUACUCCUCUCUCAUCAAACCAUCAUGAUCAUUGCAAUAGAUUUUAAGCAACCUAAGUUUCUUCAUUUUGACAAACACUUUUGUACUGAACUGUAUUUCUCUUGAUCUAGACAAGUCCAGAGAUAUGGUUUGAAUAUUUUGCAUCUCCUGGAAAACAAUAAGGAAAAAUAAGGGAACAACACAAGAUAAAAAUCCUAACUACAAUUAUAUAGACAAUAAACCACUAAAAAAUCGAUUAUAAACAUUUAAAUAACUAUAUCUAGUCAUUUAAUUCGUACCUCUUGUUUAGAAAAUGCAUCAUAAAUAUCAUCUACAUCCCACAAUCUACUCCAUUUGCAGGGGUCUCUAGGACGUUCUUCACGAAUAAUUGCCCAACCCAUUUCUUGUAUCAAGUCAUGCAUUUGUAUGAUGUUGUCUAAGAUAGUUACUAGACAUCUAUCAUGGAGAACUCUUAUGUUGCAUAUUGCAAAUAAAUUGCAACCAUCUAAUAUUCUUGACAAGAAAUCUUUGCAUUCACCUUUGAAAAAACACACAAUGUCCAGGAAAACCUCCUUUUGAGAAGGAUCAAGCCCAUCAAAACUUAUUCUAAGCACAUCAUUAAUUUCCUUCAUAGGGUUUUUUUUUCAAUUUAUCCAAUGCGCUUUUCCAUUCAUCUAUUGUCAUGCCCUUAAGAGAAGAACCUAGAACUUUAAGGGCCAAAGGGAGACCUUUAGCAUAUUGUACCAUGCAAUUUGAGAGGUUUACAUAAUCUUAUUUAGGAAUAUUUUGUUUAAAGGCAUGUUGGCUGAAGAGUUGAAGAGCUUCCUCAUAAUGUAAUUUUGUAGCGUUAUAUGUUUUAGUCACUCCAUACUUAACCAACAAAUGUUGGUCUCUGGUUGUAAUGAUAAUUGUACUUCCUGGACCAAACCAUUUAGGACUUCCUGCCACCAACUCAAAUUGCUACAAUUGAUCCACAUCAUCAAUUACAAUAAGAACCUUUUUUGAGCCAAGUCUGGCCUUUAUUAUAUUGAUUCCUUUAUUGAUAUUGCUAAACUCUAGAUCAUUCCCCACUGUAUCAUGUAGAAGUUCUUGCUGUAGUUGAAGUUGAGAACCCUUAUUGAAUGUCUCUCUCACAUCUUGAAGAAAGCUUGCACUAGUGAAUUGAUAUUGGAUCUCAUUAUAAACAAUCUUGGCAAUGGUAGUUUUAUCAAUUCCACCAGGUCCAUAGAUCCCAACCACACGAAUGUCAUUCAAGUCACUACUUAAUAAUGAUUUUAAUUCUUUUAGGCGAAAACCCAUCCCAACUAUAUCAUCGUUAAUGUGCAAAAGCUUAGAAUUCAUUGAUCUUUUAAAAAUCUGGAUAACAAUUUCCUUAAUGUGCUUUGACUCAUACCUGCCAAUUAUAAAGUACAAUUUAACACUUCAUGAGUUAUAAUGAAUUGCAAAAAGAUAACAAAUAUAAAGUAAAUUUAGUGAUAUUUACUUGAUUUUGUCAAUAAAACAAAAGUUAGGGCAUUUAGGAUGUAAAAAGUAUUAAAAGAACCCAAUAUAUUGGGCAUUUUAUAGACAAUGAGAAGGCAACAAGUUUUGAGCCUAGUGUUAAUAAGAUCACAAAACAAGCUUUACUAUACAAAAUUAUUAACUUGUUAAUUCAUGAUUUAAGACAACUAAAUCCUUACAACUUAAUUAAAUCAAAAGCACAAAUUAAGGAAGUUGAAGUUACCCAUCAUUCACAUGGAAGCCACUUAGAUUGCUUGCUUCAGUCAAGGAAUCCCUCCACCUUUGCACCUUUUUCGCAUCUACAUUUCUUUCAUGAAUGGAAAAUGCUUCUCCGAAGCUCCCUGUUUGCUUUCGCACAUCAAAAGGAUCCACGUGGUAGAACACCGGCAAGACUAUUUGUUCCAUUUCUUCCCUGCAAUCCAUGAUCUUCGCUAACUCAUCCAAACACCACUUGGAAUGAGCAUAGUUUUUUGAGAACACAACUAUGGAAAUUCUUGAUUCUUCAAUAGUUUUCAAAAGUUCUGAUUCGAUCUCCUCUCCUCUUUCAAGUUGAUCGUCUCUAAAAGUCUUAAUCCCCAUCCCAUCCAAAUUUAUGAAUAAAUGAUCCGUAAAAUUGUUGCGGGUAUCUUCACCUCUAAAACUCAAGAACACUUCGAACUCAUAUUUACGGACUGAGGUAGAAGAAGAAGAGGGUUUUUGGGUAGAGGAAGCCAUUGUUGGACAGUUUCUGGAUGAAAGCUUAGAGAGAGUUGAGGAUUAACUUGUGCUUAGUCAAUACUUGAUAUGCCCACAUAUGAAGCCAUUGUUGGGUCCUCGUAUGAAGCAAAACUGUUCUUUUUUUUUUUUUGGUAGGGGUGGGAUGGGGGGUUGGAUUGUAAAAAGCAAACAUCGAUUCUCCCAAUACAUGCAAGCAGGUGAUCGGUGGCUUUUAAAAAAAUAUAAAGAAGGACCACCCACCACAAAACCCGUCAAAGCCUUAAAUUAAAAUUUCAUAUUUCGGUAUUAUGGCCAUUGGCCCUUUCCUUUGACCAUAUGAAAGCAAAACUUCCAUGGGCAAUUUAAUAUAUAGUUUAUUCCUCCCUCCUAAAUUUUAAUUUAAAUUCAAUUAAUUUUAAUUAUUUUAUUUUUCAUAUUCUAUUUAAUAUAUUAUUAAAAAUAUAAAAAUAUCAUAAUAAUCUUAUCAAUGAGUCUUUCUUUAUUAAAAAUAAAUAAACUUGAAUAUAAAAUUGUUAACAUUUUUAAACAUAAAAAUAUAUACAUAUAUCAUUAUUUCUUUUAUAUUUUAAAUAAAAAUCAUCAUUUUAAACGCAUGCUUGAUUACUUAAAAAAUAAAAUUUUAAUAAAUUAAUUAAUUUUAAUUAUAUUAUUAUUAAAUUUCAUUUAAAUUUAAAUUUCCAUCUUAUGCAAAUUUCAUAAAUUUGAAAGCAUAUCAUAUUAAAUUUUCCAAAAUUAAAUUAUAUUUUAUGGACUUAGAAAUCUUUCAGGAACUUUAAAAAUAUUAAAGCCAUUAUAAAUUUUAUUUUAUUCAAGUUUUAAAAAUAAAAUAGUUAUGGAUUUUAUUUUAUUUGAGUAUAUUAAAUCACUUUAAAUACAUUUUAAAAUGAAAAAGUUUGUUUUGUUUGAAGUUCUUAAUUAAUUUAUUAGAGAAACAUUAAAAUUAAAAAUUGUGAGAUGUACCAAGAGUCAUUUAUUCACAAUGAUAAAAGGGAGGUGUGUGGCUUUUAAAAGAAUAUGAGGAAUGACCCACCCACCACAAAAUUCAAAAGCAUCUUUAUUUUCUAACAUUUGCAUUUUAUUUACAAUGGUAAAAGAGAAAUGAGUGGGAUGUUGAGUGGCCUUCAAAAGAAUAUAAGAAAGGAUCCGCCCACCCCAAAAUUCAAAACCACCAUUGUUUCUUACCAUUUGCAUUUGGUUCACAAUGGUAAAAAAGUAAUGGGUGAGAAGUGGCUUUAUUUAAAACAAUACAAGGACCCAUCCACCACAAAAAUUCAAAAGCACCUUUGUUUCCUAGCAUUUGCAUUCCAAACAACUUCAUUUUUUUUCUCUUCAUUCAUUUUCACUGUCCAAUGGUAGAUGGGUUCAUUUGAACCCACCAUGUUGAACAAUUGGUAAUCUACCAUUGUUAUAGGAAAGGUUGAAGGUAAUGUUUGAGCUAUUUCUUCUCUAAAAUAAAAAUAAAAACUUUCUCAUCUUGGAAAAUUCCAACAUCCUUAGCGGGUAGAAAACAAGACUUCAUAAAAUGAAAAGAUUCAUUUGUUAUUCAACACAAGGCUCCUUCCUUGGCUUUUUCCUUUGUGUAUUUUUUAUGUGACUUGGUGAAAAAUUAUUAUUUAUUUUGAGUUAUAUUAUUUUGAGUUACCAUUUGAUAGGUUGCGUUGGUUUUUAGUAAAAAAGUUUUUCAUGGUAUUUGUUUGUUGGUGUUACAAAUUCUUGAUCAUAUUAUUAUUAUUAUUUUAUCAUAAAUUAUUUUGAAUAUAAAUAUAAAUAAGAUGAUAGCUUAAUCAAUUCUUAGGUGGUAAGAUAAAGAUAAUAAUACCACAAUUCUCAUCAUAAAAAAUAUUGAAAAAAAUAAAAUCUGAAAAUGAGAAUGGUCUAACCUUGUUGUUUCCGCAUCUCUACCUAUCAAUAAAUUAAAGUACAAUAAAACAAAUGAAAAGAAAAACCUCUUAUUCAUAUUUAUUAUCUAUAAAGUUUCUUCUUUAUUCUUGAAUUAUUUAAAAAUAAAUACCACAAAUGAAAUUUAUGAAUUAGGACCUACAAAUAUUAAAUGAAAUUGAUAAUUAUUGAAAAAGAAGCUUUUUUUCCUUAAUAUUUGUCUUUCUACCACCAUUAGGAUAAUAACAUUAAAGAGGAAUUGUAAUUAUGCCUCAUUCACUACUAUUGUCAAAUUCAAAACUCUCCAAAAAAUAUUGGUAGUUUGAAGUGUCUCAAAGUCAUAUUUAAUUUAACUUUUUUGAUCUAUUUUUCCCUUUGACCAAUCAACCUUAAAUUAAAAUUUCCAUUUUUUGCUACUUUCACCGGUUUCAAUAUAGUUGCCAUGGCUCCUUUCCCUUUUGAGGGGUCCAACCCAAUAUCCCAUAUGAAGGCAAACUUCCUGACCAAUUGGGCAAUUUAAUAUAUAGUUUAUUCUUUCCUCCUAAAUUUUAACUUAAAUUUAAUUAAUUUUUUUUUAAUAUUCUGUUUAAUAUAUUAUUAAAAAUAUAAAAAUAUCAUAAUAAUUUCAUCAAUGAGAUUUUCUUUAUUAAAAAAAUAAACUAGGAUAUAAAAUUGUAUUUAACAUUUUUAGACAUAGAAAUAUAUACAUAUAUCAUUAUUUCUUUUAUAUCUUAAAUAACGAUCAUCAUUUCAAACACACGUUUGAUUACUAAAAAAAAUAAAAUUUUAAUAAAUUAAUUAAUUUUAAUUAUCUUAUCAUUAAAUUUCAUUUAACUUAUUGUGAAAAUGUAAAAACCAUCAUAAUGAUAUUUUCAAAAUGAUCUUUUUAUUUUUUAGUAUGGUAUUUAGAUAUUAUAUAUAUAUAGAUGUAUAACAUAAAAUUUAAAAAUAAAUUAAACAAUAAUUAUACAUAUAUCAUUAGUUAUUUUAUAUCCUAAAAUACAUUCAAACUACAAAGAAUAUUAUUUUAAUAAUAAAUGUGGUUAAUAAACUUAUUUAAGAAUCUGACAAAGAUUUAUCAUACAUAAAUAGUUUUCUUUAAUAAAAUGACUUCAAUAUGUAUUAUUGAAGUUAUGAUAUUAUUUUUUAAAAAAGUUUUUUCCAAUAUUUUCCAAUUAAAUAUACAAGAAAAACAUGUAUAAUAACUAGAAAAAGAUAGUCUAAUAUAUAUAGUAAAAUUAGUUCCUACUCAUUUUUAUUGUAUAAAAAAAAAAUAUUUUGGUAGAAAAAAAGUUUUAUAUAUCUAUACAUGAGGAGCUAGUGGCUACCCAUGAUAAAAGUGGUGUCAAUCACAUUCUCCUUUUAACACAAUAUUUCUUUAUUUUUUUCAUUAUCAUUUUCAUUCAAUCAUACGGGUUUUGUGUAAACAUUUAUUUCAAUGCUUUUGUUUCUCUAUGUUCUAAUACUUAUAUUAACUCAUGUAUAUCUUUCUCUUCCUCCAAUCUAAAACUAUAAAAAAUAAUGCUAAAUAAUUAUGUUUAAGUCAAAGCAUUUUACUUUGGUUAAAGAAUAUAUAGUAUAAAUAUCUUUGAAUUUGAAAAAUAAUUAUAUAAUGAACCACUAAAUUUAUCCACAAAAUAAACUUGCAAAAUGUUGCAAGUUAAAUUAUAUUUUUUUUAAUCAAAAUUGGAUUGAAAAAGAAUCUUAUGAAUAUUUUAAAAUUUACAUCUUUCUACUUUAAUAUCGUCCAAGUCACAGGUGGUGGGAAUAGUUAAAAAUAGAGUGGCGAAUAAGUGUCUAAUACUUAAGAAUUUGUCCAAUAGUUCAGAUAAAAUACUACAACGAAAAGCGAAACGCAAAUUAAAAGUGUCAAAGAAAAGGAUUUCAAAUAGUGUUUCACUUAAUAAUAUGAAAGUAAUUAUUUUAAAAGAAAAAUAAAAAAGAUGAAUGACUUCUUGUACAACCACUCUUUUCAAAUAUAUAAAAUUUGCCUAAUAAUUUAGACCAAAUAUUACAACAAAAGGCAAAAUACAGGUCAAGAGUGUAAGAGAAAAUGAUUUCAAAUAGUGCGCCAUUCAAUAAUAUGAAAGUAAUUAUUUUAAAAGAAAAAUAAAACAGAUGAAUGAUUUCUUGUACAACCACUCUUUAUAUAUACAUACUUUUGUAUUAUGCCAAAAUCAUUGUUGGCAUUGUGGGCACCCCCGUAAAUGGGGAAAACGGGCCUACCCAAAGAAAUAUCCAUUGAGUUGGGCCAGUUUGGGCCAUGAUUAAAAGCCCAUCUAGCCUAAUGGCCUAGUUGACUUAAAUAGCCCAACAAGUAAAGUUGGAAAUAGAAUGUGGGAGGACAACCCAUGGGGAGUACUAGAGGCAGUUAAUGCUUGGGACGGUAACCGCUUGAAGUGGCUAAAAAGUGGCCCCACGAUCUCCAUGCUUAUUGGUAGCUGAAAGGUAUAUGAAUACAAUUGGCAAGUCUAAAAAAAAAAAAAAAAGAUUGUAGCAUGAGAAACAUUACCUUUUCUUGAAAACCCCAACUAAUUUAAUCAUCGGAGGAAGUGAUCCCGAGGUAAAACCGAGUGAGCCUUAUGUGGUAGGUAUAAGGAAGUGCGUGACAAGGAAAUGACUAUUGCUCAAGAAAUUCUCAGCUCCAACAAGUGGUGCCGUCUAUGGGAAAAUUCUACAUUAAUGUAACGUUUUUACUUAGAGCUGAAAAGUAGACCCCCAUUUUUGUUUGGAGUUGGAAGCUUCGCAAUGAGAGAUAGUCAACUGCGGGAUUCAAUUAGUAUAAUAGCUCCUUGGAGGGCCACCACACUAGAGUUUAUUCUUGAGGGUUUCGAAAGGCGUUAAGCAGAGUAAGAGAGAAGAAUUGAAUCCAUCAUUGUCUAAACAAAGUUGCUAAGGCAAGAGAAUGCCUUGUUGCGGACACAACUUGAAGAUCAGCAUGGUCGCAUUUAAGCACUGUAUUAGUUAGUAAGUAAUCUUGAUCACUUAUGCUAUCAAGACAAUAAUGACGUGGUGGAACCUUUAGAUCGUGUAGUUCCUUUUGGUCAAGUUCCCCACAUCAUUUUAAGUUCGCAUGAAGGAUGCCGCCUAUUUGACCUCAGGAUUCCGAGAAUGCUAGUCACUGAAGGCGUAGAUGAGGUAGACAACACUCCCGGCAUGGACCCCAAUCCCCAAUGUAUUCAAAUCCUUACAGCCAACAACAAAUGAGGUUCCCCCAUGUGGAGGUUGUAGGAGGGUUGACUCGACCCUUGUCUUUGGUAGCUUGGCUCCCACAUGGGUGAUUGAAUGAGUUGCCUUUAGGAGCCACAACUCGCCACCUAAAUGAUAUGAUGACAACACCAUUCGCCCAACAUAUUUUGAUGUAUAAACCCCUGAGAGGAUAUACCAUUCCUAAGUUCGUUAUGUAUGAUGGAACGUAUGACCCCUUUGAUCAUCUGAUGCAUUAUCGACAAAUGAUGACACUUGAUAUCGACAAUGAUGAGCUUCUAUGCAAAGUCUUCCCGGCUAGUCUCUAAGGCACUACCUUAGCCUGGUUCCACCAACUUCCCCCUAAUUUCGUUCUCUCCUUUAGGGAGAUGUCAGAAGUCUCUGUAGCUCAUUAUUUGUGCUCAGCAAGGUAGAAGUUCAAUAUCAACAGCCUUUUUAAUAUGAAGAAGACAGAAAGUGAGACUUUACACUAGUUCAUGCACAAGUUCGACCAAGAAAUGCUCUAAGUAGAAACACGCAGUAUGGAUGCUCUGUUAUAAGCCUUCAAGCAUAGCAUUGGAUCAGGGAUCCCAUUUUUUGAAUCUCUCUCUAAGAAUCCACCAAAAAUGAUUGAUGAAUUGUUUAGAAGAGCUAAAAAGUAUGCUAUGUUGGAAGAGGACUUGCAGGCUGCAGCAAGUCCCGUCUUAGUGUCAACACAAGUGGCACAGACAAAAAAAGAUACAGGGAAUAAACGCCAAGGCUCGGGGAACCCUUCACAGGGCAAAAAGCCAUUUAGGGGUGGUGAGGGCCAAAGACCACCCCAACGAUGAACCUCGCUCAAUCUGACCUAUAGAUAGUUACUUCCAAUAUCCCAUAUCCCAUAUGGAAGUAGUCUUCCUCACCAAUUGAGUUACUUAACCUCUGUACAUAUAAUUGGAUACAAUUCAAUAUAUAGUUAUUCUUUCUUCCUAAACUUUAAUUAAAAUUAAAUAAAGAGUAUGUUUGGCAGUGAUUCUAGAAAACGUUUUUAAUCUUUCUAACACUUGAAUUAUAAAAAAUUUCAAGUAUUAAAAAUAUUAGAAGCAUUUCCUAAAAUCACUGUCAAACGAGCUCUAAUUUUAAUUAUUAUUUAACAAAACCUUCUGCUAGAUUUUUAAAGUAAUGGUUAAGCAUUAGUUCUUGUACUUCCGCUUUGUUGAAAUAUUAUUUUCAAUACAUAUCAUUGCAAUAAUUGCAGUAAAUAUUUUUACAUUUGGUUCCAACAUUGGUAACCUUUUCCUUAGUUAUGUUGCUUUUCCAUUUUUAAUUUUUUUUAUAUAGGACUUUAUGAGAAUUGCCCUAAAUAAUUUUUAUUUUCAAUAAUUUCUGUUUGGAUCCGAAUUAAUAAGAGAGAAAUUACCAUAAAUUAGCUUACUUCAAAUAUAAAUAAAAUGAUAACUUAUACCACUAGAAAAGGUUUGGAAGAUGGCAAACAAAUCAAUGGGUGGAAGUGGAACAAGAAUGAAAAAUAAUAAAUAAAUAAAUAGAUAAAUAAAGGGGGAAAUCCAAUUUUAUAAGAAGGAUUGACCUGGUGAUACUUGUACCAUUAAAAAAGGAUGUGGUUUGGGAUACAUCAGACAUUGGUUGGACAUUUCUUAAAAGAGAAUAUGUGAAUUAGGCUAGAAAUUAGAGAACUGAAAAUUAAGAUCAUUCAUGUCAGUAAAUGAAUAUUUUUUAAGAGAUCAAUAUUUAUUUUUGAAAAGAUGAGUUGAGGUUUUCAUUAACGAAUUCCUAGUAGUUUUUAUGGAAACAAUUAUAAAAAUCUUAAAUUUUUAAUAGUUUUUAGAAGUUUAUAGAUGUCAUUCCUAUAAGUUUAACCACAUUUCUUUCGAUAUAAUUACAAAAUUAAAACUAAAGAGAGAAUCUCAUCCUACCUUGUUUACUAUUAUUAUGAAAUUCCAAAUCUCUUUUCUUGAUAUGUUAAAGUCUAAAAAAAUUUAAUAAGUAAUAUUUAACUAAUUGCUUGGUGAAAGAACCGUCAUUACUAAUUGGAGUGGAAAAAAUGAGAACCAUGACAUAAAUUCAAGGGAAUAGCUAGAUCACUACAAAUAAUAAAUUAUGUCGAUUAUUAAAUUCUAAUAAUAUAUUAUAAAUAUGUAAAAAGAUAUACCUUCCAUCAACCAUCCUAUAUAAUGGUUUAGAAGCAUGAAAGAGGGCAAUGCAAGUUUUGUACAUAAAAUUUUAAGUUGAAUAGAGGGAAGGAAACAUGAAAAUUUCACAAAUUUUUCACGAAAUUUCCUUCAAAAACUGGUAAUGGUAAGAAGUUAAUGAAGUUUAAAUUCUAAACAUCCUUUUACAUUACAUGAUUGAUUAGUCCGAAAUAUUGUCCUUAACAUCCUCCAUGUGACCAAGUGGAGGAUCUCAUACAGUUUAUUGAGAGAUGAUAAAGACUUUGUUAGUCUUCUCUGAUUAUAAUCCUCAAAUGGCAAAAAGAGAGCAGGCAAGCUUCAUGUGCUAGUAAUAAUUUUUUUUUAUUUAGUAUUUGUUGUUUGGAUUGAAAUAAAAUCAAGGAUAUCAUAUAAAAUUAUAAUAAACUAUUAAAUAUUUUAUUACUUUUAAAUUGAUUAAGUGUAUAUUAUAUUAUACACAAUGCUAAAUUAUAGAUUCUUCAAAAAAUUAAGAAGGAUAACUAAUUAUCUUUCUAUUAAAAAAAUAAAUGGUGCCAUUAAUUGUUGCAAAAUAAUUUACAAUAUUGGAUGAUGAGUUGGCUAAUAAAUGUAGUCCAAUAAUUAAUGAAUAAAUAAAAACAUUUCUUUUUCAUUUUUUGAAAAAUAAAAAGUUUUAUUUUAAUUUCUUUUAAUCCCAUGAGGUGACUAGUAAAGGUGGUUAAGAAACCAAAUGCUUGCUCAUAUUUUGUGUUUUUCUUUUCUUUUCUUUUAAUAUUUAUAUAAAAUUUAUCUUCUUUUUUUUUUCUUUCAUGUAUUAAAAUUUUUAAAGGUGAGUUCCUUAUUUAAUAAGAGAAGUAAGUGUGUCUCUCUGUUAGAGUUUAAUAAUACUCCUUGACUUUUUAUUAUAGAAAGAUGAAUAAUUUAAUCUUAAAACAAAAACAAGUAUGGAAAAUUAUAGUAAUUCCUAUAUAAAAUGUAACGGUUGUUAGAAAUUUAUCUUGAAAAAAUAAUGAUUUUCAAAAAUUAAGUUUUUGUACAAAAUCAAGUUUUAAUUUUUUUUUAACUAUAUCAUAAAGUAAUUUUUAUUUAAAUUGAUAUAUUUUAUUUAAAUUCCUUUUAUUAUUCCACAAAUUUUCCCUUCUUUUAGUGAUAUGAAAAAUAUGCAUUAAAUGUUUAAUGAGACAAAAAUAAUAAGAAGAUGACGAUGACCCUAUAAAUACAUUGAAACAAUCAUAUAAAAAUGGUCAUCAAGCAAAAUAAUGUUUGUAAUUAACAAAAUAAUUUUUUCAGUUUAGGUUUAAGAGAGUUUAAACUAGAGCUCUCAAAGAUAGGAUUUAAUGAUACUAGUUGAAAUUAUGGUAACAUUUUUUUAUAGUAUUUGGAUUAUGAUAGACUACAUUUGUAAUUAAAAAUUGAAUAUAUCUCUUUUUAUAAGACACUAUGAAAUAAUUUGUAACAUAAUUAAAACACAAUAAAAAAAUUUAAGCUACUUUGGUCACUAUGCAUAUGAUCUUAAUAAAUAAAUGAGAAUAAUUUAUCAAUGUGUCAAAGUCAUUCUUGAAAGUACUUGUGGAUAAUUUCUAAUAAAUAAAAUUAUCCACACUUAAAAACAUACAAAUUAAAAUCAACAAUUCAAAUCAUCCAUGCUUAAAAACAUACAAAUUAAAAUCCACAAUCCAAACCACGAGUCUUUUUAAUGGUAUUCUUAUUCUGGUUCAAUACUGCAUCUCUGCCACCACUUCCAAUUCCAGGACCAAUAGCUAGUUUCCAUUAGCAUCCUGACCAAUGUUCCAUGAGUAUAUCAUAAUAUCAUAUUUAAAAAUAAAGCAAAGUAAGAGCAAAAUAAAUAUUAAUUCAUGCUUAUAAGAUAAUUAAUGCAAUUUGAAAGACAUGAUAAUCGUUUGGCCUACCAAUUCAUAAAUGAAGCUCUAAAUAAAAAUUCUAGUUAAUUGAAACAAAAAUUUUGCCAUGCCAAAAUAGCUAUUGUAAUAUGAUCUUUCUUUUUAAAUUCAAUAGUUCAUUCCAAAGAUAAAGCUUUGAUAAGGUUCUAAGAUAUUUAUUACAAAAAAUAAAGGAGUUUUAACCUUAGAUAGACCUAAGAAUACGGGAUCUCCAAAUUUGAUAAGAUUUUGGGGUAAUAAAAAACAAAUAAAUUAAAAUAAAAGUUGAAAGAAAAAAAAGAAGAAGAAAAAAACCUAUUUGAAUGACUUGAGCAUAUCUAAUCUCGUAUCAAACUUAAUAUUCUUCCAAGCAUGUAAUCUUAUUAAAAAUUGUCUAGACAUUUUUUCCACUAAUUUUGGUAAAUAUUUUAACCUUCAAUAAUAAAACCAAAGACAAAGAAGACAUACCUUGCUGAGAAGAGUUGGAAACUAGAGAUGUCUUCAGUUUUUUUGAUUUGAUUUCUUUGCAUAACAACCUUUUUAUUUUAUUGUAAUGACUAAUUAAGAAAAAUAGAAUCUCAUAAUUUUUAAUAUAUUUUAAUGACUAAAUAAAAUUAAAAAAAUGUAAAUUUAAAAUGAGAAGUCAAACUAUCUUGAUAUGGCCUCAAGGGGGCAAAGUAAAAAAGAAAAGAAAAAAAAAUCAUGAAUUAUAAUAAACAUGCAAAAAAAUUUAUAUUUCAUGAUCAUUUAACGAAAUAAGUGAUUAUUGAUAUUAGUUAUGAAACAAAAAAUAUAAAAUAAAAAAUGGAACAAAAAAAAAUUAGAUAGAGAAAAGCUUUGAUUAUUAAUAUUAGUUAUGAAAGGAAAAAACUCUGAACUAUGAAAUGAAAAAAAAAAAAAGAUAAUUGUUUCAAUUUUAUUUAAAAAUUAACUAAAAUGCAAACAAUAUUUUCAAAGGAAUUUUUUUUUAAAAAAAGAAGCUAGAAAUGUGAAUAUGAAUUUUUAAGAAUUUUACAUUUUUUAGCAAAACUUUAAAAAUUCAAUAAUUUCACUAAUAAAUUUUAAGAUCUUUUGUAAAUAAUUAAAUUGAUAAAAUUUUAUUUAAAAUUUGUUUCUAACAAUAUAAUAUAAAUGUAGUACCAUCAUGCAUGAAUAGACCUAAAAACUUAGGUAUUUUGAAAAUCAUAGGGUCAAGCAAAACAACCUACCACUAAGAAAUUUAUUUAAUAAAAUAUAAAUUAUUUAAAUAAAUUAAAUUUUAUCAACAAUUAAGUAGAAUAUAAUCUAAAUAAUCCAUCUAGUAUUUUUUUUUCUCACAUACAAAAUGAUUUUCUUAGGAGUUGAUCAAAGUUUGUACUUUUGAUUUUUAUUUUUUAAAAUUCCUAAACAAAUGAAAGAAUAUUUUGCUCCAAGCCCACCGUGCUCCGCCACUAGCCUUAAGUCAUGCUCUCACCUUUUAGGUUGUUUAUUGAUGGAUCCUACACUUUCUCACAUGAAGAAGUAGACCAAAGGGAGGACAAAAUAAUUACUAAAUUAUAGCCGUUUCAUGUAAACAAAGUUGGGAAAAUUGUGUUUUGGGCUCAUUUGAGAUAAAAAUUAAGGUUUGGUUCAUAUGACUUACAUAAUUGAUAGAAAUAAUAUAAGGUAUGAAAAGACCAAAAUACCCAUUGACCUUUCACAUAAGUUUUUUUGGUCUUUAUUGCACCACUAUUCAUGCAGUUAUAAUAAUUCUAUUUUAACCAUAUGAAUUUUUCAUUGUUUUUAAAAAUUUUUUUAUAAAUAAUUAAAAAUCAACAUUAUUUUCUAUUUUAAAUAAUAAAUAAAGAAAAAUUAAGUUGAAAAACUAUUUUAAAAAAUACUUUCUAAAAAAAUGGUAAUAUAAUUUAUAUUUUUUAUAUUUUCUUUUUGAAAAAACAUUUAAUUAAAAAAUGAAAUUAAAAAUAAAAAUUGAAAACCUUGUACUAUUUUUUUAUAUGAAAAUAAUAAAAAGAAUUAAAUUUCAUUCAUUGAUUAUCCAUUAAAUUUUAUAUGAAAAAAUUUUAUCCUGAUUUAUAAUAAGAGUAAAAAGAUUUAAUAUCUUUAAAAAAAAAAGUUAGAAAUGAGUAAUACUUAAUAGGAAAUAGAAAAGGGAAAAAAAACACAAAAAAAUAAAAAUAAAAUUGAAAUAUACGCUCACUAUAUGCCUAUGUAGGGGUAAAGGGUAUUUUAGGGAUUAAUGAAGGAUAAUAUCCUUCAACUUAAUUUUUAUACUUUAUUUAGGUUUUGACCUUAAAUGUGCAUGAUAUAUAGAUCUUUGGUCAAUUUUGAGGUCAUCUCACCUCAAAACACAAUUCUCCCAAGAUUCUAAACCAUAAAUCAAUCAUUUAAGAAAAGUAUCAUAAUUGUUAAGAUCUAAAUAUAUAAUUUUACAUGAGAAUACUCACCUUCCAUUUUGCCUUUUAAAGUGCAUGACUUUCUUUUAAAAUCAAUAAUCUUCCAAAUAUAAUACCUAAAUAAGUCCUAAAAUAUUUUUUUUAGAAAAAAAAGAAAAAAAAAAGUUUUACCUUUAAGACAGUCCCAAGUUGCGGGAUAUAUAUAUAUAUAUGUGUGUGUGUGUGAGUCGCUAGUAUACGAUUUUAAAAUUUAUUUAGAUAUUUCUUUUUUCAGUAAUUCCAUCUAAUAAAUAUAUUAACCACUCGUGAAUAAAAAAGAGAGAAGACAUACCUUGCUAGGGUUUAAAUAAAGCUUUGAUCCUUUGGAAACUAGAGAAUCCUUUCUUGGGUGGGUGAUCUUCUCUAUCACCAAGGCUUCCUCUUGACGGCUGAGGCCAAUGGAUCUGAUCUUGGGCGUACAAGAGAUGUAUCCCACAACUUUUCACUUUAAAGCAUGCGUUAUCGCCACACUUAAAAGAGCCAACACCGAUUGGAGUGUGGAAGUGAUCCUUAAAGUUGUUCCUCCUUCUGGAUCGAUACUCACUUGGAAUGUCAAUCUGAGGGAAAUACGUCACCCAAAUUGCUGGAUCUGGUGUGCUAUCACUGUCGUAGCAGUGUUUGCCAGAUAAUAAAUGACUAGCCAAGUAGGUUUUACAUUUAAAAUAAAAUGAUAUCUCCUCCAGUCGUUCAGAUUGAUCACCAUGGGAUAUUGUCAAUUCACAAUGUGGAAUACUACCUUCUGUUGUCUCACAUUCAUCAUCAUCAAGGGGAACAUGAUGGAAGAAUAGAACAAAUCCCAAGAAGUUGUCAUCUUCAUACCAAUUCAUUGGGAGCUCUAUACUUACUUCACAUCCCAUUCUCUGAUGGCUUACCCACUCUGGUAUUCCAUUACUUCCUGGAAGUAGAAUACUAAAUCUUUGCGGAUAAAAAUCCAGGUCCAGAAAAAAAUUCGGCUCAAAAAAUUCUGGCUGCAGAAAAAAUGUCAUGUAAGUUUUUGUUUUAAAAAAAAGAAAAAAGAAAAAAGAAAAAAUAAUUAUGCCAUGAAACUGAUACCUGAAUUGGUGAUUUGAAGCGUUUGAGCAAAGAAGACCAGAGUAGACUUGAGAAAGUUUCAGUUUCCAGGGAUGGACAACCAUGUGCCUCCAUCACUGUUAAACUUGAUGGAACCUCUCCAAUUUCUUCAAGCAUCGGGCAGUGAUUCAUGAAAAGGGCUUUGAGCUUAGAAAGUUGAGUGAUGCCAGCAGGUAUGCAACGAAUAUGGUUUUCACUUACAUCUAAAGAUACCAGUAAGGAUAAGCACCACAAAUCACUGGGGAUUUCUCCUUCCAUCAGAUUGCAACCACCUAGAUCUAGCCACAGUAAGCAACAUUGCAGGCUUCUCAAAUUGUCAGGCAAGUUGCGGAGCUUUGUACAGUUACGAACACGAAGAGUAGUAAGACAUGUCAAACUACCAAUGCUAUUGGGAAGAGCCACAAGGUUCUCACAAUUGAUUAAUUCCAAAGAUUCAAGACCUCUCAGGUGUCCAAUUAAUGAUGGCAGCUCUGUUAUACCCGUUUCACGUAAAAAAAGGUGUUCUAAUCGUUCCAUAUCCUCUGUGAUCUCUGAAAAAGCCUCUAGAUUUGAACAACCAUUGAGAGAGAGGCGUUCGAGGGAUUUCAACCCACAUAUACUAUUUGGAAGACUUCUCAAGUUUCUACAAUUUUCCAAAUCUAACCAUUUAAGUCUAGUGAGAUGACCUAUAGAGCAAGGUAAUUCUUUAAUAGGAGUCUCAUCUAGAAAAAGAGCCCAUAGCUUCCCCAUCUGGAUCUCAGGAAACCUCUCAAAAUUUGAGCAACCACUGAGAGCAAGACUUUCAAGGGCCUGCAAGCACCCAAUGCCAUUUGGGAGUUCCUUAAUAGCAGUAUUCUCUAAACAAAGCUCCUUCAAGCAUUUCAGAUUCCCUUGGAUCUCUGGGAAUUUCUGAAAGUUUGAGCAAUAUGAGAGAUUAAGAAUUUCAAGAGAUUCCAAAUACCCAAUGCUGUUUGGGAGUUCCUUAAUACCACUCUCACGUAAAUAUAGCUCCCUUAAAAGUCCCAUAUUGGUAAAUAUAUCCGAAAAUUUCUCAAACUUCAAACAUUCUUUAAGAGAGAGAAUUUCGAGAGAUGUCAAAGACCCCAUGCUAUUUGGGAGUUCCUUAAUAGCAGUGUUAUCUAAAUAAAGCUCCUUUAAACAUUUCAUAUUCCCUUUAAUCUCUGGAAAUUUCUCAAAUUUUGAGCAAUAUGAGAGGUCAAGAAUUUCAAGAGAUUCCAAAUACCCAAUGCUGCUUGGGAGUUCUUUAAUACCACUCUCACCUAAAUGAAGCCCCCUUAAAUGUUCCAUAUAUGUAAAUGUAUCCGAAAAUUUCUCAAACUUUGAACAUCCUUCUAAAUGAAGCUCCCUCAAAAAUUUCAUAUUCCCAUGGAUCUCAGGAAAUUUCUCCAAAUUUGAACAAUUUGAGAGAUUAAGGACUUCAAGAGAUGCUAAGUACACAAUGCUACUCGGUAGUUCUUUAAUCUCACUCUUGUUUAAAUAAAGCUCCUUCAAAUGUCCCAUAUUCCCAUGGAUCUUAGGAAAUUUCUUCAAGUUUUGACAUCGAUCAAGAUAAAGAACUUCAAGAGAUUCAAACUUCAUGCCAGGUGGGAAACUUUGGAGCUGUUCACAUCCUCCCAAAUUCAAGUAAGUCAACCUUUUGAGAUCGCCAAUAGAUAAAUGAAGUUCACGCAAACUUAUACAACCUUCAAGAUUUAGUCUCUCCAAAUUUGGCAUGCUUGAGAAUUUUGGCAUUUUGACAAGUUGUUUUGAGUCACUUAGAUCAAUGACCUUUAAUUUUCCAAGAAACUGUAACAGAAGACAUUCUUUUUAAUAAAUUUUUUUUGCUUCAACUUAAAAAUUAAUAUAAAGAAAAAAAGCAUUAAAUAAUGAUCAUACCUUAUCCCCUUUCCAAAGUUGUUUUAUGUUGCUAGACUUUAAGUUGAUUUCAACAAGGUUCUCUCCAUAAAACUUUGAAGGCAAAGACCUCAAAGUGCAGCCUUGCCAAUGAAGAUAUCUCAAUUUAUGAGGAAAUUCAAUGUCUUUAGGAAGAAACACUUUAUACUCCUCUCUUGUCAAACCAUCAUGAUCAUUGCAAUAGACUUUAAGCAACCUAAGUUUAUUCAUCUUGGCAAACACUUCUGUAGUGAACUGCAUUUCUUUUGAUGUAGACAUGUCUAGAGAUAUGGUUUGAAUAUUUUCCAUCCCCUAGAAAUCAAUAAUAAAAAAAUAAGGGAACAACACAAGAUAAAAAUCCUAACUAUUAAUUAUAUAGACAAUUAACCAUUAAAUUUAAAUAACUAUGUUUAGGCAUUUAAUUCGUACCUCUUGUCUAGAAAACGCAUCAUAAAUAUCAUCUACAUCCCACAAUCUACUCCAUUUGCUUGGAUCUCCAGGAUAUUCAUCACGAACAAUUGCCCAACCCAUUUGUCGUAUCAAGUCAUGCAUUUGUAUGAUGUUGUCUGAAAUAGUUAUUAGACAUUUAUCAUGGAGAAUUGUUAUACCAUGUGUUGCAAAUAAAUUGCAACCAUCUAAUAUUCUUGACACAAAAUCUUUGCAUUCCUUUUUGAAAAACCACGCAAUGUCCAAGAAAACAUCCUUUUCCAAAUUAUCAAGCCCAUCAAAACUUAUUCUAAGCACAUCAUUAAUUUCCUUCACAGGGUUUUUUUUCAAUCUAUCUAAUGCACUUCUCCAUUCAUCUAUUGUCAUGCCAUGAAGAGAAGAACCUAGAACUUUGAGGGCUAAAGGAAGACCUUGAGCAUAAUCUACCAUGCAAUUUGAGAAGUCUACAUAAUCUUCUUUAGGAACAUUUUGUUUAAAGGCAUAUCGGCUGAAGAGUUGAAGAGCUUCCUUAUAAUGUAACUCUGUAACCCUAUAUGGUAUAUUCACUCCAUACUCACCCAACAAAUGUUGGUCUCUGGUUGUUAUGAUAAUUCUACUUCCUGGACCAAACCAUUUAGGACUUUUUGCCAAUGACUCUAAUUGCUUCAAAUGAUCCACAUCAUCAAUUACAAUAAGAAUUUUUUUUGAGCCAAGUCUGCCUUGUAUUAUAUUGAUUCCUUCAUUGAUAUCACUAAAUGCUAUAUCUUUCCCUAGUAUACCACGAAGAAGUUGUUUUUGUAGUUCAAGUUGACAACCAUUUUUAGAUCUCUCUUUGACAUCUUGAAGAAAGCUAGCACCAGAAAAUUGACAUUGGAUCUCAUUAUAAACAAUCUUCGCAAUGGUAGUUUUACCAAUUCCACCAGUUCCAUAGAUCCCAACCACACGAACAUCAUUCAAGUGACCACUUAACAAUAAUUUAAGUUUUUUUAGGCGAAAAUCAAUCCCAACUAUAUCAUCAUCAAUGUGCAAAAGCUUAGGAUUCAAUCUUUUCAAAAUCUCGUUAGUAAUUUCCUCAAUAUGCAUUGACUCAUACCUGCCCAUUAAAAAGUACAAUUUAACACCUCAUGAGCUUUAAUGAAUUGCAAAAGAUAACAAAUAUGAAGUAAAUGUAGUGAUGUUUACUUGAUUUUGUCUACAACAAAAGUAAGGGCAUGUAGGAUGUAAAGUACUGUAAUGGACCAAAACAUAUUUGUUAAAUUAUAUAUCUAAGUACAAUUCCACUAAUGUUAUAACAAGUGUACGUGCCAGAGAAUAAAGUAGAGGAAAAAUAUGAGAUACUACUUGUAUUGGCUUACGCUACUCAAUGGCUUGGAAGGUUUAUUAGGAAGUUAAUCUAUCUAGGAUAUUAUUAUAUUUAACCCUUGUUUGUAAGAAAUUCUAGUGUUGGGGCAUUAGUGGGGACAACUACUAUUUUCCACCGUGUCAAGCUGCCAUUUUGUCAUCAAGCUUACCAAUCUAAUAAAGUUUUUUUUAAAAAAAAAAGAAAAGAAAAAAAGAGAGAGGAAGAAAUAGCUUUUUUAUUUUAAAAAAUAAGUUGCUCUUGAUCCAAUCACAGUUCUAUUGAUCUAGAGAUUCUAUCCACUUUCAAUCACUGGGUAAGUUAAAAUGGUUGUGUCCCCUUUUUGCCAAAAGAGAUAAUAUUAGUAGAAAAAUUUUAGAGUUCUAAUUCUUUGUUGACAAAGAUUGCUAAUAAUAGGUUGUUUGUUUUUUCAAUUAAGUUUUAAAGUAAGUUGCUUUAAGACUUAUGAUAUUUUUUUAGUUACUUAUUUUUUAAGACAAUUUGGUCUUAAUGAAAAAAUUAAUUUUUUUAACUUUUGUCUUUACAAUAAAAAGUUGUUUUUCCUCCCUUCUUUUAUUUUUUUUUUUUCAAAAAAAUAAUUUUGUUAUAAUACUUAAAUCUUUAUUUUUUUUAAACUAUGCUCACAUCUAAUUUCUUAUAUAAAUAAUGCCAAAUUUAUUUUUUAAAAUUUUGGAUAGCUCUAUGUUUUAGAAACAAAUUAAGCUAUUGUAACUUUAUUGAACUUUAAUGGGUAAUAAAUUAGUAAAGCUGUCAUCAAGAAAAAAUCAACAUGAUUGAAAUAAAUUUUACGUUUAUCUAUUCUUUCUGUGUUCUCAAGAAAAUUAGAUCUAAAAUUAUCUUAUAAAUUGUUGUGUAAAAAUGAAACUAAUAUAAAAAAUCACUUAAUCUAGAUAAGAAAUUAAUAGCAAAUAAAUACACAAAAUUCCAAAAUCAAACUGACAUGCCAACAUAAAAAUCACUUAAUUUGGAUAUAAAAUUAAUAAAAAACAAGUACACAAUAUCCAAAAUUCCAAAAUCCAAACUGAAAUUCUACCAUAUUGGCCAAUAUUUUUACCUCAUAAUUUAUCCAAUUCUUUGUAAAAUUAAUUUUCAUAAAUUUCUAUAGAUCCUUCAUUUAGGAAUGAAAAUGAUAACACUAAAAUCAUAAAAUUUGAUUAGAAAUUAAUUUAAUAUAAGUUUUUAGAAUUCAACCUCUUAUAUCUUAUAACAAAUCCAAAAUAAGUUGCAUCAAUUCCAAUGAAAAUUUUAGAACCUCAAAAGAUAAUUUACACUCAUCUAAAUUUUCAUAAAAAUCAAUAAUUUCAAUUGAUUUUAAAAAAAUAAAAAAUUAGAAUUUGAUACUCUUUCCUAAAUUAAAAACUUAAAAACUAAUCAAUUAAUCUCAAUAAUGAAACACAUAUUUUAAUUAUAAAUCCAUAUGAAAAGUAUUAACUUAGAAAAUUUUCUAAUUGGACAAUAAUUUAUCCACUUAUCAAAAUUUAAACAUGUUACAUAAUAAAUUAUUUUAAUGUUUUUAGUAAGGUAAUAAAUUAUAAUGUGUUGAGAUAUUUGGAAAUAUGUACAAUUACUAUUUUUGAAAUUAAAAUAAGAAAAAAUUAAUAAUUAAUUUCAUAGAUGUUUUAAAUAUGUAUAAAACCAAUAUUUAGCAUUCAAACAUAUAUAAAAAUAAAUAACUAAUACUUAAUGAUAUUCAGAUAUAUUCAGACUUAAGAAAUUCAUAUAAAAACCAAAUGUCACCUUUGGUGAAAAAAUGAUUAUAAAACAAAAUUAGAAGCUACUAUAAGUUGUUGAUUUAAGACGGAUCUAAAUUAAUAACUUGUUAAUUCAUGAUUUAAGACAACUAAAUCCUUAUAACUCAAUUAAAUCAAAAGCACAAAUUAAGGAAGUUGAAGUUACCCAUCAUUCACAUGGAAACCACUUAGAUUGCUUGCUUCAGUUAAGAAAACCCUCCACCUCUGCACCUUUUUCUCAUCCACAUUUCUUUCAUGAAUGGAAAAUGCCUCUCCGAAGCUCCCUGUUUGCUUUCGCACAUCAGAAGGAUCCACGUGGUAGAACACCGGCAAGACUAUUUGUUCCAUUUCUUCCCUGCACUCCAUGAUCUUCGCUAACUCAUCCAAACACCACUUGGAAUGCGCAUAGUUUCUUGAGAACACAACUACGGAAAUUCUUGAUUCUUCAAUAGUUUUCAAAAGUUCUGAUUUGAUCUCCUCUCCUCUUUCAAGUUGAUCAUCCCUAAAAGUAUUAAUCCCCCUCCCACCCAAAUUUACGAAUAGAUGAUCCGUAAAAAUGGUGCGGGUGUCUUCACCUCUAAAACUCAAGAACACUUCGAAGUUAUAUCUAUGGAUUGAGGUCGAAGAAGAAGAGGGUUCUUGGGUGGAGGAAGCCAUGGUUGGACAGUUUCUGGAUGAAAGCUUAAAGAGAGUUGAGGAUUAACUUGUGCUCACAUGUAAAAAGCAAACAUCGGUUCUGCCAAUGCAUGCAAGCAUGUGAUUCUUUUUCCAUUCUUUGGGAGUUUUAUUCACAAUUGUGCGAAUGAGUGGAAAGGUGGGUGGCUUUUGAAAAAAUAUAAUGAAGGACCCACCCUCCACAAAAUUCAAAAGCAACUUUGUUUCCUAGCAUUUGGAUAUCGAAAAUGUCGUUCAAGUAUAACAACAUUUCCAUGAUAUAUCGAGCUUCUCAAGUGUUCAGGAAUAUUGGGCAAUAUUUCCACGCUAUAUGUAGCUUUGGUGGGCUUGAACAGGACAUAACGUGGAGAGAUUUCCCUUGGUCUAUUUUCAGGGCUUUUUUUCUCAUCUGACAUUCUUUUUCCGAUUUUCCGAUACUAUCGCCAUGGGCCUUUUUCCUUUGACCAAUCAAAGCCUUUCGAUAUUAUCACGAUGGGUCAUUGAUGUUAUCGCCAUGUGUCCUUUCCCCUGUGACACGUCAAAGCGUUGAAUUAAAAUUUUGAUUUUUCGGUAUUAUCACGAUGGGUCAUUGAUAUUGUCGCACGUCCAAGCCUUAAAUUAAAAUUUUGAUUUUUCUAUAUUCCUUUGACCAGUCAAAGCCUUUCGAUAUGAUACGAGGGGUCAUUGUUAUUAUCGCCAUGUGUCCUUUCUCCUGUGACACGUCAAAGCCUUAAAUUAAAAUUUUGAUUUUUCGGUAUUACUUUGACCAGUCAAAGCUUUUCGAUAUUAAGAUUAUCACGAUAGGUGAUUGAUAUUAUCGCCAUGUGUCCUGUCCCGUGCGACACGUAAAAAGCCUUAAAUUAAAAUGGGAGAAUUGUGUUUUGGUACGAACCUAAAAUUAACAUUUGAUCUAUAUAACUUUCACUUUCAUAAUUGAUGGAAAUAAUAUAAGAUAUUAAAAGAUCAAUAUAUCCUUCAAAUUUAUAUAUAUAUUAGCUUUUAAAGAUAAAAUACUAAUGGAUUAAAAUACUCAAUGACCUUUCACAUAAGUUUUUUUGUCUUUAUUACACCACUAUUCAUGCAACCAUAAUAAUUCUAUUUUAACAAUUUGGAUUUUUCAUUGUUUUUAAUUUUUUUUUAUAAAUAACUGAAAAUCAACAUUAUUUUCUAUUUUAAAUUAUAAAUAAAGAAAAAUUAUGUUCAAAAACUAGUUUAAAAAAAUACUUUCUAAAAAAUGGUAAUAUGAUUUAUAUUUUUUAUAUUUUUUUUGAAAAAACAUUUAAUUAAAAAAUGAAAACUAUUUUUAAAAAUAAAAUUUGAAAACCUUGUUUAGCAAUAUUUUUUAUAUGAAAAUAAUAAAAAUAAUUAAAUUUCAUAUAUUGAUUAUCCAUUUUUAUUUUUUUCCAUUCGUUAUUUUAAUAAUAAAAAAAAUAGUAUAUUUACAAUUAAACAAAUAAAUUGAUCAAUUACGUUUUUUGUGGGACUGUCUUUUACAUGAAAAAUAAUUAAAUAACUAAAUUAAAUAUAUUUAUUACUCUUUUUAAUUGUAUUUUCUUUAUUUAUUUUUUGUCUUAUAGAAAAUUUUAAUAUAUCCAUAAUUAACAAAGUAAUAAAUCAAUUAUGCACAUUUUAAUCUAUUAAAAUAAAUUACUUUCUAAUUUAAAUAAAUAAAAUGAAAUAAGUAAAUAAAUUUGAGGUUAUUUCUAUUUUUUAACAUAUCUUAUAUCAAUAUUUUUUAUGGUUAAAUAAUUUUUUUAUUUUUUAUUUCUUUAAUUCCAAAAAUAAAAUGAAAUAAAUAAAUAAAUAAAUUUGGUAUUUUCUAACUGGUCUUAUAUUCAUAUUUCUUAUGGUUAAAUAAAAUUUUUUUUAUUCUUUUUUCUUUAUUUCAAAAAAUAAAAGGAAAUAAAUAAAUAAACUUGGCUUAAAUAAUAGUUUUUAAAUAAUUUCUUGGUUUUAAUUACAUUUUACAUUGAAAAUAAAAUAAAAUAACGUUUUAUUUGAGUCAUUGUACAAGGUAUUUACACUAAGUGUACAUGACAAAUACACUAAUUGUAUAAGGGUAUAUAAGACUAUUAAUUAUGAAGAAUUUUAAGUGAUUCUGAAAAACUUGUUUGUUUAUUUCCUCUAAUCGAGGAUAAAUGACAUUCCUUACACACAUUGGUUAAGCAUACAUUCAUCUCAUGCACUUUAUCUAACUUGUAUAUGGUUAUUUGAAUAGGUAUCUCACUUAUGAUGAUUGUAAAACAAAAUUAUACAACAAUUUUUCUUAUUUUUUAAAACCAAACCAAUGUAAACAUGGUUAAUCGACCUAUUGUUAGAUAUUCAUGAGAUGAUGUAUGAAAUUUGAGUUAUUGUACAAGGGUAUUACACUAAUUGUACAAGACAAAUUUACUAAUUGUACAAGAGUGUACAAGACUACUUUUUGUUAAGGAUUUCAAGUGAUUUUGAAAAACUUUCCCAUUUAUUUCCACUCAAAGAGUUUUUUUCCCCACUCAAAUUCUCUCACUCAAGAAUUGUUAUGAAUUUUAUUUUUAAAUUUCAUCAUCAAAAUUUUGUAAUUGCAGAUUUUAUUUUUGUAGUUUUAGCAAUGCUUUUUUUUUUUUGUAAACAUAUUCUAUUACAUUUCAAGUAAAAAAUUAGAUAAGUUUGAAAGUCAAUAAAAAAAAUUAAAUAUCACUUUCAAUAAUUUUUAGAUAAAAUUUUAUAUAAUAAAUUUUAUUUGAAAUUAAAUUUCUAAAGUUUCACUAAAAAAUUGUAUUGACAAUUUUCUUGUUGUGAAUCAAAAUACUUUGCAUUAGUCUAUCUAGAUAAGAAAAAUUAUUAAUAUAAUAUUAAAACUUCAUAUCUUAGUUAUUUUUUUCAAUAAAUUUAUCUUUUUAAAAAUUUUAAAAUAAAAACAUUAAAAAUUAAAAAACUAAAAGGAUAUAUAUAUAAAAUAAAGUGAAGUGAUAGUCAAUUUUAAAAUUUUUUAAAAUAUGGUUAAUGUAGAAAAUAUAAAAAAUAAUUAAAAAUAAGAGAAAAAUAUAAAUGAAAGGGUAAUAUAAAUUUAAAAUAAAAAAUGAAAAUUAAACUAAAAGAUAAAAAAUAUUUGGAUGAAAAAUCCCAAAAUUUUUAUCAUUGCUUAUAAUAAGAGCAAAAAGACUCAAUAUCUUUAAAAAUGAAAAACAAAAAAACAUUAUUGCUUUUUAUUUGACAUAAAAUAGAAAUAUAGAUUGGAAGAAAAAAAAAAGGUUAGAAAUGAGUAAUACUUAAUAGGGAAUAGAAAAGGGAAAAAAACACAAAAAAAAUUUAAAUUCAUACUCACUUGUCCUUGUGUAAGGGUUAAGGGUAUUUUAGGGAUUAAUGAAGGACAAUAUCUUUCAUCUUAAUUUUCAUACUUUGUUUGGGUCUUGGGCUUAAAUAUGUAUGAUAUAUGAACCAAAUGUUAAUUUUUGGGCCAAACUGGGCUCAAAAAUUAAGUUUUGGUCCAUGUAACUAAACCAUUUAAGUUGAAAACCUAUAGAAAGUGUCAAAAUUGAGUAGAAGGAUAUGCACUUAUUAAUUCCUAAAAUAACCUUUGCUGAUUGUGAAAAAAAUAAUAAUAAUAAACCAAAAUAUCUAGGUUCGAAUUUUGCCCUAAUUUUGCUCUCUCUUCAGCAUUUCAACCCUAGACAAUCGUUUUCUUCUCUUCCUCCAGAUUUCCUCCAUCGCUUGCAUCUCAUCUUUGUGCCUCUUUCAUUUUUGCUCGCAUUCGUCUCUCUCGAAAAUUUGAAUUAAGGCGAAAUAUAUUAUUUUAAUCAAGCUCUCGAUUUCAAUUGGGUGUCUCUUGUUCCAUCAUCAAUCCGCAUCGGUGUUGCUGUUCGUGCCGAGCGUCGUUGGCUAUUUGAGGUUAGUAGGUUCUUCAAAUUUGUUUUCUCUCAAUUUCGUCUUUGCCAAGAAUUUGAUUUCAUCCCAAAAUACAUUGAUGUAAUCUCUCUCUCGAUUGCAGUUCGGCGUGUUCGUCUCGGUGCAGACUCUUGUUGCAUAUUUGAGGUUAGUAGAUUGCCUAAAUCUCAGCCUAGAUUUUCUUAGUCCUAUAUUUUGUUUAAUCCUCAUUGGUAUGAGGAGAGGGAUUCUUGUUUUCUGCUAACCUUUAAUUUACGAAGUGAAUGUUGAGUGUUAUUUUAAGGACAUUAAAUGAACAGUUGAGGCAAAGUAGGUGACUUGGAAUUCCUUGCUGCAGAAAUAUCUUGGAAAGGGAUUUCCAUACUCCGUAAUUCUAAAUAAGACAUUGUAGAUUUGUGGUAAUGUUUUAAAAGAGAAAAUUUUUGCUUUUGGAGCAUUGUUAUUUUGAAAAAUAUUUUGGUUGGAAAGACUUCAAAAUCUUGGUGGAAUAGCAGCACAAAAUUGGAAUUAACUCUUUGAUUUUGAUAGAUCUCAUCUCAAAUGCCCAAAGUUGGUAGUCAGACAGUUUGAGUUAUUCUAAGUUGUGCUAGUCCAUCUACAAGUUGUAUACCAGUAGGAGGAAGUAUGCCUUUGUUUGUAGCUUAUGCUAGAGCUAUCAAGAGAAAGAGUUAUAAAGUUGAAACUUUUGAAAUCAGCCAAGUCACUUUAUACUGCAUGGUCAAGGAAUCUGAUUCAACCUAAAUUUUUCUUAUGGUGCCUUGGCUUGAGAUGUAGGCACAAGUAACAGAUUUAUCUCUUUUUAUUUAUUAGUUUUUUUGACCCUUAAACCUUAAAUGUGUUAAACUAUUGUUUAUGGUUUUGUAUGAAUCAUCUAAAGUAAGACAUGAUAGUUUAGAAGAGAAUUUUGCAUUUGUUGCAUUUUUUAGGCUAUUAUCUCUUCAUAUUAUUUUGCAAAGCAACGCUUUAUAAUUAAUAUUUAAAUAUCUCCAUUCUCUUUGAAUAAGUUUGUAGGCAUGUCUGAUAUAGUAGUACCAAUAGAAAUUGUCUAAGGGUUUGAGUGAGAAUGAGAAUUUGUUUUCUACCUAGUGUAAGUACAGGUCAGAGCUUAAUAAAACAUGGAGGAUUAAUAAAAUGUGUGACUUUGCUGAACACUUGACCUUCUAGUUUUGAAUUCUGUUUACUUGCUUUGUAGAUCACCUUGAGGAUCAAAUAAAAUUUAAAUAGUUGGUAAUAGUUAAAGCCCAUUUGCACAAUGUUUUUUCCUUUAUUUAGAAUUUCUUUUGAAAAUGGGUUAUUAUCAAGUUUUUAUGAAAUAUUCUUAAUAAUAAUUGAAAAUAUAAAAACUAUUUUUGAAUUUUUGGGUUAGUAUAGUUUAUAAUAUCUUCAUAGAAAAUAAGCUAAGAAAAAUACUUUAUAGAAAAGAUUUUAUCUCUAAAACUAAUUAAAAAACUGUUAUCAAAUUUUCAAAUAAGCCAAACAAGUUGUUGGUUUGAUCUGGAUCAUAUUGACCAAGGGUCAUCUGUUACUGGAAUUUAUAAGAGAAAAAGAACAAGCACAACCAAUCCUAACCCUUUUUUUUGAAUUCUUCCCUUUGUUAUUUAUAUUUUUAGAUUUUGAUUGGUAAUGUUUUUAAAAAGUAAUUUUAUCCUAACAAGUUUUUUUCCUUUUUUUCUAUUUUUUAAAUUAAGUAUUUGAUAAAAUUUGAAAAACAUUUUUAAAAAAGUAAGAUUUUAUUUAUAGUGUUUUUCUCCCAAAAGUAGUUCUAUUUCCAUUAAGAAUAGUUUGAAAAGAAACAUGUCGUAAAAUAAUUCUAUAGAAAAUGUCUCCACUAAAAUUGCUUAGACCAUGGCCAUAAAAUUCAUUUUGAAAAUAAUUUUAAGGCACUUAUUAAAGAAAUCUUGAAUUUGGAUUUGUCAAAACAUGAAUUUAAAAAUUGAUAAUGCUAAAAUUUACUUUACUCUGCAUAGAUAUAAUAUUUGGGAAAAAGAAAAUCAUUACCCCUUUGAAUAGAUUUAAAAAUUGUUCAUUUUCAAAUGGAAAUGGAUUAAAAGAAGACCAGCUAUUAAUAGCUUGUUGGUGCAACCCUGGUGUCCUCAUAUGGUGACCUAAUCAAUCAACUGCCCAUAUGUCAAUUGCCCUAACCAUAGGUUCACAAUCUCUUUUCAAUCAAUUUUAAAUUAUAAAAAUAAGUUUUAUUUAUUCCCAUUUGUCCCUCAAUUUAAGGGCAAAUAAUGGGUAUUUGAUAUUUUCGGCUCAUUAGUUUUUAGUAGCUUAGGAAUAUAUUUAAUUAUAAAUUUUGUUAAUUUAAAUUCAGGGUUGGGAUUAGUUUUUUCGAGUAUUGAUGUCAUAUAUUUAAAUUUUUUAUUAAAAAAUUAAAUAGUUGAAAAUAUAAAAAAAUUAAUCCUUGUGAUGAAAAUUUUUAAUUUAAAAUUUAAGAUUUGAAAUUUUGAAAUAUAUAUAUAUUUCUUAAUGGAAGCGGGUGGUGAGUGGUUGGCAGUAGGAGAGAAUGGUGUAAGCAAAGAAGGUAGGUUGGGUGGUGAUAGCAGAGAGAGUGGGUCGAGUAUCUAAAAAUAUCAAGUCAACAUCUCCAUAUGUGAAUGUUAACGAGGUGGAGUGCAGUGUUUUAUGCUUGGAAUUUUUUUUAUUGCAUGAAGGUUCAAUAUUUAGAUUUAUGUUUAACGACGGUCUAUUGGUGCAGGUAUUCUUACCGGUUCUUAUAAAGAACCGUUGGACACUCUACGUAUAUGACCUAUCAAACAAGAGAAUCCAACUACUAAAUUCUCGUCCUAGUAGGAAGAAGACAACUUUGAGUGGAAUACAACAAAAUUUGGUAAAGUAACAAGUAACAACUAACAAUUUGUUAGGUAUGUCUUCCUAUAAAAAUCUCAACUGUUGCAUGAAUAAAUGUUUCAGGCUAUGGUUGUCCUAUGGUUGGCUGCACACAAGAAAGAGGUAUCACCUUAUGAAUUAAGGACAUUCAAUUUCCUAACACCUGAUGUACCCCUCCAACCUAAUGAGUGAGUGUUGACCUUGCAGUCCGGGAUGAUGUUAAAAUGGAUUGCAACUUAUUUUAAGUUCCUCUAUUAUUUAUAAUUCCACACUGAAUAACGUUUUGGUCAUGAUAUUGAUGUAGGCACGAUUGCAGAGUGUUUGUAAUGAAAUUCAUGGAGUUGCGAUCAAUGGGUGGGUUCUCCAAAUCAAUCUAUGUGUUACGUAGGAGGAAUUAUGUAUUAUCCUCUCAUUAAUCUUAAAAUAGUUAGAAAAGCCUAAUUAAUUAAUUUGUUGAUUUGUUGCUAUAAACUUGAAUGAAUGUAAGGGAAAUUGAAACAUUAUAGGUUGAAGAUUAUGGGGAGUUUGUUAUUUUCACCAUAGAAUGCACACCGACAACGUGUCCGGAGGGAUUAAUGGGGAUUGUAAUUUGUGAUGGACUGUAUAAAGUUAGCACAUUUGCAUGUAAUUUAUGGUGGACAAACGUAGUUCUUUAAAUGUUUUUUUAUGGUGCCACAUGUAGAAAUGAACACUGGGAGUAUGGGAUUAGUAGGAGUUUGAUUGUAUUUUGACUUAAGUUGAUUGUCAUUGCAUUAUAAGUGAACAGGGAGAAUUAAAGCCUUCAUUUGUGAUUGUAAAUGUAUGUUCAUUGUUACAUGAACCUAAUGUAAUUGGAAUUAUACAACAGAAUGAAAGACCCUACUCUUUGUCACUCUUAGAGGGUGCAUGAUGCUUGUAUUUGUAGGAUAAUUUGGAAUGUAGAGAAGCAAUUUUAUACAAAGACCAACAAUAAACAAUUUAGACAGCAACUUCGUAAUUGAGUUUUUUAAAUUGAUUUUUAAACAUCAAUUUUAUGGAUAACCUUGAAGCCUUUGAGUAUGGGAAUUUUCAUGUGAUGAUUGUAGCCUUGGAAAUUAGUGUUUGCUUGACAUUCUUAAGACAAUAGAAAAACUUUAGUCCUCACAACUGGGAGCUCAGAAACUUUAGUUACAUUUUAAGCUUGGAGUUUCUCUACCCAUACUAGACUGUAGGAAUACAAAAUUAAGAAUACAUCAAUUUUCACAUUUGCGAAUUCCAAAAAAUUAUUACAACUCAUAUCCAACAUACAUAUAUGGCCCAAACAAGUAUAAUACUGAUAAAAAAAUUCAACAUUUGUUUUUCUUUUUUCACUCGAGCACUUAAGAUAGAAAACUCAAUAACAUAUCUUAAAUCAUUAAGAUAUUUGGCAAAACAACAUAAUAUAACAACUUUAGAAAUAAAAUAAGUGAUAAGUUCAAAUAAUUAACUCUUUUUAAAUCCCAAAUAUCAUUGACCUUAAUAAUCCAUGUAGGUUUUCCUCUUUUUUUUUUCUUUUUAUAUAUCUAAUUAUUUCAUUAAUGAAACAGACGUGUCAAUUUAAUAGUAUUAAAAAGAACAAGUUCAUUUUUUAUAAAUAAUCUUAAUACUUAAAAGAAUUAAAUAGUAAGUUUUAGAAGUUCAUAACUUUAAAAGCAUAAUUCAACAUUAAGUACUAAGUUUGCUUGCACAUCCACUUAGUUCCUAUACAUACAAGAGAAAACAGAUGAUAAUAAAAUAAAACUCUAAACUCAAUACAUUACUUUCUAAAAUUCACCUAGUGUUUUCCUAUUGCCACCCAAUUGAGCAGAAGAUACAGUAGGCAUAAAUGCAAAUGGUGUUCUAGAAACUCCUAAGUACAGUGAUCACACCAUUAAAUAUAUAUAGCCUCUGGAAGGUCUACCAAGAAACAUUCUCACACAAGUAGGAAAUACAUUAAAACACAAAUGUAAAAAUAGACAAAUGAUAUACCUCACUUAAAGGGUUGGUAAUGAUGUCAGUGGCAAACAACAUGACAAUUUGCAGUAAAAGAUAUUCCAAGCUUUGUACUAAUGGGAAUGACACCGUUCAGGCACAAAACACCUUCUUAAGCACUAAGUACUUGGUUAAGAAACUAAUCUAUCAAGUCAAUUCUCAUUAGAUUACAGACAGACUACCUCUAUAAUUCCUGACUUACAAUUGUUACAAUUUUUGAAGCACAUGUUUCUCAUACAAAGCAAUGAUGUCUCUCUUGUUGGGAUUCCUGAACUGAAGCAGCUCAACCCCAUAAUUAUGUUUUGUGAGUUCUUCCAUAAGUUUUAGCACAAUGAAUUUUGUAUAGUCCUUUGGGUUCGUAUGUUGGCUGUUGUUGUCUUUGUUGGCCUUGAAUAUUUAAACACCAUUUUUUGACUGCGUGAACUUCAGAGGACCAGUUGUGAUCCUUGACAUCUUAUUUUCUCUUGUUAUUCUUUCAUUAACAUCCAUAUCUUGAACAGAUUCAAUAGCCAAGUCAAAGUCAUCUACUCUCAAACGUUUCCCAUGGGAAAUAGUGUUGAGCUUACUGUCCAUUGCUAUUUUAUUCAAACAAACUGAUGUUAAUUGUUGCUGAAGUAAAUCAAGUUUUCCUUGUGUGGAUUGUAGUUGAAUAGAAAGAGCUUCUAUCCUGUUGUUUGCUUAUGCACGUGCUGCACGCUCACUCUCUAGAAGGCCUUCAAGGACUUGAACUGUACAAAGUGUUAACCUUGGAUCAGAUUCAGAACAGAGGUUGGGCUUUGGUGAAUAGUUGUGUCCUUUACAACUGCAACAACAUUAAAUAACAAUCAUUCCAAUAAUGCAAGCUUUCUUCAGAAAACCAAGGUGGAAAGAAAAAGCUUGGAAAAGAAAGGAAAAAAUGAUCAAAUUCAAAAAGACUUAAAUCUCAAAAUUAGUGCUUAUUGGAGGCUACUUUACAAAGGCUUUUAACAUCAUCAAACACCAACCAGUACCUGCUUGGCAGCCAACAUACUCGUCUCUAUAUUAUGCCUUUAUUUGCUUUCUCACUAGGGGAAAAAAAACACAUACCCUUUAUCAGGUUGAAGACAAUCAUGAGGAGGGCCCACGUGGAUAUCAAUCAAUGAAAGUGUGGACCCGCAUUUUUCACGUGUGUCCCCACUCAAUCGACGAGACUCGCUUUUCUAUUUGUGAAAAAUUAAUUUUGGAAAAAGUCAGAGUCGCCACUUAUUUUAUUUUUAUUUUAAAGGGAAAAUAAAACAAGAAAGAAAAACCCUAAAAUGUGACUCCAUAAUUUUUGGAAAAAGCAUGUCUUUGAAAAACCUGAGUCUAGGUCCGGGGAUCAGGUUACUUACUGGGAAGGUACCUCUAGGAGGUAGCACCCUUCUAAGCCCUAAAGAGGUCUCUACUGACUAAGUUAAGGGAAACGUGGCAAUUAAAUGGUUGAUCACGGAUACCUAGGUAGGCUAGGUGAUUUCAAAAAAUAGCAUGCCAAAUAAGAAAGUCUGAUCUUAAGAGAGAACCAAAGUGCGUACCUGAACGGCUUCACAAGUGCUAUCAUGAAACAUAAAAGUUAGUAUAGAAAUAUAUCACAACAUGUGUUUUUGUCAAAGAUAAUCAAACAAGCAUCAAAUAUAUAUAUCAAGGCAAUCAAAUAGGAUAGCAAGCAUGGGCAUAGUACGCAAUGACAAUCAUGUUCACGGGGUUUAGAAAGUGGGUAUUAGGGAACGUACCUGGAUAGCAUAUAUAACUCAUAGCGUGCUUCCGCAUGAACAAAGAAUACAAAAUCAUCAAUUAUUACACACAUCUUAUGUACAAUUCUAAAAAAAUAGAUAUGAUUGUAACAACCAACAAAUGUGGUAGCAAAAAUAAGUUUUAAAAAGAUUUUUUUAAAUUUUUUAUGUAGGGGUUUCGCCAAUUCCCCAAUUGAUACACACAAAUCAAACCUGGAAUUAUCCCAUUUAUGUGGGACCACAAGCUUGGAUUCGUGUUUGAUUUAAAACCAAAAUUUUGGUUAAAAACUGAGAAAGAUGCAAACCGAUAAAAAAAAAUGGUUGCAUAUUAUUUUAAGAAAAUGAGAUUCUGAUUCUAAGAACUCUAAAUGAUUUUUUUUAAAAAAAAUAGAAUUUCUUAAAGGGGUCUUCGGAGAAAAAGGUUUUAAUUUUAAAAUAAAAGGAAUUAAUUUUUAAAAUAAUAAAACGUAGAAAACAAAAUACCAAUCAAAAUAGAAGCGAAAAACACAAAAUAAAGAUUUAGAAAAUCAUGUCAAUUAAAGUGGUGAGGGUAAGACCAACCUUCAUGAGUUUCCAGUGUGGCCUUCAAAAAAUAAGAAUUUAACUAACAAUCACUAAGGCACCAAAUUUAUGACUUCCUAAUCAAACAAACUAACAAAAUAUUACCCAAGACUAACAUUUAGAUUUCAAGAGACACAUGAAUUAAAAUAAAAAUAACCAAUCAAAGAUUAAAGCCAACAAACUUAGCAUAUGGAGAUAAUAAUAUGGAAUCAAUUAAGGUAAAUUAGCAUUUUAACAAAAUAUGAUAAAUCAAAGACCAAAAACCAAAGUUCAACAAUCUUGAAGGUAUGAAAACAAUGACAUGCAAUUAACUAGAGUGAUUAUCUAAAAUUCCUAAAGCUCAUACUAAGUUUCAAUAGAUCAAAGCCAAAAUUACCAUACUUAAAACAUGAAAAUAAUUACACGUGAUUGACUAAAUUAAUUAAACAAAAUUAUAAUCAACUGCAAAAUUGGAUAUAAAUGGAUUAAAUUCAAAGUUAAUGAAAUAAAAAACACACAAACACAUUCAAUACUAAAAAUAAUUAAUACUAGAUUAAAUUAAGGACAUCAUCAUCAUCUAAUAAGAUUGCCUAAACUAUCAAAUUGAAAUCACAAAUAUAUUUAAACUAAAGCAAAUAAAUAAAUUAACAAAAUAAAAUUAAACUAAGAUUGAAAUUAAAAAUAUGGAAUUUGUCUAAGAGGGUCAAUCAGACAAUUGAAUUAAAAUCAUGAAUGCAUUUAGAUUAUAAAAUAAAUUAAAAUCAAACUAAAUUGAAAUUAAAUUCUACUUAAUAAAAUUAUUGGAAUAUUAAAAACUCAAACUUUAUUUGAUACAAUCAUUUAAACUAAAGAAUUAAGAUCCACGAAUGCCUUUAAGUUAAAAAUGAAUUAAAAUUAAAGUAAUUGGAAUUAAAAACACAAACUUUAUUUAAUGUGAUUAUUUAAACUAAAAAAUGAAUUAAAAUCAAACUAAUUAGGAUCACUAACACAUUCAAAUUAAAUCAUAAACGAAAACUAAGUUAAUCUGAAAUUAAAAAAAGUAAACUUUAUCUCACAACUUAUUUAAACUAAGGAAUUGAAAUCAGUAACGCAUUCAAAUUAAAUUAUAAACUAAAACUAAAUUAAUCCGAAAAAAAAUAAACUUUAUCUCUUAAAUUGUUUAAACUAAGGAAUUAAAAUCACUAACAUAUUUAAAUUAAUAGCUAAAUUAAAAUUUAAACUAAUUUGGGAUUUUAAAAAUAUGAACUUUACCUAUCAGGAAUACUUAAACUAAUGAAUUAACAUCUGAAACACAUCUAAACAUAUAGGAUAGAUUAAAAUUGAACUAAAUUGAAAUUAAAAAUAAGAACUUUUCUAAUAUGAAUAAUUAAAUUAAAAUCACAAACAUAUGAGAUAGAUUAAAAUUGAACUAAAUUGAAAUUAAAAACAAGAACUUUUCUAAUAUGAACAAUUAAACUAACAAAUUAAAAUCAUGAGCAUAUGGGAUAUAUUAAAAUUGAACUAAAUUGAAAUUAAAAAUAAGAACUUUUCUAAUAUGAACAAUUAAACUAACGAAUUAAAACGACAAACACUAAACAUAAAAGGUAGAUUAACAGUGAACUAAAUCAAAAUUAAAAAUAAGGACUUUUAUAAUAGAAACAGUUAAAUUAAAGAAAACUACAAACACAUCUAAACAUAAAAGAUAAAUUAAAACUAAAUUGAAUUGGAAUAAAAAAAAAAGGAACUUUAUCUAAUGGGAUAAAUUAAACUAAAGAAUUAAAACCACAAACAUAUCCAAACUAAAAAAAAAAAAAAUUAAAACUCAUUCGAAAUUAAAACAAGAAAUUUAUUAUAUAGGAUUAAUUAAAUCAAAGAACUAAAGUCAUUAAAACACUCAAGACUAAAAAGGAUGAAUCAAAAUGAAAUCCAAAUAAAUUUGAAAGCGUACACUUACCUAUAAAUCGUUAUUUAUGGAGAUUUUGUGGGCUGUUCCUCUCUUUUUUAUGGUUAUGUGUCAGCUCCUCAAAGUUCUUUGCGCGUCCUCUCAAAAGAAUUGCUCUUGUGUUCUUUCUGCCUGAAGUCCCUUGCUCUCCUCCAAAGUUCCGCAUGAAAAUUAUUUCCGCCUAUUCCCCUCCGAAAAAGGUUCCCAUAUGCUCGGAUUCUCUCCUUUAUUUAUAAGGCAACCCACUCCUUAUGGAAUAUCUUAUUUCCAUUUUUUCCUAUGUGCGCGUGGAUAUGAGAAGCCCAUUAUGUGUGGCUCACUUGGAGAUUUCCCCAAGGAUGCAGUCGUAUCUUGUUUGGUAAGUGAUCAGAUCCCCUUUAAUCUUCUUUCCAUAUGCUCUCGGAUGUGCCUCAACCGUGAUCUGCCCACUUUCUAUAUGCAGCCUGAAUUCUUUCUUCAAACAAAUCAUAUGCAGCCCAGAUUCCUUCUUAAAGUCGUGAUCUGCCCAUUUUCUAUAUGCAACCCGGAUUCCUUCCAAGUUUCCCUAUUUGGUCGUGAUCUCCUCUCCUUGAUGGCUUCAAGUCUCAUGCAAAGUAAAAAUAAAGUUGAAAUAAGAAAUCAUGUAAUUGGAAAUGGAAUAAAAUAAAAUAGAAAAUUAAAGCAUAUAACCACAAAAAUCCAAAAUGUCAAUUCAUGGAAUUAAAGAAUAAAUGAAUAAGUGAGUAAAUAAACAAAUAAAUUGAUAAGGGUAUAAAAAUAAAUAUCAGACGUAUGCAAUUAGAAAAAAUCAGGAAAUUAAAGUAAUGCAACGGAUUAUAAUAAUUUAAUGUCAAACUCAAACCCUCAAAAAUAAAAAAUAAAAUUCAUUUCAUGCAAUAAAUAGUCAAGCCAAUACUCAUCCUAUCUCAGAAAAGAAAGUAACCAAAAUCAAGAACACGCCUAAGUGGGCUAUGCCAAAAGAAGUGUCCAAGUGACCUAUUCUGAAAUAUUGUCUAAGUAACCUAGGGUGAAUGUGUGCAAGCUAGAAGGUGUCAAGUGCAUCUAAAUGGGCCUAAGGUGAUGCCUAAUGGGCCAAGUGUAUCUAAAUGGGUCUAGGGUGUCUAAGUGGGCCUAAGUUUAAAUUAGGGCUGCCAAAAGUCACAACGGGGUUAGAUAAAUCCCUCAACCAAAGUCUCCGAGGUGGCUCAAAAAAGGUAAGUAGUAUGAGUAGCUAUGGGCUACCAAGGAACUACUGUACAGUAUCGAACAAGUAUCUAAUAGGACAUGUGAUAGGAGGACAAAAUUGAGGGUCUACAGGAAGGUUAUUAUCAUUUGAUUUGAGGAAUGAGUAGGCAAUUUUUUCAAAAGCAUUUGAAAUCCUUCAAGAUAAGUAGCCUUGUACACACUUGUACAGUUAGCACAUUUGCAUUGUACACUUAAUGUAAAUGCCUUGUACAAUCACCAAAUCCCACAUAGGUACAUAUUUUCAAGUGAAUAUGGGUGGGUAACCAAUGUUUCCAUUAUCAUGGAUUAGGGAAAAUGAGAAAAAAGUUUACCCGAAUUUUGGUUCAUAUUCAUCAUUACUAGGGAAGCUAAUAGAAUGAAUUAACAUGGUAGACUUCAAAUAAAAUGCAUGCAAUGAGUGUGUUAUCAAACAAUAUGUUUGAGGAAUGUUCCCCACGAUUGAAAAAGUAAGAUAGACACCCUUGUACAUUUAGUACAUUGGCCUUGUACACUUAGUGUAAAUGCCUUGUACAGUUGCAGAAAUUCGACCUAGAUACAAUAGAACUAGUGCAUAUGGGCGAGUUAACCACGUUCCAAUGUCAUGGCUCACUGAAAAAGGGGAAAAUGACACCCAAUUUAGGUUCCUAUUCAUCAUAAGUGCGUUAUCUCAUCCAAUAAAUGUGUACAAAGAGAAAUGAGGAAUGUCUAUGAGGAAUGUCCCCCUUAGAAAAAAUAAAUGAGCAAGCAAUUUUUUCAAAAGCAUUUGAAAUCCUUCAACAUAGGUAGCAUUGUACACAGUUGUAUAGUUAGCACAUUUGCAUUGUACACUUAGUGUAAAUUCCUUGUACAGUCACGAAAUCCCACAUAGGUACAACCGAACAAGUGCAUAUGGGUGGGUAAAUGUUUCCAUUCUCAUGGAUUAGGGAAAAUGAACAAAAAAUUUACCCUAAUUUCGGUUCAUAUUCAUCAUUAUUAGGGAAGCUAAUAGAAUGAAUUAACAUGGUAGACAUCAAAUAAAAUGCAUGCAAUGAGUGUGUUGUCAAGCAAUAUGUGCGAGGAAUGUCCCCCACGAUUGGAAAUAGUAAGAUAGAAAGUUCUUCAAAAUCACUUGAAAUCUCAUAAGAUAGACACCCUUGUACAUUUAGUACAUUGGCCUUGUACACUUGGUGUAAAUGCCUUGUACAGUUGCAGAAAUUCGACCUAGUUAGAACAGAACUAGUGCAUAUGGGCGGGUUAACCACAUUCUAGUGUCAUGGCUCAGUUAAAAGGGGGAAAAUGAAACCCAAUUUAGGUUCAUAUUCAUCAUAAGUGCGCUAUCUCAUCCAAUGAAUGUGUACGAAGGGAAAUGAGGAAUGACUAUGAGGAAUGUCCCCCUUAGAAAAAAUAAAUGAGCAAGCAAUUUAUUCAAAACCAUUUGAAAUCCUUCCAGAUAAGUAGCAUUGUACACAGUUGUAUAGUUAGCACAUUUGCAUUGUACACUUAGUGUAAAUGUCUUAUACAAUGGCAAAAAUUUGACAUACCUACAACUAAAAGCGUGCAUAUGGGUGAGCUACCAUGUUCCAAUGUGAUGCCUAAGGGAAAAGGGGCCGGGAAGUGAAACCCAAUAUAGGUUCCUAUUCAUCAUUACUGUGAUUGGUCAUCCAAUGAACAUGUAUGAAGUAAUAAAAUUGAAUGGGAUGAGUGUGUGAUCAAAGAAUGUGUGUGAGGGAAUGUUCCUCAUCCUUUCAAAAUGGAAAUGAUUUUAAAACGAUUGCAAAUACUUCAACAUAGGAACCUUUGUACACCCUUGUACAUUAAGCACAUGUACCCUGUACACUUAGUGUAAAUGUCUUGUACAUAGACAAAAAUUCCAUACAACCACUACUGAAUGUCUGCUCAUGCAUAGGUUAAUCAUGUUUGCAAUCUUUUGGUUCACAAAAUAAGGAAAAACUUAAGUAUCAAAUUGUUCCCUAACUACUACUCAUCAUAUUAAUAAUCUUCUACUCAAACAUAAAGGAGUUUCAAUCAUAUAAUUACUAGGGUUGUGCUUUGGAUCAUAGCAAAAUAAUUUUCACAAAUAUGAAUGUCACAAUUCAUCCCUAAACAUAAUAAAAACACACUGAAUCCUCCAUCAACCUAGCUUCGAAUUCUAGAAAAUAUACUUACCCCACAAUAGGGCAUAUACCCUAUUUAGCAUAUUUCCAUCUUCACAGGAGGUUGUUGGGCCACUGCCAUCAUCACGACUACAGUUGUGGCCGCUUUAUAUCUUCAUCGGAGUUCUUCAUUUUCUCCGUUUCGUCGGGUGGACCAACUUCUCUACUUUCGAAAUAUGUUUGAUCUAAAGGAUAUCUAUUCUGGAUGAAUUGCAUCAUCAUUGGACAAUCUUUUUCCUUAAAGCUCACCGUCUGGACGAUACCCAUUUAUUCUCUCUGGACGAUAAACCCAUUUUUGAGGAGAUAUUUUCCAUAAGAUUCACUGUAAGUUUCUUGAAUUUACUUAUGUUGUGCUACAUUCCUAUGAGCCAAGAUGGAUAUGAUCAAAACCUCAUUUAUCCCCCACCCUACAUUUAAAAACGCUCUGUUAUUAAGUUCAAAAUUUUUUUAAACACCCCAACACGAGAUCAAAACAACUGCCUUUCCUAAGAACUUGUACUGACCCAUGAAACAAACAUCGAACACAUCAUCAAAGGAACCAACUUGAUCAAAUCAAAAUGUCAGAAAUUAAUUCAGACCCACAUCAUAAAACAAACAUUGGAUUUGGGAAUGAUGAUAAUAAAAUACCUACAAACGCUUUUUUGAAAUGCUCACAAUCCUCGGCUGCUGAAAAAAGCGAUUGGGGGACAGUCACAGUUGGCGUCGUUUGUGCAUAUGCUAUUUACGGAGGGAGAGAAAAGGGUAGGAAGGCUUUUCUGAAAUACUCACAAUCCUUGGCUGCUGAAGAAAGCGAUUGGGGGACAGUCACAGUCAGCAUCAUUUGUGCGUAUGCUGUUUGCGGGGGGAGAGAAAGGGGUAGGAAGGUGGUCACCCUUACAGCUUUAUUUCAGAAUUUUCAGUUUGGUGACAUGGCAUUUCAAGUUUACACCCAUUAAUUUACAACCAUUUGAGUUGGAAAUGUAAAGGGCAUUUUCGUCUGUUAACAUCUGAUAUCCUUAUCAUUAAUUAGGUAAGUUACAUGGAUCAGAACUUAAUUUUUGGGCCCAACUGGGCCAAAACACAAUUCUCCCAAUUUUUAAAGGUGAGUUCCUUAUUUAAUAAGAGAAGUAAGUGUCUCCCUCUAAUAGAGUUUAUAAUACUCUUUGACUUUUUAUUAUAGAAAUAUGAAUAAUUUAAUCAUAAAACAAAAGCAAGUGUGAAAAUUAUAGUAAUUCCUAUAUAAAAUGUAGGAGCUCUUAUAAAUUUAUCUUCAAAAAAUAAUAAUUUUCAAAAAUUAAGUUUUUGUACAGAAUCAAGUAUUUUAAAUUUUUUUUUACUAUCUCAUAAAGUAAUUUUUAAGAAUAUAAAAUUUAUAUUCCAUGCAAGUUAUGAUAUUUCAUAUAGAUAUUACUAUUAUUUUCCUUUUUAAACAUAUACAUUAAAAUAGAGGGAAACAUGAUAUCCACAUUUUUCAUGAAAAAUUAAAGAAAUUAGGAGCCAUGACAUCUAUGUACACAACCACUCUCCCUAUUGCUUUUUUUUUUUUUAAGAAUAAAAUAUGACACUAAUUUUUGUUAAUAGUUUUAACCAUAGCAUGGGAAAUUGUAUUAUUUAAUGAAGAUUUAAUCACUUUACCUAAAUAAUAUACUUUUAUCUUGAUGAGGUAUUGUUUACCAUAAAUUUUUAAAGGAUGUUGUAUGAUAAGCAUAACCUAAAAUAAUACCAAACAUUUUUCACUUAAACUAAUUCAACAUUUAUAACUUCAUUACUUAUAAUUUAGAAUAAUGGUUUUUUUAGUGCUUAAUUUUCAAUUUUAUCAAACACCAUUAAGUUGAAUUGGAUAAAUAAAAUUAUGAUGUAUUUGCACUUAUUAUAAGAAAAGAAAUAUAUUAAAAAAAAUUGGUUAAAUAGGUUGAGUAACAAAACUUGAAUAUGACUAAGCCCUAUAAACAUUCCUUGCAAGUCAAGUAUUAAAAUGUAGUCAUAUUAGUAUAUUUUAUUUAAAUUCCUUUUAUUUUUUGACAAAUUUUCCCUUCUUUUAGUGAUAUGAAAUAGGUGAGACAAAAAUAAUAAGAAGAAGAUAAAGAUGACCCUAUAAAUACUUUAAAACAAGUGUAUAAAAAUGUCCAUCAAACAAAAUAAUGUUUGGAUUUAACAAAAUAAUUUUUACGGUUUAGGUUUAAGAGAUUUUAAACUAGAGUUGUCAAAGAUAGGAUUUAAUGAUACUAGUUGAGAUUAUGGUAAUAUUUUUUAAUAGUACUUGGAUUAUGAUCGACUACAUUUGUAAUUAAAAAUUGAAUAUAUCUCUUUUCAUAAGAGACUAUGAAAUAAUUUGAAACAUAAUUAAAACACAAUAAAAAAAUUUAAGCUACUUUGGUUACCAUGCAUAUGAUCUUAAUAGAUAAAUGAGGAUAAUUUAUCAAUGAGCCAAAGUCAUUCUUGAAAGUACUUGUGAAUAAUUUCAAAUAAAUAAAAUUAUCCAUGCUUAAAAACAUACAAAUUAAAAUCAACAAUUCAAAUUAUCCAUGUUUAAAAACAUACAAAUUAAAUUCCACAAUCCAAACAAAGAGUCCUUUAUGGUAUUCUCAUUCUGGUUCAAUAUUGCAUCUUUGCCACCACUUUCAAUUCGACCAAUAGUUAGUCAUGUUUCCAUCAGCAUCCUGACCAAUGAUUAGUCAUGGUUCGUAUAUCAUAAUGUCAUCUUUAAAAAUAAAGGUAAGUAAGAGUAAAAUAAAUAUUAAUUCAUGCUUAUAAUAUAAUUAAUACAAUUUGAAAGACGUGUGAUAAUUGUUUGGCCUACCAAUUCAACAAAAUUUUAAUUAAUUCAAACAAAAAUUUUGGCCUACCAAAAUAGCUAUUGUAAUAUGAUCUUUCUUUUUAAAUUCAAUAAUUCAUUCCAAAGAUAAAGUUUUGAUGGGGUCCUAAGAUAUUUAUUAUAGAAAAUAAAGGAGUUUUAACCUUAGAUUGACCUAAAAAUAUGGGAUCUCCAAAUUUCACAAAUUUUUUGGAUAAUUAAAAACAAAUAAAUUAAAAUAAAAGCAAAAAAAAAAAAAAAAAAAAAAAAAACACCUAUUUGAAUGACUUGAGCAUAUCAAACUUCAUAUUCUUCCAAACAUGUAAUCAUAUUAAAAAUUGUCAAGACAUUUUUUUCACUAAUUCUGGUAAAUAUUUUAACAUUCAAUAAAACCAAAGACGAAAGAAGACACAUACCUUGUUAAGUAGAGUUCAAAACUAGAGAUGUCUUCAUUUUUUUCUGAUUUGAUUUCUCAGCAUAAGAACCUUUUUAUUUUAUUGUAAUGACUAAAUAAAAAAUAUAGAAUCUCACAAUUUUUAGUAUAUUGUAAUGACUAAAUAAAAUAAAAAAAUAUAAAUAUAAAUUACGAAGUAUAUAAGUUACAUAUUUUAAACACUCUUUUAUGAGAAAACCAAAAGAUAUGACCUCAAAGGAGUGAUGGAGUCAGAUGUGUAGGGGGCAAAGCAAAAAAUAAAAAAUAAAAAUCAUGAAUUAUAAUAAACAUACAAAAAAUUUUGUAUUUCAUAAUCAUUUUUUAAAAAAAGUUAUUAUUGAUAUUAGUUAUGAAACAAAAAAUAUAAAAUAAACGAAUGGAACAAAAAAAAAAUAGAUAGAGAAAAGUUUUGAAUAUUAAUAUUAGUUAUGAAAGAAAAAAACUAUAAACUAUGAAAUGAAAAAAAAAAUGAUAACUUUUUAAAUUUUAUUUAAAAAUUAACAAAAUUUCAAACAAUAUUUUCAAAGGAAUUUUUUUUAAAAAUAGCUAGAAUUGUGAUCAUAAAUUUUUAAGAAUUUCACCUUUUUUAACAAAACUUUAAAAAUUGAAUAAUUUUACUAAUAAAUUUUAAGAUCUUUUUUAAAUAAUUAAAUUGAUAAAAUUUUAUUUAAAAUUUGUUUCUAACAAUAAUGUAGCACCAUCAUUAUCAAUAGGAAAUUAGUUACGGCAUGAAUAAACCUACAAACUUAGGCAUUUUAAAAAUCUUAGAGUCAACCAAAACAACCAACCACUAAGAAAAUUAUUUAACAAAAUAUAAAUUAUUUAAAUAAAAUAAAAUUUUAUCAACGAUUAAGUAGCAUAUAAUCUAAAUAAUCUAUCUAGUAUUUUUUUUUUCUCUCAUACAAAAUGAUUUUUUUAUUCUCAUAUAAAAUCAUUCUCUUAGGAGCUGAUCAAAGCUUGUACUUUUGAUUUUGAUUUUUUAAAAUUCCUAAAUAAAUAAAAGGAUAUUUUGCCCCAAGCCCACCGUGCUCCGUCACUAGCCCUAUGUCAUGCUCUUACCUUUUAGGUCGUUUAUAGAUGGAUCCUACACUUUCUCACAUUAAGUAGACCAAAGGGAUAGCAAAAUAAUUACUAAAUUAUAGGCGUUUCACGAAGUUUUUCUAAACCAAAAAAUAUAUAAUUUUACGUGAGAAUAUUCACCUUCCAUUUUGCCCUCUAAAUUGCAUGACUUCCUUUUAAAUUCAAUAAUCUUCCAAAUAUAGUACCUAAAUAAGUUCCAAAAUAUUUUUUUAGAGAAAAAAAGAAAAGAAAAAAAAAAAAGAGUUUUAACGUUAAGACCGACCCAAGGGAUCUCAAAACUUCCUAAAAUUUUGGGAUAAUUAAGGACACAUGAUUAAAAUAAAAUCAUGAAAAGAAAAUAACAAAAUAUAUAUAUAUAUACCUGUCACUAAGAUAUGAUUUUAAAAGUUAUCUAGAUAUUUCUUUUUUCACUAAUUCCAUCUAAUAAAUAUAUUAACCACCGGUGAAUAAAAAAGAGAGAAGACAUACCUUGCUAGGGUUUAAAUAAAGCUUUGAUCUUUAGGAAACUAGAGAAUCUUUAAUUUCUUGGCUGGGUGAUCUUCGCUAUCACCAAGGCUUCCUCUUGAUGGCUGAGGCCAAUGGAUCUGAUCUUGGGCGUACCAGAAAUGCAUCCCACAACCUUUUCACUUUAAAGCAUGCGUUAUCGCCACACUUAAAAGAGCCAACACCGAUUGGAGUGUGGAAGUGAGCCUUAAAGUUGUUCCACCUUCUGGAUCGAUACUCACAUGGAAUGUUAAUCUGAGGGAAAUACGUGACCCAAAUUGCUGGAUCUGAUGUGCUACCACUGUCGUAGCAGCAUUUAGAAUAAAAGCUUAUCUUCUCCAGUUGUUGAGAGUGAUCCCCAUGGGAUAUCGUCCAUUCAUAAUGUGGAAGACUACCUUCUGCUAUCUCACAUUCAUCAUCAUCAAGGGGAACAUGAUGGAAGAAUAGAGCAAAUCCCAAGAAGUUGUUAUCUUCAUACCAAUUCAUUGGGAGCUCUAUUCCUACUUCACAUCCCAUUCUUUGAUGGCGUACCCACUCUGGUAUUCCAUUCCUUCCUGGAACGACAAAUCUCCAAUCCUGAAGAAAUUUCGGCCGCACAAAAAUUUGUCAUGUAAAUCUCAUGUUUUUUUAAAAAAGAAAAAAGAAAAAAGAAAAAAUAAUUAUGCCAUGAAACUGCUAACUGAAUUGGUGAUUUGAAGCAUUUGAGCAGAGAAGACCAAAGUAGACUUGAGAAAGUUUCAGUUUCCAGGCAUGGACAACCAUGUGCACGUAUCCAUCCUAGACUUGAUGGAAGCUCUCCAAUUUCUUCAAGCAUCGGACAGUGAUUCACGAAAAGGGUAAAGAGCCGAGAAAGUUGAAUGAUGCCAACAGGUACGCAACGAAUAUGGUUUCCGCUUAGGUUUAAAAAUUUCAGUGAGGAUAGGCACCAUAAAUCACUGGGGAUUUCUCCUUCCAUCAGAUUGCAGCCACCUAGAUCUAGAUCUCUUAAGCAACAAUGCAGGCUUCUCAAAUUGUUGGGAAAAUUGCGGAGCUUGGAACAGUUAGAAACACAAAGACGAACAAGACAUGUCAAAUUACCAAUGCUGUUGGGAAGACUCACAAGCUUCUCACAUUUGUUCAAUUGCAAAUGCCAAAGUCCUCUUAAAUGUUCAAUUGAAGAUGGAAGCUCUGAUAUAUCUGUUCCACAUAAAUUAAGUUCUUCCAAAUGUUCCAUAUCCUCCAUAAUCUCCGGAAAAGCCUCUACACUUGAACAACUAUCGAGACCAAGGGUUUUGAGGGAUUUCAACCCACAAAUUGUGUUUGGAAGACUCCUCAAGUUUCUGCACUCUUCCAAAUUUAAGGUACUAAGCCUGGUGAGAUGACCUAUUGUGUUUGGAAGACUCCUCAAGUUUCUACAGUUUUUCAAACAUAAGUAAUCAAGUUGGGUGAGAUGACUUAUUGAGCAAGGUAAUCCUUUAAUAGCAACACCGUCUAGAAAGAGAUAGCGUAGACUCCCCAUACUGUUUUGGAUCUCAGGAAACUUUCAAAAUUUAAGCAACCACUGAGAGAAAGAGUAUUAAGGGCCUCUAAGCACCCAAAUGCUGUUAGGGAGUUCCUUAAUAGCUAUAUUGUCUAAAGAAAGUCUCUUCAAGUAUUUCUUUUUCCAUUGAAUCUCUGGGAAUUUCUGAAAGUUUGAGCAAUCUGAGAGUCCAAGAGUUUUAAGAGAUUCCAAAUAACCAACACUGUCUGGGAGUUCUUUAAUACCACUCCUAUAUAAAUGAAGCUCCCUUAAAAGUCUCAUAUUGGUAAAUACAUCUGAAAAUUUCUCAAACUUUGAACAUUCUCUAAGAGAAAGAAUUUCGAGAGAAGUCAAGGACCCAAUGCUAUUUGGGAGUUCCUUAAUAGCAGUCCAAUCUAAAGAAAGCUUCUUCAAACAUUUCAUAUUCCCUCUUAUCUCUGGAAAUUUCUCAAAUUUUGAGCAAUAUGAGAGAUCAAGAAUUUCAAGACAUUCCAAAUACCCAAUGCUACUUGGGAGUUCUUUAAUAACACUCACACAUAAAUAAAGCUCCCUUAAAUGUUCCAUAUAGGUAAAUAUAUCUGGAAAUUUCUCAAUCUUUGAACAUCCUUUUAAAUGAAGCUCCCUCAAAAAUUUCAUAUUCUCAUGGAUCUCAGGAAAUUUCUCCAAGUUUGAACAAUUUGAGAGAUUAAGGACUUCAAGAGAUGCUAAAUACACAAUGCUACUUGGUAGUUCUUUAAUCCCAAUCUUGUUUAAAUAAAGCUCCUUCAAAAGUUCCAUGUUUCCAUGGAUUACCGAAAACUUCUUCAAGUUUUGACAUUGAUUAAGAUAAAGAACUUAAAGAGAUUCAAACUUCUUGCUAGUUGGGAAACUUUGGAGCUGUUCACAUCUUCCCAAAUUCAAGUAAGUCAAUCUUUUCAGAUUGCCAAUAGAUGAAUGAAGUUUACUCAAACUUGUACAACCUUCAAGAUUCAAUCUCUCCAAAUUUGGCAUGCUUGAGAAUUUUGGCAUUUUGACAAGCUAUUUUGAGUUACUUAGAUCAAUGCCUUUUAAUUCUCCAAGACACUGUAACAGAAGAUAUUCUUUUAAUAAAAAAAAUUCUUCAACUUGAAAAUUAUUAUAAAGAGAAAAAACAUUAAAUAAUGAUCAUACCUUAUUCCCUUUCCAAAGUUGUUUUAUGUUACUAGACUUCAAGUUGAUAUCAAUAAGGCACUCUCCAUAAAAGUUAGAAGGUAAAGACCUCAAAGUGCAUCUUUGCCAAUGAAGAUAUCUCAAAUUAUGAGGAAAUUCGAAGUCUUUAGGAAGAAGCACUUUAUACUCCUCUCUAGUCAAACCAUCAUGAUCAUUGCAAUAGAUUUUAAGCAACCUAAGUUUUUUCAUCUUGGCAAACACUUUUGUACUUAACUGUAUUUCUUUUAAUUUAGACAAGUCUAAAGAUAUGGUUUGAAUAUUAUUCAUCACCUAGAAAAAAAUAAUGAAAAAUAAGGGAACAACACAAGAUAAAAAUCCUAACUACAAUUAUACAGACAAUUAACUACUAAAAAAUUAUUAUAAAUAUUUAAAUAACUAUACUUAGGCAUUUAAUUCAUACCUCUUGUCUAGAAAAUGCUUCAUAAAUAUCAUCUACAUCCCACAAUCUACUCCAUUUGCAGGGUUUUCCAGGACAUUCUUCACGAACAAUUGGCCAACCCAUUUCUUGUAUCAAGUCAUGCAUUUGUAUGACGUUGUCUAGGAUAGUUACUAGACAUCUAUCACAGAGAUCUUUUAUGUUGAUUUCUGGAUAUAACUCGCAACCAUCUAAUGUUCUUGAUAAGAAAUCUUUGCAGUCACCUUUGAAAAAACACGCAAUGUCCAAGAAAACCUCCUUUUGAGAGUGAUCAAGCCCAUCAUAACUUAUUCUAAGCACAUCAUUAAUUUCCUUCUUAGGGUUUUUUUUUCAAUUUAACCAAUGCGCUUUUCCAUUCUUCUAUUGUCAUGCCUUGAAGAGAAGAACCUAGAACUUUAAGGGCCAAAGGGAGACCUUGAGCAUAAUGUCCCAUGCGAUUUGAGAGGUCCACAUAAUCUUCUUUAGGACCAUUUUGUUUAAAGGCAUGUUGGCUGAAGAGUUGAAGAGCUUCCUCAUAAUGUAAUUCUAUAACCUUAUAUGAUAUAUUCACUCUAUACUCAACCAAUAGAUGUUGGUCUCUAGUUGUAAUGAUAAUUGUACUUCUUGGACCAAACCAUUUAGGACUUCCAGCCACUGACUCUAAUUGCUGCAACUGAUCCACAUCAUCAAUUACAAUAAGAAUCUUUUUUGAGCUAAGUCUGGCCUUUAUUAUGUUGAUUCCUUUAUUGAUAUUGCUAAACUCUACAUCAUUCCCCACUGUAUCAUGAAGAAGUUGUUGUUGUAGUUGAAGUUGACAACCCUUGUUGAAUGUCUCUCUAACAUCUUGAAGAAAGCUAGCACCAAUGAAUUGAUAUUGGAUCUCAUUAUAAACAAUCUUGGCAAUGGUAGUUUUACCAAUUCCACCAGGUCCAUAGAUCCCAACCACACGAAUGUCAUUCAAGUCACUACUUAACAAUGAUUUUAGUUCUUUUAGGCGAAAAUCCAUCUCAACUACAUAAUCAUUACUGUGCAAAAGCUUAGAAUUCAUUGAUCUUUUAAAAAUCUGGUGAACAAUUUCCUUAAUAUGCUUUGACUCAUACCUGCCAAUUAUAAAGUACAAUUUAACACUUCAUGAGUCAUAAUGAAUUGCAAGAGAUAACAAAUAUUAAGUAAAUUUAGUGAUAUUUACUUGAUUUUGUCAAUAUAACCAAAGUAAUAGGAUGUAAAAAGUAUUAGAAGCUAAGAACCCAAUAUAUUGAGCAUUUUACGGAUAAUAAGAAGGCAACAAGUUUUGAGCCAAGUAUUAAUAAGAUCACAAAGUAAGCUUUACUAUUCAAAAUUAUUAACUUGUUAAGUCAUGAUUUAAGACAACUAAAUCCUUACAACUUAAUUAAAUCAAAAGCACAAAUUAAGGAAGUUGAAGUUACCCAUCAUUCACAUGGAAACCACUUAGAUUGCUUGCUUCAUUCAAGGAAUCCCUCCACCUUUGCACUUUUUUCGCAUCUACGUUUCUUUCAUGAAUGAAAAAUGCCUCUCCGAAGCUCCCUGUUUGCUUUCGCACAUCAGAAGGAUCCACGUGGGAGAACACCGGAAAGACUAUUUGUUCCAUUUCUUCCCUGCACUCCAUGAUCUUCGCUAACUCAUCCAAACACCACUUCGAUUGAGCAUAGUUUUUUGAGAACACAACUAUGGAAAUUCUUGAUUCUUCAAUAGUUUUCAAAAGUUCUGAUUUGAUCUCCUCUCCUCUUUCAAGUUAGUCGUCUCUGAAAGUCUUAAUCCCCAUCCCAUGCAAAUUUACGAAUAAAUGAUCCGUAAAAUUGUUGCAGGUGUCUUCACCUCUAAAACUCAAGAACACUUCGAACUCAUAUUUACGGACUGAGGUAGAAGAAGAGGAGGGUUUUUGGGUAGAGGAAGCCAUUGUUGGACAGUUUCUGGAUGAAAGUUUAGAGAGAGUUGAGGAUUAACUCGUGCUUAGUCAAUACUUGAAAUGCCCACAUAUGAAGCCAUUGUAUGAAACAAAACUUUAUUUUUAUUUUUUAUUUGGGGUGGUGGGGGUGGGAUGGGGGUUGGAUUGUAAAAAAGCAAACAUCGAUUCUGCAAUACAUGCAAGCAGGUGAUCGGUGGCUUUUAAAAAAAAUAUAAAGGACCACCCACCACAAAACCCGUCAAAGCCUUAAAUUAAAAUUUCAUUUUUCGGUAUUAUGGCCAUUGGCACUUUCCUUUGACCAUAUGAAAGCAAAACUUCCAUGGGCAAUUUAAUAUAUAGUUUAUUCCUCCCUCCUAAAUUUUAAUUUAAAUUCAAUUAAUUUAUUUUUCAUAUUCUAUUUAAUAUAUUAUUAAAAAUAUCAUAAUAAUCUUAUCAAUGAGUCUUUAUUAAAAAUAAAUAAACUUGGAUAUAAAAUUGUUAACAUUUUUAAACAUAAAAAUAUAUACAUAUAUCAUUAUUUCUUUUAUAUUUUAAAUAAAAAUCAUAUGCUUGAUUACUUAAAAAAUAAAAUUUUAAUAAAUUAAUUAAUUUAAUUGUCUUAUUAUUAAAUUUUAUUUAAAUUUGAAAUUUCCAUCUUAUGCAAAUUUCAUAAAUUUGAAAGCACAUCAUAUUAAAUUUUCCAAAAUUAAAUUAUAUUGUAUGGACUUAGAAAUCUUUCAGGAACUUUAAAAAUAUUAAAGCCAUUAUAAAUUUUAUUUUAUUCAAGUUUUAAAAAUAAAAUCGUUAUAGGUUUUAUUUUAUUUGAGUAUAUUAAAUCACUUUUUAAAUACAUUUUAAAAUGAAAAAGUCUGUUUUGUUUGAAGUUCUUAAUUAAUUUAUUAGAGAAACAUUAAAAUUAAAAAUUGUCUAUUUUUUAUUUUAAAAUAUAUUGGUUUCAUUCAAAAUUUUAAAACCAUUUCUUGGUAAAAAGAACAAAAAUAUAAAAAUGAAUAAAUUAAUUUAUUAUUUUAAAAUUAUUUAAUUGAAAUUAUUUUUUAAGAUAAAAUUCAAGAUUGAUAGAAAUAACUAUUCAAUUCGUUAUUCAAUUUAAUAUAAAAUAGUACAUUCUCAAAAUUUUAUUAUUUAAUUAUAAAUGAUAAACUUUUGCAGGUCAAUACUUGAUAUGCCUAAAGAGCAUCCAUCUUUGAUUCUUUGGGUGCUUAUGUGAAACAAAACCACUUUGGUUUGGUCAUUGAAGUGGCUCAAGGUACAUCGGCAGAAAAAAAAUUUUAACUAAAACAAUAUUUAUUAUUUACUUAUAUAACUAAUAUUUAUUUAAAAUUAAAUAUUCAUCCUUUUAUGAGAUGUACCAAGAGUCAUUUAUUCACAACAAUAAAAGGGAGGUGUGUGGCUUUCAAAAGAAUAUGAGGAAUGACCCACCCACCACAAAAUUCAAAAUCAUUUUUGUUUUCUAGCAUUUGCAUUUUAUUUACAAUAGUAAAAGAGAAAUGAGUGGGAAGUUGAGUGGCCUCCAAAAGAAUAUAAGAAAGAAUUCACUCACCACAAAAUUCAAAACCACCAUUGUUUCCUAGCAUUUGCAUUUGGUUCACAAUGGUGAAAAAGUAAUGGGUGAGAAGUGGUUUUAUUUAAAAGAAUAUAAGGACCCAUCCACCACAAAAAUUCAAAAGCACCUUCGUUUCCUAUCAUUUACAUACCAAACAAUUUUAUCUUUUUCUCUUCAUUCCUUUUCACUGUCCAAUGGUAGAUUGGUUCAUCUGAACCCAUCAUGAUGAACAAUUGGUAAUCUACCAUUGUUAUAGGGAAGGUUGAAGGUAAUGCUUGAGUCAUUUCUUCACUUGAAAAAAAAAAAAGAGAGAGAAUUGAGUUGGAUUUUUCUCAUCUUGGAAAAUUCCGAGAUCCUUAGUGGGUAGAAAACAAGACUUCAUAAAAAAAUAAAAAAAAUAAAUAAAUAAAUAAAAAAAAUUCCUUUGUGCAUUUUUUCCUUGGCUUUUUUCCUUUGUGCAUUUUUUAUGUGACUUGGUGAAAAAUUAUUAUUUAUUUUGAGUUAUAUUAUAUUGAGUUACCAUUUGAUAGGUUGCACUAGUUUUUAGUAAGCAAGUUUUUCAUGGUAUUUGUUUGUUGGUGUUACAAGUUCUUGAUCAUAUUAUUAAUAUUAUUUUAUCAUAAAUUAUUUUGAAUAUAAAUAUAAAUAAGAUGGUAGCUUAAUCAAUUUCUUAGGUUGUAAGAUAAAGAUAAUAAUACCACAAUUCUCAUCAUAAAAAAUGUUGAAAAAAUAAAAUCUGAAAAAUGAGAAUGGUCCAACCUUGUUGUUUCCACAUCUCUACCUAUCAAUAAAUUAAACUGAAAAUAAGUACAUAUGUAAUAAAACAAAUGAAAAGAAAUAUCUCUUAUUCAUAUUUACAAUUGUAGACCCUUUUUUUUUUUUAAAACCAAAGUUUUUUUUCUUCUUCUUUUUUUAUUUUUUACCACCCGGAAGGAGUUGAAGGGCAUUUCAUUUGAAGUGGGGGACAUCUUCCAUGAAGCUCCAUGCAUGGACAUGUGGCAAACAUCACCAUCUCGCCAUGGUGGUGGUUGAAGAUGGUGACUAUGGACCCCGCAUUUCGCUCAAUGCGUUCCCACUCGAUGGCGAAACUCGCUUUUUAUUUUAAAAAAUUGAUUUUUACUGUUUGAAAAAUGACUUGGAGUCGCCACUUAUUUUUAUUUUUAUUUUUAAAGGGUAAACAAAAUAAGAAAGAAAACCCUAAGUGUGACUCCUUAUUUUGGAAAAGGUGGUCUACGAAAAACCGAAUCGGGUUCGGGGGUCAGGUUACUUAUCGGGAAGGUACGGUAAAGACCGUAGCACCCCUCUAAGUCCCUAAAAAUGGGUCUCUACUAAUAAAAUGAAGCAAUCAUGACAAUUGAUUAAUCGAGCAUGGAUACCAAAUGAAUAUAACUCAAAACAAAAUAACUAAAUGAACAGAAGAGGCAAAGAAUGUCCCUGAAGUGAUGAACCAGUUUAGUUCAAGGGAAAACAAAUGUUAGCAAUCAAACACAAAAUAAUAGCAUGCAUGCCAUAGUGUGGAAUAAAUCAAUCAUGCAUAGCUAUCAACCAAUCAACCAAUCAAGGAAUUAGAAAAUCACAUAUGUCGAGCCCUACCAAAGCCCGAUUUAUUUUAGCACAAAUUGAUUUCAUGAAUUCCAUUAUUUGAAAUUAUGAAAUUUAUUUAUGCUUAUUUAAAAAAACAUUUAAAAAUUAAGGAAGGUGUGAAAAUUGCUUGCCGGGAAGAAAGUGGCAGCAAAAUUUUAAUGAAAAUGAAGAUCUUUGGUGAACUAAAGCUUUAAGAAAGAAUGAGGAGUUGUGGGAUUAAAAUUAUUUGAAAACAUGAUUUUUGAAAAUCAGUUUUUGAAGGCAAUGAGGAAGAGUAAGGAAUGAGAUGCAUGUGCUUUUGAGGUGGCCAUGCAGGACCUAUGAAGAAAGACACGUGGGAAUUGGAUGGACAAGUGCUGGAAGUGAGUACUGGGGGUUUAAUUGAAUGCAGAUUUAUAAUCUCAGCACCGACUCUGUCCUUUGCAAGAAUAUCAGCAGCCUUGAGUGCGAGGCCUCCCAUUCUUUUGAGAAGACUGUGAUAGUCACAUUCCUUCUUUCUCUCUCAGUCUUGGCUUUCCCUCUUCGGUGAAUAUGGGGACAGCAUUUUCGACCCAGAGCAAGAGUCAGACCAGGCUGUAUAACUCAGGGAGUGCUGGGCGCCAACUCUAACCGCAGCACCAUUUGGUUCUCAACAAAACGAUAGGUACGGAUAUCCCAUCAGCAGACAUGUAACUUGAUUUUUGCAGCAGAAUCAGGUUUGCUCCCCGCAACUAGGUGGGAGAUCUUCACCGAGGCAGGGGCUUGUUCAGCAACAGCCUCAUGUGUUCCAUGCUGAAUAGGAAGGUAGGGUUUUCCUUCCACAUGAAUCUCAUUUUGAAAUAUUGGCCGAAUCAGUUGCUGUUGAAUUUUGUUAUUGUACAUGAAGAUACAGUGUCUUCAUGCCAUGGAUGAUCAGAUAUGCGGCAUUCGGGUUGAGAAUACCACCCAGAACAUGAGGCAAAUUCCUAAUUGUUGAGACCAACUUUUCAGAACUACUAAUGCAACCUGCAAUUACAUCAUUGUGUCCUGCAAUAUAUUUUAUUGCAGAAUGCGGCACGAGAACAGCCCCAAGAGAAAGGAUCUUCUGGUUGAGAGGUGUUGCAAAUGUACUGUCUAUGCAGACUAGUGCUCCUUUCCUGUGCAGAACAUGCAUUAAUCUGAAGGGGAGACAUGUUUAUCAAGUUAUUCUUGUUCUCAUUACCAAUCUGCUGUCAAUCAUCAUCAAUGAUUAGGAACUUAGGAGGCGCGCCCCCCAUGUAGCCACUGCCAACAGCACCAUAUGGUGCAAUAAUAUAGCUGCUGCAUUCAAGAUCUGCAUCAACAACAUCAGUUUUGUGUCUUCGGAAAUGAAAAUCUGUUGGGCCGUUAUAAAGUUCUGGUACAAAGUCAUGAACAGAAUCCCAGUCACUGUUUAGAGCAUCCAAUCUGCUGGAAACCUUACAAUAUCUGCUCCAGAUGCAUAUCGACUAAGGAAAGUGUCUUUAGUCCCCUCAAAAACUCAACAUCAUCAGACAUGCAGCUUGUCUUGGCAAUGCGUUUAAUCGCAAUAACUGACCCACAUCUUCUAAGUUGAACAUAACACUCUCAAACUUUUAUCAGUGCCAUUCAGAGACAAUGAAAGAGGAGCAAAGAGAGGAUCACUUGCCAUUGAAAUGGAGGGAAGAACUAUGUUGGACAUUAGUGACAUGACUGGUACCAAAAGCACCAUUUACUCAUUCCAUUGAAUUCUGUGCGUGCAAACUAUCAGAAGACUUACCAACAAUAAAAUCUGCCCAUUUUUAAAGGUGCCAUAUUGAUCAAACCUGGAAGGUGCCUUCUGGAGACUCAUACGAGAAUGCUCAGCUGUAGAAGAAACUGAAUCAUUGUCACAGGAGUCAUAUAGAAGAUUAUCAUCAUCACAAGUCCCGAGGCCUUUUGUCCCAAAAUGGCGUAACUUGGUAGUUGGUGAAUGCACAAGGCUUGUUGGCUGGUCUACACUGGAUGAGUCUCUAUUAUAUGGUUAACAGUAUGUGUCAAAUAUAUCAGUCAUGAGCACGUUUUGAAGGUCCAGCUGAGUAUUGUCUACCAUCUAUGACUUCAUCACCGUCACGAUCAAUGACAGUUUCUUCAAUGCUAUCAGCUUACCGUAUCCUUAAGUGUGGCCUAUCAUCUGAGCUGGCACCUAUUUCCUAACUCCACUUACAAGGACUUGGGCCCCAUGGUUCACAUGACGUUGCACGAUCACCAACCUCACUACCAGAAGGCUGCCCUAUCAUUAGAUUCCUUCCCAUAUCAGCAUCAUGCAUAUUUUCAGACAUUGCUGUCCAGUUUAAGUGGAAUAAUUGGGGGAACCCUUCCUCUAUCAGAAUUCAUUGGUUCGGCAUCAGAAUGACAUUUACCACCUGGAACAUGCACGGAUGGUAACAAUGGAGAUGCUUUAUUUGUUGCAUUCUCUGCUUUUGCAUUGGAAGUUUCAACUCCUCUAGCACGGGUACAGGAUGACCUCUUAGGAGCUAAAGAUAUAUUAAAUUCCACAAGCUUUCCUUCAGAAGGCUGACCCAAAGGUGUAUCUGAACCUUAUUUGGCAUGACUAACAAGCUGUCACUUUCACACAUAUUCUAAGCAUCUUCCCAGAGGCUUAACAAAAAUGGGAUCCUCAGGUUUACAGAGGAGGGAAGAGAAACCCGGCUUAGCAUUCAGAAAAGUUUGUUGCUGUCGACAUCUUCACCAUCCCGAGUCCUUGGGACUGUCGGUGCAAGUGUGGAACUACCAGAAGAGUUGUUACUCAGACCUAGAAUUCUCAACCGUAUGAAGAGUGACCCUCAUGAAACUUUCUCAGAAUCACCCCCAAAUAGGAUGGCCAACCCAAAUGAGAUCCUCACACCCCGGACUUACCAGAAACAGGGAAAUGAACAAAAGAAGAUGGAAGCAAGGCAAGGACUGAAGAAAUAGCCCAAGGAAAAUCAAGUAAAUCAUGAACGUAUAGAGCCUCAUUUCAAGUGACAUCCAUGGGCCAAUGCAGGUGGAAUCCAAAGGAAGCAAGAGUGUUUUUUUAAAAUCAAAUUCAGUGAUGAGUACAUAUUCAAAUCAUUCAUAAAACAGAGGAAUGCUCAAGUUGUUCAUAGACAUAUCCAAAAGAGCCAGACUAGAAUCAGGCAAAAAAAAUGCAUAAAAAUGGUCUUAGAUUCCACAAACAUAAAUAGUAUCUGAUGUCCACAUUCAAGCAUCCAAAUGAACCCAAAAUCAGCAAGAAACAGGAUAGAACAGUCUGAAACGGGAAAUGUAAAGCGUGCUGAAAUCAUACUUGGACCAAAACCACAAGCUCCUCCUCUGCUCAGCUAGAAACGCCUCUUUCUCCUUUCUCACUCUCUUUGGAACCCCAGGAACCUGUAAACUUCUUUUAUGUCUCAAGCAACCUACGCUCCUUUCAUCACCGUCUGCUCCUCUCUCUCUCAAAGAAUACCUCCAUUUUCUUUCCACAGCUUUAACUCUCUCUAUCUUUCUCAUUCUCCUCUGUCUAGACCCCCCUCUCUCAAGAAAGAAAAUCCCCCCUCCAAAAAAAUGUCACCCUGCCAGUAACGAAUAAAAAAACCUCACCCUACGCACCUCCUCGUCUUUGUCCCUUACUUUUUCCUCCACCCCUCCGUAGCCAAAAGCACCACGCCUUUUUGCCAGAAUCCUCUCCCUCUCUCAUACGCUCCUCCAGAACAGAAACGUGCUCCUCUCCUGAAGAUUCGUCCUAGGUGUCGCUCCUUGAUAGCUCCUCAAAAAGCACUAUCUGAUUCCAUAGCAGCCAACUAAAAGACACCAUGUGGUCUCCUAGGGUCGCGACACUUGGCAAAACAAGCUGCAUGAAAGUGAGGCCCAAAUGGGGGUCUACAGUGACAUAUUUGCUGAAUCAUUCCCAGUAGAGCUGGUGGAGGCUUGGUGGAGAACAAAACUAGUUGGAGAGAAGGACGGAGGGGGCGGUUGUUGGCGAAAAAGCUGGAGAGGGGAUUCAGAAAGGAUGAACGAGCUGGAGUGGUGAAGACCGGAACUGGAGGGAGGGAUGUUGGCAGAUUUUGGAAGAAACUAUGGGAUUGAGUGCUUGAAACCAAGCAAUCCUUGCAGGAGGAUGACUGUGGGACGGCAGGACCGACCCCAUUAUCUUCCCCAUCGACCAAUAGACAAUUGAGGUAUUUAUGUAUUGUUUGUUUCUUUGUUAUAUGUUUGCUCUUUAAUAUGGAUAAUUGAUUUAGUGUACCAAGAUAGGGUUUUGUUUCUGACAUGAAAGAAUGAAUGUUCGCAACUGAAUCAGGACAGAAUUGUUACAUCAGAUGCUUUGUUUAUAAAUAGUUUAGGUGUUCAGUUUUGUAGGGAGAAUAACAUCAUAGAUUCAUAGAUUCACCUUAUUGAGUGCACUUGACAAUUAAGUUCUCUGUUCUCUUUUUCUUUCCUCGACUGGCAUCAGAAAACACACAAAGUUUCAUUGUUUUCUUUUGCUUCCAAAAAAUAAAAAUUUCCGUUGCGAGAAAAUGGAACCAGAAACCAGACGGUAGAAUCAAGAAAAUAGUGCUAGAGAUCCUCAAAAUUAAGCGCGGACAUGGACGAGAUGACCGAGUUCAUAGAUUCGAAAAAUAGUUUCCCAAAAAAAAACUCGGAAUCAACCUCUUCGUGCCGGACUAACUACAAGCGCUUCGUCCGCUAGGUCGUCGAGACCUUCCUCCAGUCCACCGAAGAUCUUAGAUGAGAACCGGAACCAAAACUGGAACCUGAUCGAAAGAAGGCGAACACCGAAGCAACUGAACGGGAACCGAAAGAAUAGAGGGCGGUCGGUGGAUUCAUUCGGGAAACAACGCAGAUCAGAGCCAGAUAGUGCAGUCCAGAAAUCGAUGGGCGGUCAUGGUGGUUCCACAGUCCAUACCCAUAAGAAAUUGUUGGAAGAUGGCAAGAUAUGACUUGUAUCCACCAGCCAGCUGCAUGUCCAAUAGAAUGACUUAGUGGAUCACUCAUGCAUCACCUUGGAUAGGGACAUGUAUCUUAUGGCCCAUGUCCACCAGCCCGUCCCUCCAUUUUCAACCAUUGGACAUGAUGGUCAGCUAUAUGGGCCUCAGCACCACCAGUGUCCAGCCCAUUGCUUUCCACUACCUACAACCAGCAUCCCGGGCCUCAUUUUGCUUGGCCACCUUUGGUCUGCAAUCCCAACUGUCACACCUCAUUUAUUUAUUCAUUUUCUUUUAUUAUUUCUUUGUGUUCUGAUAUCCAAGUUUAAUCUUUUCAAAAUUUCAAUUUUCACAUUUAUUUAUUUAAUCAUUAUUAUUUUCGCUAUAAUUAUUAUUCUAUUUAUUUAUUUAAAAAAAAUUCAUCUUUAAAUAAAUCUUCAAAAUUCCGAUUUCCAAAUUUAAUUUCUAAUUUCCAAAAUUCUAAUUUUCAUAUUUGUUUAUUUAAUCAUUAUUAUUUUCGUUAUUAUUAUUGUAUUUAUAUAUUUUUUAAAAUUUUCAUCUUUAAAUAAUUCUUCAAAUUUUCCAAAUUUAAUUUCCAAUUUCCAAAAUUCCAAUUUUAACAUUUAUUUAUUUAAUCAUUAUUAUUUUUGUUAUUAUUAUUAUUCUAUUUAUUUAUUUUCAAAAUUUUCAUCUUUAAAUAACUCUUCAAAAUUCCGAUUUCCAAAUUUAAUCCCCAAUUUCUAAAAUUCCAAUUUUCACAUUUAUUUAUUUAAUCAUUGUUAUUUUUGUUAUUAUUAUUACUCUAUUUAUUUAUUUUUAAAAUUUCAUCAUAGUUUUUCAAAAUUCCAAUUUUCACCUUUAUUUAUUUAAUCAUUAUUAUUUUCAUUAUAAUUAUUAUUCCAUUUAUUUAUUUAAAAAAAUUCCAUCUUUAAAUAAAAAAUCAAAAUUCCUAUUUCUAAAUUUAAUUUCCAAUUUCCAAAAUUCCAAUUUUUACAUUUAUUUAUUUAAUCAUUAUUAUUUUCGUUAUUAUUAUUAUUAUUUUUAUUUAUUUUUAAAAUUUCAUCUUUAAAUAAUUCUUCAAAAUUCUGAUUUCCAAAUUUAAUUUCCAAUUUCCAAAAUUCCAAUUUUAACAUUUAUUUAUUUAAUCAUUAUUAUUUUCGUUUUUAUUAUUAUUCUAUUUAUUUAUUUUCAAAAAUUCCAUCUUUAAAUAACUCUUCAAAAUUCCAAUUUCCAAAUUUAAUCCCCAAUUUCUAAAAUUCCAAUUUUCACAUUUAUCUAUUUAAUCAUUGUUAUUUUUGUUAUUAUUAUUAUUCUAUUUAUUUAUUUAUUUAUUUUUAAAAUUUCAUCUUUAAAUAAUUUUUCAAAAUUCCAAUUUUCACCUUUAUUUAUUUAAUCAUUAUUAUUUUCUUUAUAAUUAUUAUUCUAUUUAUUUAUUUUUAAAAAAUUCAUCUUUAAAUAAAUAUUCAAAAUUCCUAUUUCCAAAUUUAAUUUCCAAUUUCCAAAAUUCCAACUUUCACAUUUAUUUAUUUAAUCAUUAUUAUUUUAUUUAUUUAUUUAUUUUUAAAAUUUCAUCUUUAAAUAAUUCUUCAAAAUUCCAAUUUCUAAAUUUAAUCCCCAAUUUCUGAAAUUCCAAUUUUCCAAUUUUCGAAUUUAAUUUCCAAAAUUCCAAUCUUCACAUUUAUUUAUUAUUAUUAUCAUUAUCAUUAUUAUUAUUAUUAUUAUUAUUUUAUUUAUUUAUUUUUAAAAAUUCCAUCUUCAAACAAUUUCCAAGGUUCCAAUUUUCAUAAUUUAAUUUUCAUAGUUCCAAUUCUCAAAUAAUUUUCCAAAGUUCCGAUCCUUAAAUUUAAUUUUCGAAAUCCCAAUUCUUAAAUCUAAUUUUCAAAACUUCAAUUUUCAAAUGAUUUUCAAAGCUCCAAUUUAUUAAAUUCGACUUUUCAAAAUUCCAAUUUUCAAAUAAUUUUCGAGACUUCAAUUUUCGAAUAAAUUUUAAAAAUUCAGUUUUCUUUCGAACAGUUUUAAUUCCACUCCAGUUUUCAGAUAUUUCUUAAUUCUACCACUUUUCAUCCUUUAUUAGAGCUUUUAGACCGCCAAAAAUCUUGAUUUUAAUAAUCCUGCUGCCUUUCUCAUUUUGGUAUGCACUUGUACAAAUUUUCUUCGAUUCUCAAAUAAUUUUAUGUUUCUCUUGAUUUUAAAUGAGCAAUAAUGAUUUUUUUCAUAAUUCCAAAAUAAUGGAAUUUGUGAGACUAAUUCAUGCAAGAUCAAUUGGGCUUUGGUGGGGGUCCUACAUAUGAGUUUUCUCUUUUGAUUAUCAAUUGUCAUGCUUAAUGAGGAUUGUUUGAUCUUUGUCCUGAUCUUUGAUAUGCAUGUGAUAAUUUUAUACUUGAGCUAACCUUGUUUCCGUAAUAGCGCACUAUUACUUGCUGCUAAGGUACGAUCUCACUUCCACUUUGCUUAUUCUUAUGCAUGAUUUGCUUUAUUAUUUGAUUAUUUCAUUGGUAUCCAUUGAUUUCCUUAUCAAUUGUCACACUUGUCUCACCUUAUUUAGUAGAGACCUUAUUAUAGGGCUUAGAGGGAUGCUAUGACUCACCACCGUACCUUUCCAAUAGGUAACCUGACCCUCGGACUCGAUUUUGGUUUUCCACAUACUGUCUUUUCCAAAUAAGGAGUCACACUUAGGGUUUUCUUUCUUAUUUUGUUUUCCCUUUAAAAAUAAAAUAAAAAUAAGUGGUGACUCCAAGUCUUUUUCUAAAAAAAAAAAAAUCAUUUUUUCACAAAUAAAUUAAAAGCGAGUCACGUCGUUGAGUGGGAACGCACGUGAAAAAUGCGGGAUCCACAACCAUCUAUAAAGUUUCUUCUUCAUUCUUGAAUUAUUUAAAAAUAAAUACCACAAAUGAAAUUUAUGAAUUAGGACCUACAAAUAUUAAAUGAAAUUGAUAAUUAUUAAAAAAAGAAGUUUUUUUCCUUAAUAUUUGUCUUUCUACCACCAUUAGGAUAAUAACAUUAAAGAGGAAUUGUAAUUAUGCCUCAUUCACUACUAUUGUCAAAUUCAAAACUCUCCAAUAAAUAUUGGUAGUUUGAAGUCUCUCAAAGUCAUAUUUAAUUUAACUUUUUGAUCUAUUUUCCCAUUUGUUCGAUCAAAACCUUAAAUUAAAAUUUCCAUUUUUUGCUAUUCCUUUCACCGGUUUCAAUAUAGUUGCCAUGGCUCCUUUCCCCUUUGAGGAAUCCAACCCAAUAUCCCAUAUGAAGGCAAACUUCUUGACCUAUUGGGCAAUUUAAUAUAUAGUUUAUUCCUUCCUCCUAAAUUUUAACUUAAAUUUAAUUAAUUUUUUUUUUCAUAUUCUGUUUAAUAUAUUAUUAAAAAUAUAAAAAUAUCAUAAUAAUUUCAUCAAUGAGUCUUUCUUUAUUAAAAAUAAAAAAUAAACCGGGAUAUAAAAUUGUUAACAUUUUUAAACAUAGAAAUAUAUACAUAUANNNNNNNNNNNNNNNNNNNNNNNNNNNNNNNNNNNNNNNNNNNNNNNNNNNNNNNNNNNNNNNNNNNNNNNNNNNNNNNNNNNNNNNNNNNNNNNNNNNNACAUAGAAAUAUAUACAUAUAUCAUUAUUUCUUUUACAUCUUAAAUAAAGAUCAUCAUUUCAAACAUAUGUUUGAUGACUAAAUAAAAUAAAAUUUUAAUAAAUAAAUUAAUUUUAAUUAUCUUAUCAUUAAAUUUCAUUUUACUUAUUGUGAAAAAUGUAAAAACCAUCAUAAUGAUAUUUUCAAAAUGAUCACUUUAUGUUUUUAGUAUGGUAUUUAGAUAUUAAAUAUAUAACAUAAAAUUUAAAAAUAAAUUAAAAAAUAAUUAUACAUAUAUCAUUAGUUAUUUUAUAUCCUAAAAUACAUCCAAACUACAAAGAAUAUUAUUUUCAUAAUAAAUGUGGUUAAUGAAUUUAUUUAAGAAUCUGACAAAGUUUUAUCAUACAUAAAUAGUUUUCUUUAAUAUAAUUACUUCAAUAUGUAUUAUUGAAGUUAUGAUAUUAUUUUUUAAAAAAAGUUUUUUCUAAUAUUUUUUCAAUUAAAUAUGCAAGAAAAACAUCUAUAAUAACUAGAAAAAGAUAGUAUAGUAAAAUUAAUUCAUACUCAUUUUUAUUGUAUAUAAAAAAUAAUAUUUUGGUAGAAAAAAGUUUUAUAUAUCUAUACAUGAGGAGUUAGUAGCUACCCAUGAUAAAAGUGGUCUCAAUCACAUUCUCCUUUUAACACUAUUUCUUUAUUUUUUUCAUUAUCAUUUUCAUUCAAUCAUACGGGUUUUGUGUAAACAUUUAUUUCAAUGCUUUUGUUUCUCUAUGUUCUAAUACUUAUAUUAACUCAUAUAUAUCUUUCUCUUCCUCCAAUCUAAAACUACAAAAAAUAAUGCUAAAUAAUAAUGUUUAAGUCAAAGCAUUUUACUUUGGUGAAAGAAUAUAUAGUAUAAAUAUCUUUGAAUUUGCAAAAUAAUUAUAUAAUGAACCACUAAAUUUAUCCACAAAAUAAACUUGCAAAAUGUUGCAAGUUAAAUUAUAUUUUUUUUAAUCAAAAUUGGAUUGAAAAAGAAUUUUAUGAAUAUUUUAAAAUUCACAACUUUCUACUUUAAUAUCGUCCAAGUCACAGGUGGUGGGAAUAGUUAAAAACAGAGUGGCGAAUGAGUGUCUAAUACUUAAGAAUUUGUCCAAUAGUUCAGAUCAAAGACUACAACAAAAAGCGAAACGCACGUUAAUUAAGAACGUCAAAGAAAAGGAUUUCAAAUAGUGUUUCACUUAAUAAUAUGAAAGCAAUUAUUUUAAAAGAAAAAUAAAAAAAAAUGAAUGACUUCUUGUACAACUACUCUUUGCAAAUAUAUAAAAUUUGUCUAAUAAUUUAUACCAAAUAUUACAACAAAAGGUGAAAUGGAAGUCAAGAGUGUAAGAGAAAAAGAUUUCAAAUAGUGCGUCAUUCAAUAAUAUGAAAGUAAUUAUUUUAAAAGGAAAAAAAAGUGAAUGAAAGUAAUUAUUUUAAAAGAAAAAUAAAAUAUACGAAUGUACAACCACUCUUUACAUAUAUAUCUAUAUAUAUUUACUUUUGUAUUAUGCAGAAAUCAUUGUCAGCAUUGUGGGCAUCCCCGUAAAUGGGGAUAACGGGCCUACCCAAAGAACUAUUCGUUGAGUUGGGCCAGUUUGGGCCAUGAUUAAAAGCCCAUCUAGCCUAAUGGCCUAGUUGACUUAAAUAGCCCAAUAGGUAAAGUGGGAAAUAGAACGUGGGAGAACAGUCCACAAGGAGUAGUGGAGGUAGUUAAUGCUUGGGGCGGUAACCGCUUGAAGUGGCUAAAAAGUGGCCCCACGAUCUCCAUGCUUAUUGGUAGCUGAAAGGUAUAUGAAUACAAUUGGAAAGUCCAAAAAUAAAAAUAAAAAUUGUAGCAUGAGAAACAUUACAUUUUCUAGAAAACCCCAACUAACUUAAUCAUCAGAUGAGGUGAUCCUAGGGUAAAACUUAGUGAGCCUUAUGUGGUAGGUAUAAGGAAGCGCACGACAAGGAGAUGACUAUUGCUCAAGAAAUUCUCAGCUCCAACAAGUGGCGCUGUCUAUGGGAAAAUUCUACAUUAAUGUAACAUUUUUACUUGGAGCUGAAAAGUAUACCAUUUUUGUUUGGAGUUGGAAGCUUCACAAUGGGAGAUAGUCAACUGCGGGAUUCAAUUAGUACAAUUGCUCCUCGAAGGGCCGUGACACUAGAGUUUAUUCUUGAGGGUUUCGAAAUGCGCCAAGUAGAGCAGGAGAGAAGAAUUGAAUCCAUCAUUGCCUAGACAAAGUUUCUAAGGCAAGAGAAUGCCUUGUCGCAGACACAACUCAAAGAUCAGCGUGCUCGCAUUCAAACAUUGUAUUAGUCAACAAGUAAUCUUGAUCACUUAUGCCAUCAGGACAAUAAUGACAUGGUGGAACCUUUAGAUCAUGUAGUUCAUUUUGGUCAAGUUCCCCACAUCAUUUUAAGUUUUCAUGGAGGAUGUCGCCCAUUUGACCUCAAGAUUCCAAGAAGUCUAGUCAUUGAAGGCAUAGAUGAGGCGAACAACACUCCCGGUAGGGACCCAAGCCCCUAGUGUAUUCAAAUCCUUGUAGCCAACAACAAAUGAGGUUGCCCCAUGUGGAGGCUGUAGGAAGGCUGACUCAGCCCCUAUCUUCGGUAGCUUGGCUCCCACAUGGGUGAUCAAAUGAGUUGUCUCUAGGAGCCACAACUCGCCACCUGAAUGAUAUGAUGAUAACACCAUUCGCCCAACAUGUUUUGAUGUAUGAACCCCUAAGAGGAUAUACCAUUCCUAAGCUCUUUAUGUAUGACGGAACAUAUGACCUCUUCGAUCAUCUGAUGCGUUAUCGACAAAUGAUGAUGCUUGAUAUCGAUAAUGAUGAGUUUCUAUGCAAAGUCUUCUCGGCUAGUCUCUAAGGAACUACCCUAGCCUGGUUCCACCGAUAUCUCCCUAAUUCCGUUCACUCCUUUAGGGAGAUGUCAGAAGUCUUUGUAGCUCAUAUUUGUGCUCAACAAGGUAGAAGUUCAAUAUCAACAGCCUUCAAAAUCCGAAGAAGAUAGAAAGUGAGACUUUACGCCAAUUCAUGCACAUGUUUGACCAAGCAAUGCUCCAAGUAGAAACAUGCAGUAUGGAUGCUUUGCUAUAAGCCUUCAAGCCUAGCAUUGGGUCAAGGACCCCAUUUUUUGAAUCUCUCUCCAAGAAGCCAUCAAAGAUGAUUGAUGAAUUGUUUAGAAGAGUUAACAAGUAUGCUAUGUUGGAAGAGGACUUGUAGGCUGCAACAAGUCCCGUCUUAGUAUCAACGCAAGUGGCACAGGCAAAAAAGAUACAGGGAAUAAACGCCAGGGCUCGGGGAACCCUUCAUAGGGCAAAAAGCCGCGUAGGGGUGAUGAGGGCCAAAGACCACCCCGACAAUGAGGGACAAAGACCACCCCGACAAUGAACCUCACUCAAUCUUACCUAUAGAUAGUUACUUCUAAUUAUGACCGACUUACUCGGCUUUAGGUGGCCCUUCGCUUUUAGGGAUGAACCGACAUAACAAGACCAAACGCAGCAUUGCGAAUACCAUAAAGAGUAUGGGAACACCAUUGAUGAGUGUCGACACCUCCAUUAUCUAGUGAAAGACAUGGUAAGAGCUAGUUUGCUCUCUCAGUAUGUCAAGAAGAGCGAACAGUCGGCUACUGGGAGUAUUGAGCAAGUUGCGACCAACAUGAUCCUGUCAAGGGGAGCACCGCUAGUUAUUCAUGUCAUUCAAGGAGGACCUAUUGAUCAACAUUGGGAAUCAAAGUGUCGUCAUCGAGCAAUGAUUCAAGAAUCUAGUGACGUGGAGAAGAUCGGUACGGAGCACUACUCCUUUGUAUUAGGGACAAUGGAACCUGUAAAUGGGGCUAUCACAUUUAACACUCGAGAUCUUGCAUGAAUAACAGUUCCGCAUGAAGAUGCCCUUGUUCUAUCACUAAAAAUUGUUGGGUUCCAAGUCUGCCAAGUACUUGUUGACCGAGGUAGUUCAAUUAACUCGUUCCACAUCUCGGCUUAUAAGCAAAUGGGUGUCCCCAUCUCCACUUUAGGAAACCCGAGUUGAGUAAUAACAGGUUUUAAUAGAUCAACAACCUGGACUUUGGGAGAAAUAAUUUUGUUGGUUGAAGUCGUCCUACAACCCUAAAUGUUCGUUUUUAAGUCAUGUCAGAACCUUUAUCGUACAAUUCCAUAUUAGGACGAGUGUGGAUUCAAAAAAUGAAGGUUACCCCUCUCAAUUUAUCACCAAAAAUUCAACUUUCUUACUAAAACGGGCUAAGUAGACUUAUUUGGGAGUCAACUAACUGUUAGGUAGUGUUACCAGGUAAAUGUCUUGCCUACGGAAGAGGAAGUUGAAAAUGCUCAUGUUGACAGCGAGUCCCAAUAGAAAUAAUAAUUAUUGAAGGACAAAGGUGACCGAGAAUCCCCAAUCAUUGACCUAUUGGUUUGUGUAGAAAUACAGAAAGAAUGAUCAGAGAAGGUUACAUACGUUAAUGCUAUGUUCAUAGAGCAAGAAAAACAUCAACUAGUAAGCCAACUGAAUCUGAACGUCGGAGUCUUUGCUUGGGAAUUAUCUGACAUGCCAAGAAUAUCCCCCAAAGUGAUGAGUCAUAAACUUGGGAUCCGCCCAGGAUCGAAACCUGUUCGACAAAAAGUAAAAAGGCUUAAUUCAUAGAGGCAGUAGAUAAUUGAGCUUGAAGUAUCCCUAUUGCUCGAUGCAUGAUUCAUUCGUGAGGUCUACUACCCAGACUGGCUAGCUAAUGUGAUAGUUGUGCCAAAAAAAUGAGGUAAAUGGAGGGUUUGCAUAGACUUUACUAACUUGAAUGAGGCAUGCCCAAAGGAUAGUUUCUCAUUGCCACACAUUCAUCAAAUUGUUGAUGUUACUUUGGGGCAUAAGAUGUUAUCUUUUAUGGAUGAUUUUUCUGGCUAUAACCAGAUUCCUACGUACCCUUCUGGUACUGAAAAGACAUCAUUCAUAACCCCAUUUGGGACUUUCUGUUAUAAUGUAAUGUUUUUUAGCCUUAAGAAUGCAGGGGCCACUUAUCAACAACUAAUGAAAAAAAUAUUUUAUUCAAUGCAAAGCAAAACGACAAAGGUUUAUAUAGAUGACAUACUUAUAAAAAACAGGAAACAAGAUAAUCACUAUACAGACUUGCAGUAAGCUUUUGACUUGCUAUAGCAUUUUGAGAUGAAAUUGAAUCCUACUAAAUGUGCCUUUGGGGUGUUUUCCGGCAAGUUCUUUGGUUUUCUAGUCAUAGAGCAAAGAAUUGAAAUAGAUCCUGCCCAAAUAAAGACAAUACAAAAGCUACCAUCUCCUCAAAGUAAAAAAUGAUGUGCAAUAUUUAAUAGAAAGGGUGGCUACAAUAGCCCGUUUUAUUUCUCGGUACAUUGACCGUCUAAAGCAUUUCUUUAAUGUGAUAAAAAAAAAAAAAAAGCUAAGGCCUUUGAGUGGACCGUUGAGUGCAAGGAAGCGUUUAUAGCCAUAAAAAACUAUUUGGUCUCACCCUCAAUUUUAAAAAGUCCUCAACUGGGAGAUCCCUUGUACAUGUACCUUGCAGUAUCAAAGUUGGUAAUCAAUGCAAUUUUGCUUAAGCAGGGCCCUAAUGGGAGCCAGUUACCAAUUUACUAUGUUAGUAAGGAAUUGAUGUCAAUUGAGUAGAAUUAAACCAUGCCAAAAAAAGUGGCAUUGGCACUACGAAUGGCAUCAAAGAAGUUGGGCCCUUAUUUUCAGGCACACCAAGUCAAUGUCUUGAUCGAUGUUCUUUUUCGAGCUACAUUGCACGGGCCUGAGUUGUAGAUUGCUUUGACCAGAAGAUGGGAGAGUGGUGGAUUCUCUAUGUUGAUAUAGUGCCUCGCGAUGCAGGUACAGGGGUAGGGCUCGUCCUGCAAUCCCCCAUAAGAGAAUAUUUGGAGCAGGUAGUCUGAUUGGGCUUCCACGCUUCAAACAAUGAGGCUGAGUAUGGAGCUCUGCCUGUUGAAGUAAGCUUGGCACUGUUAGUCUAGGCUAUCCACCUCGAUAUACGGAGUGACUCACAACUAGUGGUGAAUUAGGUGCAAGGAGAGUAUGAAACAAGGGAUGAAAGAAUGAUAAAGUACCUCCAGAGAGUGAAAAACCAGCUUCACAAAUUUAGCAAGUGGAAGGUGACUCAGAUCACUAGGGAAGAGAAUGUCUGAGUAGAUGCAUUAGCUAGAUUAGCAACUUCCUUAGCUAUGACACAAACAACUAUUCUACCGGUUUAUUACCAAGAUGACCCAUCAAUCCUAGAAAGAGAACAAGUGAAUCAAGUUUAUGACAUCCAUGGAAGUUGGAUGGAACCGAUCAUCAAGUAUCUGGAGAUAGGGGAGCUACCAAAAAAUGAACUUUAGGCACAUUGAAUCAAGAUUAAGUUCGCAUGAUAUAGCAUGAUCGGGGGUCGAUUAUAUAGAAGGUCUUACAGAGGACCAUAUUUAAGGUACUUGGAACCAGAAGACGCGAAGUAUGUCAUUUCAUAAUCGCAUGAAGGAAUAUGCGAAAAACACCCGGGUGGCCAGACAUUUGCUCAUCGAGUUUACACAUAAGGGUACCACUAGCCCACCAUUCAUAAGGACUCCCAGGAGUUAGUGUAGAUGUGUGACAAUUGUCAACAGUAUGCACACAUCCUCUGGCUACCAUCGGAGUCCCUCACUCCUUUGGUUUGGCCUUAGCCUUUUGCCGAAUGGGGAAUAGAUAUAAUGGGUCAUUUCCCAGUAGUCCCUGCCCAAAAUAAAUUUUUGUUGGUAGCAAUUGACUACUUUACAAAGUGGGUUGAGGUAGAGACUUUCGCAACAAUAAAAGAUAAGGACGUAACAAGAUUUUUAUGGAAGAGCAUCAUCUUUCGUUUUGGAAUACCACGAGUGAUAAUCUCAUAUAAUGGGCCAUAUUUUGAUAGCUCCAAUUACAAAAAAAUUUGUGCUGAGUUAGGGAUCAGGAACUUGUAUUCCUCACCACGCUACCCACAAGCUAACAGGCAAGCGGAAGCAACGAAUAAGUCUCUUCUUGAUAUGUUGAAGAAAAGACUUCAAGGAGUCGGUAGGUGGAAGAGUUGUUUGGAGUAUUAUGGACACAUCGAACCAUGCGAUGGUGCCCAACUAGGGAGACUCCUUUCUCCCUAGCUUAUGGCAUGGAAGUUGUCAUCCCAUCUGAAGUGGGAAUGCCAACAUUGCAAACGACCCAAGAACCAACAGGAAACCAAGAGAUUGAAGGUAGUCUAGAUUAGGCCAAUGAAUUGAAGAAGACAACUCUGAUUCGAAUUGAAGCUUAUCGCCAUCAAGCUAUGGCAUAUUACAACAAGCAAUCAAAACCACAACAACUGCAAGUCGGGGACUUAGUCUUGAAAAAAAUGUUUGAGAAUAUGGCAGUUCCUAGGCUUGGCAAAUUGCAAGCCAACUAGGAAGGUCCCUAUCGUGUAAUAAAAAUAAGACAUGGGGGAGCCUACUUCCUAGAAAAAUUAACCAAGGAACAUUUACCUCGUCCCUAGAACAUUUAAAAGCUGAAAAAUGUAUUUUUCUUGAAUAAAAAUCUUUUGAUUAAGUAAAUAAUGCAAACAUGCUAGCAAAAUGCAUUAAAGGAUAAAUGCAAUAUUAUGGAAAAACUCGAACAAAGUAAUGGCAAAAAGCAAUUGAUAAAAAUGAAAAGCUUCAAAGACUCCUUGAACAAAGUAGGGGCAAAAGAAGCAGAACACAAAGGCCUAUUGUCAGGGAAAAACCCUACAAACUUUAAAAAGAAAGAGACAAAAAAAAAAAAAAAACUAUAAAACCUGCCAAAUGUCAAAAAACCAGUGUAAUUGUUAAUUUUUUCCAAAAAAAAAAAAAAUGACUUCAGUUCAUUCUUUUAGGUCUUCAAUGUGUGCAAUGGGAUCUAAGUCGGCCAACAAGAAUUCUAGUUCUUCAGUCCUUUCUAAGGCAUUCCCUUGGUCAUCCAGAUUACCUAUCUGUUGAGCAGAGGAAAGCGCAUUGCCAGUGUAAGGUAGAAGAGAAACUUCAUCUGAGCAAGUGGCGAUACCUUUUUGCAAAGAAGCACCCAACGGGUCUGACAUCCCAACAAGGUCGGUUUCGUCCUCGUUUGUAGCAACUAGCCUCACUCUCUUGUCGGCCCUACUAGCACCCAGUGGAGAAGUUUCAAGAGUAGAACUUUCAUCUUCAGUUACAAAGUCCUCAUCGAUAUCAAAGUCUUCAAUGAUAGCAUGUUUUUGCUUGCAACACCGAUACGCAUACUAAUACAUUUUUUCUACCUGCUCGAUGUAUUUGGUAGUGAACUUUGCAUGUUGAGCUUUCAGUGUGGAUUGGGACUGGUUAAUUUGAAGAUGGAGUUGUCUAUCUCCUCUACCUUUCUUCUUUGAUCCUCUUUCAAGUCCACACACUCGGUCUAAAAAGUUUGGAUUAAAGCCUAAAGGAUUUUAUUAGAGUUCUCAAGUUCAUCCAUGCGCAAUUUAGCUAAAGCCAAUUCCAUCUCAAGGUUCUCCUACUUGGCCAUGGACUCAGCAACGUACUGUCUAAGUUUACUAGCAGCCUCCAACUUCUCGUUAGCAUAUUGAAGUUGGUGUUUUAAGUCUCUAACAACGACAACCCCUUGGUACAUAAAUGUGAAAGCGUUAAAUGUAUUAAAGAAUUUUAAGGAUGAGUAUCAAAAGUGUGCUCAGUUCGUUGUAGUACCAUUUCAGUAAUCUGAUCUUCAUCUAGUCCUCGAAUAGCAGAUAUCAUCUGAACAACCCGGACAGGAGCCCCAAUGGGAACAUUUGCAAUAAAAUUAAAGUUUGGCUAACUAAGAACUUCCGCAUGAUCUACUUAGUAGCAAGGAAAAUAACACCUAUAUAUGAUAAAGGAUGAUCAGUAGUGGUAAAUAAGGAAUAUUGGUUUAGGAUUUCUCCUACCUCCUCAAUUAAAAUGAAACCAAUCUUGUGUGGGUGUAAACUCACCCUUGGGUGCAGGCCAGGAACAAUAAUCUUGCCAUGAGGGGCCACUUGUGGAGUAGUAUUCGGUAAAGCCCUUUGUAUAGCCGACACCUUUUGAAUCAUACCAAAAGCUGGUUGGGUGGUCUUCAACGGGCCGGUCUCUAGUCUUUUUUCUCUUUCUUCUCUUUCUAACCCGACUAAAGAUGUCAACGGCCUCACCUUCUGUGUCAUCCAUGUCCUCCGCAAUCAAAGGAGCUGACUCGUUCUGUUCAAUAGAAUCACCGUUUGGUACCAGUAGCGAAAAGUCUGUUGGGGCAAUAAUAGCUGAGCCCCGGGAGAAAAGAGUGUGCUCAAGCAAAGAGAAUGGAAUUGUCACAGAGAGACCAAGUUGGGUAGUUUGUCGAGUAGUUGUUGGUGACAAGUUGCUCUCUCUCCCUAACAACUUCUAUGCUAGUAUCAAAAGAGCCAAAAUGUUUGUCUAUUUUAAAGUCUUUUGGAAUAAAAUGCACCUCAGGGAUUAGGUCGCUAUGAGCAAUCCUUGAAAAAAAUUGAGGGAUGAAAGGGUCUAGGUUCUAGAGCACACUUUGAAGAUUGGUCUCCGUAAAUAAAAGAGAAAAACUUAUUUACUUGAAAUCAAUGUUGAAUAGCUUGGUAAGCCAUUUCUGGGAAGGUUUUUCACCCAUUAUAUUAGGUGUCCUUGAUAGUUUUCAAUUGUCCGGAAGCAAGAUUAAAUAGAUAUUAAAAAUAAAUGGUAUUAGUUACUAGGCCGUUUAAGGGUAUGAUUCAAGGGGUAAGGACCACGAAGAUCUAGAGUUGAAAAUUCCCAUUCUCCAUAAACAAUCACGCGUCUGAUGGCCAGACUUUUCCUAGAAUCUGGCAUGUUUGUGAUCAGUUGCAACUGCUUUCUGCAAGCAGAAAUGAGGAAUUUUCCUCAUUUGUUUAGCUUAAUAGUGUAAAUGAAAAGAAUCUCCAGCAAUGACAACUCGAGAUUGAAUAACUGAUUUAAAAUAAAGCAACCCAUGAGAAUGUGGAUUGAGUUCGAAUGGACAAAUGAGAGCGGAAUUUGGGUAUAAUGCAAAAACUCCCUCACUAAUGAAGGUAAAGGUAAGCACAGCCCAACAUGGAACUGCUCCCUAGUGAAGCACAUGAAGUGUUUUUUGUGUGUAUCAGUUAGGAGAGGUGUGGUGAUGCACAAUAGUUGGAUGUCAACAUUGUUCGGAAUAUUGAAAUCCUUUUUGAAUUCAUCAGUGGCAAAAUCGUCCACAAUACGAACUAAAGUGCGGGUUGUGUUGUCUGAGGAGGAACCCUUCUAGGGUCUUUUCCUUUUCGUAGAACCUUCAGAUUUCUUCAACAUUCUGUAAGGGUUUGCGUUACUAAUAGGGAAAGUAAGGGAGAAAGAAACCCUAGAAAGAGACUUCUGAGUGCACUUUCGUGCAGAGUUCAAGGGACCGAACAAAGAAGAGAACUCUCUAUCCAGGAAAACAUGAAUGUAAAUGGAGUAAAUAGAACAAAAACCGGAAUUAGUAUAUAAAGAUAAUGAAAAAUAUGGGUUUUCCUCACCUAAACACCGAUAACGCAGGAUUGGUAGUUUGAUGUUAAUGGAAGAGAAAAAAACAAGAAUGUUGCGGUGUGGUAACGGUGCUGUUAAGACUCCAAAAGGAAAGAUGUCAUAACUUUUGGAAUUUGAAAAGGCAUGGUAUGUGUGUCAUCGGUAAGGGGCAUAAGAAACUCCCAAAGGUAGCUGGAAGGUACAUUGUUAUGAGCGUCCAAUACAAAAAAAAUUCAAGGUCCAAAAAAUCAAAGAAAAUAUGUUCCCGCUUAAAAUGAAAAAGAAUUUUCCGUUUGACCUCAGCCAAUGGUCAACAAAAAAUUGGGGGCAAUUGUGGGCAUUGUGGUAAAUGGGGAUAACGGGCCUACCUAAAGAACUAUCUAUUGAUUCGGGCUAGUUUGGGCCUCGAUUAAAAGCCCAUCUAGCCUAAUAGCCUAACUAACUUAAAUAGCCUAACAGGUAAAGUGAGAAAUAGAACGUGGGAGAACAACCCACAAGGAGUAGUGAAGGCAAUUAACGCUUGGGGCGGUAACCACUUGAAGUGGCUAAAAAGUGUCCCCAUGAUCUCCACGCCUAUCGAUAGUUGAAAUGUAUAUGAAUACAACUGGUAAGUCCAAAAAAAAAAAAAGUAUUGUAGCAUGAGAAAUAUUACCUUUUCUAGAAAACCUCAGCUAACUUAAUCAUUAGAGGAGGUGAUCCCGGGGUAAAACCGGGCGAGCCUUGUGUGGCAGGUAUAAGGAAACGCGUGGCGAGGAGAGGCCUAUUGCUCAAGAAAUUCUCAGCUCCAAUAGGCAUUACUUUACAAAAUAUUUUAAAAUGAUGGAGAUAAAAUAGGAAGUUUUAAUUUUGGUAAGUAGGAAGGAAACAACUGAGAAGUUUUUUUUUUUUUUUUUUUUCAGUAAAAGUGAUAACGCUAGAGUCAAGAUUUUGUAAUGCCUUAAUUCUAUCAUAAAAUGAAUUUAUGUAUACUUACACAAAAUUUUCAAUAGAUGAUUACUAUAAGAAAAAAAAUCCACCUUUUUUUAGCUUUAUUUUUAAUAUGAUUCUCAUUCUUAAAAUAAUAAAAUUUAAGAAAGUGUGUGUUUUUUUCCUCUUUUAUUAUCAAUCAUAAAAUUCAAAAUCUUUUCAUUUAAUUUGUUAAUGCUAUGUUUGGUUUAAGAAUGAUAGUAAAUAAAGAAAAUUAUUUUCUCACAUUUGAUUUUAUUAUAAAAAAUAAAAAAUAUAAUUAAAAUUAAUUAAAAACUUAUAUAUUUUCAAAUGAUUUAUUUGUUAUAUAAAAGUAUUAAAUUAAAUAAAAUGAGUUUGAAGUAAUAUAUAAAAAUAAUUUAUUUUCUUUAAAUCUAUUUUUAUUUUAUAAUAGAAUCCAAAGUUUUAUAAUACUUAAAUGGCAGAAAGAGAGCAAUCAAGCUUCAUGUGCUAGUAAUUUUUUUAUUUAUUAUUUUUUUUUAGUAUUUCUUAUUUGGAUUGAAACAAAAUCAAGGAUAUCAUACAAAAUUAUAAUAAAAUUUUAAAUCAUUUAUUACUUUCAAAUAGAUUAAGUGUAUAUUAUAUUAUACAUAAUGCUAAAUCAUAGAUGCUUCAAAUAAUUAAGAAGGAUAACUAAUUAUCUUUCUAUUAAAAAAAUAAAUGAUGUCAUUAAUUGUUGCAAACUAAUUUACAUUAUGGGAUGAUGAGUUGGUUGGUCAUUCUAUCAUCUUCAAAAUUAUCCUUGAAAAUAAAAGUAGUCCAAUAAUUAAUGAUUAAAUAAAAACAUUUCUUUGUCAUUUUUAAAAAAUAAAAUUUUCAUUUUAAUUUCUUCCACUCCUAUGAGGUGGUUAAGAAACCAAAUGCUUGUACAUAUUCUUUUCUUUUCUUUUCUUUUCUUUUAAUAUUACAUUUAUCAUUUUUUUUUUCAUUUAUGUAGUAAAAUUUUUAAAGGUGACUUCCUUAUUUAAUAAGAGAAGUAAGUGUCUCUCUCAAUUAGAGUUUAUAAUACCCCUUGGUUUUUAUAUUAUAGAAAGUUGAAUAAUUUAAUCAUAAAACAAAAGCAAGUGUGGAAAAUUAUAGUAAUUCCUAUAUAAAAUGUAGGAGCUCUUAGAAAUUUAUUUUGAAAAAAAAAAAUUUAAAAAUCAAUUCUUAUACAAAAUCAGGUAUUAAAUUUUUUUUUCUGACUACCUCAAAUUUUAAAAAUCUUGGAAGUAAUUUUUAAAAAUAUAAAAUUUAUGUUCCAUGCAAGUUAUUAGAUUUCAUAUAUAAAUUACUAUUAUUUUCCUUUUUUAGAAAACAUGAAAUUAGUAAGCGAGAGGGAACUAAUAAGACAUAUACAUUAAAAUCGAGGGAAAUAUGGUAUCCACAUUUUUUUUUAUGAAAAAUUAAAGAAAAUGGACAAGCCUAACUUAAUAAAUGGUUUGUAUGGAUUGAGAUUAAUAUAAGAUGAAAAUGACUACAUUCGAAUAUGCUAAUAUUCAUGUCAUUUUUUAGCUAUGUUAUCAUGUUAUAUCAAAAUUGUCAUCCUUAUAUUUGUUUUAUAAAUUUAAUAAUAUGGUACAUAACUUUUGCAUAACAAAAAGUUUAUAUGCUAAUCUUGCUAAAUGUAUGCCUAUAAACAAUAUUUUAAAACAAGUGUAUAAAAAUGGUCGUAAAAAAUUAAUAAUAAUGUUUGGAUUUAAUAAAAUAACUUUGAGAUUUUAGGUUUAAGAAAUUUUAAUGAUACUAGUUGGGAUUAUGGUAAUAUUGAAUUAUGAUUGACUGCAUCUAUAAUUAUAAUUAAAUAUUGAAUAUAUCUCUUUUCAUAAGGUACUAUGAAAUAAUCUGUAACAUAAUUGAAGCAUAAUAAAAAUAUUUAAGCUACUUUAGUCACUAUGCAUAUGAUCUUAAUAGAUAAAUGAGGAUAAUUUAUCAAUGUCUCAAAGUCAAAUAAAUAAAAUUAUCCAUGCCUAAAAACAUACAAAUUAAAAUCAGCAAUUUAAAUUAUUCAUGCUUAAAAACAUACAAAUUAAAAUUACUAAUUCAAAUUAUACAUGCUUAAAAACAUAUAAAUUAAAAUCCACAAUCCAAACAAAGAGUCUUUUAUGGCGUUCUCAUUCUGGUUCAAUACUACAUCUCUACCACCCUUCCAAUUCCAGAACCAAUAGUUAGUCAUGCUUCCAUGCGCAACCUGGCCAAUGGUUAGUCAUAGUUUAAUGAGCAUAUAUAUUAUGACAAUAAUUAUCCUGUGCUUUUUCAUCUUUAGAAAUGAAGCAAAGUAAGAGCAAAAUAAAUAUUAAUUCAGGCUAUGCAAUUUGAAAAACAUAUGAUAAUUGUUUUGGCCUAUCAAUUAAAAAAUGAAACUCUAAAUAAAAAUUUUAAUUAAUUCAAACAAAAAUUCUGGCCUACCAAAACAGCAGUGGUAAUAUGGCUUUUCUUUUUAAAUUCAAUAAUUCAUUCCAAAGAUAAAACUUUGAUAGGUCCUAAGACAUUUAUUAGAAAAAAUAAAGAAGUUUUAACUUCAGAUAGGCUUAAGAUUACAGGAUCUUUGAAUUUCAUAAAUUCUUGGAAUAAUUAAAAACAAAUAAAAUAAAAUAAACGCAUAAAAAAUGAAAAAAGAAAUUUGAAUUUUUUGACCAUAUCUAAUUUCGUAUUGAACUCUAUAUUCUUCCAAGUAAUCAUUUUAAAAUAUUUCUAUAUAUUUAAUUCUAUUAAAUAUUUUAAUCUUCAAUAAAAACCAAAGAGAGAGAAGGCAUACCAUAGGGAGUAGAAUUGGAAACCAGAUAUAUCUUAAAUUUUUUUUUUUUUUUUGUGGUAUGAUUUCUUUUCAUGAGAACCUUUUAUUGUAUUGUAAUGACUAAAUAAGAAAAUAUAGAUAUAAACUGAGAAGUAUAUAAGUUACAUGUUUCAAACAAUCUUUAUAGCCUUAAAAGGAGUGGCUGAGUUAGAUAAGUAGGGGGUAAAGUAAUUUUUUUUAUUUUUUUAAACAUGUAUUAUAAUAAAUAUACAAAAAAAAAAUUAAUAUUUCAUGAAGUGCUUUAUCAUUUAACAAAAUAAGUGAUUAUUGAUAUUAGUUAUGAAAGAAAAAAAUAUAUAGAAUAAAAAAUAAAACAACACAAUAGAUAAAGAAAAGUUUUAAUUAUUGAUAUUAUUUGUGAAAGAAAAGAACUUAUAAAGUAUGAAAUGAAAUGACAAAAAUAGAUAAUUUUUUUAAAAAAAUUUGUUUAAAAAUUAACAAAAAUUCAAACAAUUCUUUCAAAGGAAUUUUAAAAAAUAGCAAGAAAUGUGACCAUAAAUUUUAAAGAAUUUUACAUUUUUUAACAAAAUUUUAAAAAAUUCAAUAAUUUUACUAAUAAAUUUUAAGAAUCAUUUUUGAAAUAAUUAAAUUGAUAAAAAUUGUAUUUAAAAUUUAUUUCUAACAAUAUAAUAUAUCAACCUAAAAACUUAUCAUUAUCAAUAGUAAAUUGGUUGCGGCAUGAUUAAACCUAAAAACUUAGGAAUUUUAAAAUUCUUAAAGUCAACCAAAGCAACCUAAAUAAUCUAUCCACCUGAAUAAGUCCUAAUUUUUAUUUUUUUAUUUUAUUUAAAAAAAAAAAGAGUUUUCAAGUUUCAGACAAACCGAAACUGAGGGAUCUAAAAAUUUCCCAAAAUUUUGGGAUAAUUAAGAACACAUGAUUAAAAUAAAAUCAUGAAAAGAAAAGAAAAGAAAAAUAUAUCAACUGGGUUAUGAUUUCAAAUGUUAUAGAGAUAUUUCAUUUUUCACUAAUUCCAUCUAAUAAAUAUUUUAUUCAGUAGUGAAUGAAAUAAGAAGAUAGAGAACACAUACCUUGCUAGAGGUUAAAGAAACCCUUGAUGCUUUGGAAACUAGAGGUUUUUUUUCUUGGGUGAGUGAUCUUCUCUAUUAGCAGGCCUUUUUCUCGACGGCUGAGGCCAAUGCUUCUGAUCUUGGGCGUAUAUGAGAUGUAUCCCACAACUUUUCACUUUAAAGGAUGCGUUUUCGCCACAUGUAAAAGAGGCAUUACCAACAGGAUUGUCAAAGUGAGCCUUGAAGUUGUUCCACUUUCUGGAUCGAUACUUGCUUGGAAUGCGAAUUUGAGGGAAAUACGUCACCCACAGUGCUGGAUCUGAUGUGCUACCACUGUCGUAGCGUCUGCUGCUAUAUGAUAAACCGCUAAUAGAGUAUGUUUUACAACGAUGAUAAAAACUAAUAUUAUCCAGUCGUUCAGUUUGAUCACCAUGGGAUAUCGCCAAUUUACAUUCUGGAAUAAAACCAGAUGUUCUCACGCAUUCAUCAUCAUCAAGGGGAACAUGAUGGAAGAAUAAAACAAAUCCUAAUAACAAGUUAUUAUCUUCAUACCAAUUCAUUGGAAGUUCUACACUUACUUCACAUCCCAUUCUUUGAUGACUUACCCAUUCUGGUAUUCCACUACUUCCUGGAAUGAUAAUAUUAAGUCUCCGCUGCAGAAAAAAAUGUCAUGUAAAUCUCAUGUUUUUUAAAAAAUAAUAAUACUAAUAAUAAUAAAUAAAAAAUUAAAUUUUUUUUUUUUAAAAAAAGAUAAUUAUGCCAUGAAAAUGAUACCUGAAUUGGUGAUUUCAAGUGUUUGAGCAAAGAAGACCAGAGUAGACUUGAAGAAGUUUCAGUUUCCAGGGAUGGACAACCAUGUGCCUCUAUCCACCCUAGACUUGAUGGAAGCUCUCCAAUUACUUCAAGCAUCGGACAAUGAUUCAUGAGAAGGGUACCAAGCUUACAAAGUUGAGUGAUGCCAGCAGGUAUGCAACGCAUAUGGUUUUCACUUACGUUUAAAAAUUCCAGUGAGGAUAGACACCAUAAAUCAUUGGGGAUUUCUUCUUCCAUCAGAUUGCAACCACCUAGAUCUAGCAUUGUUAAGCAACAUUGCAGGCUUCUCAAAUUGUCAGGCAAGUUGUGGAGCUUUGGACAGUUACGAACAUGAAGACUAGUAAGACAUGUCAAAUUACCGAUGCUAUUGGGAAGAGCCACAAGGUUCUCACAAUUGAUCAAUUCCAAGGAUUUAAGACCUCUCAUAUGUUCGAUUGAUGAUGGCAGCUCUGAGAUACCCGUCUCACGUAAAAAAAGGCGUUCUAAUUGUUCCAUAUCCUCCGUGAUCUCUGAAAAAGCCUCUAGAUUUGAACAACCAUUGAGAGAGAGGCCUUCGAGGGAUUUCAACCCACAUAUACUGUUUGGAAGACUUUUCAAAUUUCUACAAUUUUCCAAAUUUAAGGGAUCAAGUCUGGUGAGAUGACCUACUGAGUAGGGUAAUCCUUUAAUAGCAGUCUCAUCUAGAAAAAGAGCCCAUAGAUUCCCCAUAUUUUUUUGGAUCUCAGGAAACCUCUCAAGACUUGAGCAACCACUGAGAGUAAGAAUUUCAAGGGCCUGCAAGUGCCCAAUGCUAUUUGGGAGUUCCUUAAUAGCGGUUUUCUCUAAAGAAAGCUCCUUCAAGCAUUUCAUAUUCCCUUAGAUCUCUGGAAAUUUCUCAAAGUUUGAGCAAUAUGAGAGGUUAAGAUUUUUAAGAGAUUCCAAAUACCCAAUGCUGCUUGGGAGUUCUUUAAUACCACUCCCAUAUAGACGUAGCUCCCUUAAACGUCCCAUAUUUGUAAAUACAUCUGAAAAGUUCUCAAACUUUGAACAUUCUUCAAGAGAAAGCAUUUCAAGAGAGGUUAAGGACCCAAUGCUAUUUGGGAGUUCCUUAAUAGCAGUCUCAUCUAAAAAAAGAUUCAACAAACAUUUCAUAUUCCCUUGGAUCUCUGGGAAUUUCUCAAAUUUGGAGCAACAUGAGAGGUCAAGAAUUUCAAGAGAUUCCAAAUACCCAAUGCUGCUUGGGAGUUCUUUAAUACCACUCCCACGUAAAUGAAGCCCCCUUAAAUGUCCCAUAUAGGUAAAUGUAUCCGGAAAUUUCUCAAACUUUGAACAUCCUUCUAAAUAAAGCUCCCUCAAAAAUUUCAUAUUCCCAUGGAUCUCAGGAAAUUUCUCAAAGUUUGAACAAUAUGAGAGAUUAAGGACUUCAAGAGAUGCUAAUACACAAUGCUACUUGGUAGUUCUUGGAUCUCACUCUUGUUUAAAUAAAGCUCCUUCAAACAUUCCAUAUUGCCAUGGAUCUCAGGAAACUUCUUCAAGUUUGGACAACAAUUAAGAUAAAGAACUUCAAGAGAUUCAAACUUCAUGCUGGAUGGGAAACUUCGGAGCUGUUCACAUCCUCCUAAAUUCAAGUAAGUCAAACUUUUGAGAUCGCCAAUAGAUGAAUGAAGUUCACGCAACCUUGUACAACCUUCAAGAUUCAGUCUCUCCAAAUUUGGCAUGCUUGAGAAUUUUGGCAUUUUGACCAAUUGUUUUGAGUUACUUAGAUCAAUGCCCUUUAAUUCUUUAAGACGCUGUAACAUAAGACAAUCUGUUAAUAAAAAAAAAUUCUUUAACUUGAAAAUUAUUAUAAAGAAAAAAAAUAAAUAAAUAAUGUUCAUACCUUAUUCCCUUUCCAAAGUUGUUUUAUGUUGCUAGACUUCAAGUUGAUUUCAAGAAGGUGCUUUCCAUAAAAGUUCCAAGGUAAAGACGUCAAAGUGCAUCUUUGCCAAUGAAGAUAUCUCAAAUCAUGAGGAAAUUCAAAGUCUUUUGGAAGAAGCACUUUAUACUCUUCUCUCGGCAAACCAUCAUGAUCAUUGCAAUAGAUUUUAAGCAACCUAAGUUUCUUCAUCUUGGGAAACACUUUUGUAUUGAACUGUAUUUCUCUUGAUCUAGACAAGUCCAAAGAUAUGGUUUGAAUAUUUUGCAUCUCCUGGAAAACAAUAAGGAAAAAUAAGGGAAGAACACAAGAUAAAAAUCCUAACUAUAAUUAUAGAGACAAUUAACCACUAAAAAGUCGAUUAUAAACAUUUAAAUAAAUAUUUAGGCAUUUAAUUCGUACCUCUUGUUUAGAAAAUGCAUCAUAAAUAUCAUCUACAUCCCACAAUCUACUCCAUUUGCAGGGGUCUCCAGGACAUUCUUCACGAACAAUUGCCCAACCCAUUUCUUGUAUCAAGUCAUGCAUUUGUAUGACGUUGUCUAAGAUAGUUACUAGACAUCUAUCACGAAGAACUCUUAUGUUGCAUGUUGCAAAUAAAUUGCAACCAUCUAAUAUUCUUGACACAAAAUCUUUGCAUUCACCUUUGAAAAAACACGCAAUGUCCAGGAAAACCUCCUUUUGAGAAGGAUCAAGCCCAUCAAAACUUAUUCUAAGCACAUCAUUAAUUUCCUUCAUAGGGUUUUUUUUUGAUUUAUCCGAUGCGCUUUUCCAUUCAUCUAUUGUCAUGCCCUGAAGAGAAGAACCUAGAACUUUAAGGGCCAAAGGGAGACCUUGAGCAUAUUGUACCAUGCAAUUUGAGAGGUCUACAUAAUCUUCUUUAGGAACAUUUUGUUUAAAGGCAUGUUGGCUGAAGAGUUGAAGAGCUUCCUCAUAAUGUAAUUCUGUAGCCUUAUGUGAUAUAGUCACUCCAUACUCAACCAACAGAUGUUGGUCUCUAGUUGUAAUGAUAAUUGUACUUCCUGGACCAAACCAUUUAGGACUUCCAGCCACUGACUCUAAUUGCUGCAAUCGAUCCACAUCAUCAAUUACAAUAAGAACCUUUUUUGAGCCAAGUCUGUCCUUUAUUAUAUUGAUUCCUUUAUUGAUAUUGCUAAACUUUUCAUCAUUCCCCACUAUAUCAUGAAGAAGUUGUUGUUGUAGUUGAAGUUGACAACCCUUGUUGAAUGUCUCUCUGACAUCUUGAAGAAAGCUAGCACCAGUGAAUUGAUAUUGGAUCUCAUUAUAAACAAUCUUGGCAAUGGUAGUUUUACCAAUUCCACCAAUUCCAUAUAUCCCAACCACACGAAUGUCAUUCAAGUCACUACUUAACAAUGACUUUAGUUCUUUUAGGCGAAAAUCCAUCCCAACUAUAUCCUCGUUAAUGUGCAAAAGCUUAGAAUUCAUUGAUCUUUUAAAAAUCAGGUUAACAAUUUCCUUAAUAUGCUUUGACUCAUACCUGCCAAUUAUAAAGUACAAUUUAACACUUCAUGAGUUAUAAUGAAUUGCAAAAAGAUAACAAAUAUUAAGUAAAUUUAUUGAUAUUUUUUUGCUUUUGUCAAUAUAACAAAAGUAAUAGGAUGUAAAAAAAUGUUAAAAGAACCCACUAUAUUGGGCAUUUUACAAAUAAUGAAAAGGCAAGUAGUUUUGAGCCAAGUGUUUAUAAGAUCACAAAGCAAGCUUUACUACACAAAAUUAUUAACUUGUUAAUUCAUAAUUUAAGACAACUAAAUCCUUACAACUGAAUUAAAUCAAAAGCACAAAUUAAGGAAGUUGGAGUUACCCAUCAUUCACAUGGAAACCACUUAGAUUGCUUGCUUCAGUCAAGGAAUCCCUCCACCUUUGCACCUUUUUCACAUCUACAUUUCUUUCAUGAAUGGAAAAUGCCUCUCCGAAGCUCCCUGUUUGCUUUUGCACAUCACAAGGAUCCACGUGGUAGAACACCGGAAAGACUAUUUGUUCCAUUUCUUCCCUGCACUCCAUGAUCUUUGCUAACUCAUCCAAACACCACUUGGAAUGAGCAUAGUUUUUUGAAAACACAACUAUGGAAAUUCUUGAUUCUUCAAUAGUUUUCAAAAGUUCUGAUUUGAUCUCUUCUCCUCUUUCAAGUUGAUCGUCUCUGAAAGUCUUAAUCCCCAUCCCAUCCAAAUUUACGAAUAAAUGAUCCGUAAAAUUGUUGCGGGUGUCUUCACUUCUAAAACUCAAGAACACUUCGAACUCAUAUUUACGGACUGAGGUAGAAGAAGAAGAGGGUUUUUGGGUAGAGGAAGCCAUUGUUGGACAGUUUCUAGAUGAAAGCUUAGAGAGAGUCGAGGAAGAACUUGGGCUUAGUCAAUACUUGAUACGCCGACGGCAUAUUUGGGUCCUCGUAUGAAGCAAAACUAUUUUUUUUUUUUGGUGGUUGUGGGGUGGUUGGAUUGUAAAAAGCAAAGAUCGAUUUUCCCAAUACAUUUAAGCAGGCGAUCCUCUUGCCAUUUUUUGGGUCCAAAUGCAUAAGCAUGUGAUUUGUCAGUUAAAUGUCAAGGAGUAAUGAGUGGGGAGGUCGGUGGCUUUUAUUAUUAUUUUUUAUAUUUUAAAUAAAGAUCAACAUUUUAAAUACAUGCUUAUUACUAAAAAAAAUAAAAAAAUUUAACAAAUUAAUUAAUUUUAAUUAUCUUAUUAUUAAAUUUCAUUUAACUUAUUAUGAAAAUGUAAAAACCAUAAUAAUGAUUUACUGAAAAUAAUCUCUAUGUUUUUUGUAUAUUAAUUAUUUAUAAAUUUAUAUAUAUAUAUAUAUAUAUAUAUAUAUAUAAUUUAAAAAAUAAAUAUUCAUAUAUCAUUAGUUAUUUUAUACCCUAAAAUACAUUCAAACUAAAUAGAACAUUAUUUUUAUAAUAAAUGUGGUAAGAUACUUUAUAAAGUACCCUUUUCUUUAUUUUUAAGUUUUCUUUUUCACUUUACAAACUCAUCUAUGUUGCUAAAUGUAUCCCUUUUUUUGUUUUACAAUUUUUAUAUUCUUUCAACUUUUCAAACUCAAUAAUCCUUUAAAAAAAAAUUAAUUUUUAAAACUUUAUCUUUUAUAAAAAGUUUCUAAAACCAUAAAAUUUUUAGAUAAAUUUAUUAUUAUAUUUUUCAUUAAAAAUAAUAAUAACAAUGAAAUUUUUUAUAACGAUGAACCAUAAUAUUUCAAAAUUUCACAUAAAAUCUCAAUUACUUUAAAACGAAUGUUAAAUUAUAAAGAAUAAAUAUAAAUAAAGAGAUAAUAAUUAUUUCAAUUAUAUUCUAUUAAAGCUUUUGUUUCUCUUGUCUAAUAUUUAUAUUGACUCAUACAUAUCUUUCUGUUCCUCCAAUCUAAAACCAUAAAAAAUAACACUAAGGCAUUUUACAUUGGUGAAAGAAUACAUAGCAUGAAUAUAUUUGAAUUUGCAAGAUAAUUAUAUCAUGCAUCACUAAAUUUAUCCAUAAAAAUAAACUUACGAAAUGUUGCAAAUUAAAUAAUAUUUUUUUAAUCAAGAUUGGAUUGAAAAGGAAUUUUAUGAAUAUUCUAAAAUUCAUUCUCCCAUUUGAUUUUCGAGCAAAUCCAUGCAAAAGCCCCAAGAAAAACCAAAAAAAUUGUUUUUUUUUUUGCUCCCUAUGUUUUUUGGAUUUGUUCUAGGGGUCUCCGUCCCCCAUUCAAUUUCCAAAAAAAUUCAUCAUCGUUUGAUUUUUGAGAAAAUCCAUGCAAAACCCCUAAUAAAAACAAAAAAAGAAAUUUUUUUUUUUUUUUUGCUCCCUGUAUUUUUUGAGUCUAUUCUAAGGGUCUCUACGCUUUUGUGCAAUUGGAUUUAAAUUUCACAAACCCUAAAUCCACGAUUUUUGAGUCAAGCUGAAAAACACAACAUUUACCAGUCAACCGGUGAGAGGUGUGAGUGGGAGCCGACUUCACUAGGAGGGAGGGAGAGGCGGACGGUGGGUAUGGAAAGAAAAAAAAUAUACAAUCUUAAUAUAAAAAAUGAAAUCGGCUUAGAAUAUAUAAAAAAAUAUAUAAUUUUUCACAUUAGUUUUCAGAUUUUGUAAAGUUGAAUUCGGAAAAGUAUAUAUCUGUGGAUUGAAACCAUCAAAACACAAGUUUCCAGAUCAUUUAUUCACAAUUGUCAGAGUGUAAUGAGUGGGGAGAUGGGUGGCUUUGAAAAAAAGUUAAGUAAUUCAAAAGCAACGGUCAUCAUGUGACAAGAAUCAUUUAUUCACAAUUGUCAGAGUGUAAUGAGUGGGGAGGUGGGUGGCUUUGAAAAAAAUUUAAGUAAUUCAGAAGCAACUUAAUUCAAAAGCAACUUUAUUUCCUUGCGUUUACAUACCGAAAAUGCCGUUCAUGUAUGACAAUAUUUCCAUGAUAUGGAGCUUCUAACUGUUCAGGAAUAAUAAAUCAAGUUCAAUCGAAAAUGAAAAUGUCAUCGAUAUUGCAACAUUUCCACGAUAUAUCGAGCUUCGGUGGGCUUGGACAUGACAUAAAGUGGUGAGAUUUCCUUUGCUCGAUUUUUCGGGGAGAAAAUAUAUUAAGCACAGUGAUUUUUAUUUUGGUAUUACUUUGACCAGUCAAAACCUUUCAAUAUUAUUGCCAUGGAUCCUUCCCCCUUUAAUUAUUUUUAUUUUUCAUAUUCUAUUUUAUAUAUUAUUAAAAAUAUAAAAAUAUCAUAAUAAUCUUAUUAAUGAGGCAUUCCUUAUUUUUUUUUAAAAACUUAGAUAUAAAAUUAUUAACAUUUUUAAACAUAAAAAUAUAUUCAUAUAUCAUUAUUUUUUUUUAUAUUUUAAAUAAAGAUCAUCAUUUUAAACACAUGUUUGAUUACUUAAAAAAAAAAAAAAAUUUAAUAAAUUAAUUAAUGUUAAUUAUCUUAUUAUUUAAAUUUGAAAUUUCCAUCUUAUGCAAAUUUCAUAAAUUUGAAAAGAUCUCAUAUUAAUUUUUUCCAAAAUUAUAUUAUAUUGUAUGAACCUAGAAAACUUUUAAAAACUUUAAAAAUAUUAAAGCCAUUAUAAAUUUUAUUUUAUUCAAGUUUUAAAAAAUAAAAUCAUUAUGGAUUUUAUUUCAUUUGAGUAUAUUAAAUCACUUUUUAAAUACAUUUUAAAAUGAAAAAAAUUAGAAAAUAAAAUCAUUAUGGAUUUUAUUUUAUUUGAGUAUGUUAAAUCACUUUUUAAAUAUAUUUUAAAAUGAAAAAAUUAGAGUGCGUGUAUUGCCAAGAUGUUGACUUAGGCAUUGGAAAAAAUAGUAUAUGUACAUAUAUUAUUAUAAUAAUAAAUAAUGAGAAGAAACAUACAACUUAUUGUUUUAGUUUUAAGAUUUUGUGCGUGUAACGAAGAUAGAAGGGUAAUGAAUUAAUUAUGUAUUGAAUUUGAAAAUUAAUAAAAAUUAUAAUAUUUAGUCAUGUAGUUAUAUUGAUGUAUGGUAUUUAAAUUCGUUCUAUUAAAUUUUUCCUUUUUCUAAUGAUAUAAAAUGGGUGCAUUAAAUGUUUAAUAAGACAAAAAUAAUAAUAAGAGGAUAUAAAUGACUCUAUAGAUAUUUUAAAAUAAGUGUAUAAAAAGGGUCAUCAAAAAUAUAAUUUUUGGAUUUAACAAAAUAACAUCUGAGUUUUAAGUUUAAAAAAAUUUAAAACUACAAUCGUCAAAGAUGGGACGUAACGAUACUAGUUGGGAUAUGGUAACAUUUUCCUUUAUAAAUAUACUAUAUUUAUAGAUAAAUAUUGAAUACAUAGGGGAUGUGCAUGGGGUCUGAAAGAUGGGUAUAUGUGAAUAUGGGUGUGAGGGAGUUAGUGAGAAAUGGAGAUGACCAAUACAUGCAUGGUUCUUAUGCACGAGUAGAAAACGAGUAGUGGGGCAAUGAAUGAGGCAUCUUGGCGUGGUGGGUAUGAAUGGUGGAAAGGCACUGAAACGAAGUGGGUUUGAAGGGUUCGGUGUGUGUGAGUAAAUGUCAUAUGGGGGUAUGAUGAGUAGUGGUACCCAUGUGCAUGAGAUUAGUUAUAUUGGGUGGUGUAGGUUGGUAAGAAAACGGUGUGCUAGAGAGAGAAAGGUGGUGAUGGGCAUUUAAGUUUAGAGGGAGAAACGGGUCUAGUGGGUAUGUGAAUAAUGGAAAUGCGUAAGAGGAUAUGAAGAGUAGGAUGGGUGGUAGUGGAGUAUGAGGUAUGAUUAGGAUGGGAAGGUGGCGAGACUGCAUGGGAGAAGCUGUUAAUGACGAGUGCAAAUGAGAGGAACAGUGACGAUAGAGUAGAUGCUGCAUGAUCAGCAAAGGCAUUCACAAAUUGGGGUGGCUGGCUUGAAGCUGGGGUUGAGACCAAAACAUUUAUCAUUGGAGGAGUUAGUGGAGAUCCCUUCAUCAAUGAUGACCAACCAGGCAUUGGGCUUGGAACACUACGAGGUAGUUGGUUGCUGCGUCCAUUAACAUAGCCUAGCCACAAAUAUGCUGAAGUAUCCAGCAGAUUCCUAGCAAUACAAACCUCAACAAUCAGAUGCCGCAUGUUUCCAGAACAGUUCAUUGACAAGUCAUUCAUGCUCAUGCCAUCCAGGUACCCACUCCCGGCCGUGAUGGACUCUGAUUCUUAGUUAAAUCUUAUUUUCCAAUUCCUUUCUCAGUCUUACCUACAUGAUCAACUUCACGUGAAAUAAUAGGACUUGAGCUCUCAUAUUCAAAGGUGUGUUUCAAUGGUUAAUUCAACACAGCUCCCUUCUUAGACACAGUCCUUGAAGAUAUUCCUGCACCCCUUCCACUAAUAUUUGACUUAUCAUCUAAGCCAGAGUGGUUAGAUGAAACCAUGCCUGAUGAUUGCUCCCUAUUAGGAUUUUCACGUACUCGAAACUCAGUGCGCUGGAUUCGUUUGGUUUCCUUUGAAAUCCACUAGAAUCUGCCCGAGAAGACUCAGGAACUGGAAAUGAUGAUCUUGGCCCAGAAUUCUUAACUGUGAACAUAUAUUUUUUGCCUUUACCAGCAAAUAUUGGGCCCUGAGCCUUUGACCCACUUAAAUCUCUGUCCCUUGAAAAAGAUUGGGAUGAUGUGGAUCCAUUUCGUGGCAGGCCUUCAGAUUCUCUGGCAUUGGACAAGGAAAUGUAGUUCUUUUUAAUUGUUUCAUGAUGCCCUUGAUCUGUCACUUGGAGUCCUAAUUCAUACCUACUAUUGUGUUCAACAAUAUGGACAUAUCAGCUAGGGCAUGACUUGUCAUAACACUACUGUUUGCACUUACUCUCAGGGGCAAUGACUACUUCUUUUGAUGCGUUGUCCUGUGGCAGAUCCAAGCUCCUUGGAACAAGACCAAGUUGACUGUCCAUUGGAAGGGACACUACGUCAAUCUUAGUGUUUUGAAUGGCUUGAACGUGGAAAAGCCAACCUUCAGGAUUCUGAUUGGUUGUAAAAUGGGCAGGGGCAUUGGGCUGAACAAAAGACAUUGGUUGAGGAGCCAGUGGUAGAAUUCCUUGGGAGAUAGGUGAUGUAUAUCUGAGUUGACCAAACUGGAAGAGAGGAGGCUAUGAUGUGUGUAUAUGGGUAAGUGAUGAACCAACUUGGGGAUGUAGAUGGAGAGGCAUCUGUAUGGAGCCAAUCUGGAGUAGCAGAUACAGUAGACGUAACCGCCUUCCCAUAUGAGGAAUGCAUGGCCACAUUAACAGAAGAGGGAGCGGGAUGCAGUGAAGUCUGACUAGAACUAAUAGAAGCAUCCACAGAAUUCAAAACAUUAGAUGCCACCGAGGUAUGAGGACCAUUAACCGGCUGUAUAACUAAAUCUUGGAUUGCCUUUCCUGCGUCUUCAUCCCUCCUGCCAGAACCAUCAAUGCUCACUUGAGGAGAGCCAUCAGUAAGUUGAGGGCUUUGUCCUUCAUGUAUCCCACCAAAAGCACCUUGUUCCUCUACAGUACCAAGAGAAACCUUCGAUAGCAUAAAUGUGCUUUCUUCAUUUCCUGAACUUCUCUCAAACUCAUCACUUGGCAUUCUAACUUCAACACCCUCAUCCAAGCCCAAGACCGAGUUGUCUACCGUGUGGGGAGAGCCUUUCUCUCCUAAAUGCACAUCCUCCAACUCCUUGGUCAGGUUAAUAUGCUCAUCUACUUCAUGCACUUCAUCUUCUUCAUCUGAACUCUCUCAGAAGCAUUUCGAUUAAAACGACCAGACCAAACAUGAUGCCCAACAAAUACAUGCAUAAAGUCACCUAGCCAUGAUAAGUGUGUUGCAACUCUUCAUACCCAUGGACUGAGAACAUAUUUCUUGCAGUACCUUACCUCUUCAGGCAGAGAUGGGAAAUCUGAUGCGGUCUACAGCCAAGCAACAGGAACAGAGGAAAACAGCAAACAGAACACAAAUAAUGGGAACCAAAUGAACCCCCACCAACCUCAUUUCACGUAUCAAUCAAUGAGCUUAGACGUAGGAGUGGGUCAAAGCAGAUUUCAAAUGAGUUUUAAAACAAAAUUAAGACAUGAAUGCCAAUAUCUCAUAAUCUCAAAACAGGGGACAUAAAACAGAUUAGAAAUCAAAGGCAAGUGCAAACAAGCUCAAAUUCCAUAAAAAUAAAAAUAAAAAACAAACUAAAAUCCCCAAUAAAUACAUUCAAACACCAAAAUAGAAUCUCAUGAUACCCAGAUAAUGCAAUAAAAUGGCAUGAACGUGGAAAAGCUAACCUAUAGAAAUAAUAUCUAAGCCUCCUUUUUUCAAGGCUCUUCCCCUGCGUGUUUCUUCUUGUCUCUGACUGGGUUUCUCUUCCAAGAAAAUACAACUGAUAUCCCUUUACCCAAGCAAUCUUACUCCUCGGGUAACCACACUGCAGCGCCCUCCCUCUGUAACCUCUCAAAACUCUCUCUCAUGUACUCCCUCAACAAGACUUACAUCUCAAGCUAACCUCUCACUGCCCAAAAUAUCUCUCCAAACAGCAGCGAAGACAUCACCCUCAAAAAAAAAAAAAUAUCUCUGUAAAAAAAUCACCUCCCUCUCAAUACGCUCUCUCUCCCCCCUCCAACUUGCUGCCCAAGCUAAAGGAAUCCCCUCUAGAAACCGAGUUUGCUCCCUCUCUAGCUAAAACUCUCCUCCCAAGCUCUCUGCAACUCAAAAAUAUCUCUCUCAAACCAGCCCACGGAAUACCCUCCUCAGACAACAACUUCUCCCUCCCUCUAGCUUGCUACCCAAGCUAAAGAUGAAAACCUCUCUAAAAAUAUCUCCUAAAAAAACCCACCCCUGAAAAACACCAUCUACUCCCUCAAAAUGUCUCCCCCCAAAACGACAACGAAGACCCCAACUAGCUGGCUACGCUCCUGCACCAGCUCACUAACGGCCUGCAACUUUUCCAAACUCUUCUUGACACGUGUCCACCUUAUUGCCUCUUCAAUCCACUAUUAUGAUUCCAUAGCAGCCAUCCCUGAAGCAACACGUGGCUCUUUGAGAGCCUUGGUAAGAAAAACUCACAGAAAAGUGAGAAAAAAUGAGCCCCUAAAAUGGGGGUCAACACAUGAUAAUUGUUACGGCCUAUGUAUUCAUAAAUGAAGCUUUAAUUUUUUUUUUAAUUAAUUCAAACCAAAUUUUGGCCUAAAAUAGAUACAAUAAUAUGAUCUUUCUUUUUGAAUUCCAUAAUUCUUUCCAAAGAUAGAAAAAAAAAGUUUUAACUUUAGAUUGCCCAAGAACAUAGAAUCUCCAAAUUUCAUAAAAUAAAUAAAAAACUAUUUAAAUGACUUGACCAUAUGUAAUUUCGUAUUGAACUCGGUAUUCUUCCAAGCAUGAAAUCAUCUUAAAAAUUCUUUAGAUAUAUUUUUUCCACUAAUUUUAAUAAGUAUUUUAACAUUCAGUAAAACCAAAAAUAGAGAGGCAUACCUUAUUGAGUUGAGAAGGAAGCAAGACAUGUCUUCAUUUUUUGUGGUUUGAGUUCUCUGCAUAAGAACUUUUGAUUUUAUUGUAAUGACAAAUUAAGAAAAAUAUGAUCUCAAAAUUUUUAAUCUAUGGUAAUGACCAAAUAAAAAAUAUAUAGCUAUGAAAUGAGAAGUAUAUCAUAAGUUACAUGUAUCCAACGUGAAGAUCAAAAGAUAUGGCAAAGAUAUAGCUUUGAAGGAAAGAGGUAGGGACCAGAGUAAAAAUAAAAAAUAAAAAAUAAAAAAAUCAUGAGUUAUAAUAAACACACAAAAACUUUUAUAUUUCAUGAAGUGCCGUUGAUUUAAAAAUAAUAAGUAAUUAUUGAUAUUAGUUGUAAAAGAGAAAAAUAUCAAAUAUCAAAUGAAAAACAAAAAUAGAUAAAAAAAAAAUAGUUUUAAUUAUUGGUAUUAGUUAUGAAAGAAAAAAAACCUAUAAAGGAUUAAAUGAAACAAAAAAUACAGAAAUUUAUAUUAAAAAAAUAAAAAAUAUUUUCAAAGAAUUAAAAAAAGAUAGCAAGAAUUUUUUUUUUAGUAGAAUUUUUCAAUUUUUUCUUUUGUAAAAAAACUUUUUAAAAAAUCAUUAAUUUUAAUAAAAUUUUAGAAUUUUUUGAAAUAAUUAAAUUGAUAAAUUUUCUAUUUAAAAUUUAUUAUAAUAUAGAGGUAGCACUAUCCUUAUCAAUAGUAAAUUAGUUACAACAUGAUUAAAUCUAAAAUUUUAGGUAUCUUAAAAAUCUUAAAGUCAACCAAAACAACCUACACUAAAAAAGUUAUUUAAUAAACUAUAAAUUAUUUAAAUUAAAUUAAAUUUUAUUAACAAUUAAGUAGAAAUAAUCUAAAUAAUCAUAUAGUCAUUUGUAGUUUAGUAACUACUUAAUUAAAUUUAAAAAUUUAAACAUUUAACAAAUAUCAAAAUCAAACCAAAUAUCCCAUCACUAAAAAUAUUAACUUUAUAAUUAAAAAAACAUUUUUAAAAAUUUGUUUUAUGAUAUAUAUUACGAUUUAAAUAAAAUUAAUUUUAUAAGCAUUAAAUAAAAUAAAAAAUAUGAUAAAUAAAUAUUUUAUAAAAUCUAUUUAGUAUCGGCAUUUAUCUAAUUUCUUUUUUUUCAUACAAAAUCGUUUUAUGAGGAGCUGAAAGCUUAUAUUUUGGCUUUUUAUUCUUUAACAUUCCUAAAUAAAUAGAAGGAUAUUUUGCCCCAAGCCCACCAUGCUCCUUCACUAGCCCUAGGUCAUGCUCUCACCUUUUAGAUUGUUUAUAAAUGGAUGCUUCGCUUUCUCACAUUACCAAAUGAGAAAAAGGCCAAAGCGAGGGCAAAAUAACUAUUAAAUUAUAUAUGUUUCACGUAAAUAGAGUUUUUGUAACAUAAUCAAUCAAUUUAAGAAACAUAUCAUAAUUAUUAUUAAGCUCUAAAUAUAUAGUUUACGUGAAAAUAUUCACCUUCCAUUUUGCCUCCUAAAUUGCAUGCUUUUGACUACCUUCAAAAUUUCGAUAAUCUAUUCCAAAUAUGAUACUUGAAUAAGUCAUAAAGUAUUUUUUUUAAAAAAAGAAAAAAGAAAAAUGAGUUCUAACUUUCAAACAAACCUAAGGUAGGGGUUCUCAAAAUUUCCUAAAAUUUUAGGAAAAUUAAGAACACAUAAUUAAAAUAAAAUCAUGAAAAGAAAAAAAAGGAAAAAAUGACUCACUAGGUUAUGAUUUUAAAAAUUAUUUAGAUAUUUCUUUUUUCACUAAUUCAAUCUAACAAAUAAUUUAACCAAUGAUUAGUUAUGGUUCCAUGAUAUGAUGAUGAUAGUUGUCCUCUACUUUUUCAUCUUAAAAAAUGAAGCAAAAUAAGUAUUAAUUCAUGCUUUAAAAGAUGAUUAUGCAGUUUAAAAAACAUAUGAUUUGGCAUACCAAUUUAGAUAUGAAGUUCUAAAUAAAAAUUGUAAUUAAUUCAAACAAAAAUUUUGGCCUACCAAAAUAGCUACGAUUUUUCUUUUUAAAUUCAAUAAUUCAUUGUAAAGAUAAAGCUUUGAUAGCUGCUAAGAUAUUUAUUAAGGAAAAAAAAAGUUUUAACUUUAGAUAGGCCAAGAAUAGGGGAUCUCCAAAUUUCAUAAAAUCUUUGGAUGAUUACAAACAAAUAAAUCAAAAUAAAAGCUUAAAAAGAAAAAACUUAUUUAAAUGACUUGACCAUAUCUAAUUCGAUAUUGAACUCCAUAUUCUUCCAAUCAUCUAAUCAUUUUAAAAAUUUCUAGUAAGUAUUUUAACCUUCAAUGAAACCAAAAACAGAGAAGGCAUACAUUAUUUGGGUGAGCUGGAAACAGGGAUGUCUUCAUUUUUUCUAGUUUGAGUUCUUUGUAUAAGAACAUUUUAUUUUAUUGUAAUGAAUAAAUGAGAAAAAUAUAAUCUCAUAAUUUUUAAUCUAUUGUAAUGAGUAAAUAAAAAAAAUAUAGAUAUAUAAUUAGAAGUAUAUAAGUUAAAUGUUUCAAACCAUCUUUUAUAAGAAUAUCAAAAGAUAUGGCCAUAAAGGACAACGGAGUUAGGUGGAUAGGGGGAAAAGUCAAAAGACCAAAAAAAAAAAAAAACUCUUAAUUUAUAAUCAACAUACAAAAACUUUUAUAUUUCAUGAAGUGGUCUAAGUAUCAUUUUAAAAAGUACGUAAUGAUUGACAUUAAUUAUGAAGGAAAAAAAAUAUAUGAACUAACAAAUGAAACAAGAAAAAUAGAAAAAGAAGUGUUGUAAUUGUUGAUAUUAGUUAUGAAAAAAAAAUAAAAACUAUCAAAUGAAACAAGAAAAAUAGAUAAAGAAGUGUUGUAAUUGUUGACAUUAGUUAUGAAAAAAAAAUAAAAACUAUCAAAUGAAACAAGAAAAAUAGAUAAAUAAGUGUUUUAAUUAUUGAUAUUUGUUGUAUUAUGUGACUCAUAUUGAGUGAAAGACAUAUAGAGAAAAAUGUGCAAAUACUGAAACAAAGCGAAGUGAAACGGAGCAGAGUAACAACAUUUGCCAUUCAAACUUGUAUUUUUAUUGUUGUGGGCGAAUGAUAGGUUGGGAGGGUUCGAGGAAGGGGGGCGUCUUCCCGCAAUAUAGUGUAGGGGUAUUUUGGAAUUUCAUUACCUAAGGGUUAGUACAAAUACCCUUUUUAUAUAACCCUAAUUUUAGAUAUAGUGAAAGUUUUCUUCCCUAUUCUCGUGGAUGUAGACAAUCUGUUGAACCACAUUAAAUUUGUGUGUUUUUCUUUUCAUUUUCUCUAAUUUUCACCAUAAAUCGUUGCAUGAAACUUAACAAUUGGUAUCAAAGCGUCAGGUUCGAUGUCAGGGAUUUCUUUACGAAGUUCGACAUAGUCAAGUUCGAUGGAUUCGGGAAUUUCGAUUUAUGGCAGAGGACGAUUAAGGAUCUAUUAGUGCAACAAGGUAUGGUUGAUUACUACUCAAAAAGUGUUAUUUCAUAGCUUGUAAUUAACUCUUUUAAACAUUUUUGAGUAUUGGUUAUUACCUUUUAACCCAAUUAACAUGUUAAGGACCCUUGUAAUCAAUUCUAAUAAAAAAUGUGUUAAGUUUUGGUGUUUUGAUAGCUUUUUGAUCACCAAAGCAAUCUGAGAUUGAAGAGAGUUCUUUGGAAUCCAUGCAAGGAGUAUACCCGGACAGGGUGUCCGGAUACACCAUCGGAGGGCAUCCGGACAAUACAUCCGGAUAGUGGAAGUGCGCCACCAUUCCAUCCGGCUGCCGCCACUUUAUACCCGACUGCCGCCACUUUACACCCGGAUGCCGCACUUUCCACCCGGAUGUAUCACAUCCGGAAAUCUGCUGCCGCCGCCAUUACAUCCAGAUGUCUCACAUCUGGCACAUUAUAUCCGGAUAUUUUGCAUCCGGCGCCUGACGCCGGAUGGGAGAGGAGAGCGUUUUGCACAGUGUCACGGUGUUCUCUUGAAGCUUCCCGAUAUUUGCACCGAAAUUUUGGGAUAUUUUGAGAUAUUUUGCUUUAGAUAUUUAAUGUCGGUGUUCUCCUGAAGCUUCCAGAUAUUUACGACUGACACUUUGGGAUAUUUUGUUUUAGAUAUUUUAUGUCUAAAUUCCCAAAGUCUCCUUGUAACCCACCAAUUAUAGGAUUCCUUAGUCUUUAAGUAAGUACAAAGGGUAAAUAACCCUUUAUAUAUAGUUUGUAAUCUUCUUUGAAAGAAGGAUCAGAAUUAGAUCUCGGGAGCCUGUUCCCAAGGAGGUAUAUCCUGGGAGCUUGUUCUCAGAGAUGCAUCCUUUGUACAGUUUUGGGAAGGAAGUAAAAUACAGAGUACUUGCUCUGCUUUUGUUUUCUCGUUAUUUUCUUUCUAGCUAAUCAAAUUCUAAGGAUUUUUCCUCAGAGGAUGAGAGGUUAGGCUCUUUGUUUCUUGGAGUGAAGAAAGCCGAGUAAAUUUCCUCAUGCAUAAAUUGGAAGUUUUGUUGUUUUAGUUUUUAAUGAAGAGAAAGUGUGACCCAUUAAUGGUUUUUAUCUUUUUAGUUAACUUAAAACGCCUUUAAAUCACCUGGGCCAACACUUGGUAAGCUUUUGGACUCUACGGAGACAUCCAUUAGUUAUCUCUUGCGAGCUUUUGACGGGUAAUCCAAGGUUAAAGAUCACCUUGAAUGGCAAGUGCUAGGUGAGAGGUAUGAGCCACUGCAAGGUGCAUCAAUGAGAGAGAUUUAGUGUUUGAACCCAUUAAUGGGAAGCAUCUGUACCACACCGGUUCGGGAAAUAACUAUAUGUUAAAUCCCCAAUGCGAGGAAAAUAAACGAGUGACCGGAACUCUCCUUUUUGUAUGAGGAAUCUGAACCUAGUGAUCUAAACUCCAAGAGACACUUUUCUUUAUAAGUAAAAUCAGUUACUAUUUUUGGUUAGUUUAAAACCAAACCUUUUUCCGCUAAAGAUUAUGUUUUCUUUUAAAGCUAACCUUGAAAUGAAAAGGCAUCAAUUCAACUUUGAAUUAAUAUCAAUUGUGAAGUGAAAACCCAUCCCAGUGAACGAUCCUAGAGCCACUAUGUUAUAGUAGCUUUGUCUUUACUACCCUAGUUCAUGGUGUAAUAGGUUAUAAAUUUUGUUGAUUACUCCCUCAAUCAAGGAGCACCAGCUGGACAUGAAUCAGCUGAUACACCAAGUGGGCACGAAUCAAAUGGCGCCGUUGCCGGGGAUGGUGCCACUUUACAGUGAUAUGACCUUUUCAGAGUACUUGUGAUCUUCAUCACAAGUUUGGUGACUUUUCUUUUCCUUUUACUAACUCUUUUUAUUUGUUUAUUUUCCUUUGUUCAUGUUUUAGUAUAUCUUUUAUUUAGUUUUUAGUUAAACUUAAUAAUUUUCUUUAGAAUUUUUUUUUUCUUUUGUUUUCUCUGUUUUUAAUUCAGAAAUUGCUAGUUGUGCAUGCCAUAUUGAAUACGAGAUAGCAGAGGAAGCCAUUAACUUCAUGAGUUAAGUGGCUAAAUUUUCAAGAGGAUGGGAUGAACCAAAUGUUAGAAAUAUGGGCAGAAUGACAUCUCAACCUAAAACUAAGGGUGAGAUGUAUAUUUUGAAUGACGGCAUGAACAUGAAGGCAAAGAUUGCAGCUAUGGAAAGGAGAUUGGAAGAGCUAGAAAUGAACCAGAUGCAAGAAGUGCAAGCCAUCUCUCAGACACCAUUGCAAGCUAUGCCUUGUGCCAUUUGUCUAUCUUAUGAGCACUUGGUGAAGGAGUGUCCUACCAUUCCAGUGGCGAGGGAAAUGUUUGGUGAUUGCAACACCUACAAUUCCAAUUGGAGGAAACAUCCAAAUUUCUCUUGGAAACCACAGCCACCUCAGUACCAGCAACCUACUCAAGCACCACAGCAAGCCUCAAACCUUGAACAAGCUAUGAUGAAUCUUAACAAGGUCAUGGGAGACUUUGUUGAAGCUAAAAAAUCCAUUGUUGAUCAAGUCAGGCAAGAAAUUGACAGCCAAGACAAAAAGACGGAUGGGAGGUUGAAUGAUCUGUCUCAGAAGACAGACAAUCUCGAAUACACAAGCUCAAGGUUUGCCAACCUCAACGCAAUGCAAGAGAAAGAAAACUUUCUUUUUCAACCUCAUAAAAAUCAAAAGGGUAUCCAUGAAAUAGAGGUUGGGGAGAGUGAUAAAGAGGUUGAUCUGCCCGCAUGCAAGCUAGAGCAUGAGGUAGAGAGUGAAACAGAGAAAGAAAAGAGGGAGGAAAUCAAAGGAAAGAGAAAGGGGAAAAGUACAGAGAAAGAUGACUGUAUAAAUGAAAAAUCACAGAGAAUAGUCAUCAAGGAAGAAUUGAUGAAGAAACGCAUACCUCCACUUUUCCUCCAAGCUUUGUAUGGGAAAAUCAUACAAAACAAAUCCCAAGUGAGGGAUGCAAACUUCAUAUGGGAUCCGGGCAAGCUAAAUCAGGAUCAAAUUUUUUUAUGGACUUAGUCUUUUUAAAGACUAGCUAGUCCAUAUCUUUUUGUUUUGUUUUUUACUUGUUUUAAUUUUGAUUUUAAUGUUUUAAAUUUUGAUUUAAAUGCUUUAAUUUUGAUUUCAAUGCUUUAAUUUUAAUUUGUUUUGAUGUAAUAUAGGUUUUUGGAUGAUUAAAAUCAAGAGGAAUGUCAAAAGAGUUGAAAGAAGGAAGUUGAGAAUCAAGAAGAGCUCAAAAAGCAAGGAGAGAGCAUGGCCUGCGAAAUUUCGCAGCAAAAGUGAGCCGCUGCGAAAAUCGCCCCCCUCGCUGCGAAAUGGUUUCACAGCCUCCAAGCGCCCUCUGCAAAAAUUUUCACAGCUGCGAAGAGGUCCCUUGGCACACGAGUGCCAUUUCGCAAGCCUGUACACCCGUUUCGCAGCUGCGAAAUGGCUGCGAAACCUCCACGCCUUGAAAUCCUCCAUUUCGCAGCCGAUGAGCCAUUUCGAAGGGUGUUUCGCAACUGCGAAACCACCCUUUGGCACACGAGUGCCACUUCGCAGCACCCGUACGCCCAUUUCGCAACUGCGAAAUGGGCUGUGAAAAUUGCCCUCCUCCGCGAAAUCCACCCCCCGCUACGAAAAUGCUCAAAGCUUCAAAAAUGGGCUGCAAAAUUCCCAUUUUGUUGCCAAAUGAUUUCCAAACUUCCAAAUGGCUGUGAAAUGAUCUCCAAGCUUCAAAAUGGAUGUAAAAUGGCCUCUAAGCUUCAAAAAGGCUACGAAAAAGCUCCAGGCAUCAAAAUGGGCUGCGAAAUGAUUUCGCAGCCCCAUAGCUACCCCUUGUGAAAUCCUCCAUUUUCUGUAAAAAUGGCCUUUUGAUUGCGAAAUGAUUUUCCAAACUUCAAAAUGGUUGUGAAAUGAUUUCCAAACUUCGAAAUGGGCUGCAAAAAUGUUUUUCUUUUUUCCUUUUGGCUUCGAAAUGGCUAAGAAAUGGCCUCCAAGCUAUGAAAUGAUUUGCAAAAACACUUUGCAAAACCAAGGGAAGUUGCAAAAAUGCCAACAAAGCCAUGCAACCAUGCAUCUAAAGAGGAGAGCCCUCUCACUGAGAUCACACACAUGAAGCCUCUCACUCCACUUCUUACCUCCUAAAACCAUAAGAGCCCAUAGCUCCAGUUGAGGAGACUAUGCCACCUAAGGAGACUACCAGAAUAGAGGCCAAAGUCAUGAUCCAACCUACUCAAGAGGCCACCACAGAUGUAUUAACACCACAGAUGCAUCAGCUCCACAGGACCUUACCAUUAUUUGAUCAUCUCUUUACUUUUUGUCUUUACAUAUUAUAUUAGUAUACAUAAUUCCAUGUUUUGAUGUCUUAUAUUCUGGGAUUGGAUGUAUUACUGAUGAUGCAUCAUAUAUAGACAUCAAUUCUUGUUUAAAACUUGGCAUUUUUCUAUUUGCUCUACUCACUAUUUUUUUUGAAACAUGUGGUUUCUCCUAUACGACUCAGACUCCAUGUCACCCAGGAGGUACCACUUCCUCCCUAUUAUUCAAUCGUGUUGUCACAUUGAGGACAAUGUUCAUCUUGGUUGAGGGGAGAGUUGAGGAAGUAAGUUUUGUUAAUAAUGCUAAGUUAUUUUGGUAAUUUAGUUGUUUUUGUUUAAUUUUUAAAAUUUUUUGAAAGUUUUUUAUUCUACUCUCCAUGCUUAUUAAGGAAAAAUUUUCAAAAUGAAAAGGGAGAAAUUGAAUUUUUGUCUUUUUACUUAACUUAGAGUUUGUAUUAUGCUUAUUAAAGUUGAUGAAUUGUUGAAACUUCUAUUGAAUUCAAGCUUAUGUCUUCCACUUUAAGCUAUUCACACACUGUGCACAAUAGGUUCCGAUUAUAAGAUGAAAAACUAUUUCCCUCUUGACUUAGGAAAAUUUAGACUUGGUACCUUUGACAUCAUUUAAUAGUGUUGGGACACCUUAUAAAAGGCCAAUGAGUCUUUGAAAAAAAAAGAAGAAAGAAAAAUGUUUGCUUACCUUGAAACCCGAGCAAGGUCCGAGGGGUAUAUGGUAAAAAUCUUUAAAACCUGGUGCCCUAAGCCUUCAUUGGUUGGGAGUCACCGACCUCAAUACUCGUUACAAGGGUGAAUAUGUGGAGUUUAACAUACUGUAGGUGCUUAGGUAUAAAAAUUCAUUCUUAAAAGUCCGGGGUAAAAUCCGAGGAGUUAGUCGUUGAAAAAUCCUUAAAACUUGAUGCCCAAAACCUUAAUUGGUUGGGAGUCAUCGAUGGAUCCCCAUUACAUGGACAGUUUAGAAAAGAAAUACCUUUAAGCCUUGUACUCCUACAAUGAAAAAAAUUGUGAAAAAAAAAGGUGCGUUCUUAGCCUAUUGGAGGUUGAUCAGUUUGCUAAGCUUUGAAAAAAGAACUAGGUUGGGGGGAGAGAUUAGUUCAACAUACUAUAUUCGGAAGCUAAUAAAUAACACUUAGAUUUUUGUGGAAGAGUAAGGUUUGACCAUUUGGGAGUGGAAACUCUUUUAAAACUUAAAUUUGCAUAAUGCCUUCUCUUUAAGAAUAAUGAUUAGACAAGUUAUUUGAUAACUCUUGUUGAAAUUUGAGUUUUAUUUCUUUAAAUGUUCCAUGUGAGAGGUAGAUCAUCAUGCCACUUGAAAAUUGUUUUUUGAUCAAGCAUGAUGUUGUAAAUUAUAGUAUUGUUUAUUUUUAUUUUUCUCUUCUUCAUUGCUAAGGGACUAGCAAUAUGUCGGUUGGGGGGAGUGAUUACUACUCAAAAAGUGUUAUUUCAUAGCUUGUAAUUAACUCUUUUAAACACUUUUGAGUAGUAGUUAUUACCUUUUAACCCAAUUAACAUGUUAAGGACCCUUGCAAUCAAUUCUAAUAAAAAAUGUGUUAAGUUUUGGUGUUUUGAUAGCUUUUUGAUCACCAAAGCAAUCUGAGAUUGAGGAGAGUUCUUUGGAAUCCAUGCAAGGAGUAUACCCGGAUAGGGUGUUAGGAUACACCAUCGGAGGGCAUCUGGACAAUACAUCCGGAUAGUAGAAGUGCGCCCCCAUUCCAUCCGGCUGCCGCCACUUUACACCUGGAUGCCGCACUUUCCACCCGGAUGUAUCACAUCUGGAAAUCUGCUGUCGCCGCCAUUACAUCCGGAUGUCUCGCAUCCGGCACAUUAUAUCCGGAUAUUUUGCAUCCGGCGCCUGACGCCGGAUGGGAGAGGAGAGCGUUUUGCACAGUGCCGCGGUGUUCUCUUGAAGCUUCCCGAUAUUUGCACCGACAUUUUGGGAUAUUUUGAGAUAUUUUGCUUUAGAUAUUUAAUGUCGGUGUUCUCCUGAAGCUUCCAGAUAUUUACGACCGACACUUUGGGAUAUUUUGCUUUAGAUAUUUUAUGUCUAAAUUCCCAAAGUCUCCUUGUAACCCACCAAUUAUAGGAUUCCUUAGUCUUUAAGUAAGUACAAAGGGUAAAUAACCCCUUAUAUAUAGUGUGUAAUCUUCUUUGAAAGAAGGAUCGGAAUUAGAUCUCGGGAGCCUGUUCCCAAGGAGGUAUAUCCUGGGAGCUUGUUCUCAGAGACGCAUCAUUUGUACAAUUUUGGGAAGGAAGUAAAAUACAGAGUACUUGCUUUGCUUUUGUUUUCUCGUUAUUUUCUUUCUAGCUAAUCAAAUUCUAAGGAUUUUUCCUCAGAGGAUGAGAGGCUAGGCUCUUUGUCUCUUGGAGUGAAGAAAGCCGAGUAAAUUUCCUCAUGCAUAAAUUGGAAGUUUUGUUGUUUUAGUUUUUAAUGAAGAGAAAGUGUGACCCAUUAAUGGUUUUUAUCUUUUUAGUUAACUUAAAACUCCUUUAAAUCACCUGGGCCAACACUUGAUAAGGCAAGUGAUCUCCAUCCAUUGAGAUGCACUAGUUUAUCUCUUGCGAGCCUCUGGGAGGUAGUUUGAAGGUAGGAUUUUCUAGAAUAGCCAACACUUGGUAAGCUUUUGGACUCUACGGAGACAUCCAUUAGUUAUCUCUUGCGAGCUUUUGACGGGUAAUCCAAGGUUAAAGAUCACCUUGAAUGGCAAGUGCUAGGUGAGAGGUAUGAGCCACUGCAAGGUGCAUCAGUGAGAGAGAUUUAGUGUUUGAACCCAUUAAUGGGAAGCAUCUGUACCACACCGGUUCGGGAAAUAACUAUAUGUUAAAUCCUCAAUGCGAGGAAAAUAAACAAGUGACCGGAACUCUCCUUUUUGUAUGAGGAAUCUGAACCCAGUGAUCUAAACUCCAAGAGACACUUUUCUUUAUAAGUAAAAUCAAUUACUAUUUUUGGUUAGUUUAAAACCAAACCUUUUUCCGCUAAAGAUUAUGUUUUCUUUUAAAGCUAACCUUGAAAUGAAAAGGCAUCAAUUCAGCUUUGAAUUAAUAUCAAUUGUAAAGUGAAAACUCAUCCCAGUGAACGAUCCUAGAGCCACUAUGCUAUAGUAGCUUUGUCUUUGCUACCCUAGUUCAUGGUGUAAUAGGUUAUAAAUUUUGUUGAUUACUCCCUCAAUCAAGGAGCACCAGCUGGACAUGAAUCAGCUGAUACACCAAGUGGGCACGAAUCAAUGGUGAAGGUGUUAUCCGGAAAACAACCAAAAAGAAUGAAUGACAUGGAUUAGAAGGAUUUGGAAGCAAAGGUUGCGGCAACUAUCAGGCUUUGUUUGGCUGAUAAUGUGAUGUACCAUGUCAUGGAUGAGGAAUCAUCGACGAUAAUUUGGUUGAAAUUGGAAAGUCGGUAUAUGUCUAAGUCAUUGACGAACAAGUUGUAUCUGAAGUAAAAACUGUAUGGUCUUAAGAUGGUAGAGGGCUCAGAUCUAAGCCAGCAUAUCAAUGUGUUUAAUCAUAUCAUUAGUGAUUUGAAGCGAAUUGAUGUGAAGUUCGAAGAUGAAGACAAGGCGUUGAUGUUAUUGAAUUCCCUUCUUGCUUCUUCUACAUAUGAAAAUCUAGUUACAACUCUGAUGUGGGGAAAAGAAACUCUUGAUUUGGAGGAUAUCACAAGUAUUCUUUUAGGAUUCAAUAAGAAGAAGAAAGCCAAUAAUGAGAGUUCUCGGGGUGAAGGGCUUGUGGCAAAAAGUAAUCAGGAACGUGGGAGAAACAAGUUUCGGAGCGAAUCGAGUAACAAUAAAUCUCGAUCUAAAUCCAAGAAGAGAAAUGACAUACAAUGUUAUAAGUGCGAAAAAAAUAGGGCACAUGAAACGAGAUUGUCCAGAGAAAAAGAAAGAGGGCUCGGUAUCGAAAAAUAAAGAGGGUAUCAAAGUCUACAAAUGCAGUGGUAGAAGAAGACUCAGAGAGUGGUGAUGGUGAUAUGUUGUUGGUUUCAUCCAGUUCAAAUCAUCUUACAGAUUCUUGGAUCUUAGAUUUAGCAUGGUCUUAUCAUAUGACACCCAAUAAAAAUUGGUUUAACACAUACAAGUUAGUAAAUUCUGGUUCUAUUAUGAUAGGUAAUGAUGUUUCAUGCAAACUUGCUGGAAUAAGGAAUAUCAUAAUUAAAAUGUUUGAUGGUGUUGUUAGAACAUUGUGUGAUGUUAGACCUAUACUUGAUUUAAGAAAAAAUAUGAUUUCUUUGGGGACUUUAGAUUGUAAUGGGUUUAGUUACAAGUCUACAAGUGGAGCAAUGAAGGUGAGUAAAGGUGUUAUGAUAGUGAUGAAAGGGCAGAAGCUAGCAAGUAAUAUUUAUAAACUGUUAGGUUCCAUAGUUGUAGAUGCAGUUGCAACUGUAGAGUCUGAGUCAGAUAGUACAGUUUUAUGGCAUAUGGGUGAGCGUGGGAUAAUGGAGCUUUAUAAGAGAAAUUUGUGUCAAAACAUGUAAACUUGAUUUAUGCAAGUAUUGUGUUUUUGGGAAACAGAAUAAAGUGCAGUUCAAGAUAGCCACACACAAAACAAAGGAGUUUCUUAACUAUGUUCAUACAAAUGUUUGGGGACCAAUGAGAGUAGCAUCAUUGGGAGGAAAUAUGUAUUUUGUGACUUUUAUUGACGAUUACUCACUAAAGGUUUGGGUGUACUUCAUGCGGCACAGGUCAAAAACAUUUUCCAAGUUUAAGUUAUAGAAAGCUGAAGUAGAAAACUAGACAGGGAGAAAGAUAAAGUGCCUCAGGUUAGAUAAUGGUACUGAGCAUACAGAUUCAAAAUUCACAAAAUUGUGUGAGCAGCAUGGGAUAAAAAGACACUUCAUAGUAUGCAAGACACCAGAACAGAAUGGUGUAGCAGAAAGGAUGAACAGAACAAUAGAUGAAAGAGCUUGAUGUCUCAGAUUGAAUAUAGGGCUUGAAAAGAAAUUUUGGGCAGAAGCAAUGAACAUGGCAUAUUACUUGAUCAACAGGUCACCCAGAGCAGCAUUAGAUGGGAAAGUAGUAGAAGAGGUAUGGACAGGCAGUCCGAUAGAUUACUUUGGUUUGAGAGUAUUUGGGUGCCCAACUUAUGUGCAUAUUUCUAAUGAGGAAAGAUCGAGCUUGAUGCGAAGUCUAGACAAUAUGUUUUUUUGGGGUAUCAGAAAUGGGUGAAAGGCUUCAAGCUCUGGGAUCCAAAGGCAAACAAGGUGGUGAUCAGUAGAGAUGCGAUUUUUGAUGAGAAAGUCAUGUUACAGUGUACUCAGAAAUGAGAGAAACAGGAACCAAAAAAUGGCAGCAAUAGUGAGCAACUGAUACAGGUGGAAUUAGAGACCCAUGAUAUAGAGGAUCGUGCUCGAAAUGUAAGGAAGUCUAGUUCAGAAGAUUAAAAGCAUCACAGUAUAACCACAAACAGACAUAGACGCACUAUCAAGCCACCUACCAGGUAUGGUUUUGAAGAUUUGGUUUCUUAUGCACUAAUUACUAGUAGUAGGGAUCCUACUACCUUUCAAGAGGCAAUACACAACUAAAAGAAAAGUGGAUGGAUGGGUGCUAUGGUGGAGGAGACUUAGUCUUUUGCAUAAGAACCAGACAUGGGAGUUGGUGGAGCUUCUAGAGAGGAAGAGAGGAAUAUGAUGUAAGUGGGUGCACUAGAAGAAAGAAACAGUUUCAGAAAAAAAUAGUGAAAGGUUCAAAGCUCGUUUAGUAGCAAAGGGUUACUCAUAGAGGAAAGAGGUUGACUAUGAUGGGAUUUUUUCCCCCCGUGGUCAGACACACUUCCAUUAAGAUAGUGUUGGGCUUAGUAGCACAUUUUGACAUGCAGUUGGAGCAAAUGGAUGUAAAGACAACUUUUCUUCAUGGUGACUUAGUGGAAUUGGUUUAUAUGGUACAACCAUAAGGGUUUAUUCAACCUGGACAAGAGCACUUGGUCUAUAAAUUGAGAAAAUCACUUUAUGGGUUGAAGUAAUCCCCAAGGCAGCGGUACAAGCGAUUUGACUCCUACAUGAUCAAGAUUGGCUACAAGAGAUGUGAGUAUGAUUAUUGUGUUUAUGUAAAAAGCCUAGAUGAUGAUUCAUUUAUUUUUCUAUUACUCUAUGUGGAUGACAUGUUAAUUGCUACAAAGAGUAUGAUUAAGGUCAAUAAGUUGGAGUCUUUGUUGAGCAAGGAGUUUGACAUGAAGGAUUUAGGUGCGGCCAAGAAGAUCCUUGGGAUGGAGAUUCAUAAGGAUAGAGUUUCAGGGAGACUAUGGUUAUCUCAGCAUAGCUAUGUCAAGAGAGUGUUGAAGAGGUUUAACAUGGAUAAUGCAAAACUGGUAAGUACACCCUUAGCAGAUCAUUUCAUAUUGUCUACUAAUUAAUGUCCAAAAAUAGAUGAUGAAGUAAAAGACAUGUCAAAGGUUCCUAAUGCAAGUGCAGUGGGAUGCUUGAUGUAUGCUAUGGUUUGUACAAGACCAUAUUUGACACAUGUUGUUAGUGUGUUGAGUAAGUUUCUAUCAAAUCCGGGAAUGCAUUGGGAUGCAAUAAAGUGGAUCUUUAGAUACUUAAAGGGUACUACAGACUAUGGCAUCAUGUUUAGCAAACAACAAAGUAAUCCUUCAAUUAAGGGAUAUGUUGAUGCAGACUAUGCAAGAGACUUGGAUGAUAGGAGGUCUACCACAGGUUAUGUAUUCACCCUUGGUGGAGGACCUAUUUGUUGGAAGCCUAUGAUACAUUCUCUAAUUGCACUAUCUACUACCGAGUCAGAAUAUAUGGCAAUAGUUGAGGCUGCAAAGGAAUCAUUAUGGCUUAUAGGUUUGGUCAAGGAGUUGGGUAUUCAACAAGGUGGAGGUCAAUUAUAUUGUGACAAUCUGAGUGCCAUUUAUUUGGCAAAGAACCAGGUGUAUCAUGCAAGGACCAAACAUAUAGAUGUGAGGUUUCAUAAGAUCAGGGAAUUGGUUUCUUUUGGUGAAUUGUUACUUGAGAAGGUUCACACCUCUGAGAAUGCAGCAAACAUGUUGACAAAGCCUGUUACCACAGAAAAGUUCAAGCAUUGCUUGAACUUGAUUAAUGUCUCCAGAUGUUAGAUAGGAGAUUCCCUAACCUAUUGUCUCAGGUAGAGUUACUAGUUAUGUUUCUUGUUUCCUAAGGGGGGUGAUUAUUUGCCAAGAUGGAGAUUGUUGUAGUAUGUGGCUCAUAUUGAAUGAAAGACAUAUGGAGAAAAAUAGGCAAAUGUCGGAGCGACGACAUUUUCCAUUCAAGCUUGUAUUUUUAUUGUUGUGGGCGAACGAUAGGUUAGGGGGGGGGGGGGGGGGAAAAAAAAAAAAAAAAAAAAAAGGGGGGCAAAUCCCCCCGGGGGAUGGGGGAGGGGGAUUUUUUGGAAUUUUUUUUUUUGGGGGGUAGAAAAAAACCCCUUUUUUAAAACCCUAAUUUUUAAAAAAAGGGAAAGUUUUUUUCCCGUUUCCCGGGGGGGGGGGGAAGGGGUGGAACCCCGUAAAACCGGGGGGUUUUUUUUUUUUUUUUUCCCAUUUUUCCCCCAAAAUCUUUGCUAAAAAUCCCCCAUAUUUUUUUUUAAAAAAAAAAAAAAAAAAAAAUUUUUUGUUUUUAAUUAAAAAAGAAAAAAAUUUUAAAAAAAAUUUUUAUUUUUUGUUUUUUUUUUGGGGGGGGGAAAAAAAAANNNNNNNNNNNNNNNNNNNNNNNNNNNNNNNNNNNNNNNNNNNNNNNNNNNNNNNNNNNNNNNNNNNNNNNNNNNNNNNNNNNNNNNNNNNNNNNNNNNNCAUAUUGAAUGAAAGACAUAUGGAGAAAAAUAGGCAAAUUUUGGAGGGAGGACAUUUUCCAUUCAAGCUUGUUUUUUUAUUGUUGUGGGCGAACGAUAGGUUAGGGGGGGGGGGGGGGGGAGAGAGAGAGAGAGAGAGAGAGGGGGGGCAAUGCCCCCUGUGGUAUGGUGUAGGGGUAUUUUUGGAAUUUCAUUACUUGAGGGUUAGUAUAAAUACCCUUUUUAUAUAACCUUAAUUUUAGAUAUAGUGAAAGUCUUCUUCCCUGUUCCCGUGGACGUAGGCAAUGUGUUGAAUCACGUUAAAUCUGUGUGUUUUUCUUUUCGUUUUCUCUAAUUUUCACCAUAAAUCAUUGCAUAAAACUCAACAAUAUUAGUUAUGAAAGAAAAAAAAAAAAAAAACUUGUAAGUAUCAAAUGAAACAAGAAAAAUAGUUAAAGAAAAGUUUUAAUUAUUGAUAUUAGUUAUGGUAGGGAAAAAAAUAACCUAUAAAGUAUCAAAUUAAACAACAAAAAUAGAUAAUUUAAAAAAAAAAUUAUUAAAAAUUAAAAAAAAAUUCAAACAAUAUUUCAAAAGAUUUUUUUAAAAAAAAAAUAGAAAGAAGUAUGAUUAUAAAUUUUUAAGAAUUUAACAUUUUUUUUUUAACAAAACUUAAAAAAAAAAAUCAAUAAUUUUUUUGUUAGAAAUUAUUAAUAUAUUUAGUUACUAUAUUAGAAUUAUAUAUUUAGUUAGUAUAUGUUUAUUUAUUUAGUUACCAUAUCUCUUAUUUAAUUAAUUAUUAUAUUGGAAUUAUUAUUAUUUUUAGAAGUAAUGGUGCAUUAGUUUUUAUUUCCUUUUAUUAGGUCUAUUUAAAUUCUAAUGGUAUUAUACCUAUUUUUAAAAGAAUUUAUGAUAAGAAAUUUUAAAUUUUCUUUUCUGUCUUUUACUCUUUGAGUCCCUUUUGGAUUUCAAUAUUUCUAAUAAAUUUUAAGUAUUUUUUAAAAAUAAUUAAAUUGAUAAAACUUUUAUUUAAAAUUUAUUUCUAACAAUAUAAUAUAGAGGCAGCACCAUUAUUAUCAAUUGUAAAUUUGUUGCGUCAAGAUUAAACCUAAAAGCUUAGGUAUUUUAAAAAUAUUAAAGUCAACCAAAACAACCUGCCACUAAAAAAAAUUCUAAAAUUUUGGGAUAAUGAAUAACACACAAUUAAAAUAAAAUCAUGAAAAUAAAAGAAUAUAUAUAUAUAUAUAUAUAUAAAUAAAAUCAUGAAAAUAAAAGAAUAUAUAUAUAUAUAUAUAUAUAUAUAUAUUUCUUCUUUCACUAAUUCAAUCUAGUAAAUAAUUUAAUCACCAGUAAAAUAAAAAGGAGAGAAGACAUACCUUGCUAGGGUUAAAGAAAGCUUUGAUCCUUUGGAAACUAGAGAAUUCUUUCUUGGCUGGGUGAUCUUCUCUAUCACCAAGGCUUCCUCUUGAUGGCUGAGGCCAAUAGAUCUGAUCUUGGGCGUAUAUAAGAUGUAUCCCACAACUUUUCAAUUUAAAGGAUUCGUUAUCGCCACAUCGAAAAGAGCCACCGCCCAUUGGAGUGUAAAGAGCCUUCAAGGUGUUCCACCGACUGGAUCGAAACUUACUUGGAAUGUGAAUUUGAGGGAAAUAGGUCACCCACAAUGCUGGAUCUGAUGUAGCACGACUAUCGUAGCAUAUGUAGUCAUACGAUAAACAUCGGAGAUAGUAGCCUUUACAUUCUGGAUCAAACCAUAUAUCACCAAUUUGUUUAGAUUGAUCACCAUGGGAUAGUGUCAAUAUACAUCGUGGAAAAUCGUCACAUGUGGUCUCACAUUCACCAUCAUCAAGAGGAACAUGAUGGAAGAAUAAAACAAAUCCCAACAAGUUGUUAUCUUCACGCCAAUUCAUUGGAAGCAAGCUCUACUGUUACUUCACAUCCCAUUCUCUGAUGACUUACCCACUCUGGUAUUCCACUACUUCCUGGAAUAACAAUAUUGCAUUGCUGCAGAAAAAUGUCAUGUAAAUCUCAUGCAAGAAAAAAAUAAAAAAUAAAAAAUAAUAAUUAUGCCAUGAAAAUGAUACUGAAAUUUUGAUAUAGAGGGUUCGAGGAGAGACCAGAGGAAUAGACUCGAGGAUGUUUCAGUUUCCAGACAUGGACAACCAUGUGCCUCUAUUCGUGUUAGACUUGAUGGAAGCUCUGCAAUUUCUUCAAGCAUCGGACAGUGAUUCAUGAGAAGGGUUUCGAGAUUAGAAAGUUGAGUGAUGCCAACAGGUAUGCAAUGAAUAUGGUUUUCACUUGCAUCUAAAAAUUGCAGUAAGGAUAAGCACCAUAAAUCACUGGGGAUUUCUCCUUCCAUCAUAUUGCAACCACCUAGAUCUAGACUUCUUAAGCAACAUCAUAAGCUUCUCAAGUUGUUGGGCAACUUGUGGAGCUUUGAAUAAUUACGAACAGAAAGACUUGCAAGACGUGUCAAAUUACCAAUGUUGCUGGGAAGACUCACAAGCUUCUCACAUUUGUACAAUUCCAAAUCCCAAAGACCUCUUAGAUGUUCAAUUGAUGAUGGCAGCUCUGUUAUAGCCAUUUCACGCAAAUAAAGGCAUUCUAAAUGUUCCAUAUCCUCUGUGAUCUCCCAAAAAGUUUCUAUAUUUGAACAACCAUUAAGAGAGAGGCGUUUGAGGGAUUUCAACCCACAGAUACUAUUUGGAAGACUUCUCGUUAAAUUUGGGUGAGAUGACCUAUUGAACUUUUCUGGAUCUCAAGAAACUUUUCAAAAUUUGAGCAACCACUGAGUAAAAGAGUUUCAAGGGCCUCUAAGCACCUAAUACUCUUUGGGAAUUCCUUAAUAGCGGUCUUCUCUAAAGAAAGUCUCUUUAAGCAUUUCAUGCUCCCUUGGAUCUCCGGGAAUUUUUGAAAGUUUGAGCACUCUGAGAGGUCAAGACUUAUAAGAGAUUCUAAAUAUCCAAUGCUGUCAGGGAGUUCCAUAGUACCACUCUGAGAUAAAUCAAGCUCCCUUAGAAGUCUCAUAUUGGUAAAUAUAUCUGAAAAUUUCUCAAACUUUAAACAUUUAUUAACAUAAAGAAUUUCGAGAGAUGUUAAGGACCCAAUGCUAUCUGGGAGUUCCUUAAUAGCAGUCUGAUGUAAAGAAAGUUUCUUCAAACAUUUCAUAUUCCUUCUAAUCUCUAGAAAUUUCUCAAAUUUCAAGCAAUAUGUGAGGUCAAGAGUUUCGGGAUAUUCCAAAUACCCUAUGUUGUCCGGGAGUUCUUUAAUACCACUUUCACGUAAAUUAAUCUCCCUUAAAUGUCCCAUAUAGGUAAAUAUAUCUGGAAAUUUCUCAAACUUUGAACAUCCUUUUAACCAAAGCUUCCUCAAAAACUUCAUAUUCCCAUGGAUCUCUGGAAAUUUCUCCAAGUUUGAACAAUUUGAGAGAUCAAGGACUUCAAGAGAUGCUAAAUGCAUGAUGCUACUUGGUAGUUCUCUAAUCCUAGUUUUGUUUAAAUAAAGCUCCUUCAAAUGUUUCAUAUUCCCAUGGAUCACAUCAAACUUCUCCAAGUUUUGACAAUGAUAAAGAUAAAGAACUUCAAGAGAUUCAAACUUCAUGCUAGUUGGGAAACUUUGGAGCUGUUCACAUCCUCCUAAAUUCAAGUAGGUCAAUCUUUUGAGAUGGCCAAUAGAUGAAUGAAGUUUACGCAAACUUGUACAACCUUUAAGAUUCAGUCUCUCCAAAUUCGCCAUGCUUGAGAAUUUUGGCAUUUUGACUAGGUGUUUUGAAUUACUUAGAUCAAUGCCCUUUAAUUUUCCAAGACACUGCAACAUAAGACAUUCUUUUAAUAAAACAAAAAUUCUUUUAACUUGAAAAUUAUCCUAAAGAAAAAAACAUUAAAUAAUGAUCAUACCUUAUUCCCUUUCCAAAGUUGUUUUAUGUUGCUAGACUUCAAGUUGAUUUCAAUAAGGUUCUCUCCAUAAAAUUUUGAAGGCAAAGACCUCAAAGUGCAUCCUUGCCAAUGAAGAUAUCUCAAAUUAUGAGGAAAUUCAAAAUCUUUAGGAAAAAACACUUUAUACUCCUCUCUCUUCAAACCAUCAUGAUCAUUGCAAUGGACUUUGAGCAACCUAAGUUUCUUCAUCUUGGCAAACACUUUUGUAGUGAACUGUAUUUCUUUUGAUCUAGACAAGUCGAGAGAUAUGGUUUGAAUACUUUCCAUCCCCUGGAAACAAGAAUGAAGAAUAAGGGAAUAACACAAGAUAAAAAUCCUAACUAAAAUUUUAUAGGCAAUUAAUCCUUAAAAAUGCAUUAUAAAUAUCUAAAUAACUAAGUUCAUAUAUUUAAUUCAUACCUCUUGUCUAGAAAAUGCAUCAUAAAUAUCAUCUACAUCCCACAAUCUGCUCCAUUUACUUAGGUCUCCAGGACAUUCUUCAUGAACAAUUGCCCAACCCAUUUCUUGUAUCAAGUCAUGCAUUUGUAUGAUGUUUUUUGAAAUAGUUACUAGACAUCUAUCACAAAGAACUCUUAUGUUGUAUGUUGCAAAUAAAUUGCAACCAUCUAAUAUUGUCAACAUAUAUAUAAUCUUUGUCUUCCCCUUUGAAGAAACAUGCAAUGUCAAGGAAAACCUCCUUUUCAAAAUGAUCAAGCCCAUCAAAACUUAUUCUAAGCACAUCAUUAAUUUUCUUGUUAGCAUUUUUUUUUCAAUUUAUCCAAUGCACUUUUCCAUUCAUCUAUUGCCAUGCCAUGGAGAGAAGAACCUAGAACUUUAAGGGCUAAAGGAAGACCUUGAGCAUAAUGUACCAUGCAAUUUGAGAGGUUUACAUAAUCUUCUUUGGGAACAUUUUGUUUAAAGGCAUGUCUACUGAAGAGUUGAAUAGCUUCCUUAUAAUGUAAUUGCUCAACCUUAUAUGAUAUAUCCACUCCAUACUCACCCAGCAAAUGUUGGUCUCUAGUUGUUAUGAUAAUUAUGCUUCCUAUACCAAACCAUUUAAGACUUCCAACCAAUAACUUUAAUUGCUCCAAAUGAUCCACAUCAUCAAUAACAAUAAGAACUUUUUUUGAGUCAAGUCUAGCCUUUAUUAUAUUGAUUCCUUUAUUGAUAUUGCUAAACUCUACAUCAUUCCCCAUUGUAUCAUGUAGAAGUUGUUGUUGUAGUUGAAGUUGACAACCCUUGUUGAAUGUCUCUCUGACAUCUUGAAGAAAGCUUGCACUGGUGAAUUGAUAUUGGAUCUCAUUAUAAACAAUCUUGGCAAUGGUAGUUUUACCAAUUCCACCAGGUCCAUAGAUCCCAACCACACGAAUGUCAUUCAAGUCACUACUUAACGAUUUUAGUUCUUUCAGGUGAAAAUCCAUCCCAACUAUAUCAUCGUUAAUAUGCAAAAGCUUAGAAUUCAUUGAUCUUUUAAAAAUCUGGUUAACAAUUUCCUUAAUAUGCUUUGACUCAUACCUGCCAAUUAUAAAGUACAAUUUAACACUUCAUGAGUUAUAAUGAAUUGCAAAAGAUAACAAAUAUAAAGUAAAUUUAGUGACAUUUACUUGCUUUUGUCAAUAUAAUAAAAGUAAUAGGAUGUAAAAAAUAUUAAAAGAACCCACUAUAUUGAGCAUUUUAUAGAUAAUGAAAAGGCAAGUAGUUUUGAGGCAAGUGUUAAUAAGAUCACAAAGCAAGCUUUACUAUACAAAAUUAUUAACUCGUUAAUUCAUAAUUUAAGACAACUAAAUCUUUACAACUAAUUAAAUCAAAAACACAAAUUAAGGAAGUUGAAGCUACCCAUCAUUCACAUGGAAACCACUAAGAUUGCUUGCUUCAGUCAAGGAAUCCCUCCACCUUUGCACCUUUUUCGCAUCUACAUUUCUUUCAUGAAUGGAAAAUGCCUCUCCGAAGCUCCCUGUUUGCUUUCGCACAUCACAAGGAUCCACGUGGUAGAACACCGGAAAGACUAUUUGUUCCAUUUCUUCCCUGCACUCCAUGAUCUUCGCUAACUCAUCCAAACACCACUUGGAAUGAGCAUAGUUUUUUGAGAACACAACUAUGGAAAUUCUUGAUUCUUCAAUACUUUUCAAAAGUUCUGAUUUGAUCUCCUCUGCUCCUUCAAGUUGAUCGUCUCUGAAAGUCUUAAUCCUCAUCCCAUGCAAAUUUACGAAUAAAUGAUCCGUAAAAUUGUUGCGGGUGUCUUCACCUCUAAAACUCAAGAACACUUCGAACUGAUAUUUACGGACUGAGGUAGAAGAAGAAGAGGGUUUUUGGGUAGAGGAAGCCAUCGUUGGAGUUGAGGAAGAACUUGUUCUUAGUCAAUACUUGAUAUGCCCACAGCAUGUUUGGGUCCUCAUAUGAAGCAAAACUAUUUUUCUUUUUUUUUUCUUUUUUUUUUUCUUUUUUUUUGGUGGAGUGGUUAGAUUGUAAAAAGCAAAGAUCGAUUUUCCCAAUACAUGCAAGCAGGUGAUUUGUCAGUUAAAUGUAAAGGAGUAAUGAGUGGGGAGGUCGGUGGCUUUUAAGAAGGGCCCACCCACCACAAAACCCGUAAAAGCCUUAAAUUAAAAUUUCAGUUUUCGGUAUUAUGGCCAUCGACGCUUUCCUUUGACCAGUCAAAACCUUUCAUUACAAUUGCCAUAGAUUGUAAAGUCUUUCAAUUCUAUUGCCACGGUGCAAUUUAAUAUAUAGUUUAUUCCUCCCUCCUAAAUUUUAACUUAAAUUCAAUUAAUUUUAAUUAUUUUUUUAUAUUCUAUUUAAUAUAUUAUUAAAAAUAUAAAAAUAUCAUAAUAAUCUUACCAGAGUCUUUCUUUAUUAAAAAAAAUAAACUUGGAUAUAAAAUUAUUAAUAUUUUUAAACAUAAAAAUAUAUGCAUAUAUCAUUAUUUUUUAUUUUAAAUAAAAAUCAUCAUUUUAAAUACAUACUUGAUUACUAAAAAAAAAUAAAAAUUUUAAUAAAUUAAUUAAUUUUAAUUAUCUUAUUAUUAAAUUUCAUUUAGCAUAUUAUGAAAAUGUAAAAACCAUAAUAAUAAUGAUUUACUGAAAACAAUCUUUUAUGUUUUUUGUAUAUUAAUUAUUUAUAAAUUUAUAUAUAUCAAAUUUAAAAAGUAAAUUAAAAAAUAAUCAUACAUAUAUCAUUAAUUAUUUUAUACCCUAAAAUACAUUCAAACUAAAUAGAACAUUAUUUUUAUAAUAAAUGUGGUAAGAUACUUUAUAAACUUAUUUAUGUUACUCGACGUACCCCUCUUCUUUAUUUUUAAGUUUUUAUUUUUCACUUUACAAACCAUCUAUGUUACUAAAUGUAUCCCUCUUUUUGUUUUACAAUUUUUAUAUUCUUUCAACUUUUCAAACUCAAUAUUCCUUUUAAAAAAAAAUUAAUUUUUAAAACUUUUUCUUUUAUAAAAAGUUUCUAAAACCAUAAAUUUUUUAGAUAAAUUUUAUUAUUAUAUUUUUCAUUAAAAAUGAAUAAUAACAUUGAAUUUUUUUAUAAGGAUGAAUCAUAAUAUUUCAAAAUUUCACAUAAAAUCUCAAUUACUUGAAAACGUAUGUUAAAUUAUAAGGAAUAAGUAUAAAUAAAGAGAUAAUAAUUAUUUCAAUAAAUAAUGAUAAAUUUUGCCAUAAUAAAAAAUAUAAAUUAUGCAUUUUUUUUUGUUAAAAGCCGAUCAUAUCAUCCACAAUACAAACUAAAGUGCAGGCUGUGUUGUCGGAUGAGGAACCCUUCUGGGGUCUUUUCCUUUUCGUAGAACCUUCAUAUUGCUUCCACAUUCUAUAAGGGUUCGUGUUGCAAGUAGGGAAAGGAAGGGAGAAAGAAACCUAAGAAAAGGACUUUUGAGUGCACUUUCAUGCAAAGUUCGAGGAAUCGAACAAAGAAGAGAACUCUUUAUCCAAGAAAACAUGAAUGUAAAUGGAGUAAAUAGAACGAAAACUGGAAUUAGUAUAUAAAGAUGAAGAAAGAGGUGGGUUUUCCUCACUUGAACACCGAUAACACAAGAUUGGUAGCUUGAUGCUAAUGGAAGAGGAAAAAACAAGAAUGUCGUGGUGUGGUAAUAGUGUUAUUGAGACUCCAAAAGGAAGGAUGUCAUAACUUUUGAAAUUUGAAAAGGCAUGGUAUGUGUGUCAUCGGUAGGAGGCAAAAGAAACCCCCAAAGGAGGCUUGAAGGUACAUUGGUUUGAGUGUCCAAUACAAAAAAAUUCCAAGGUCUGGAAAAUCAAGGAAAAUAUAUUCCCACUUAAAUGAAAAAGAAUUUUCCGUUUGACCUCAGCUAAGGGUCAACGAAAAAUUGAGGGCAAUUGUGGGCACCAUGGUAAAUGGGGAUAAACGGGCCUACCUAAAGAACUAUCUGCUGAUUUGGGCCAGUUUGGGCCUCGAUUAAAAGCCCAUUUAGCCUAAUUGCCCGACUUACUUAAAUAGCCCAACAAGUAAAGUGGAAAAUAAAAUGUGGGAGAACAACCCACAAGAAGUAGUGAAGGCAAUUAACGCUUGGGGCAGUAAUUGCUUGAAGUGGCUAAAAAGUGUCCCCAUGAUCUCCACACCUAUCGGUAGCUAAAAGGUAUAUGAAUACAACUGGCAAGUCUAAAAAGCAGAAAAAAAAAAAAAAAAAGGAUUGUAACAUGAGAAAUAUUACAUUUUCUAGAAAACCCUAGGUAACUUAAUAAUUGGAGGAGGUGAUUCCGGGGUAAAACUGAGUGAGCCCUGUGUGGCAAGGAUAAGGAAGCGCGCGAUAAGAAUAGGACUAUUGCUCAAGAAAUUCUCAACUCCAAUAGGCAUUACUUUACAAAAUAUUUUAAAAUGAUGAAAAUAAAAUAGGAAGUUUUAAUUUUGGUAGGUAGGAAGGAAAUAAUUGAGAAGUUUUUUUUUUUUUUUUUUUUUUAAAGUAAAAAUGAUAGCACUAGAGUCAAGAUUUUGCAAUGCCUUAAUUCUAUCAUAAAAUGAAUUUAUGUAUACUUACACAAAAUUUUCAAUAGAUGAUUACUAUAAGAAAAAAAAAUCCACCUUUUUUUAGCUUUAUUUUUAAUAUGAUUCUCAUUCUUAAAAUAAUAAAAUUUAAGUAAGUGUGUGUUUUUUUUUCUUCUGUUAUUAUCAAUUAUAAAAUUCAAAAUCUUUUCAUUUGAUUUGUUAAUGCUAUGUUUGGUUUAAGAAUUGUAAUAAAUAAAGAAAAUUAUUUUCUCAUAUUUGAUUUUAUUAUAAAAAAUAAAAAAAUAUAAUUAAAAUUAAUUAAAAACUUAUAUAUUUUUAAAUGAUUUAUUUUUAUAUAAAAGUAUUAAAUUAAAUAAAAUGAGUUUGAAGUGAUGUAUAAAAAUAAUUUAUUUCCUUUAAAUCUAUUUUUAUUUUAUAAUAGAAUCCAAAGUUUUAUAAUGCUUAAACGCGCGUAGAAAGAGAGCAAUCAAGCUUCAUGUGCUAGUAAUUUUUUUAUUUUUUUAUUUUAGUAUUUCUUGUUUGGAUUGAAACAAAAUCAACACAUCAUACAAAAUUAUAAUAAACUUUUAAUUUUCAAAUAGAUUAAGUGUAUAUUAUAUUUAUACAUAAUGCUAAAUCAUAGAUGCUUCAAAAAAUUACGUAGGAUAACUAAUUAUUUUUCUAUUAAAAAAAUAAAUGAUGUCAUUAAUUGUUGUAAACUAAUUUACAUUAUGGGAUGAUGAGUUGGUUGGUCAUUCUAUCAUCUUCAAAAUCAUCCCGGAAAAUAAAAGUAGUCCCAUAAUUAAUGAUUAAAUAAAAACAUUUUUUUUUCAUUUUUUAAAAAAAUAAAAUUUUAAUUUUAAUUUCUUCCACUCCUAUGAGGUGGCUAGUAAAGGUGGUUAAGAAACCAAAUGCUUGUACAUUUUCUGUUCUUUUCUUUUCUUUUAAUAUUACAUUUAUCAUGUUUUUAUUUUUUCAUUUAUGUAUUAAAAUUUUUAAAGGCGACUUCCUUAUUUAAUAAGAGAAGUAAGUGUCUCUCCCAAUUAGAGUUUAUAAUACCCCUUGGUUUUUUUUUUUUUAUUAUUAUUAUAGAAAGUUGAAUAAUUUAAUCAUAAAACAAGAGCAAGUGUGGAAAAUUAUAGUCCUAUAUAAAAUGUAGGAGCUCUCAUAAAUUUAUCUUGAAAAAAUAAUAAUUUUAAAAAAUCAAUUCUUAUACAAAAUUAGGUAUUAAAAAAAAAAAAUUGACUACCUCAAAUUUUAAAAAUCUUGAAAGUAAUUUUUAAAAAUAUAAAAUUUAUGGUCCAUGCAAGUUAUUGGAUUUCAUAUAUAAAUAGCUAUUAUUUUCCUUUUUUACAAAACAUGGAAUUAGUAAGCCGGAGGGCACUUAGACACAUAUACAUUAAAAUCGAGGGAAAUAUGGUAUCCUCAUUUUUUUUUUUUUUUUAUGAAAAAUUAAAGAAAAUGAAUAUGCCUAAAUAAAUGGUUUGUAUGGAUUGAGAUUAUUAUAAGAUGAAAAUGACUACACUCCAAUAUGCUAAUAUUCAUGCCAUAUUUUAGUCGUGUUAUCAUGUUACAUCAAAAUUAUCAUCCUGAUAUUUUUUUUAUAUAUAAAUUUAAUAAUAUGGUACAUAACUUUUGUAGAACAAAAAGUUUAUAAGCUAGUCUUGCUAAAUAAUUGAAGCUACUUUGGUCACUAUGCAUAUGAUCUUAAUAGAUAAAUGAGGAUAAUUUAUCAUUGUUUCAAAAUCAUUCUUGAAAAUGCUUGUAAAUAAUUUCAAAUAAAUAAAAUUAUCCAUACCUAAAAGCAUACAAAUUAAAAUCAACAAUUCAAAUUAUCCAUACUUAAAAACAUACAAAUUAAAAUUACUAAUUCACAUUAUACAUGCUUAAAAACAUAUAAAUAAAAAUCCACAAUCCAAACAAAGUGUCUCUUUUAUGGCAUUCUCAUUCUGGUUCAAUACCGCAUCUCUACCAUCCUUCCAAUUCCAUAACCAAUAGUUAGUCUAGUUUCCAUGCGCAACCUGACCAAUGGUUAGUCAUAGUUUAAUGAGCAUAUUAUGACAAUAAUUAUCCUGUGCUUUUUCAUCUUUAGAAAUGAAACAAAGAGCAAAAUAAAUAUUAAUUCAUGCUAUGUAAUUGAAAAACAUAUGAUAAUUGUUUUGGUCUACCAAUUAAAAAAUGAAGCUCUAAAUAAAAAUUUUAAUUAAUUCAAACAAAAACUCUGGCCUACCAAAACAGCUACGGUAAUAUGGUUUUUCUUUCUAAAUUCAUUAGUUCAUUCCAAAGAUAAAACUUUGAUAGGUUCUAAGAUAUUUAUUAGAAAAAAUAAAGGAGUUUUAACUUUAGAUUGGCCUAAGAAUACAGGAUCUCCAAAUUUCAUAAACACUUGGAAUAAUUAAAAAUAAAAUAAAAUAAAAUAAAAUAAAUACAUAAAAAGGAAAAAAGAAAUUUGAAUUUCCUGACCAUAUCUAAUUCUGUAUUGAACUCUAUAUUCUUCCAAGCAUGUAAUCAUUUUAAAAUAUGUCUAUAUAUUUUUUUCCAUUAAUUCUUCUAAAUAUUUUAAACCUUAUGGAGUAGAGUUGGAAACCACAGAUAUCUUCAUUUUUUUUUAGUAUGAUUUCUUUUCAUAAAAACCUUUUAUUGUAUUGUAAUGAGUAAAUAAAAAAAAUAUAGACAUAAACUGAGAAGCAUGUAAGUUACAUGUUUCAAACAAUCUUGAUAUGGCCUUAAAGGAGUGGUUGAGUUAGAUAAGUAGGGGGCAAAGUAAAUUCUUUUUUUUUUUUCAUAAAAAAAACAUGAAAUAUAAUAAACAUACAAAUUUUUUUACAUUUCAUGAAGUGCUUUAUCAUUUAACAAAAUAAGUGAUUAUUGAUAUUAGUUAUGAAAGAAAAAAUAUAUAAAAUAAAAAAUGAAACAACAAAAUAGAUAAAGAAAAGUUUUAAUUAUUGAUAUUAUUUAUGAAAGAAAAGAAGAUAUAAAGUAUGAAAUGAAACGACAAAAAUACAUAAUUUUUUAAAAUUUUGUUUAAAAAUUAACAAAAAUUCAAACAAUAUUUUCAAACGAAUUUUAAAAAAUAGCAAGAAAGGUGACCAUAAAUUUUAAAGAAUUUCACAUUUUUUUUAACAAAACUUUAAAAAAUUCAAUAAUUUUACUAAUAAAUUUUAAGAAUCAUUUUUGAAAUAAUUAAAUUGAUAAAAUUUUUAUUUAAAAUUUAUUUCUAACAAUAUAAUAUAAAUGUAGCAUCAUUAUCAAUAGUAAAUUGGCGAAACUAUGGGAUCUAAAAUUUUGGGAUAAUUAAGAACACAUGAUUAAAAUAAAAUCAUGAAAAGAAAAGAAAAAAAAAUAUAUCAGCUGGGUUAUGAUUUCAAAUGUUUUCUAGAUAUUUCAUUUUUUUGCUAAUUCCAUCUAAUAAAUAUUAUAUUCACUAGUGAAUGAAAAAAGAAGAGAGAGAACACAUACCUUGCUAGAGGUUAAAGAAACCCUUGAUCCUUUGGAAACUAGAGAAUUUUUCCUUGGAUGAGUGAUCUUCUCUAUUAGCAGGCCUUUUUCCCGACGGCUGAGGCCAAUGCUUCUGAUCUUGGGCAUAUAUGAGAUGUAUCCCACAACUUUUCAUUUUAAAGGAUGCGUUUUCGCCACAUGUAAAAGAGGCAUUAUAGACACGAUUGUAAAAGUGAGCCUUGAAGUUGUUCCACUUUCUGGAUCGAUACUUGCUUGGAAUGCCAAUCUGCGGGAAAUACGUCACCCACAGUGCUGGAUCUGAUGUGCUACCACUGUCGUAGCGUUCGCUGCUACAUGAUAUACCUUCAAUGCAGUAUCUUUUACAAUGAGGAUGAAAAUGAAUAUUAUCCAGUCGUUUAGAUUGAUCACCAUGGGAUAUCGCCAAUUCACAUUGAGGAAAAUAAGAUGUUCUCACGCAUUCAUCAUCAUCAAGGGGAACAUGAUGGAAGAAUAAAACAAAUCCUAACAAGUUAUUAUCUUCAUACCAAUUCAUUGGAAGCUCCACACUUACUUCACAUCCCAUUCUUUGAUGACUUACCCACUCUGGUAUUCCACUACUUCCUGGAAUGAUAAUAUUAAAUCUCCGCUGCAGAAAAAAAUGUCAUGUAAAUCUCAUGCUUUUUUUUUGAAAAAAAAGGGGGGUGGGGUUGGGGAAGGGCGGUUGAUAAUUAUGCCAUGAAAAUGAUACCUGAAUUGGUGAUUUCAAGUGUUUGAGCAAAGAAGACCAGAGUAGACUUGAAGAAGUUUCAGUUUCCAGGCAUGGACAACCAUGUGCCUCUAUCCAUCCUAGACUUGAUGGAAGCUCUCCAAUUACUUCAAGCAUCGGACAAUGAUUCAUGAGAAGGGUACGAAGCUUACAAAGAUGAGUGAUGCCAGUAGGUAUGCAACGCAUAUGGUUUUCACUUAUGUUUAAAAAUUCCAGUGAGGAUAGGCACCAUAAAUCACUGGGGAUUUCUUCUUCCAUCAGAUUGCAACCACCUAGAUCUAGCGACGUUAAGAUACAUUGCUGGCUUCUCAAAUUGUCAGGCAAGUUGUGGAGCUUUGGACAGUUACGAACAUGAAGACUAGUAAGACAUGUCAAAUUACCGAUGCUAUUGGGAAGAGCCACAAGGUUCUCACAAUUGAUCAAUUCCAAGGAUUUAAGACCUCUCAGAUGUUCAAUUGAUGAUGGCAGCUCUGAGAUACCCGUCUCACAUAAAAAAAGGCCUUCUAAUUGUUCCAUAUCCUCCGUGAUCUCUAAAAAAGCCUCUAGAUUUGAACAACCAUUGAGAGAGAGGCCUUUGAGGGAUUUCAACCCACAUAUACUGUUUGGAAGACUUUUCAAGUUUCUACAAUUUUCCAAAUCUAAGCGUUCAAGUCUGGUGAGAUGACCUACUGAGUAGGGUAAUCCUCUAAUAGCAGUCUCAUCUAGAAAAAGACCCCAUAGAUUCCCCAUAUUUUUUUGAAUCUCAGGAAACCUCUCAAGAUUUGAGCAACCACUGAGAUCAAGAAUUUCAAGGGCCUGCAAGCGCCCAAUGCCAUUUGGGAGUUCCUUAAUAGCAGUAUCCUCUAAACAAAGCAUCUUCAAGCAUUUCAUAUUCCCUUGGAUCUCUGGAAAUUUCUCAAAGUUUGAGCAAUAUCUGAGGUUAAGUUCUUCAAGAGAUUCCAAAUACCCAAUGCUGCCUGGGAGUUCCUUAAUACCACUCCCAUAUAGACAUAGCUCCCUUAAACGCCCCAUAUUGGUAAAUACAUCUGAAAAUUUCUCAAACUUUGAACAUUCUCUAAGAGAAAGCAUUUCAAGAGAGGUUAAGGACCCAAUGCUAUUUGGGAGUUCCUUAAUAGCAGUCUCAUCUAAAAAAAGAUUCAACAAACAUUUCAUAUUCCCUUGGAUCUCUGGGAAUUUCUCAAAUUUGGAGCAACAUGAGAGGUCAAGAAUUUCAAGAGAUUCCAAAUACCCAAUGCUGCUUGGGAGUUCUUUAAUACCACUCUCACGUAAAUGAAGCCCCCUUAAAUGUCCCAUAUAGGUAAAUGUAUCCGGAAAUUUCUCAAACUUUGAACAUCUUUCUAAAUAAAGCUCCCUCAAAAAUUUCAUAUUCCCAUGGAUCUCAGGAAAUUUCUCGAAAUUUGAACAAUCUGAGAGAUUAAGGACUUCAAGAGAUGCUAAAUACACAAUGCUACUUGGUAGUUCUUGGAUCCCACUCCUGUUGAAAUAAAGCUCCUUCAAACAUUCCAUAUUCCCAUGGAUCUCAGGAAAUUUCUUGAAAUUUGAACAAUAUGAGAGAUUAAGGACUUCAAGAGAUGCUAAAUACACAAUGCUACUUGGUAGUGCUUGGAUCCCACUCUUGUUUAAAUAAAGCUCCUUCAAACAUUCCAUAUUCCCAUGGAUCUCAGGAAACUUCUUCAAGUUUGGACAACAAUUAAGAUAAAGAACUUCAAGAGAUUCAAACUUCAUGCUGGAUAGGAAACUUCGGAGCUGUUCACAUCCUCCUAAAUUCAAGUAAGUCAAACUUUUGAGAUCGCCAAUAGAUGGAUGAAGUUCACGCAAGCUUAUACAACCUUCAAGAUUCAGUCUCUCCAAAUUCGACAUGCUUGAGAAUUUUGGCAUUUUGACCAAUUGUUUUGAGUUACUUAGAUCAAUGCCCUUUAAUUCUUCAAGACGCUAUAACAGAAGACAUUUUGUUAAUAAAAAAAAUAAAAAAUUGAAAAUUAUUAUAAAGAAAAAAAACAUUAAAUAAUGAUCAUACCCUAUUCCCUUUCCAAAGUUGUUUUACGUUGCUAGACUUCAAGUUGAUUUCAAUCAGGUGCUUUCCAUUAAAGUUCCAAGGUAAAGACGUCAAAGUGCAUCUUUGCCAAUGAAGAUAUCUCAAAUCAUGAGGAAAUUGAAAGUCUUUAGGAAGAAGCACUUUAUACUCCUCUCUCGUCAAACCAUCAUGAUCAUUGCAAUAGAUUUUAAGCAACCUAAGUUUCUUCAUCUUGGAAAACACUUUUGUAUUGAAUUGUAUUUCUCUUGAUCUAGACAAGUCCAAAGAUAUGGUUUGAAUAUUUUGCAUCUCCUGGAAAACAAUAAGGAAAAAUAAGGGAAUAACACAAGAUAAAAAUCCUAACUACAAUUAUAUAGUCAAUUAACCACUAAAAAAUUGAUUAUAAGCAUUUAAAUAACUAUAUUAAGCAUUUAAUUCAUACCUCUUGUUUAGAAAAUGCAUCAUAAAUAUCAUCUACAUCCCACAAUCUACUCCAUUUGCAGGGGUCUCCAAGACAUUCUUCACGAAUAAUUGCCCAACCCAUUUCUUGUAUCAAGUCAUGCAUUUGUAUGACGUUGUUUAAGAUAGUUACUAGACAUCUAUCACAAAGAACUCUUAUGUUGCAUGUUACAAAUAAAUUGCAACCAUCUAAUAUUCUUGACACAAAAUCUUUGCAUUCACCUUUGAAAAAACACGCAAUGUCCAGGAAAACCUCCUUUUGAGAAGGAUCAAGCCCAUCAAAACUUAUUCUAAGCGCAUCAUUAAUUUCCUUCAUAGGGUUUUUUUUCAAUUUAUCCGAUGCGCUUUUCCAUUCAUCUAUUGUCAUGCCCUGAAGAGAAGAACCUAGAACUUUAAGGGCUAAAGGGAGACCUUGAGCAUAUUGUACCAUGCAAUUUGAGAGGUCUACAUAAUCUUCUUUAGGAACAUUUUGUUUAAAGGCAUGUUGGCUGAAGAGUUGAAGAGCUUCCUCAUAAUGUAAUUCUGUAGCCUUAUGUGAUAUAGUCACUCCAUACUCAACCAACAGAUGUUGGUUUCUAGUUGUAAUGAUAAUUGUACUUCCUGGACCAAACCAUUUAGGACUUCCAGCCACUGACUCUAAUUGUUGCAACCGAUCCACAUCAUCAAUUACAAUAAGAACCUUUUUUGAGCCAAGUCUGUCCUUUAUUAUAUUGAUUCCUUUAUUGAUAUUGCUAAACUCUUCAUCAUUCCCCACUGUAUCAUGAAGAAGUUGUUGUUGUAGUUGAAGUUGACAACCCUUGUUGAAUGUCUCUCUGACAUCUUGAAGAAAGCUAGCACCAGUGAAUUGAUAUUGGAUCUCAUUAUAAACAAUCUUGGCAAUGGUAGUUUUACCAAUUCCACCAGUUCCAUAGAUCCCAACCACACGAGUGUCAUUCAAGUCACUACUUAACAAUGACUUUAGUUCUUUUAGGCGAAAAUCCAUCCCAACUAUAUCAUCGUUAAUGUGCAAAAGCUUAGAAUUCAUUGAUCUUUUAAAAAUCUGGUUAAUAAUUUCCUUAAUAUGCUUUGACUCAUACCUGCCAAUUAUAAAGUACAAAUUAACACUUCAUGAGUCAUAAUGAAUUGCAAGAGAUCACAAAUAUAAAGUAAAUUUAGUGAUAUUUACUUGGUUUUGUCAAUAUAACCAAAGUAAUAGGAUGUAAAAAGUAUUAAAAGAACCCAAUAUAUUGAGCAUUUUACAGAUAAUGAGAAGGCAACAAGUUUUGAGCCUAGUGUUAAUUAGAUCACAAAGCAAGCUUUACUAUACAAAAUUAUUAACUUGUUAAUUCAUGAUUUAAGACCACUAAAUCCUUACAACUUAAUUAAAUCAAAAGCACAAAUUAAGGAAGUUGAAGUUACCCAUCAUUCACAUGGAAACCGCUUAUAUUGCUUGCUUCAGUCAAGGAAUCCCUCCACCUUUGCACCUUUUUCGCAUCUACAUUUCUUUCAUGAAUGGAAAAUGCCUCUCCGAAGCUCCCUGUUUGCUUUCGCACAUCACAAGGAUCCACGUGAUAGAACACCGGAAAGACCAUUUGUUCCAUUUCUUCCCUGCACUCCAUGAUCUUCGCUAACUCAUCCAAACACCACUUGGAAUGAGCAUAGGUUUUUGAGAACACAACUACGGAAAUUCUUGAUUCUUCAAUAGUUUUCAAAAGUUCUGAUUUGAUCUCCUCUCCUCUUUCAAGUUGAUCGUCUCUAAAAGUCUUAAUCCCCAUCCGACCCAAAUUUACGAAUAAAUGAUCCGUAAAAUUGUUGCGGGUGUCUUCACCUCUAAAACUCAAGAACACUUCGAACUCAUAUUUACGGACUGAGGCAGAAGAAGAAGAAGAGGGUUUUUGGGUAGAGGAAGCCAUUGUUGGACAGUUUCUGGAUGAAAGCUUAGAGAGAGUUGAGGAAGAACUUGUGCUGAGUCAAUACUUGAUAUGCCGACAGCAUCUUUGGGUAAGCAAAACUUUUUCCUUUUUUUUUUUUUUUUUGUGGUUGUGGGGUGGUUGGAUUGUAAGUAAAAAUCGAUUUUCCCAAUACAGGCAAGCAGGUGAUCAUUUUCCCAUUUUUUGGGUCCCAAUGCAUAAGCAUGUGAUUUGUCAGUUAAAUGUCAAGGGAGUAAUGAGUGGGGAGGUCGGUGGCUUUUAAAAAAAAUAUAAAGAAGGACCCACCCACCACAAAACCCGUAAAAGCCUUAAAUUAAAAUUUCAGUUUUUGGUAUUAUGCAAGGAUGAAAAUAUCGGUAAUCACGGAUAUAUCGGUACUUCGAUUUUACGGAUAUAUCGGAUAUAUCGGAGAUAUUUUUGGAUAUAUCGGAGAUAUAUCGGCGGAUAUUUUGGAAAAAAAUAUUGGUGCUUAAAAUUGUUAAAAACUCAUGAAAAUGUAAAGAAAACCUCUUAAUAAUAUAAUUAGAAGUAUAAUAGACAUUUUAAAGUUAUUUUAUUGAAAAUUUUGAUAUAUGUAUAACAUGAUUUAUCAUAUUUGAUAAUAAUAUCGUAUGCAUCGAUAAAAAUAUGAAUUUUAUAAGUGUACAUUUAUUAUUAAAUUACACCUAAUAUUAUGAUAUUUGAUUAUAAUAUGUCUAAUUUUAAAAUAUAUAUUAGUAUUAAAAUAUGAUCCAUUUAAUUCAAUUGUAUUAAACAAUGUAAAAUAAAUAAUGAUAUAUAUAUAUAUAAUUUUUUAAUAUUUAAUUAAUUAUUAAUGAUAUUAAAAACAUUAUGAAGAAAAUUAUAUAAUUUUUAUAUUUUUGGUAAUUAAUUAAAAGACUUUGUAUUUAAUUAUAAAAUAAUUAUAAUUAAUUUGCUCUUUAAAAUAUUCUUAUAUUUUCUUUAUAUAAUGAAUUUAAGUAUAUAUAUAAGUGUUGCAUAUUAUUUAUCAAAGGGCUACUUAGCCCAAGUGGUAAGCGGGUGAACCCCAAACCUUUUGGUUUGGGGUUCAAAUCCUCUCAGCAGCAAGCAAAAUGGGAGUAGCGGGUAUAACUUUCGUUGACCCGCGUUGACCACGCGAUAUAUCGGAGAAAAAUCGCCGAUUUAUCGCCAAAUGACCGAUAUAUCGCGAGAAAUCGGCGAUUUCCCGAUUUCUCGCGAUAAAUGCCGAAAUAUCGCUGGACCGAUAUUUCUCCAAGAAAUAUCGUGUCGAUACCCUCCGACACACGAUAUUUCGGCGAUACAUUUUCCUCCUUGGUAUUAUGGCCAUUGGCGCUUUCCUUUGACCAGUCAAAGCCUAUCAAUACAAUUGCCAUAGGUCCUUUCCUCUUUGACUAAUCAAAGCCUUAAACUAAAAUUUCAAUUUUUUGGUAUUCCUUCGUAUUAUGGCCACGACCUUUCCUUUGACUAGUCAAAGUCUUUCAAUACUAUUGCCAUGGGCCCUUUUCUCUUUAAGGGAUCCAACCCAAUAAUUAUAAUUUAAGGCUUUCAAACCAUAUUAAUAGUUUACUCCUCCCUCCUAAAUUUUAACUUAAAUUCAAUUAAUUUUAAUUAUUUCAUUUUUUUUAUAUUCUAUUUAAUAUAUUAUUGAAAAUAUAAAAAUAUCAUAAUAAUCUUAUCAGUCUCUCUUUAUUAAAAAAAAUAAACUUGGAUAUAAAAGUAUUAACAUUUUUAAACAUAAAAACAUAUGCAUAUAGCAUUAUUUUUUUUUAUUUUAAAUAAAGAUCAUCAUUUUAAAUACAUGCUUGAUUCUAAAAAAAAUUAAAAGUUUUAAUAAAUUAAUUAAUUUUAAUUAUCUUAUUAUUAAAUUUCAUUUAACAUAUUAUGAAAAUGUAAAAACCGUAAUAAUGAUUUACGGUAAAUAAUCUUUUAUGUUUUUUGUAUAUUAAUUAUUUAAAAAUUUAUAUAUAUAAAAAUUUUAAAAUAAAUUAAAAAAUAAUCAUACAUAUAUCAUUAGUUAUUUUAUACCCUAAAAUACAUUCAAACUAAAUACAACAUUAUUUUUAUAAUAAAUGUGGUAAGAUACUUUAUAAACUUAUUUAUGUUUUUAAGUUUUUCUUUUUCACUUUACAAACCCAUCUGUAUUGCUAAAUGUAUCCCUCCUUUUAUUUUACAAUUUUUACAUUCUUUCAACUUUUCAAACUCAAUAAUCCUUUAAAAAAAUAUAUAUAUAAUUUUUAAAACUUUAUCAAUUAUAAAAAGUUUCUAAAACCAUAAAUUUUUUAGAUAAAUUUUAUUAUAUUAUUUUUCAUUAAAAAUGAAUAAUAACAUUGAAAUUUUUUAUAACGAUGAAUCAUAAUAUUUUAAAAUUUCACAUAAAAUCUUAAUUAUUUUAAAAGGAAUGUUAAAUUGCCUAGUUAAAAUAUUAGUAGAAAUAUUGUCAUAUGUAGAAAAAAUAAUAAUAUAAUCAUUUUGAAUUAAUUUUGAUCCGAGAAAUUGUGAUAUUAAUUGGCUCAAAUUUUGAAUUUUAAAUUAUUUUAAAAAUAAUUUAUACUACUUAGCAAAUGUAAUGCAUGAAGUCAUGUUUGAUUUGAAGUCCUUUUGUUUAAUGAAAAUUUCCGAAAGAAAAAAUCAACAAACUUAUUGAGUGAUUUCCUAACACAGGAUAAUCAUAUCACGCGUCACUAAAAUUUAUCCAUAAAAAUAAAUUUGUGAAAUGUUGUAAGUUAAAUAAUAUUUUUUUUUAAUUAAAAUUGGGUUGAAAAAGAAUUUUAUAAAUAUUAUAAAAUUUAUAUUUUUUUAAUUUUAAUAUCGUCCAGGAGUUGAGUGAUGGGAAUAAUUGAGAACAAAGAGGCAAAUAGAUGUUUAAUGUGUGAAUAGUACGAUCAAAUAUUAUAACGAAAGGUGGAAGACAGGUCAAGAAUAUUAGAGAAAAUGAUUUCAAAUAGUUAUGAAAGUAAUUAUUUAAGAAAGGACCCACCCACAAGCAACUUUAUUUCCUAGCAUUUACGUACCGAAAAUGACAAUAUUUCCAUGAUAUAUCGAGCUUCGGUGGGCUUGGACAUGAUAUAAAAUGGAGAGAUUUCCGGGAGAAAAUAUAUUAAGCACAGUGAUUUUUAUUUUGGUAUUCUUUGACCAGUCAAAGCCUUUCAAUAUUAUUGCCAUGGGUCCUUCCCCCUUUAAUUAUUUUUUUUUUCAUAUUCUAUUUAAUAUAUUAUUAAAAAUAUAAAAAUAUCAUAACAAUCCUAUCAAUGAGUCUUGCAUUAUUUAAAUAAAUAAAUAUUAAUAUAAAAUUGUUUGCAUUUUCAAACAUAAAAAUAUAUUCAUAUAUCAUUAUUUCUUUUUAUUGGUAAAAAGAACAAAAAUAUAAAAAUAAAUAACUUAAUUUCUUAUUUUUAAAGAUAAAAUUCAAGAUUGAUAGAAAUGCAAGUAUGUGAUCCUUUUUCCAUUUUUCGGGGUCCCAAUGCAUAAGCAUGAGAUUUGCCAGUUAGAUAUCAAGAGUAAUAAGUGGGGAGGUCGGUGGCUUUUAAAAAAAUAAUAAAGAAGGACCCACCCACCACAGAACCUGUCAAAGCCUCUCAAUACAAUUGCCAAGGGUCCUUUCCCCUUUUAAGGGAUCCAACCCAAUAUCCCAUAUCAAAGCAAACUUCCAAACCAAUGGGGCAAUUUAAUAUAUAGUUUAUUCCUCCUUCCUAAAUUUUAAUUUAAAUUCAAUUAAUUUUAAUUAUUUUAGUUUUCAUAUUCUAUUUAAUAUAUUAUUAAAAAAAUAAAAAUAUCAUAAUAAACUUAUCAAUGAGGCAUUCCUUAUUGAAAAAAAAAAAAAACUUAGAUGUAAAAUUAUUAACAUUUUUAAACAUAAAAAUUUAUACAUAUAUCAUUAUUUCAUUUAUAUUUUAAAUGAAAAUCAUCAUUUUAAACAUGCUUGAUUACUUAAAAAAUAAAUUUUAAUAAAUUAAUUAAUUUUAAUUAUCUUAUUAUUUAAAUUUCUUUUAAAUUUGAAAUUUUCAUAAAUUUGAAAACAUAUCAUAUUAAAUUUUCCAAAAUUAAAUUAUAUUGUAUGGACUUAGAAAUCUUUCAAGAACUUUAAAAAUAUCAAAGCCAUUAUAAAUUUUAUUUUCUUUUUCAAGUUUUAAAAAUAAAAUCGUUUAUGGAUUUUAUUUUAUUUGAGUAUAUUAAAUCACUUUUUAAAUACAUUUUAAAAUGAAAAAGUUUGUUUUGUUUGAAGUUCUUAAUUAAUUUAUCAGAGAAACAUUAAAAUUAAAAAUUUAUAUUUUUUAUUUUAAAAUAUAUUGGUUUCAUUCAAAAUUUUAAAACCAUUUCUUGGUAAAAAGAACAAAAAUAUAACAAUGAAUAAAUUAAUUUCACAUUUUUAAAUUAUUUAAUAUAAAUUAAUUUUCAAGAUAAAAUUCAAGAUUGAUAGAAAUAAUUAUUCAAUUCGUUAUUUAAUUUAAUAUAAAAUAGUACAUUCUCAAAAUUUUAUUAUUUAAUUAUAAAUGAUAAACUUGUGCUAAGUCAAUACUUAAUAUGCUUAAACCACAUCCAUCUUUGGUGCUUAUGUGAAACAAAACUAAUUUGCUUUGGUAAUCCAAGUGGCUUUUAAAAUUAUUUAAAAUAUUUAAACUAAAAAAAAUAUUUAUUAUUUAUUUAUAUAACGAAUUUUUAUUUAAAAUUAAUUAUUCAUUCUUUUAUGAGAUGUAUCAAGAGUCAUUUAUUCACAAUGAUAAAAGGGAGAGGCGUGGCUUUUAAUAGAAUCUAAGGAAUGACCCACCCACCACAAAAUUCAAAAGCAUCUUUCUUUUCUAGAAGAGAAAUGAGUGGGAAGUUGAGUGGCCUCCAAAAGAGUAUAAGAAAGGACCACCUGCCACAAAAUUCAAACCACCAUUAUUUCCUAGCAUUGCAUUUGGUUCACAAUGGUCAAAAAGUAAUGGGUGAACAUAUUGGUGGCUUUAUUUAAAAGAAUAUAAGGAAGGACCCAUCCACCACAAAAAUUCAAAAACACCUUCCUUUCCUAGCAUUUGCAUACCAAACGACUUCAUCUUUUUCUCUUCAUUCAUUUUCACUGUCCAAUGGUAGAUGAGUUCAUUUGAACCCACCAUGUUGAACAACUGAUAAUCUACCAUUGUCACAGGGAAGGUUGAAGGUGAUGUUUGAGUCAUUUCUUCACUAAAAAGAAAAAGUGAGAAUUGAAUUGGAUUUUUCUCAUUUUGAAAAAUUUCAAGAUCCUUAGCAGGUAGAAAACAAGACUUCAUAAAAAGAAAAGAUUCAUUUGUUAAUCAAUACAAGUGGCUCCUUCCUUGGCUUUUUUCCUUUGUGUGUUUUUUAUGUGAUGUGGUGAAAAAUUAUUAUUUAUUUUGAGUUACCAUUCAGAUAAGUUACACUGCUUUUUAGUAAGAAAGUUCUCCAUGGUAUUUUGUCGUUGGUGUUACAAAUUCUUAAUCAUAUUAUUAAUAUUAUUUUAUCAUAAAUGAUUUUGGAUAUAAAUAUAAAUAAGAUGGUAGUUUAUAUAUCAUAAAAAUUAAUUUAGGUGGUAAGAUGAAGAUAAUAAUACCACAAUUCUCAUCAUAAAAAAAUAUUAAAAAAAUAAAAUUUAAAAAUGAGAAUAGUCCAACUUCGUUGUUUCUACAUAUUUGUCUUUCAAUAAAUUAAACUGAAAAGUACAUAUAUUAUAAAACAAAGGAAAAGAAAAACCUCUUAUUCAUAUUUACUAUCUAUAAAGAUAAAAUUAAUAAUUAUUGAAAAAGAAGUUUUUUUUCCCUUAAUAUUCAUUUUUCUCCCACCAUUAGGAUAAUAAUAUGAAAGAAGUGUUGUAAUUAUGCCUCUUUCACUAUUGUCAAAUUCAAAACUUUCCAAUAAAUAUCGGUAGAUUGAAGUCUCCCAAAGUCAUAUUUAAUUUAACUAUUUUUUUAUCUACUUUCCCCUUUGGCCAGUCAAAACCUUAAAUUAAAAUUUCCAUUUUCUGGUAUUCCUUUCACCAAUUUCAAUAUUGUUGUCAUGACUCCUUUCCCUUCGAGGGAUCCAACCCAAUAUUCCAUAUGAAGGCGAACUUCCAAACAAAUUGGGCAAUUUAAUAUAUAGUUUAUUCCUCCCUCCUAAAUUUUAACUUAAAUUCAAUUAAUUUUAAUUAUUUUAUUUUUUAUAUUCUAUUUAAUAUAUUAUUAAAAAUAUAAAAAUAUCAUAAUAAUCUUAUCAAUGAGUCUUUCUUUAUUAAAAAAAUAAUCUGAGAUAUAAAAUUGUUAACAUUUUUAAACAUAGAAAUAUAUAUCUUAAAUAAAGAUCAUUUCAAACACAUGUUUCAUUACUAAAAUAAAAUAAAAUUUAAUAAAUAAAUUAAUUUUAAUUAUCUUAUUAUUAAAUUUCAUUUAACUUAUUGUGAAAAUAUAAAAACUAUGGUAACGAUAUUUUGAAAAUUAUCUUUUAUGUUUUUAGUAUGGUAUUUAGAUAUUAAAAAUAUAAGAAAAAAUGAGUUUUGACUCAUUAAUUUGAAAAAAUUUAGAAAAAAGAACCUUAUGUUGUAAAAUGAUAAAGUGAAAGGAGAAGAAAACAAGAAAGAGAAAUUAGAACGUAAGAAGAGAAUGGAAUAGAUUUUCAUUAGGGGUGUCUCCCUUUUAUAGGGAGUCACAAAGAGAUAUACAUCAAAAUGGAUGAUCAUCCACAAGUUUCCAUAAUCCGAUAAAUUCUCAUAUUUUAUAACACUCCCCCUUGGAUGAUCAUAAGAAUAUGUCUCAUUAAAACCUUACUAAGAAAAACCAUAUGGGAAAAAUCCCUAGUGAAGGAAAAAGAGUACAAUGUUCUUUUUGGAUUAUUAUAAUUGUCUCGUUAAAAACCUUGCCAGUAAAUCCUAAUAGAACAAAACCUAGACGAAGGAAAAAAGAGUGCAGUAUAUCCAUAUUAUCAUUCUCCCCCUUAUGUAAACAUGAUUAUGAUUUCUUCAAAAUUUCAAAUGGUGGAUCUCUUAAUCUUCGCAUUCCAAUGUCAUACCUUAACUUUUCCAAUGUGGUUGAAGGUAACGCCUUUGUGAAUAGAUCUGCUAGAUUAUUGCAUGACCGAAUUUGAUGAACAUCAAUCUCACCUUUCUUUUGGAGCUCGUGAGUAUAGAAGAAUUUAAGGGAGAUAUUCUUAGUUCUGUCACCUUUUAUAAAUUCUCAUUUAAUUUGUGCAAUACAAGCAGCAUUAUCUUCAUGUAAUAUGGUUGCAUUGCCUCUGAUGGAAGGUAGUCCACAUGUUUCUUGUAUAUGUUGGAUCAUUGACCUUAGCCAUACACAUUCACGGCUUAUUUCGUGAAUUGCAAGAAUUUCUAAAUGAUUUGAAGAUGUGGCUACCAUUGUUUGCUUGACUGAUCUCCAAGAUAUUGUCGUUCCACCAUAAGUAAAGACAUAUCCCGUUUGAGAUCGAGCUUUAUGAGGAUCUGAAAGAUAUCCUGCAUCUACAUACCCAAUUAAUUGUGAUUUUGAUUCUUUUGAAUCAUAUAAACCCAUAUCACUUGUCCCACGAAGGUAUCGCAAUAUAUGUUUAACCCCAUUCCAAUGUCUUUUAGUUGGGAUAGAACUGUAUCUUGCUAGUAAGUUGACAGAGAAUGCUAUGUCUGGUCUAGUACAAUUUGUAAGAUACAUUAGUGCACAGAUUGCACUGAGAUAUGGUACUUAUGGACCAAGCAAUUCUUCAUUUUCUUCUUUAGAACAAAAUAGGUCUUUGUCCACUUCAAGUGAACGAACAACCAUAGGGGAAUUGACUGGACGUGAUUUGUCCCUAUAAAAUCGUUUUUAUACUUUCUCUAUAUAUGUCGAUUGAUGGAUUAAUAUGUCAUUUGAACAAUGCUCGAUCUGCAGGCUGAGGCAAUAUCUUGUUUUUCCCAAGUCUUUCAUUUCAAAUUCCUUCUUUAAAUAAUUGGCUGCUUUUGUGAGCUCUUCAGGAGUUCCUAUAAGGUUUAAAUCAUCCACAUACACUGCAAUUAUUGUAAGCCCAAAUUUUGAUUUCUUGAUAAAAAAACACAUAGGCAAAUUGAAUUAUUCACAUAUCCUUUUUUUAACAAAUACUCACUCAAACGAUUAUACCACAUACGUCCAGAUUAUUUUAAUUCGUACAAAGACCUUUGUAGUUUGAUUGAGUACAUGUUUUGAGGCUUUGGAUUAGUUGCUUCAGGCAAUUUGAAUCCUUUAGGGAUUUUCAUAUAUAUGUCAGUAUCUAUAGACCCAUAUAAAUAGGCUGUAACAACAUCCAUAAGACGCAUAUCUAGUCCUUCAGAAACUGUUAAACUUAUCAAGUAUUGAAAUGUGAUUACAUCCAUUACAAGGGAAUAAGUUUCCUCAUAGUCUAUGCCAGGUCUUUGAGAGAAACCUUGAGCAACAAGUCAUCCUUUAUAUCUUAUGAUUUCAUCAUUCUCAUUUCGUUUUUUCACAAAGACCCAUUUAUAUCCAACAGGCUUUAUGUUUCCAGGUGUUUGAACUACAGGUCCAAAUACCUCUCGUUUUGUUAAUGAGUUUAACUCUGUUUGGAUUGCUUCUUUUCAUUUUGGCCAAUCAUUCAUUUUUCGGCAUUCAUUCACAGUUUGUGGUUCUUGAUAUUCAUCAUUUCUCAUGAUGUCCAUAGCCACUUGGAAUGCGAAUAUAUUAUCUAUGAUAAUGUCACUACGGUCUUUUGUUUCUCCCAUGUGACUCAUUGAGAUCUCUUUAGCUCUAGAUACCGGUAUUUGAUCAAUUUGUACCUCUUCAGGAGCUAAUUAUUUGUCAAGUUGGGUUUCACCAUUUGACCCUUUCAUUUUUAUGAACUCUUCAGGAGUACUAAGUUUUUCAUAUGUUGUACCUUUUUUUUUUCUAGGAAUUAAAUCCUUUGAGCCAAUAGGUCUACCAUGCUUCAGGCGUGUCUUAGAUUCAUUUGCUAUGGCAUUCUCCAAUUGUCCUUUAGGGACAUCAAUAUGUGCUGGGGCGUUCACAGCUGGCACGUUCACAGCUGGCACGUGUGACUUUGUUACUUUCUUUAUAUUUGUGAAAGCAUAAGGUAAUUGAUUUGUAAGUCCUUGCAAAUGAAUAAUCCUUUGAACUUCUAACUCACAUUGUCUUGUGCAAGGAUCAAGAUGAGACAAGGAGGGUACAUACCAUGUAAUGUCUCGCCAUUCUUUUGACUUGUCUCCCCCUAAUGGCGGGAAAACAUUUUUAUCAAAAUGACAAUCUAUAAAGCGGCAUGAUUAGCUGUAGGGCGAAUUCGAAUUAAAGUGGCAGCAUGAAGAAUAGCAUGCCCCCAAGCAGACAAGGGCAAUUUUGUUCUCAAGAGUAAUGGUCUUGCAAUCAAUUGUAAACACUUAAUUAGAAAUUCAGCUAAUCCAUUUUGAGUAUGGCUAUGAGCAACAGGAUAUUCAACAUCAAUACCAACCAACAUACAAUAAUCAAGAAAUGUUUGAGAGGAAAAUUCACCAGCAUUAUCAAGACGAAUUUUCUUAAUAGGAUGAUUAGGGAAUUGUGCCUUGAGUCGAAUUAUUUGAGCAAGUAACCUGGUGAAGACAAUAUUUCUAGUUGAAAGAAGACAAACAUGAGACCAACGAGUUGAUGCAUCAAUUAAAACCAUAAAAUAACGAAAAGGUCCACUAGGUGGAUGAAUAGGUCCACAAAUAUCACCUUGAAUACAUUCUAAAAAGGCUGGUGAUUCAUAUUCAACCUUGGUAAAUGAUGGUUUAAUAAUUAAUUUGCCUUGUGAGCAAGCAACACAAUUGUAAUCAUUAGGCAUCAGAAUCUUCUGGUUCUUCAAGGGAUGCCCUAAAGAAUUGUUGAUGAUACGACACAUCAUGGAUAAUCCUGGAUGACCAAGACGUUCAUGCCAUAUCAUAAUAGUUUUUAAGUCACAAAACUUCUGGUUCAUGACAGCAUAUGACUUAAUGGGUCUAAUGAUUGUUUGAUAUAACCCACAAGAAUAAGAAGGAAGCUUUUCCAAGAUGUGUUUUUCCCCAUAAAUAAUUGAAGUAAUGAGAAGGUAUUCAUUACUAUCAUCAUUCAUAGUUUCAAUGUGAUAUCCAUUUCGGCGAAUAUCCUUGAAACUAAGAAGAUUUCGCUUGGAUUUAGUAGAAUAAAGGGCAUCAUUAAUGUGGAUUUUAGUUCCUUUGGGUAAAAUAAUAGUUGCUCUUCCAAAGCCUUGAAUCAAGUCUACAGGACUUGAUAUUGUAUUAACAUUAGACUUACCCAAUGAUAUGUUGGAAAAAUAUUUUUUAUCACGAAGGAUUAUGUGUGUUGUGGCACAAUUUGCAAGACAUGCAUCUACAUUGGAUGUCGUAUGAUAUACCAAGGUAUGAGAAAGAUCCAUGUAUCUUCAAGUAUAAAUAAAGAGAAUAAUUUAAGUAAAAUAUGGAAUAAACUAUAAAAGGUAAAUAAUAAACAAUGUGUUCAAAGAUGAUAACAAAAUAAACCUAUUUGCAAAGAACUAAAUAUAACGUUUAAUCAUAACAAACAUUUCCAUCACCAAUUAGAUGUUCAAUUUUCCCAUUAAGAUUCUCAAAGAAAUCCGAAACAUCUAAAUGGGUUGGAUCCACUUGGCCAUCACUAUCAAUGAAGUUUAUUUCAACUUCCUUUCCUUUUAUUUUUAUUGAGACUUGAUAAAGGUCAACAAAAUGUUUUGGAGUAUGACAAGUACGUGACCAAUGUCCUUUCAUGCCAUAUCUAUGAAACUUAUUCUCACGAGCAAUUUUACUUUGUGGUUCUUUCCCCUUUUCAGGUUGUGCCUCUGAAUUAUUCCACUUCUGGUGGUUUGAGUUGUUCUUUUUACUUUGAGAACCACUACGAUGAGAAGAAUUGUGUUUACCAUGACCUCAAUCACGACCACGUCCUCGACCUCGUCUAUAUCCAUGUCCUUGUUCAUGUCCAAGGGUUUGAACAGAUGUGGCAUUGGUUUCAAGCAAUGACAUAGACCCAGCAGGACGAGAUUGAUGGUUUUUCAAUAAUAGCUCAUUAUUUUGUUCAUCCACCAGAAGACAUGAGAUCAAUUCUGAAUAUUUAGUGAAACGACGCUCUCGAUAUUGCUGCUACAAGAGCACAUUCGAGGCAUGAAAAGUUGUGAAUGUUUUUUCAAGCAUAUCUUCUUCAAUGACCUUUUCUCCAUACAAUUUUAAUUGUGAGCUAAUUUUGAAUAGGGUCGAGUUGUAGCCACUAACAGACUUGAAAUCUUGUAAUCUCAAGUGCAUCCAAUCAUAGCGUGCCUUUGGAAGGAUUACGGUCUUUUGGUGGUCAUACCGUUCCCUUAGAUUAUUCCAAAGGAUGAAAGGAUCUUUAACCAUGAGGUAUUCCCUUUUUAAUCCUUCAUUAAUGUGAUGACGAAGGAAUAUCAAAGCUCUAGCGCGAUCCUGCAGGGAUGCGUCAUUUCCUUCUUUAAUGGUAUUUCCAAGAUUCAUCGCAUCUAGAUGAAUUUCAACAUAUAGAACCCAAGAUAAGUAGUUCUUCCCCAAAAUAUCGAGGGCAACAAAUUCAAGCUUUGCAAGGUUUGACAUUAUCUGAAACCUAUAUAUAAUAUUAAUCAGAGAAAUAUUUCAAUUAUAAUAAACUAAAAAUGCUUUAACAAUAUUUCAAGUAAACAAUAUCUAAAAAUAUAAUGACCUAAAAUUUAUAAAUAUGGUAAAAAUGUAGAAAUAUGAAAUAAGAAUUAAAAUUUAAUAUAUAUAUAUAUAUAUAUAUAUAUAUAUAUAUAUAUAUAUAUAUAUAUAUAUACAUACAUAUAUUUUUUCAUAGCUUCGGGCUAUGAACUUUCAUUAUGUAAAUUUGUACAUAGCUUCAGGCUAUGAACAUUUAUUUAUUUAUUUAUUUUAUAGCUUCUGACUAUAUAAUAUUGUUUGGUAUAACAUCGAGUUAUACCGUAUAAUUUAAAAUAAAUAAUUGAGGAUCAUAUACAUAACUUCUGGUCAUGUAUUUGUAAUUCUGUAAUUUUUUUUUCCCCAUAACUUCUGGUUAUAGGAAUUGCACAUAGUUUUAAUAACUUAUGGUUAUAAAUUUACCCCAUAACUUCUGGUUAUAGGGAUUAUAAUUGUUUUUCAUAACUUCUGGUGAUGAAUUUAUCCCAUAACUUCGGGUUAUAGGGAUUAUGAUUGUUUUUCAUAACUUCUGGUUAUGAAUUUAUCCCAUAACUUUUGGUUAUAGGGAUUAUACAUGUUUAUGUAUUCAAAUAAAAUAAAUAAAAAUAGAUAUCAAAAAGUAAUAAAAUAUAAAAUCAUGAUAUAAGUUUAUUACAUACCUUUUGUAGAGACUAGUCGUGCUGAUAACGUGUUAUAAAAUUAUAAAGUAAAAGGAGAAGAAAACAAGAAAGAGAAAUUAAAAUGUAAGAAGAGAAUGAAAUAGAUUUUCAUUAGGGGUGUCUCCGUUUUAUAGGGAGUCCCAAAGACAUAUACAUCAAAAUGGAUGAUCAUCCACAAGUUUCCAUCCGAUAAAUUCUCAUAUUUUAUAAUAUGUUAACUUUUAUAAAUCAAUUUUAUCUUCAUUAAUUUAAAAAUAUUUUAAAAUACAUGCAAUUUUUUACAAGUCAAAUAAUAUUUCCUAAAGUGACCUUUUACUUGUUAGGUUAAUAAUACUCAUUCACAGGUUUAUUUUAUUUUUUAUUUACAGUGGGAACUUAUUUGAAAUCAAUAAAAUAACAAAUUUUAAAAAUUAAAAUUACAAUUAAAACUAAAAAAAAUAAUUAAAGGUUAAAAAUAUAAAAUAAAAUAUUAACUUUUAAUUAACUAAAUCACAAUAGUAGAAAAUAUAGAUUUGAGAACUAAAAUACAAUGAUCAAUAUUUUUUUAAUUUUUAAGUUUUUUUUUUGUUUUAAUUGUAUUUAAUUUUUAUUUGUAUUUUCAAUUUUUAAAAUUUUUUAUUUUAUUAUUGAUGUCAACUAAUAAAUUUUUUUUCUAUUUUAUUAAAAAAAAAGAUGAGUGGAUUUAUAUAAUACAAGAUAUAAAAUUAUUAUUAAUUAAUAAAUUAUUAUAUAAUACAAGAAAUUAAAACCAUUUCUUGGUAAAAAGAACAAAAAUAUAACAAUGAAUAAAUUAAUUCCAUAUUUUAAAAUUAUUUAAUAUAAAUUAAUUUUCAAGAUAAAAUUCAAAAUUGAUAGAAAUAAUUAUUCAAUUCGUUAUUUAAUUUAAUAUAAAAUAGUACAUUCUCAAAAUUUUAUUAUUUAAUUAUAAAUAAUAAACUUGUGCUAAGUCAAUAUUUGAUAUGCAUAAAGGAUAUCCAUCUUUGGUGCUUAUGUGAAACAAAACCAGUUUGGUUUGGUCAUCGAAGUGGCUUUUAAAAUUAUUUAAAAUAUUUAAACUAAAAAAAUAUUUAUUAUUUAUUUAAAAUUAAAUAUUCAUUCUUUUAUGAGAUGUACCAAGAAUCAUUUAUUCACAAUGAUAAAAAGCGAGGUGUGUGGCUUUUAAAAGAAUCCAAGGAAUGACCCGACCCACCCACCACAAAAUUCAAAAGCAUCUUUCUUUUCCAGAAGAGAAAUGAGUAGGAAGUUGAGUGGCCUCCAAAAGAAUAUAAGAAAGGACCCACCCGCCACAAAAUUCAAAACCACCAUUGUUUCCUAGCAUUUGCAUUUGGUUCACAAUGGUCAAAAAGUAAGGGGUGAGCAUAGGGGUGGCUUUAUUUAAAGGAAUAUAAGGAAUGACCAAUCCACCACAAAAAUUCAAAAACACCUUCGAAUGAGUGGAUUUAUAUAAUACAAGAUAUAAAAUUAUUAUUAAUUAAUAAAUUAAAAAAUUUUAUUUACCACUUAAGGAUCUUGGAGAAUUUUUUCAAAAUAAUUUGUGUAUCAUAUUAUAUAAUAAAAAUUUAUAAUAUAUUUAUUUGUGAGAUACUUUUAUCAAAUUUAAACGAUAAAUUAAUUUUUGAUCAUUUUAUCUAAUAUUAUAAAAUAGAAGGGUAUUUUAAAAAAUAAUUAUAAAAAUGUAUGUAUUUUAAAAUAUUUUUAAAUAGAUAAAGAUAAAACUCAUUUAUAAAAGUUGAGGUUUCUUUUUAUAUAUUUUUUCAAAUUAGAGAGUCCAAACUCACUUUUCCCAAAAAAUAUAUAUAGAUUUAUAAAUAAAAUUUUAAAAUAAAUUAAGAAAUAAUCAUAAUAUAUCAUUAGUUAUUUUAUAUCCUAAAAUACAUUCAAACUAAAAAGAAUAUUAUUUUAAUAACAAAUGUGAUUAAUAAAUUUAUUUUAGAAUCUGACGAAUUUUUAUCAUACAUAAAUUAUUUUCUUUAAUAAAAUGACUUCAAUAUGUAUUAUUAAAGUUAUGAUAUUAUUUUUCUAAAAAGUUUUUUUCCAACAUUUCUUCAAUUAAAUAUGCAAGAAAAACAUCUACAAUAACAAGAAAAAGAUAGUCUAAUAUANNNNNNNNNNNNNNNNNNNNNNNNNNNNNNNNNNNNNNNNNNNNNNNNNNNNNNNNNNNNNNNNNNNNNNNNNNNNNNNNNNNNNNUUAAAAUAAUAAAAUUUAAGAAAGUGUUCUUUUAUUCCUCUCUUAUUAUAAUUAUAAAAUUCAAAAUCUUUUCAUUUGAUUUACUAAUGCUAUGUUCGGUUUAAGAAUGGUAGUAAAUCAAGAAAAAAAUAUUAAAAAAAAAUAUUUUCUCAUAUUUGAUUUUAUUAUAAAAAAUCAAAUAUAAUUAAAAUUAAUUAAAAUUUUAUAUUUUUUAAAAUUAUUUAUUUAUUAAUUACAUAAAAAUAUUAAAUUAAGUUAAAUAAGUUUAUGAUAAUAUAUAAAGUAAUUUAUUAACUUCAAAUUUAUUUUUAUUUUUCUUUUAUUUUAUUUUCUUUGCAUUUUCACUCAAAAUUUAUAAGAAUCAAAUAUACCUUAAAGUUUCAUUAAAGAAAUUAUGGGAGAAAAUGUUUUAAACAAGGAGACAAUAAAUCAUAAGAUAGGAAAAAAAAUUCCUAAUGGAGAUUUUUUAUUUAUUUAUGAAGAAAUCAUCUCUCUUCAAGACGAUUUUUUAGAAUUUUUUUUUUAAAAAAAGGAGAAAAAAAUAGUCUCUUAAAAAUUCAUUUAUAUAUAUAUAUAUAUAUAUAUAUAUUAAAUCUAAUUAAUUUUAUUUACUAAAUUUAAUAUAUAACAAUAUUUAUAAUUACUGAGAUAUUUAUUAACAAUAAUACUUAUAAAAAUGUAAAUUAUGUUUCACAUCCAAUAUUUAAAAAUAUUAUUUUAUAUUACGUUAUAUAUUGAUCUAAAAAAUAUUUUGUUCUUUAUCUUCAAUUUUAUUUUUAAAUUAAUUUAAUUAAUUAUAACUAAUAAAUUAACUUAAUUUUAUAUUAUUUUUUAUUUAUAAUAUAAAUAAUAUUUAUCUAUUACUUUUUGUUUCUUUUUUCACUCCAGAUUAAAAAAAAAAACUAUUAUCAAUUUUAUAUAAAAAUUGAGUUUAUAAAAAACAAAUUUAUUAUUAAUUUAUUUUUAAAAUUUAUUAAAUAAUCAUUUACAAAAUAAGUAAUUUUAUUUUGUUAUAAUUUUUUUAAAAAGGAAAUAAAUAAUGGAGACCAUUUAAAAAAAUAACAAUUUUUAUUUUUCUUUUUAACAAAAACUACAAUAAAUUUAAAAAUAUAUUUUUUAUAAUUUAAAAAUUAUUUUUUUAAACUCCCAUACUUGUCAAAACCCCCGGAAUUGGAUGUGGCGCCCAAGGGUUAAAGAGUCAUUGAAUAUAAGGGAAAGAAGCCAGAUGUGGAAUUGGGUGAAUGGCACUCAACCCAAGGGUUAGAAAAUUUCCCAAGGCAACAGACAACCCAUGUGCAUUUGUACAUAUGUGUGUCCAACCCCAUGUGGAAUUGGGUGCAUGGCACUCAACCCAAGGGUUAGAAAAUUUCCCAAGGCAACAGACAACCCAUGUCCAACUCCCUUAUAAAUGAGUAUGGAGGCAACCAUUUGAAAGGUCCCUUUGGGCCAGUGAAGCCAAGUGAAAAUAAGAACUUGACAUCUCAUUGUUAAUUUAUAAUUUAAUAAGUAAUUUUUAUCUCUUUGUUAAUAAUAUUAAUGAUUACAUUAUUUAAAAUUUAUUAAUAAAAAUUAUAUUAUGUUAUUAGAUAUAUAAAAAUAUUUUGUAUUUAUUAGUAUUAUUUUAUGUUGUAUUAUAGAUAUAUGUUUUUUUUUUUUUAACUCUUUUAGUCAUUUUAUUUGCUUUAUAAAAUGAAUGAUAUAAAACAAAUUUUAGAAAUGAAUUUAUGACCAUGGUUUAUGCAUGUUUUAUCUCAACUUAUAAUUAGUAUAUCUCGUAUAGACAAUAUAAGGGAAAAAAAAAAAUUCCUUCACUAAGACUAUUCCAUGUUUGGUUGAAUAUAUUUAUUAAUUCAUAUUUGAUUAAAUAUAAAAAUGAUAGGAGAUAAGGUAACUUACCUUUAAAUAUAGAAUAAAAUAUGUUUUUAUUUCCUCUUAUAUCAUAUUAUAUGGAGUUAAUCAAAUAUAAUAUUCAAACUUUUAAGCUACACUUUUAUGGGUAGAAUUUCAUAUUUUAAGAUGUUACUUCUAAAUAGAUAUGAUAUCAUUAGAUUUUAUAUCCCAUAGAAAAUAUAUCUUAAGAUAUUUUAUUGAAUAGAGUUUGUUAUGCUAUGGUUUGGUUUAUAACAAGAAUAAAAAAUGCUUAGAUAUUUUUAAAAAUAAAAACAAUAUCAUGAAAUCUCUCUCAUAUUCACUAUUAUUCACAAAUUAUUCUACAAUUUAUAAUUUAUUAAUUAGUUUUUUUAUUUCAUUGUUAGUAAUAUUUAUGAUUAAAAUAUUUAAAAUUUAUAGUGAAAAAUAUUAUACCGUUUUAUUAAAUAAUUCUUUUUUAACCAUAAAUUUAAUUUUUCAGGUCAAAAUUUCUUAUUUUGCACAUUAAAAAAUAAAAAUUGGAAAAAAAAUAAAUGUGAUGAAUAAAUUUAUGUCAAACUUUUAAGCUACACUAGACUAGGUAGAAUAGAAUAUGCAUAUUUAAGAUAUCAUGAAUAAGAUAUUCUAUCAAAUAGAAUUUGUUAUGCUAUAGUUUGAUUUAUAAAAAGAAUACAAAAUGCUUAGAUAUUUUUUAAAAUAAAAAUUAUAUUAAAUCCUAAUAUUUGUUACUAACAAAAUCAUUAAAUCUCUCUUAUAUUCACUGUUAUUUACAAAUUAUUCUAUACUUUAUAAUUAGAGUUAUCACAUGUUUAUGUUUCAAUCCUUGUUCUCUUUUCAUAAUCAAAUUAUUAGAUAUAUGUUUAUAUUUCAAUCUUCUUUCUCUUUUUAUAGCCAUUUCCACCAUAGAUAUUUUAUAAACUUUAAAUAGAACAUCAAUGUUUUGAAAAUUGGAUAGGACUAGUCGGUCUAGUCGAUCCAACUGUUGGCCGAUGAAGUUUUUGGAAAGUUUGGCCAUUCAAUUGGUUGCAAAUUGCCUAAACCGGCUAUCAAAUUGAUAAACUGGAUGAGCCGAUUCUUGGAGAACUGAAUGGUUCAUGCAAUGACCCUUUUUUUUUUUCUCACUGAAAAGCCCACUAACACAGGCCUAAGUUGCCCCAUUUACCCCUCUUUUAAAGGGUCCAAUUCAAAAGCCCAAUCCCUAAUUUCUUUUACUAGGCUCGUUCUUGAAUCCAUGUUCUUAAAUCUGAUGUGGGAUUGAUGUUUACGCUAUUAAAGUUGAAGGCAUCUAUUAUGAAAUAACAAGAAUGGGGAACAAGAAAAAAACAGAAUAAGAGCACAUAAAUUUAUGUGAAACCCUAAGCGGGAAAAACCAUAAGCGGAGAAAAAGAAAAUCCACAAUAUCAAAAAUUGGUACAAAAGGGGAGAGAUGUGAACGACUACUGCAUAAACAUAAACAUCCUAGCCCUAAAUCCUAUAUAUCAUCGCAUAUACGUAUACAUAUAUAUAUGUAUACAUAUACGUAUACAUAUACAUAUAUAUAUAUGGGAGAGUAAUAAAUAAAUAUAUGGGAUUAGAAUACCCAAAAAAAUCUCAUAAUUUUUUUCACCACAAAUGUCACAUCAUGAGCUCUUUUAAUCGGACCAAAUAGAAUUUGGGUCACCAAACUUUAACAUAAUAAAAGAAAAUCCACAAUUCUACCCACUAGACUCAAACCAAAGACUUGGAGCAUAAGGAAUGCCACAUAGAACCUCUAGGCUACAUGCAUUUUCAUGCUAAAUAUGGCAAACAAAAAAAACAUAUUCUUUCUUGAAAAUUUUAUAAUAUUAAAUAAAAUAAAAUAAUAUUUUUAAAAAUAAUAAAAUUAGUUAAAAUUCAGCAAUUUAAUUUUACUUCAGUUUCAAUAUAUUUACAUUUAAAUACUAUACAUAUUUUAUUUAAUAAUAUUUAAAAUAUUCAUAUAUUUAUAUUUAUGCAUGAUUUAAUUUGAUAGUAUCAAAGAUAAAAAAUAAAUAUUAUUGAUUGUUAAUUUAUUUAUAUAUAUAUAUUUUUUAAUUAAUUAAUAUUAUUUUAUAUAUAUAUAUGACGUCACUGGUUUGACCGCAGUUCAACUACCGACCUAGAUUAGUGAAACAUGAAUCGAUAACUUUUUUGAUUCAUUGUAUGAUUUAGUUUUAAAAACAUUAGAGAACAUGUAGCAUAAACAACAACCAAAUAUUAAAUAAACAAUAAGAUAAAGACACACUUAUAAGUAGAGAGCCCAAUCCUACUCCAAUUGGAGAGGAUUUUGUAAAUCCUAGGUAGCUUGUUUUUGGGAACCUAUAUAGAAAUGACUUUUAGUCUAUAAACUUUCACAGAAAGUAGUUUCUAUGACCCAAAUCCACCUAAAAGUGGUUUAUCAUUUCAUCUUCAACUUAUGUCUUAAAAGUCAAAAUCAAAAGCACAGAAAGAUGUGUACAGGAUGCAAGCCUCUCCCUAACAUGGAAGAUUCUAGAACUGAAAAAUAGAUCACAUGUCGACAUCCAUUCCAAAAAGUAUUUUUUUUUCAAAAGAAACCAAACAUAAACACUUUUCUAGAUAAAUUCUUCCUAGAAAAUGUCUUAUAUCAACAAAAUAGUAACAUGAGAAAAGAGCACAAACAAAAACAAGAAUGCCUUGCUAGCUCUAGUUUUGCCUUUGCUAAUAAAAUUACUAUACCAUAACAAUAGACUCAUGUUACAAGAGUAUUUAUAAGAAGUGAAGCUAAGUUUAGUCCUUGUAAUGAAAACUAAUGAGUUCCCAUAAGAGUCGAUCAAACCUUUAUCAAAUGAAAUAUUCAUUCCUUCCUGAAAUACAAAGUUGAUGAAGUUAGGUAAGAAGAGUUUUUUCCUUUCUAAUCAUGAUCAUAAUUUGUUAUUUGUUAAAAGUUCAAAAUAUUGCAUCUGCUUUUUGGUUUCAAUGAACUUAGUUAUCGAGCAUCUAAUGAUUUUUUCCGUAGCAUCAAACAAGGUUAAGGCAGCUUAGUGAGUUCCAUAAGCAAUUGUAAGUCUAAGCAUAUACCUAUAUUAAUUCUAUUAAUCAAUAAAAUGAAUAAAGAAUAAGGAAUUUUAGUAAGUAUCUUCAUUGCUUAAAUGUUUAAUAAUCAAUAUGAAUGAGGGAUAUUACCUUGGACAAUAAUUUGAGUUGGUGUUGCAAUAUUUUGGGCACUCCGCUAUUUGGUCUUUCAACACCACUUUCUUGUUGCAUUUUGUGUAUGCAUUAUACCAAGGUUCAUCCAUAUCACCAAUAUUGACAAUUCUUGCUUUAAAUGAAUAAUAAAUUUUCUAUAAAUUUAAACAAACAAUAAUAUUAAUUUAAGUAUCAUAAUCAAAUAAAUAUCAAUAGGUUUUUUCCCCCUUGUAGGAUAGGAUGUUAUAUACCUAGAAUUCCAAUAAUAGUCUUUCUAUUAAAUUAGUAAGCAUGACGCAUUUUGAGGAAAUCUUUAUUGGGUUUACUAUCCUUGGCAUUCUUGCAUUGAUGACCGAGUUUGACCUACAAAUUAGGUUUGUAGUUCAUAUUAAUACAGUAGUGGUAUGUGAACGUAGAGAAUUUUUUUUUUUUUUUUGAGGCAUUUACUUUUUAAAGUAUAUCAUUCCUUGAUUUUCGCAACUUCUUCCAAAAAAGUAUGGUAAUCAACAAUUAAUGUGGAUAGACAUAAAAUCCCCAAUUGUCAAUAAAAAUGUGUAUAUAUAUAUAUAUAUAUAUAUAUAUAUAUAUAUAUAAAACCAAUAAAUAAAAAUGUUUAAAAAAAUUAAAUAAUGUGUAAUACAUACUGUCAUUUGUUGUCAUCUUUGCUUUUGGUAAUGCAAUUAUUGGUUUUUAAGUGAUUUGCUCCUCCAAUAUAUGACCUUCAUUUCUUGUAAGAUUUCUCCAUAAUGUUAAUACAAUAAGUGUAUUGAUAAAACAAAGGCUAUGAAUAAUUAAGGAAAAUACCCAAAAGGGGGGGAUGAAUUGGGUUUUUCAAAAUAUUUUUCCACACAAUAAUAUAUGCACAAAAUAAAUAAAGGAAAGAGAUAAAGUUAGAGAAUUCAAACUGGGGGUUUAUAGUGGUUCGGCACUCCCUUGCCUAUGUCCACUCUCCUCAAUCUCCUAAUCGAGUGAGGGUUCCACUAACUUGAAGCUUCAAUCAAGCUUUCAAUCUUCUUACACUUGGAUUCCGGCUCCAAUGGGCUCUUACACAAUUUCUUCAAGAUUUGAACCACUUGAAGGCUUUCACACUCAGUUUACACAAAGAUGAAACUCUCAACCUAGCUUAAGGAUGGCUCAAGUACAAGAGAAAGCUAGGAUGAUUUACAAGAGUGCACUAAGAAUAUGCAAUUGAUUGUUUAAUGCACUAAGAAAGAAAUGAGAGCUUUUUGAUCAAGAACAGGUAGGUAGACAAUUGAUUAUAAAGGUUUUCUUAGUCAUAAAUGAAGUGGAGCUCUCAAUUUAUAGGUUUCUAAGCUCGGGAGACAAAAACAGCAGAAAGUAGCCUCAACCGGACGAGCAAAGGGUCGAUUGGAUCAAUAGCCGUUGGAGCAUUUAAUGCAUGACAGGUUAUCGUUGCCUCGACCGGACCUCGACCUGACCUCAAUCGGACAAGGGUGAGGAUCGACUGGGAAGAGAAAGCUACUGGGAGAGACAAAAGGUUUUUAUGCCUCCCUCGACCUGACCUCGAUCGGACAAGGGAAACCGGUCGACCGGUUAUCAAACCGGUUGAGCCGGUUGGCCAUAGCCUCGACCGGUUGAGCCUUUUGGCCCCGAAAACCUAUCUUUUUUUAUUUCUUUCUUUUCCAAUACUUAGGCAAGGUCUUUAGAUGAGUUAAUAUGCCAAUUUUGAAUCAAUUUGCCUAAGGUAUAUUUGAUAAAACUCGGGUUUUAAAGAAAAUCAAGUUUUAAAGAAUAAACCGAGUUUUCUAAGAUGCAUGAAAAGGUAUGAACAUCCUAAGUGCACUCAUGCUAUCAUCUUACAUUCAUUUCCUAUGAUCACAAGUCUUCCAAAUGAUCUCAAUCCCGUAUUCGUUUGGUCCUUGAUGAAUUUUUGAGAUUAUGCCUGAGAUUCUUAACAAUUUAAAACAAUUAGUCACUUAACCACGGUUUGUUAUCAUCAAAACCUGAUUAGGAGAACCCUUGGGCUAACAAUCUCCCCCUUUUUGAUGAUGACAAACCUUGGUUAUCUAGGAGACAGAGAAAUCUCCCCCUCAAACCAACCAUGGGAUAAUCAACACAAAAUUUAGGAAAUUUAAAGCGAGAAGACAAUGUAAAUCAAUAAGAGUGUCAUAUCAUAUAUAAGCAAGAGCAAGAAUACAUGAAAGCAUAAGUAUGAUAUGCAUGAAAAUGAAAGUCUCCUAAGGCCACUAUCCUAACAUAUCUCUCCCUUUGGCAACAUAAAAAAGAAACGAAGGGGGAUCCCAAACAAACUCAAGGCUGAGGAGGUGGUGGUGGAAACACAGAACGGAGGUAAGCCAUCAUCUCCUCGUGCUGAUUCUCCUGGCGGCUCUCAAGAUGCUCAAUCCUUUGUACGAGAUGCUCAAACUGAGAGGUGAAGUCGGCCUGAUACUGAUCGAUGCAAUCCUCCAUGGAAUAAAAGCGAGUAUCAUGGACUACGGCUAACUCCUCCAUACGAGUCCCGAGAGAGCUGAUCUGUGCCGACAAAUCCAUACAAGGUGGAUGAACAGGAGCAUGAGGAGCCUGAGAUGGUAGCUCGGUAAAUGAUGGCUGAGAUGAAGGGCCUGCUGUGAAGGACGACUCAAUCAUCAUAGGCUCUGAUACCAAUUGUUAGGAAUUUGAGGCUAAUCCAACUUAUGGUAAUCACCCUAGAGGGGGGGGUGAAUAGGGUGAUGGUCUCUUUUUCACAAAUUUAAACUAUGCAAAAAUAAGAGACAAUUAUAUGCAAAUAUAUAAUAAACAAAAUAAAGACAAUUGCAUAUAAUUUAAAAGAGUUAGGGAAGAGAGAGUGCAAACACGAGAGUUUAUAGUGGUUCGGCACUUCCUUGCCUACGUCCACUCUUCUCAACCUCCUAACCGAGUGAGGGUUCCACUAUCUUGAAGUUUCAACCAAGCUUCCAAUCUCUUUACAAUUGGAUUAUGGUUCCAAUUCACCCUCUUGGACUUUUGGCUCCAAGCACCCUUUACACUUCUCAAGAGUUAUCCCACUCUUGAACAACCUCUCAAGUGAUGCCCCUCACUUGAGAAAAUUCCUCUAAAAGAUUUACAAAUAAAAUGAUCUCUCAAAAAUCCUAGCACAAGAACUUUAAGCUCAAAUGAUACAAGAGAAAACUAAAAUUGAAUGGUGCACUAAAGAUAUGAAAGUUUUGGAAUAAUGGUGCACUAAAAAAUACUCUUCCAAGGCUCAAAUAUAAUCAAGAAAGAUUUGGGAAGGUUUAGCUUAUGAAACAAUGAAGUUUGAAGUCUUUUUAUAGAAGAAAAAAAUCAUACUAGCCAUUGGGGGUUCGACCGGUCGAGCUAGGGGUCGACCGGUUAACUAGCCGUUAGGAAAAGUGACCGUUGGGCCUUAACCGGACCUCAACCGGACCUUGACCGGACCUCAACCGGUUGAGGUUCAACCUUGACCGGGAAGUGAAGGUCAUUGGGAGAGAGAGAAACUUUUUGGCCUCCCUCAACCAGUCCUCGAUCGGACGAGUACAACCGGUCGACCGGUUGAACCGGUUGAGCCAUUUUUUUGGCUAAACACUCAACCCAUUUCAACUUAAAACCUUUUUAACACAAGUUUGAAAAUCAUUUAACACAAGGUUUUAGUUGAAAACAUGAAAUCAUCCAAUUCUUAAGAUAUUUAAAACAAUAUUACUCUUGGAUGAUUUUGGUGCAUAAAUAAAGAAUGAAAUGCAUGAAAGUCUUAGUGCACCAACAACCUUACAAAGAGAUCUUAAGAAGCUUUGGUCUUGAAAAACUCUUCUCUUUGAGGUGGUCUUCUUUUUCAUGAUUUCUCCUUGGCUUGAUUUGUCUUUGGAUUGCCACUUUGGAAGUCGUCUUGCCUAAUCACACUUGAAAUAUGAUCAUUAGUUCUAAACCUUGUUUUGUUAUCAUCAAAAUCAAGAUUAACCAAACUUUGGUUUCACAAUCUCCCCCUUUUUGAUGAUGACAAAACUAAGGUUGCUAAAAAACUCCCCCUCAAUAUAUGCUCCUUUGAAUUUAGAAAAUUUUCAAGUUUAGAAACUUCAAGGAGUAUAUUAAGGAUGCUCAAAAUGAUAUAGUCAAACAUAAAUAGCAUAAAGAGCAUUUAGCAAUUUGGCAAGACAUUAUUAUUAAAAAGGAUGCAUACAAAUAUAACCAAUAAAGCACAUAACAUCAAUAUGAAUAGGAUUGCUAAAACAAUAUUUGAAAUAUCUUUCCAAAUUAGCAACCUACCAUUACUUCUCCCCUUUUUUGUCAUCAACAAAAAGUUUUAAUAAAGUAUAUAAGGGGAAUCACAUGUUAUCAAAAAAUAUAAUUUCUCAUAAAAAUGAAUCUCCCCCUUUUUCAUUUGAGAAUAGUUUCCAAAUAAAAGAUUUCUCAUCCUUAGAGCAUUCCCAAUUUAAAGCAUGAUUUGGAAAACAAUAUAUGGGAGAACACAUGCAUUUAAAAAGAUAUUUAACAUGAAUUAAAUAAAACUUUUAGGGCACACAAGCAUAUGAUCAUUUAAUUUUACCUAGGUAAAAAAAAUCUUCUUUUUAAAACCAAAACCUUGGUUUAACAAAUAUACCAAUUUUAUCAAAGUGAUACCAAAUGUUAUAUUAUUAAAAAAUAUACCAAGUGUUAGCAAAAUGAUAUUGCAAAUUAUGCUUUAAAAGGGAUACCGUUACCAAUAUUGUCAACGCGUUCUUUCCAAGGUAAGCAUAUCCUCCUUUUUGCAUGGAUCCCUACAAAACAAUUUUAAGAAACCUUUGGUACCCAUAUCUUUUUGGGUCCUAAAGGGUUAGUCUUUCUUUCCUUUGGAAUCCAAAAUUAUUUAGAGUUUUGAAGAACAUGAGAGGAUUUUCAAAUAUCACCAAAGUGGCCUCUUCUUUCACAAAAAGCGCAAAUAGUUAAAGGCGAAAAACUAGGGGUUUCCUUUUAAAAAAAUCGAUUUUUAAAAGGCUUGUAGGCUAACCUCUUUUUAUCAAAAAUGCAUUUUUUGAUUUGCCAAAAUCAUAUCAAAAGUCUUUUGGCCAUUUGAGAAUUUUUAGCCUCAUUUUCCUUUUCAAAAGGGAUUUUUGUCUUCUCAAUAUUUUCAAAAUUUUCAUUAUCCUCAUUGAGCUCAUUUAGAAGACAAGAAAUCUUUUUCUUGAGAGGGAUAUUUUUGGAACCAAGUUUUUCAAGAUUAAAAUAUAAUUUUUGAAGCUCAUCUUGAAAAUCAAAAUGGUUAGAGUUGGAGUUUACCUCAUCACUUUCACUUUCACUAUUUUCUUCCUCAUCAUCAUUUGUUAUAGCCAUAAAGGCUAUACUUUUCUCAUUUUCUUCAACUCUUUGAUGAUUGUACAACUCUAUCUCAUAAGUCAUGAGUGACCUAAUGAGUUCUUCAAGUGAGAGCUUGGUGAGAUCAUUCUCUUCUUGAAUAGCCGUCACUUUUGUUUCCCAUUUCCUUGGUAGAGACCUUAAGAUCUUCAUGACUUUCUCUACUUCAGUGUAGGUCUUUCCCAAGGCUUCAAGUUCAUUCAAAAUCACAAGAAACCUAGAAAACAUCUCAACAAUAGAUUCAAAAUCCUUUAUAGAAAAUAAUUCAUAAUCAUGCAUAAGGAUAUUGAUUUUAGACUCUUUAACUUGGUCGUUUCCCUCAUAAGUGACUUCUAAUAGUUUCCAAAUUUCUUUAGCCGACUUACAAUACCAAAUACGAUUAAAUUCAUUUCUAUCAAUAGCACAAUGUAAGAUAAAAACGACUUUGGCAUUUAAUUGAACUUUCUUUCUAUCAAGUUCAUCCCAUUCAUGCUUAAGUUUUGGAACCAUCACUCCAUUUUCUAAUUUUGAAGGAAUGUGGGGACCAUCUUCAAUGACAUCCCAUAAAUCAAGACUAGUAGAUUGGAUAAACCAAGUCAUUUUAUUUUUCCAAUAGGGAUAGUCGGUUCCCGUGAAAAGUGAAGGUCGGGUGGUUGAAAAACUUUCAAUUUUGGAUAAGCUUGAUGGAAUAGCCAUUACUUCUUAGACGGUUAAGUCUUAACAAGAAGCCUUGCUCUGAUACCAAUUGAUAAAACAAAGGCUAUGAAUAAUUAAGGAAAAUACCCAAAAGGGGGGGGGGGGGGGGGGGAAUUGGGUUUUUCCAAAUCCUUUUCCCCCCAAAAAUAUAUGCCCCAAAAAUAUAAAGGAAAAAAAUAAAGUUAAAAAAUUCCAACUCCGGGUUAUAGGGGUUCGGCACCCCCUUGGUUACGUUCACCCCCCCCAAUCCCCCAAAUGAAUAAGGGUUCCCCUAAAAACUUUCAUCCAGCUUUCAAUCUUCUUACCUUUGGAUUCCNNNNNNNNNNNNNNNNNNNNNNNNNNNNNNNNNNNNNNNNNNNNNNNNNNNNNNNNNNNNNNNNNNNNNNNNNNNNNNNNNNNNNNNNNNNNNNNNNNNNAUUUAAUUGAAUUUUCUUUUUAUCAAGUUCAUCCCAUUCAUGUUUAAGUUUGGGAACCAUCACUCCAUUUUUUAAUUUGGAAGGAAUGUGGGGACCUUCUUCAAUGACUUCCCAUAAAUCAAGAUUAGUAGAUGGGAUAAACCAAGUCUUUUUUUUUUUCCAAUAGGGAUAGUGGGUUCCCGUGAAAAGUGAAGGUCGGGGGGUUGAAAAACUUUCAAUUUUGGAUAAGCUUGAGGGAAUAGCCAUUAUUUUUUAGACGGUUAAGUUUUAACAAGAACCCUUGUUUUGAUACCAAUUGAUAAAACAAAGGUUAUGAAUAAUUAAGGAAAAUCCCCAAAAGGGGGGGGGGGGGGGGGUGAAUUGGGUUUUUCAAAAUCUUUUUCCACACAAUAAUAUAUGCACAAAAUAUAUAAAGGAAAGAGAUAAAGUUAGAGAAUUCAAACUCAGGUUUAUAGUGGUUCGGCACUCUCUUGCUUACGUUCACUCUCCUCAAUCUCCUAACUGAGUAAGGGUUCCACUAGAAGCUUCAAUCAAGCUUUCAAUCUUCUUACAUUUGGAUUCCGGCUCUAAUGGGCUCUUACACAAUCUUUUCAAGAUUUGAACCACUUGAAGGCUUUCACACUCAGUUUACACAAAAAUGAAACUCUCAACCUAGCUUAAGGAUGACUCAAGUACAAGAGAAAGCGAGGAUGAUUUACAAGAGUGCACUAAGAAUAUGCAAGUGAUGGUUUAAUGCACUAAGAAAGAAAUGAGAGCUUUUUGAUCAAGAACAGGUAGGUAGACAAUUGAUUGUAAAGGUUCUCUUGGUCAUAAAUGAAGUGGAGCUCUCAAUUUAUAGGUUUCUAAGCUCGGGAAACAAAAAUAGCAGAAAGUAGCCUUGACCGGACGAGCAAAGGGUCGACCGGAUCACUAGCCGUUGGAGCAUUUAAUGCAUGACAGGUUACCGUUGCCUCGACCGGACCUCGACUGAACCUCAACCGGACAAGGGUGAGGAUCGACCGGGAAGAGAAAGGUACUGGGAGAGAGAAAAGGUUUUUGUGCCUCCCUCGACCUGACCUCGACCGGACAAGGGAAACCGGUCGACCGGUUAUCAAAUCGGUUGAGCCGGUUGGCUAUAGCCUCGACCGGUUGAGCCUUUUGGCCCCGAAAACCUAUCUUUUUUUAUUUCUUUCUUUUCCAAUACUUAGGCAAGGUCUUUAGGUGAGUUAAUAUGCCAAUUUUGAAUCAAUUUGCCUAAGGUAUAUUUGAUAAAACUCGGGUUUUAAAGAAAAUCAAGUUUUAAAGAAUAAAUCGAGUUUUCUAAAAUGCAUGAAAAGGUAUGAACAUCCUAAGUGCACUCAUGCUAUCAUCUUACAUUCAUUUCCUAUGAUCAAAAGUCUUCCAAAUGAUCUCGAUCCCGUAUUCGUUUGGUCCUUGAUGAAUUUUUGAGAUUAUGCCUGAGAUUCUUAACAAUUUAAAACAAUUAGUCACUUAACCACGGUUUGUUAUCAUAAAAACCUGAUUAGGAGAACCCUUGGGCUAACAUGUAUCAUUAUUAUAAUAAACAUGAAUAAAAUAUGUUAUAAAGUUAUAACUAUUAGAAUCUAAAAAUAUUAAUUCUAAAAGAGUAUAAAUAAGUAUGAUGUAUUCAUGAGUUUAACAUUGUGCUUACAAGUGUCAUAAGAAGGUCCAUGUCUCUUUAUGAAAAUAGAAGGAUCAACCUUCACAACACCAGUUAAUAAAUCUAUAAGGAAAUAUGAAAACAUUGAAUGUUGGUAUUUUAAAAUUGUAAAAAUGAAAUGAAAAUUUCUAAAUAAUAUAUAUCUAUUUACUAAUUAGAUCACUAGUUUCUAAAUGUUGGUUGAUGUCAUUAAAUUGGAUGAAGUUAUAUAUAGGAUUUGACAAGUCAAUGCUAAUUGUCACCUCCUUCAAUCGGGAAUGGAUAGAUAGCGUUAACUCAAGAGUGUUAUGAACAUUUAGAAAAUUAGCAUUCACUUGUUUGACCAAUCCAUUUGAAAUAAAAUAUGUUUUUUCCUUGAUGAAUUCCUUCUCGAACAUGUCAAUUGCAUCAUUGAAUAAAAUUGUUUGCAUUCUUGUGCCUUAUGAGAACAUAAAGAGAUAUUUAGAUGCAUGCCUAAAUUAAGCAAAAGGUAAAUCAAAGUAAACAUGAACAUAAUUAUAAAAAAAACUUAUCAAACCUUAUCAUCCAUUAAUAUUAUCUUCCAAAAUUUUCAAGAUCCUUUUGAAGUAUUAUACAAUUCUAUUAAUUCUUGAUAAAGAACAAACGCUUUUAUAAUCCAAUGCUUGUGAAAAGGUCAAAACAUGCUAAGAGGUAUAAAGCCCCAUUCAUUAAUUUCUUCAUUAGACAUUGUGGCUACAAAAAAUUGAAGAAUUAAAUUAGUUAGGAUAAGAAAUCUAACGGUAAGAAAAAAAAGGAAACUAAUUAAUUAAAAUAAUGAAAAGCAGAAAGUAUGGGUAGAUUCAUUACCCUCAUGGAAUUAAAACUUCUUUAUAUACCACAUUCUUAGUAUAAGAUCCUUUGCCAAUGGUACAUUUGGGAGUGCUUUCUUUAAUGAGGACUUUUGUUGUUGUCAUUGAAGUAUCACGUGACAAUGAACAUAUAAUUGACCAUGUGAGAAGAUAGUUUGUGGUAAAUAUAUGCCAACAUAUGUAAUUGUUUGGCCUUAUGCUUUGUUUAUAGUCAUUGCAAAACUAAGUUGAAUUGACAAUUGCAAUCGUUUGAAAUGAAAAGGGUAUUCUUCAUUUUCUGCAGGUGAAAGAGGUAUUCUUGGGAGUAACACUUGUUUUCCAGCCUAUUGCCCUAUUGUAAUUUCUACAAAUAUUACAUUUGACUCAAAACCUUUGUACACCAUUCUAGUCCCGUUGCAAAGUCUAUUUGAUGGAUCUAAGUUCCGUAAGAGCAUGAUAUGACAAUUCUUCUUUAAGACUAACUUAUGAGGAGGAAGCCCAUUUGGUGUUAAUGUAUUAAAAAAUUCUUCUUCGUAAUAAUUUUGAGUAUCAUUAAUUGCAGAGUCGAAACUGUAAUAUGUUCUAGAUUCCCUUGGAAACGUUUAAUUCAAUGAGCUUUUCAUUUAGCAUAUCAAUAUUAUCAUUUUUUUUUUUUGUUGUAAGGAUAGCUUAUUCUAUGAUAUAUUCAACUAAGUGUGUAUGAUCUUUUAAGUGAAUGAAAGACAUUGUUAAUCAAACAUUCUUUGGAUUCUCAUCAUCUCCAUGUUUUAUCAAUUCAUUAGGGAUUUCUAUCAUAUCUUCAUCUGUUAUGAGUUCAUCACCAUUCCCAACAUGUAAAAGAAAGUCGCUAAAAAUGGUAUUAGAAAGAGCCCUCAUGUUUGUAGUUAAUCUUAAUUUCUCCAUUUUAGGCCAAAGGUAAGACAUAACUAAACUUGCAUUAAUAGUUUAAAGUUUUGUGUCUUGAAGUACAACGGGUAGCACUUGUCAAAAAUCUCCUCAAAAAACAAUAACCUUUCUAAUAUUAAACUAAAAAAAUUAAAAAUUAAAAAUUACAUAGGUCAUAUCAUUAUGAUCCACAUUAUUGUAAAAUAAAAAAGCUAGAACUAAUACUCUCAAUUUUCUAAUAAUCAAAUUGCAAAAGCAUGGAUUUUUCCAAAAAGUAGCCAAACCAAAACUGAAAGAGCACAAGGUCAAAAGAAAAAGGAAAAGUAAACUCCAAAAACCCUUUUAAUUCUUUGCUUUGCACUUAAUUCUUGCUCUAUUUUAGUAGAAUAAGGAAACACCAAACCUUUUUCACAAGCUAUUCAUGCAACAAUCAUUUGUUUUAAAACCAUUUUUGUUCACUUCCCAUUCCAAAAACUACUUCAAUUAGAAGAUCUAAUGUGGUAGUUCCUUCCUUCAACUAAAGGAAGAUUUUUUAAGCAUCAAAAUCUUGGAACUUAAUAAAGAACUCCCACAUUUGCCUAUAGUGUUAUUGUCUCAAUUUUUUGAAAUCUAUUGUAGACACUCUACACCAUUAAGAUGCACAUAUGUCAACAAGAUAGAAGAAAAUUUGGUUUGUUUUGAACAUUCUUUGUAUUGGAAAUGUCCUAACCUAUUUGGAAAUGACUUACCAUCAUGAUUAACCAAUUAUGCAAUUAAUAUAGUAGUUUUUAGCUAAUAAUCAACAUAAUAGGACUCUAGUAAGCUAUUUCCUAUGUCUUGGUAACUAAGCAAUGUUCCCGCUUUUCAAGUUUUCAUUGAGGAUCCAAACAUACAAAGAUGGAGAGAUUAAAUAUUUUAUCAAAUUUUGACUUCAAAAAAAGUAUGGAAAUAUUUUCUUGAUGUUAAUAAAAAUGAAUACAAUUUUUCUAUAGGAAAAUAAAAAUUAAUAAAAGGUGCCUAAUAAUAUAGGGGGAUCAGAUGCAUCGUAUACAAAAGUGAUAAAAGGAACAAACAACAAUAUAUAUUACAAAACAUGACAUGGAAAGGCAUUGGGUAUGGGAUAAUUUAUGCAAUGUGCCUAUUGGUAGCACAUGUAAACCAACAAGCAUGUUCUCCAUUAGUGUGAACUUGUAAAAAUGGAAACAAGUUCCUACAAAUAGGAGUUGAGAAGAUGAGAGAGAAUAUUAAUGAGAGGAUGGUAUUGAUAACAAAACCUUAAAAUUUUUACCUUUAAAAGAAAUAGAUGAAUUGGACAGACCAAACUCAUAGCACCUUGUUUAAGCAACAAAUUCACAAGCCUAAUCUUCUCACAAUCACAAUCUAUUGCAAAUUAUUCUAGUUAGACCAUACCCCCAAUCCCCAAUUCAAAACUUGAAAAACAAAGCUAAAAAACUAAUCCCAAAUCAAAGUUUGAAGUAAGCAAAUAAAACCUAUAAACAAACCUCUGUAACUGCAUUUUCUACCUAAAAAUUCAUCAAUCACUAGUUCAAAAUAUUUAACAUUAGAAAGCAAAAAUCAAUAAAAAAAAUUCAUAAUAUUUAACAUCAAAAAGCAAAAAUCAACAAAAAAUUCAAAAUAUUUAAAAUCAAAAAGCAAAAAACAACCCUGCUAUACAACUUGAAAACACAAGAGGUAAAUUGCAAUAUAAUUGAAAAAAAAAACAAAAUUAAACAAUUUAUAAUUCAACAAUUUUAUAAUUUCACACCAUCAAAAUUAACUCAAAUAAUUUUACCUUUUUAAAAAUCUCACUAUAACAAUGAGCAACUUGACCAUAUUUUGGCAAAGAUAUCUACCCCCAAUUCUAAGCAAAUUUCUAGCUUGUCGAAUAAAGGACUGACAUUAGAAAAUGCAAUCAAUCUAUUUAUUAUACCAAAUUCAAAGAUGGGGGAAUUUUUCUUAAAAAAGAAUAUUAUAUUUGAUAGCAUAAUGUAAUAUAAUACUUGGAAAACUAAAGUAAUAACCUAAAUUCCCUCGAGGUUAAAAAAAAGAGAAUGGAAGCAGUAGAUUGAAAGGGAAGUGAACAUGGAAAAUUAGGGAAUAAUGUAGAAAGUUAGAAGAAGAACCAAAAAAGAAGACAUCCAUAUAUAUGGUUACAAUGGUAAUCGAUGCAUGGUAGAUUGAAUGAUUGCUAAUGAAUAUAAUUUACUUAGUCACUUGAUUCUAAAGAGUUAAUGGAGAAGAUUGAGUGGCGCAUACAUGAAAUUGCAAUAAAUCCAAUUGGUGGCUUUUAGAAGCUAGGGUUUCUAGUUGGGUCCUCACAACAAGAAACAUGGACAAAGAGGUGGAAGACACGCUUGUUUUCCCAAGUUGUUGCCAUGAUUUCGCUGGUGGCUAUGGAAGAUGGAGAGAUGCGACCAUAUAUUGUGACAUCUUUGCUUUGUGAAGUUGAGAGGGUUACUUCAUUGGCUUCGAUGAGCUUAUUAGAUGUUGUUGCCUUGUAAAACUAAGAGUGUUAUUUCAAUGGUUUCAAUAGAUUUAUUAGACGUUUAGGCUUGGCUAUUAAAUUGAGCAAGAAUAUCUAUGAGAUUAUUUAAAUCUAUAAAGUAUUUUUGGAAUAAAAUUAUAUAUAUAUAUUGAAAGGAUAGAGUUAAAGAGUAGGAAAUGAGAACGAAAUAUUCAUCCCGUUUUUUAUUAAAAUUAUUUAUUUUCAUAGAAACUAAAACUCAAUUUUUAUUAUAUGAUAGUAUGAUUCCUAUUCAUUUCCCUUUAUAUUUUGCAUAUUAGGUUAAAUUUUAAGGCAAUAAUAAUAUUAUUAUUAUUCAAAUGAUCAUUUAAUAGUAAAAAUUAGAAAUGAUAAUGGGAUGAACUUAGAAGGGGUCCUUCCAUCCAAGCCUUGCCUCUAUUAUUUAAACAUAUUCUUAUCUUUAUCUCAUAGGAAAAUGUUUAAAAAGGGAGAAGAGCAGUGAGCGAGUUUCCCUUUUUUUUUUUGUCUUUAAUUUUUUUAAAGCUUAAUUAUAUUUAAAAGAAGUGUGUGGUAAAAACAAAGCAAUACUUGAUUCUAACCAUGGUUAAAAAAAAAAAAAAAAAAAUCUAAAUCGGAUCUGUUUAUCUUUAUUAGUCAAAACUAAAACUUUUCCAUUAGAAGUCAAGAAUGAUGGGUAUCCGCAAAAAAACCUACCUCUUUCCCAUCUUUAGUAAAAAUGAUUGAAAAUUUUGAAAACGGAAGAAGGAAAAACUAUAUAUUAAGACUGUGAUGAGAGCAAUGCUAACCUCAAGGGCAAGUGUCAAGUUGCCAAUGACAGUGGCAACAUAUUGAAUCUUAAGGGAGUGAGGCAAAUAGGAUGCCAUGGCCCCAUAAUCAUUUCCUCCGAUACUAAACAAAUAGACAGCUUUCAUUAAUAGCUUCUUGGCUUCUUCACUACCCAGUUUCUUCCUCAGCAAUUAAAUUCUAAGAUUUAGCUUCACAAAACAAGUGCACCAUGGAGCUAUAUAUUAGAAAAAAAUAAAAGGAGAUAUAAAAUAAUUAGAAGCAUAAAAUAAACAUUAUUUUGUGUGUGUACUCUCUUUAUUAUGAGAAGCCAUAUAGAGAUCCACUAGCUGCUUAGAAAAUCCAGGGCUUGAGCCUAGUCUUUGGAUACUUGGGCUGGGUACGGGCACACAGAAUCGGGUCAAGCCUAUACCUAGAUAUGACAAUAGGGCAGGUAAUUUAGAAGACCCACCCCAUCCCACCUUUAAUGAGGCAUGCUUAGUAUAGAUAUAAAUUGGUUUUCUACCUUUAAUAAGACAAGUCUAGGAUAGAUAUGAAUGGGUUUAGGGAACAUUUUUUUAAUCGGCGGGUUGAAGUAUUGGUUUGCCUUGCUUCUCCUAUCCAAAAUAUAUAUUAAAUUAAUAAGAUAUAAUUAAAAUCUUAAAUUUACUUCUCAUUAAAAUAUAAAAAUUUAUAUAAAAAAAAGAUUAUUUAAUAUCCAUUUGAUACACUUCUUACAUUCUAUUUUUAAAAUAAAAAAACAGUACUAAUUUUUAUAUAAUAUAACAUAAUUUUUAAAUGUUUACAUUGAAAAGCUAAUGAUUUUAAAAAUUAUUUAAAAAAACUAGGGUUUAAAAAAAUUACUAUCUUAAAUUUUAAAAUUUUUUAAAAUGAUUUUUAAAGAUACAAGGUAAAAAUAUAUAUUUAUUAAAUUUAUUCAUGGGUUCUAUUUUUAAAAAUAAAAAACAAAAAACAAUCCAAGUAGACACUUGAUUAUAAAUUUAUUUAUUUAAUGAGUUACCCAUCGUAAACCCUCUCGUCACCGUAGUUCAUGUCCCUUCCUAAAAUAAUCAAAGCGGCAUAAUCGGACAACCCAUUGGGCCCUUGAUAAGCAAGCCUUUGCAAUCAGCCCAACUAGUUUUCCAACUGAGUUGGGCUGUUUGGAAAAGCCCCAAUUUUUGGCUGUUUGGGAAGCAAUGCACGUGACCUUCCUCUACCUAAUUAUUUCUGCAGCAGUAUGGCGCUCUCCAGUACACGCCCCCACGCUGCUCAGAACCCACGGGACCUUUGUCCCUUAUCAACAUCUUCAUCAUCUCCGAACUUAAGAGUUCUAGUUUUCUCAAAAUAAUAAUAAUAAUAAUAAUCAUAAUAAAUCUUUUUUAAAUUGAAAACAAAUUAUUACAUAAAUCUGUCGAAAAAAUAAAUUAAAAAAAUUAUAAAUUUUGAAAAUGAUCAAACAGACCAUUCCAGGAUGUGUUUAAACUAAGACAACCGCUCCACCGGAUGCAAACUUCGCCCCAUUGCUAAAAUCAAUGGGACCCGGUCGCAGACAAACAGUGCAGUGUGGUUUUCAGGCAGCCGCCGGAGUGAUGAGCAGCAGCUCUGCAGGUGGUGAUGGGAAUUGGGGAUGAAGAUGGCUGCAUGGAUGAGGAUGAUAGUAGAGAUGAAGGAGAAGAUAUCAUAAGUUGCCAUAGCUUGUGUUUGUUGGGUUGCUCCUUCUAUAUUCACUCUAGCUGAUUUAAUCAAGUUAACGUCACUAGGGUCAAAAAUGAAUUUUUAUUUUUGUGGUCUAUGUUGGGAUUCCUUGGGGUAAUUAUUUGACAUGUGAACAACAAAACUAGGAGAAGGCCAACGUGUCUGAAGCACCAAUCACUCUCAACUUCUAUUUUUCCUCCAAGAAAAAAAGAAAAGAAAAUGAGAUUAGACAAAUUUCAUUGGAUUGUGAAGUUUAAAUCAGUUUUGUUAUAUUUUGCUCGGAAUGCCGUGGGUUGAGUUGUCCGAUCAGUUCAUGGGGUUGAGUUUGCUCCUAUUACAUAUUUAACUUUUUAUGUUAAAAGUUUUGUUUCUUAGAGAGUGUGAUCGUAAUUGAGAAGUGUUUUUCAAGAUUUUCAUCACUGCAACUCUUCUCAAUUUUCUUAAUUAAUGGACUGUUAAGUAUUGGUGUAUUUGUGGAUAUAGAGAUUACAUUGAUCGUCGAGCCACAUUAAAAGUCCUAUAUUUUUCUGUAUUUUCUACUUGUAUGCAUACGUGAUUUGAUUAACAAAAACUUUUCACAAGACCGCUCAACGUGGUCUUUCUCUUAAAACAACUAAAACAACUUCUCAAAUAAUCUCCUGAAUCAAGGCAUGCAAACACAAAUAUAGCCCAUACUCAAACAUUUUAUUACAUAAUUGUUCGCUAUUUAAAGAUCAAAAUGCAAAUACAAACCCAUAUAAUCCAUUUAUGCUCAUGAUAGAGUUACCAAGGGCUAAAUCAUGACUAUAUUUUUUUAUUAGGGUGGAGGCGAAUUGGGAAGCCAUUCAUAGGAAUAGGUGAAUGCGUGUAUGUAAUCUUCUCAUUUGGAUCUACUUUCUCCCAUUUGAACCUUGUCACCACAUUAUGCAUGAACACUAGUAGCUGCAAUCAAGCAUAUUCCUUCCCUGGACACAUCCUUGGUCCUCCUCCAAAGGGCGCAAAUGAGUAUGGUGCAGGCUACUUUCCUUCGAACCUCGAUGGAUCGAACUUCUCAGGAUCGGGGAAGUACUAGGGAGCCAUGUACGUUGAAAUUACAUUCCAAUGUGUCUGCAAGAAAUCAACACACUUUUUGUAAUUUUUUUUAAAAUUAAAUUUUAAAAUGAAUCAAAUAUGAGUUAAAUAAAUUAUGGUUAUAAUUAUAUUAAUUAAUAUAAUUAUUAAAUGGAUUGAUUAAAAUUAAAUUUAUAUAAUCAUGUUUACCAUACAGAUUAUAUAAGUCAACAACUUAUCAUCAACUUAAAUUCGAGAAAAAUAUGCCAGAUUCAGUCAUGUUAGUGAACUGUAUCAAACUUAGCUAACCAUAACCUAAACUAACUACAAGGAAAAAGGUAUAUGGUGACAUUUAUAACGAGUCACCAUAAACAUAAGGUGUUACUACAACAUAGCGUCACCUUCUCCACUGACACCAUAGAGGGUACCAAUUGGUAACGUAUUUGGAAGUGACACCAAAGUAGAUAAAUGGUGACCCAUUCAGAAGUGACACCAUAUAUUUCUAGUGAUGAUAGGGUGUCACAUUAAAUACAUCAUCUUUGAGUUAUGAUGUCACAUUAAAUGCAUCACCUUUGAGUUAUGGUAUCACAUCAUUGUAAAUUAUUGUGGAAUAUAUGAUUGGUUUUAGUUGUUGAUUUUUGUAAUGCUUAUGAAUUAAUAAGAUUAACCUGUUUAUAUUUUGUCCAUAAAUAUAACAAUCAUAUUAUAUUUAACUCAUUUUUCUGUAAUGUUUCUGGAAUAACUCAUAAUACAUUGAUCAUCUAAUAAUAUUUGUAUAUCAAAUGUUCACAAAAGGAUAGUACGUCCAACAUAUCAAAUCCAUCAAAACUAAAAAAGAAGAGUGAAUACAUACCAAAACAUGAUUUAGAAAUGUUAAAGAUCCCAAGAUUCAUGUAUACCUCCAUUUCAUAAGCAUAAAACCGGCUAACCAUAAAAUGACAUAGAAGUCCCAUCUAAAAAUCUAAAUUUCUCAAUUGCAGUUAAAGUAACAUUUAUGUCCUACAACGUAUGACAUAAGAGUUGCAUUUAAAAACCCAAAAUCUUGUUGCCUUCUUCUUUCUUUUUAUUCUCCAUUUCACCCUCCCAAGAGUGUAUACCUGCAUUUCAAAAUUUAAUGAGUUUUAGAGAUUUUUAUUGAAGAAAAUAAACAUGGAUCUAUGUUAUCAUAAAUGAACAAAUCUAAGAAUUAAUUUUUUUUUUCAAAUAGAAACAUUAUUCAAAGAAUAAGCAUUACUAUACAAUACCUAUGAAAAAAUUCAUAUAGUAGCUAAGAGACUCACCAUGCAUGGUGAUCAUGAGGCAUCAACAUGAUUCAUGAUUAGUUGUAGCACAAAAGUAGCCCAUUCUCCUCUAAUUUCAUCGAAUUCUACUUGAGAAUAUGUUUUUUUUUAUUACCAAACUAAAAUCAAAUAAGAAAAUAACAUUAAAAUGCAUAACAUUUGGAAGCUUAACACUAUGUACAAUUCAUUAAAUAAGUAAUACCUUUGAAGCAAUAAUUGUAGGAUAAAAAAUUAUCUCUUUAAUGAAUCUCAUAACAAAGUAGCCACAUUCGAACCCUCCUUCUUGUCUUGGACACUAAUCGAUCAAUUAUAAAAUAACAUUAGUACUCACAUAUAUAAAUGGUGCAAAUGCAUAAGCUAAUGUGUAAAGAAAAUUUUUUGGAUGUCACCUACACUAGUUGCUAAGAUGGCUCCCUCUUAGAUGUUUUCUUUACAGAUAUUCGAAGAGCCUUAUGUAAAUAAGUUCAAUGGAUACAUUUUUAAAAUAGGUAAAUGUUAUAUGUUUUAAUAUAUAUAAAUAAAUAAAAAAAUGUGUUUGAGGUGAAUGUAUUUUUUUUUAUUUAAAAAUAAUACUAUGAAAAAUAAUAGGAAGAACUUACAUGUUUACGAUAUCCUUUAAGUCCUCACAUGGUUUGUGAUGCAUAGGGUCAAGAUAGUGGACUAUCAUUUUCCUUGGCUCAAGCACUACCUAAAUAUAAACCAUUUAAGUCCUCAUAUCUAUUUCUAUUACAAAAUAUAAAAACUUUCCAAAACUCAACUACUUAAAUAUAAAAACAAAAUCAAAUAAAAUAUCUAGCUAAUUGGAUUUUAGAAACUAAAUAAACUAUAAAUAAACUAAAUAUAAAAACUAAAUAAAAUAUCUAUGCCCAUUAAUUAAUUGAAGAGGAUAGAAAGACACAAAGAGAACAUGGCUAUGGUUAUGAUUUCCAUCUUAUCAUUUCCUGUCAAUACCACACAUGCCCAUUUUAGGGUUGGACACUACUUUUGUUGCUGGACUUGGAAAGGGAACUUCAAAAUUGAAAACAUAAAUAAACCCUUAUGUAAAAAAAAAUAACAUUAAAAUAUAAUUGAGCAUUAAAAUAUUUACUCUCUUUCAUCACUUUCAUUUGAAUAUUAAUAAUCUCUUAUUGAGAUAGAUACUUACAAUUUAACAAAAUAGAAAUUCCUAAUAAUAAAAAAUAUAAAAUUUCUAUUUCUAUUAACAAAAUAUAAAAACUUUCCAAAACUCAACUACUUAAAAAUAAAAAUAAAAUCAAAUAAAAUAUAUAGCUAAUUGGAUUUUAGAAACUAAAUAAACUAUAAAUAAACUAAAUAUAAAAACUAAAUAAAAUAUUUAUGCCCAUGAAUUAAUUAAAGAUAAUAGAAAGACACAGAGAGAACACGGCUAUGGUUAUGAUUUCCAUCUUAUCAUCUCCCGUCAAUACCACACAUGCCCAUUUUAAGGUUGGACACUACUUUUGUUGCUGGACUUGGAAAGGGAACUUCAAAAUUGAAAACAUAAAUAAACCCUUAUGUAAAAAAAAAAAAAAAAACAUUAAAAUAUAAUUGAGCAUUAAAAUAUUUACUCUCUUUCAUCACUUUCAUUUGAAUAUUAAUAAUCUCUUAUUGAGAUAAAUACUUACAAUUUAACAAAAUAAAAAUUCCUAAUAAUAAAAAAUAUAAAAAUUUCUAUUUCUAUUAACAAAAUAUAAAAACUUUCCAAAACUCAAAUACUUAAAUAUAAAAACAAAAUCAAAUAAAAUAUCUAACUAAUUGGAUUUUAGAAACUAAAUAAAUUAAAUAUAAAAACUAAAUAAAAUAUCUAUGCCCAUGAAUUAAUUGAAGAGGAUAGAAAGACACAAAGAGAACAUGGCUAUGAUUAUGAUUUCCAUCUUAUCAUCUCCCGUCAAUACCACACAUGCCUUCCCGGAUUGGUCCUUUUGGGGUUGGAUACUCUCAACGAAAUUCUAUAUCUCAUUCCCACUUAGAUACAAACAAAAAAAUCAUUCUUUUUUUUUUCCUCUCUCGUUUUUUAGAAAGGAUGAAGAUUAUGUUAUAGUAUAUCUUAAAAAAAUUCUGUACCUAUCAUUCUCACACAAAUACAUAUUAAAAAUCAUUCAUUUUUUCCUAUUUUUCACUUUUUUUUAAGGACUUGAUCAUGUGUUUGGUUUAGAUUAAAAAAAGUCAAUUAAUCUAUAGUUUUUUCUUCCAUGCUGGAAGAUUAAACCUAAAUUUUUCUUCCCUACAACUCAAGAAAACACAAUUCACAAAAACCAUAAUACAAAGAUGUUGAAACAAUUAAUAUAAUGGCAUUAAUAAAAGAAAAAAAAAAAUGAUAGAUCCAAGAGAUUUUGGGUUACUUGGGAGUCCACAAAGUGAAGAAUGUCGGUUUUGAGCGUGUUGACUAUGGAUGGGUGAGAGAAAAGGUUGAAGAAGAUCAUGAUUUUAUAUAUAGGAUUUAUAUAUUGAGAUUUUUUGGAUUGUGGGUGAGAUAUGGAAACAAUGGAAUUUUUAUAUAGUAUCCAUCAUUAUUAAUUCUAAAAGUGGGCUCAUUAAGUUAUAAUACUUAAAAAAAAUUUAUUUUAUAUGAUGUCACUUCCCAAAAAAUGACACUAUAAAUAUAAAAUUAAUAUCAUCUAACUACCUCAAUUGAAGAUUUUUUAUAUGAUGUGUCACCUUUAUUAAUUAUAAACCCUAUGGUGUCAUUAUUUUAAAAGUGACACCGUAAAUAGUGACACCAUAAACUAUUUUUGUAGUAGUAACGGUAAGUGAAACUUUGUUGGUAUUUAUAGCAUACCUUCCAUCCCUUUGUUUCACAUAACCUAGACUAACCGUAAGUUCCCAAGGUGGGUGGUGAAAGCCUCAUUGUUUCGCAUGCCACACCUUAUGUGUACUUCAUCUUCUGAACGUCACUCCAAUUCAGAAACUCUCCUGGACCUUUAGACUUUGCUAUCUCCGUUUGCUCUGCAUAUGCAAAUAUCAAGAUACACAAUGGAGACCAAAUAUUUGAAAUUACAACUCAACUUGUUGCAUAACAAAAUUUAAUGGAAAGUUUAACGAUCAGAGUGAGAAAAUAAAACUUUUGAAAUGAUGGAUAAUUUUAAGCUAAAAUAAGUGGUUUAUAUAGCUAAAAUUAGGGUGAAAUUUGGAGGAUUGGUUUCAUCCUAUACAAAUUUGAGACAGACUUAGGUAGUUAUUUUUAGUAUUUGGACUGGGUUUGACGUUGAUUGCGUUUGGGCCAUGGUUUUGAACCUAAUCCAAACUUAAUAAAAUAUUUUUAUAAAUUUAUUAUUCUAUAUAAUAAUAUUUAUUUUAUUUGUUUAUUUAACUUUUAAGAAAAAUAUCAAAUUAUAUUUAUAUCAUGUAAUAUUUAUUUUUUAAAAAGACAAUUUUAUUUGUUUUUAUUAUUUUGAAAUAUCGAGUCAUAUAUUAUUCAAAUUGUGGGCAACCCAACCUAACCCUAUUAUACGUAAUUCAAUUUUGACCUACAUAAUCUAAAAAUAUUGAAUCAAUUAUAAUAAAACCAAUUUGAGUUCAACCUGAGUUUUGGAAAUAUGAAAUUGAGUUCAAAUUAAAUUGAGUAUCUUAACGUAGAAGUGGGAUAGAGUUGAGUUCAAGUUGAAGCAUUUCUUUAUUUAUUUUAGACCUCAGUUACCCAGAAACCUUAGCCAACCCACAAUAGUUACAUCACGGCCAUCUUCUUUCCCAGCAACGAGGUUUUGAAUAUUUUCGGGGAGUACUUAUUCAUUCUAUCUGUUAUGAAUUUCUCUGGGGUUCCCCUUGUAGCAGUUAUGAAAAAUUCCAGAGUUUCUCUGAUGAUGGGCCACCCCAUUGUACCCGGCGGAAGCUUUUGGCCGGCAGAUUUGCGGCUGGAAAUGAGGAAAAUAACUGAAAGAGUGACGGAGAGAAGUAUGAAGUGAAGGAGAGAGGAGGAGAGAUCCAUGUUUCUCACUCGAUAACUCAAGAAAGAAGAAAGCAAAAUAAAGACAAGCAUGGGAGCCACCCUAUAACAAGGGAUCAUAUAACGAAGGAAGUUGCUUCCAUGGUUCGAAAAAUGGGACCAGAUCGAUUUACCAUGCAUUCAUCUUAUUGCCGGCACAGUUCAAUUAUCGGACCGGUUGCAUUACUUCUUUGAAUUAAUUUCUUACUUUCGUAUGCCAGGCCAACUUAAUAAUAGAAGUUGCUGAUUCAUUUUUCCUUGGUUGUAUAUGCAUGCUCAUUCACACGCACACACACGUGUGUGUGCAUAUAUCAAACCACAAGUUUUUUGAACUACAAUAUCAAAUGAGAUUAAUAAUAAUUAUUCCAAAAAUAAAAAUAAGAUAUAAAUAUAGGAGCCUAGACUUAAAUUUUUUCAAAAUUUUGCUGUUUUUAAAAAAUUUAUAACAUUAUUUGGCAUUUGUUCUUUGGAAAUAGGUUUUAAAAAGUUUUUAUAGAAUAAGUAAAUGUAGGUUUCACAUAUUUAAAAAAACAAAACAAAAAUAUUGAGAAAUAAAAACAUAUUGAAAAAAAACUAUAAAAAGCAAAUAAAGUGUAAUACAAUCUCUGUGUUCUUUUAUUUUCCAUCACUUAAUAUCGAAAAUAUCACAAUAUUAUCUCUUUUUGAAUCAUAUACACUCUUUUUUAUUUAUUAAUUUUUUAAACUUUUCUAAAAUUUUUAUUAAAAAAAUAUAUCUCAAAUCAAGUGACCCUUAAUAUAGAGGUUUUAUUAAUUGUUUAAAAUAAUUGAAAAUUUAAAAACUGAUCCAAUUAUGCUAAAAAUUGCACAUAAAAGAUGAUACUAAUUGAUUUUGUUAGUUUCUUCUUUACGUAUAAUUAUAUAUAUUUAAUUUUUUUCAUUAGGUAAACUCAAUGCUUUUGAUUUAUUAAUGAGUCUUGUAAUUUUUGAAAAAUAGUUUGAAACUCAAACUCACCUAAUUAGUACAUGAAAUUUUUGGACAAAAAAUUUCUAACUAGAACAUUAUCUUUCUAAAUUUUCUCAUUGGAAAAAUAGAUCCCAAAUUAAUAAAAAAAUUAACUCCUUUUAACAAAUUUAUUAAUUUUAAAAAUUAAUAUGAAACUAAAAUAAUAAUUCAAUCACCAACUAGAAAUUCAUAAACUAAAACUACUUUAGAAUGAUCUAAUUAUUGUUAUUCUGAAUGUAAUUUAAAUAAAUUUCAAAUUGAGUGAGAGUUAACAAGUUACAUUUAUUAAUGGGUUGAGUAAUUUUCAAAAAUAAUUUGGAACUAAAAAUAAGAGAACAAAAGUGGUAUAGAAUGAGUCAUGAAUAUGUUAUUUCUCUAUAGCACACCACCACUCCAAAUUUUCUCAUUAGACAAAUAGAUUUUAAGUAAGACCAAAUCAAGUAAAAUUUAAUGGUUUAAAUUCUUUAAUGAAUCCAAUUAUGGGCAGAAUCAAAAUUAGUCCAAAAUUCUCUAUUUGUAUAGGAUUACUAAAUGUAUUGAAAAACUUGGUUUGUUGAUAUAUUUUAAAGAACAUUCCUUAUUUUUAAAUCUAUUUUAAAUAAAAUAUUUUUAACCAUUAUUUUUUUUCAAUUUAAUUUAUGCCUUAUUAACAAAAAAAAAAAAAAAUCAAUUAUAUUCACAUUUUAUAAUAUGUACUAAAAUAGUAUCAUUUUUAAUAAAAUUAUCAUUUAUAAUUUAAUUACAAUAUUAGUAUUCAUAUUUUACUAAACAUGAUUUAUUUUUUAAUUUAUUCCUGCUUUCAAAAUUAUUUUUAUUUUAAAUAAAAUUUGAAUCAAAUUUAAUUAAUUUUAUAUAAAUUCAAUUCACAUUUUUUUUUUCCAAAAUCAAAGAAAGUUUAUUGCUAAAAGAAAAGAAAAUUUAUUUAUUUAAACAAUUUUUUUGUUUUUUAAAAAUCGUUUUAAAAACAAUUCACCAACUACCCUUAUUUUUGAAAAAUAUUAAGUGACUAUUUGAGAAUUGUUUUUAAAAGAAUUUUUUUCUUUCAAAUAGAAAACUAUUUUCCAAACUCCAAAAUGUGUUUGACAAAAAGCGGUUUUUUAAGAACAAAGAGUUUUAUGAUAACAUAUUUUAAUUGUUUUAAAUAUAAUUAUAUAAAUAUGGUGAAUAAAUGAAAACAAAGCAAUAAAAUAAAAUUUAUUUUUAAGAAAUAUCUAAAAACAUAAAAAAAGAAAAGGGAUUAACAAUAUUUCUAGUUUUUAAACAAAAUUUUAUUCUAAAAAAAUAUCAAAAAACAAUUCUUACAAAUUAUUUAAAAAAAAAAUAUUAUUUUAGGAAAGGUUAUUAAACAACUUCUAAAAGCGCGCCCGCCCCACCCCCCUUUUUUUUUUUAAGUUGAAAACAAGUAUUUAUUUUUCUUUCCAUGGGUUCAUACAAAAUUAUUUUAGAAAAGGUCAGUGAACAAGUCCUAAAAACCUUUAUUUAUUUAUUUUAUGUUCAAUACAAAGUUUUUAUUUUUCUUUCCAUAAGUUCAUAAAAUUUUUCCAAGUAAAUGGUAGAAAAGAAAUCAAAUUAAAAUGAUUUUUUCCCUUCAAAGCAUGUGAGAUGAGUCGUGUUGGGAACUUGGGAUUAUUGUAGCCUUCAUAAAAGUUAAUCUCCACUAUUCUAAGGGUUCAUGACCAAAGUCAUGAACCUAAUGAAUUUACAUUUCCCAUUUUAUAUAUUUAAUGUACAUGCAUGGUAUUUAGAAAAUACAAAGUAUUAUGACCAAAAUCAUGAACCUACCAAGUAGUGUACAAGGUAUAAUGAUCAAAGUGAUGCACCUAAAUUAAAGUUUUCAUAUAUCAUGAAUACUACAUAGAAUUAAGAAAUGAGAAUUCAUAUAUGUAGAAGGAAGUGUUCAUUUGUAACUCUUGAUGGAAAGUCACUUGAAAUGAUAUAAAAGAGCUCUUGGUUUCUCCCUCCACUCUUCCUAAGUUUGUGAGAUUUUCUAUCAUUUUGUACAAAUGUCAAGUGUGAGAGAGUAAGGAGAGGGAACAUACAAGUUGCCAAUACGAAUUCAAAAGAUACAAGGUGCUGCCAAAAGUAACUCAAUAUUAUAGACAAUUUAUGUAAGGUGAUCUUUAUCACAAUGUCACAAGGUGAGUUUUAUAGAUUUAUUUUAGGUUCAUUAAAUUAAAAAAUAUGUUUAAACUCAAUAAAUUAUUUUUAUAUGCUUCUUUAAUAUCAUUUUGCUUAUUUCCCUUUACUAUAUAAAGAUUAAAUAAUUAAAAAAUAUAUAAAUUUUUUUGACAAAUUUUAAUUAUAUUUGAUUUUCUUCCAUAUUUCUUAUGGUGAAACCAAACAUGAGAAAACCACUUUCUUUAAUCCUUAUUUUUUUCUUUCCUUGAUACUUUUUAGGAACCACACAUAGCCUUAAGAAUAUAGACUAAGGUAAAAUGAUGUAUAAUAAUAUAAAAUAAUAAAUUAUUUUUAAUUUUUUAUGAAAAUAAAUAAUCCAAAAGAAAUAUGAAAACAAAAGCUAGCUUCAAAUUAAUCAAUAAGUGAAUGAAUUAUCUAAAUUGUGAAUGAGGAAAACUGCUUGAAUUAUUAAAAUUUUAGACUAACUAAUAAGUAAAUCAAUUAUUUAAUUUUUUUUCUAAAAUUAAAAAAGGUUUUCUCUUUCCUAUUUAUAACCAUAAAAAUGAAAAAAAAAAAAAAGAUUUUAUCAAGGAAAUGUAAAUAUCUCUUCAAAAACUUCUUUUAGCAAUUAUCAAAUUUUUGAAUAGAGGGAAAAUUUUAAAAUAAAUUUAGUAUUUUCCGAUAUAAUGAACAAUGAGAGAUGAAUUUAUUAGAAUUGUUACAAUUAAAUAAUGAAUGUAUUUAUUAAGGCUGUGUUUGGUUCCCAAGAAAUUUGAGGAAAAAUGCAAGGAAAAGAAAAUAAAAAGGAAAAAUAGAAGGACAGAAAAUAAAAAAUAGAUUAAAAGUUAAUAAAUUAUUUUUAUUUGCUACUUCAAAUUCAUUUUACUUAUUUUAAUUCAUUGGUAUAAAGAUUAAAUAAUUUUAAAAUACAUAAGUUUCUAACUAGUUUAAUCAUAUUUAAUUUUAUUUAAGAUUUUUCUUAAUACAACCAAAUAUGAAAAAAUAAUUUUCUUUAACAUUUUUUUUUCCUUAGGGUUUUUCGGAACCAAACAUAAUGUAAAGCUUUAAAUUCAAAUAAUAAAGAUAUGAGAUUUGAAUAAAACUGAAGAUAUAUAUAAUAAGAUUAUUUUGAUAUAUGGGGAGCGUAUUUUAGAUAAAGAAAAGUUUUCAAACUAUUGAAUUUCUUUAUAUUUAUAGAUAAUAAUAAAAAAAAAAGAAUUUAUUUCUUCACUAAUUUUAUGAUUCAAACCUAUAUUAAACAAAUAAAGAUUAAAUGUACAACACAAAAUUUCCUUCAGAUUUGGUAGGAUGGUGGCCGUAAUUUGUGAAAUGAACAUUAUGCAGUCAAAUUUUGAAUGAUGAAUCAUAAAGACUCAUAGUUAAUGAAAGGAUAAUUAUGUAUUAAUUAUUAACUCAUGAUUGAAAAUCAUAUACAUAAUAAAUUGAACAUAAUAAAUUGGUGUGUCCGGAUUAAUAUAGAAAUUAAUCUAGAUAGGUUGUCCUAAGAUUUAAUUGUCCAACCAUUUAAAUUAUUUAGUGAUCAUGUCAAUACAAUAUGAUAAUGAUCUAUCCUGUUUAUGAAUUUACCAACCUAUAUAUGUUUCUUAAUGUUAUAUUACAUAAAAAAUACUUGAUCUUAAUUUUAAAUACUUGAUUUUUUACUUAUAGAUAGAUAUCCUAUUGUUAAACAAUUGAAAGAAAAUUUUAAAUAUUUUUGAAAAACCAUAAAGGUUAAAAAUAAUUCUAUACUUCAAAAUUGAAUAAAAUCUAAAAUCUAUACUAUAUAGAAGAUUAUAGUGUUUGUAGAUUAUUUUUUCUUCUUAAAACGAUCCUAUGAAUAUACUUUAUCCACUUAUAUUCUAUAAAGCUCAAAGAGACCUUUUAAUAGAAUGAUGAUGUCUUUUUAGUUGAUAACACAAGUGAUAUUUUUUCAGUUGACAAAUAUAUAUCCAAAAAGUUGAGAAUCCUAUACCUUUAUUUACUUAUAUAUGGACCCAUGUUUUUAAGAUGUUUACAACUGAUAGAGGUAUAUUGAUAGAGAAAUGUUUUACAUCUAUGUUUCUUAAUCCCUCUUUCUUAUUUUGAGAGUAUAUUUAGUUUUAUGGAGUUCAUUGUUCACAAAUGGCAUAAGUUAGUAUUGUGAAGGAAUUCAUGCUUGUGUUCACAUUGUUCAUAAAUGGUUCCCUUUUGUGCCUUUAUACCAUUUUUGUUAUCUUCCUAGGAUUUGGGCAAGGUCUCGAUGGGAUACCUAACGACAAAAAAGGUUUAGAAAGCUCAAUGUGUUUAUUCUUUAGGUCAUUAAUUAACGAAUAUUAUGAAUUUGAGAUGAUACAUUUAUACUUUCACUCAUCAAGCAAUUUCUAAAUUCCUUAUGAUAUUUUUAAGAUUUCGCAUCCUCAAAGACAUAUUUUAACAACUUAUUUGAUAAGGUACCUGAGAUAGCAUGACAAACUUGUUUGUUCGUGCUUUCUUAGUCAACAAAAGGUUUAGAGGCCUCAUUGGAUUUUGACUAAAUCAAACAUGUCCUAGAUUAAUCACAUUAAUGGUAAAGAAGUAAUGUGUUGUUAUCUCUUAAACCAGACCCAUUAAAUGGGUCUAUCUUGAGUGUUUGUUUGACUAUGUUUAGGAAACUUCCAUGGCCUCUAAUCUACUUUAAAAACUUAUUCUUUAAGAAGGAAAUGCUAUUGAACACAUGCAGAUAAUCACAAGAAUCAAAAUGCAAGAAACUAAACUUGAAAAUUGUAGAAUCCAAUCUAAAUAGGGAAAUGAAAUUGUAAAAAUCAAAUAUGAAUGGGAAAACAUAUUGCAAUUGGUUGAGAUGUGUAAUCACUAUCUUUAAAGUAUAGGUCACACCCCUUCUAAGACCAUCGCUCAACACAACAUUGAUGUGUUGUGUAACCCCUUCUAAGAUGUGUAAUCACUUCUUUAAAAAACCAAUGUAACCCUUAUUGAAGGUAUAUAUACUGAUGGUCAAUUAUAUACCUAUCUAAAAUUUCAUCAUUGGAACUUUGCUUUCUUAUUGUAAAUCCAUUAUGGAAAUAUCAGAAUGCAUGCAUAUAUAUAUAUAUAUAUGGCAUUUAUUUGCUAGUUCAUAUAUUUAACAUAAGUCCACUGCAGAAUAGUUCGACUACUCCAGACAUGGUAGCCUUCUCAAAUGGUGAAUCAAUCUAUUUCUCAUGGGGCUGGAGGCGGAUUGGGAGACCAUUCACAGGAAAUGGUGAAGGGUUAUAUAUGAUCUUUUCAUUUGGAACUACUUUCGCCCAUUUGAAUCUUGUCACCAUAUUAUGGAUAAAUACUAGUAUUACCAAUCGAACAUAUUCCUUCCCUGGACACAGUCGAGGUCCUCCUCCAAAAGGUACAAAAGUGUAUGGUGCAGGCCCCUUUCCUUCAAAUCUCGAGGGAUCGAAUUUCUCUGGAUCUGGAAAGUACUUGGGAUUUUUGUUUGUAGAAUGUACACUCCAAUAUGUCUGCAAGAAAAUGAAAAGUUCUAUAGUAAGUUAUGUUAAUUAAAUCAUCCAUAAACACGAAUAGAAGAUAAAAAAAAAAUGAGAUUUUUAACGUGGUUUAGUGAUGAAUGUGAUCGCUAUGUCCAAGGAGUGUACCAACACUCAACACUCAACAAAUCAAAAGAAGAGUUAUAAUAGUGAAACUUUAAAAAAACCUUUCAAGUACAGUGUCGCUCUCUAAAAAACCAAAACCCUAAAACAUAAAAGGGUUAAAUAUAUAGUAUGGACAAACUUGCCAUUUACUACAUAAAAAGAAUUUCUACGGGGCAGUUGACUAGACAGCUUAUCUCAUGAGCUCAAUGAGGAGCUGAACACUCCACAUCCUAAACGAAACCCAAUAAAAUUAAUUCAAACUUCACAAUCCAACAAUUCAUUGGCAUAAAGUUAAUUACAUAGUAUUAUUAAACUCAACCGAGACCAUGUUUAAAUAUAGGAUACCUUCCACCCUUUUGGAAUGGUAAAACCUUCAAAAGUAAAGUCAGUUAUGGCUUCUCGAAAAGUUCCUUGUGCAGGUGGGGCUAGCCUCAUUGUUUCCUUCACCACACACCAAGUAUACUUCAUCUUCUGAAUGUCAUUCCACUUCAGAAACUCUUCUGGAUCUUUGGACAUUGCUAUCUCCAUUUGUUCUAUAUAUGUAAGCAGAAACCAAUUGGAAAUUACUAUUAAACUUGUUUAAAAAUCCAUCUUUGUAGAGAGAUUCCAACUGAAAAAUAAUGGAAACCAAAAGAUAACUAUUGUCAUGUUAAAGAGAAUCUCAAAAUGAAGAUAUGGGUGGGUAUUUGCUAUAAAAACUCAAGAGAUAUGUUAUACAUUUUACACACUAUCAAAGAGGAUUAACCUACAUUUUAGGACCAAAUAUUCUUUGUUUUGGUCCAAAAGUAUAUUUCGUUCGUUACUAAAUCAAUUAAGCAAUCUUGAUAGGGCUUCAAUGGAGAGGAGGCAAGGGUUUUACCUUUUAAGACCUUAUCAUAGGCAUGAGGAAACUCUGCUAGAUAGUUGAAGAUAAAUGUUAAAGUCGUGCUUGUUGAAUCAAAGCUAGCAAGAAAUAUACCAACAAUUUUAUCAGAGAUCUCCAUGUCAUUCAGAACCGCGCCGUUCUCAUCUGUCGCUAAAAGCAAAGAAGAUAGUAGGUCCCGGGCUACCGAUUCUUCUUUCUCUGAUAACUCCUUCCUUCUCUGCUUGAUAAUUGCUACAAGCUCAUGCCGAAGCAUUUUGCCUCCUUUUUUGGCGGAGUUAAAUGCUGUACCAGGAAAAUCUAUAGGCAAAGACACGAGCCCAGAUAACAUCUGAUGGAAGGGACGAGCAAUCCUAGCGAUAUGCUCAGGAUCUUUGAUGCUUAUGAACAAGUGACAAGCCAAUGUGAAGGUGUACUUCUUUGAUAGUGGAUAAACAUUCACUUCUUUAUGAGGAGCCCAAUCCGUAUUUAUGUUCUGGUGUGCCAUUGAAUCCAUGAUAUGUAUGUUACGUUGCAAAGCAUCUGGCCUAAGAAAUUCAAGGACAAAGCUACGCAUUCCCCUCGGUUCUGCCUUUGGGGGAGAAGACUGGAAGAGCAACGCCUUCUCCAUCGAUGGUGGUUUCCAAGUGGUAAUGAGCUUGUUGUGGUUUGAAAAUAGAAACUUGUUCCCCGCUGGGCCACAGAACACGGCGACCUUCUCCCCCAACAAGGAGGUCCGGAACACAAUUGGGGAGUAUUUCUUCAUUCUAUCAUUUAUAAAUCUUUCAGGGUUAGAAUUUUUGCCUCCUAAAGCAAAUUCUGAGGUUUCCCCGAUGAUGGGCCAUCCCAGUUUACCCGGGGGAAGCUUUGAACAGGCGGAUUUGCGUCUACUGACAAGGAAGAUUAUACAGAGAGACACAAAGAGGACUAUAAGGUGCAGAAGGUAUGAGAAAAGAUCCAUGGCUGCCACACAAUGAUGAUAAUGAAUCAAAAAGUAGGCUAUGAAAAAGGCUCAGGCCUCUUCUGGGCGAUAUCUCCAAGAACUGAAUAGAAGUAGUGAAAAAACAUGAUUGAGAUUACCAUGUCAAUUAAGGAAAAAGAUCAUUUAAUGGUUAAUGAAAAAAUAUUUUGAAUCUACUUUAUGAUUCCAACUCACUGUGUCAUGCACUUAGCAUGUUGGGCAUGCAUUCUUUAACUUAUUAUUAUUAUUAUUAUUAUUGUUAUUAUGGUAUUUGCCUUAUAUUUGAUUAAAUAUAAUAUAAGAUAGAAUAAGGAGCUAAAUAAGGUAAUUUUAUUCUAUAUAAGUAACUAAUCUCCAAUCGGCACGUAUCACCUUUUAAGCCAAAAAAUUUUCAUAAUUAAACCACAUCAUCACUUUAUCUUAAUUACAAUAAAAAAAUCUCAAUAAUUAAAUGAAAAUAAUGUUAUAUUUAAAAUAAAAUUUAAACAAAAAAUAAAUAAACAUAAAAUUAUACUCUUAUUCGAAUUUAUAAUUACUUUAUAAUUAUCUUGCUUUUUUCAUAUGGUGGUUUUUUUCUUCUUCUUUCAAAUCUCAUAAAAUCAUUAUUUUAAGUUAACUCUCAUUUUUAUUUAUUUUUUAUUUUUUUAUAUUUGUCAACAAUUUUUAGCACUUAACUUAUUUUAUAAUUUUAGUUCAAUUUUUUUUUAUAUAAAUUUUAUCUUUCACAAUUUAUAUUAACAUAUUAUUUGGUUAAUUUUCUUAUAGGUUCUUCCCAACUUCAAGAUUUUUAUUUUAUUUUAUUUUAUGAGAUGAUUAUUACAUGUCUUAUCAAUACUUCCUACUUCUAAGCACCAAUUAAGCUCAUAUAUCUAGGUUAUAAAAUAUGAGAAUUUGUUGCAUUGUGGAACUUGUGAAUGAUUAUAUAUAAUGAUGUAUAUCUCUUUACGACUCCCUAUAAAAGGGAGAGACCUCUAAUGAGAGUUCAUUCAGAUUUCUUCCUUCAAGUUCUUUCCUAUAUUCUACUUUUCUUUUAGUAUUUCUAUAUAUUUUCUAUCUUCUUUCUUCUUCUCAUUUUUUUAUUUUAUAACAUGUUAUUAACAUAAGGCUCUGAGUAUGUAGAAAAAGAGAAGAGAAAGAAAGAAGAACUCAUUUAUGAAGUUUCUUAUAGGUAUUUAGCCUUAUUUUCUUCAAACGAAAUGAAAUAUGAAAAGUAGUAUGCAUUGUAUUCUAUUAUUAUAACUUUAUUUACCUUGUCUUAUGGUUAAAAGUUAUGUAAAUCAUAUUUCAUAUAAUCAAACCAAAAACUUAAUAUUGUAAAUAUUUUGAUUAUUUAAUAACUAGAAGUUAUAUAAAAAAUUUUGAUAACUAGAAGUUAUGAAAAAUAUGUACAAUUCUUAUAACCAGAAGUUAUGAGGUAAAUUACAAAAUUUAAAAAUACAUAAUCAAAAGUAAUGCAUAUGAUUCAUAAUUACUUUAUAAUUAUAUCAUAUAAUUGGAAGUUAUAUAAAAUACCAAAAGCUUUUGAACUCAAAGGCCACCUCUGAGAGUGAGACAUUGUAUUGUGUCUAUGUAGCAAUUGGACAGAAACGCUCAACUGUGGCAUAAUUAGUUCAAAUUCUUUCAGAAGCGAAUGCUUUGGAAUAUUCCAUUCUUGUAGCAGCCACUGCAUUUGGCGACGUAGAGUCUACAGGCAGAACAAAGACAGGUGCGUCUAUGGAAAAAAGUACUUCUUGCUUUGUCAUGGUGAGAGUGAGGUACUGAAGGGCGCCAACAAUGCUACGAUAUUUUGUUGCAUUAUGUAGCCAGAAGUUAUAAAAUAAAUAAGUCAUAGCCUAAAACUAUAUAAUGAAUAGUUCUUAACAUGAAGUUAUGUACAAAUUUGCAUAAUAAAUAGUUAAUAGCAUAAAGUUAAGUAUUUGUUUUGACAAAAUAAUCAAAACCCAAAGUUAUGAUUAAUAUUGUCUUUUAAUUUUUAUUUCACAUUCAUGCAUUUUUCAUAACAAAAAAUUAUGAAAACAAUCUGUAUUAACAAUUAUUUCAUAGUUAGAAGCUAUGUACACAAUUUUUAAUUUUGUGAUAUAACUAAAAGUUAUAUCAUAAUAUAAUUGUUAAUUGUUUAAUGAUAUUAUAACAUUACUCAAAUUUUAAUUAUUCUUAGCCUGAAGAUAUGAAGAAUAUUAAUUGUUAAAACUCAUAUAGCUAAAAGUUAUAUUAGAAUAUUUUAUUAUAAAUUUAUAUUAUAUAGCCAAAAGUUAUAUAAUUAAUAUUAUUCAUGACCCCGAAGUUAUGAAAAUAAAAAAAUUAAUAUUCUUUAUAUUGAUAAAAGGUUUUGCCAAAGUUGUUAAUAUGUAUUUUUUUUUUAGUUAGAAGCUAAAGAUAACAAAAUUGUUAACUAACAAUUUUACAACUUUAUGAAAUUUAUAUAACCAAAAGUUAUAAUAAAAUAUAUUGUAGUCUGAAGCUAUCAUAACAAAGAUGUAGAUAAUAGUUACAUAUUAUUUAAAAGAUUAAUAUUUUAUAUAUCAAACUAAACAAAUAGGUAAGUGUUUGAUAAUUUUUUUAUGAACUCCUAUUAUUAGAAGUUAUAUCGUCAUUAGUAAAAAUAUUUACAUAUAGAUGUGGAAUUUUGGGUUGUAUGAAAAUAUGAUAUUUAUGCUUAAUAUUCUUGUGUUAGAGGUGAUGUUUUAGACUAUUUUUUAUUCUAAUUGUUUAAUACACAAUUACAUUAUGAGAUGAUAUAAUAGUUGAGAUUAAUCUUAUCUUUGUUUUUCAAUAUAGAAAGUUGAGAUUUUUGAAUAUUAUAUAUACUUAUAUCUUGAAAAUUCUAAAUAACAUCUUUUUAUUUGAUUGUAUAUAAUUUCAAUUUUUAAUGAUCCAAAAAUCAUGCAUAAGAAUUCCUCUCAAAGCAAAUACUAAUGUUUUCCCAAUGAUGGGCCAUCCCAUAGUUUACCCGGCCGGCGGUAGCUUUGAACAGGCGGAUUUGUGUCUACUGACAAGAUUAUACAGAGACGCACAAAGAGGACUAUAAGAUGCAGAAGGUAUGAGAAAAGAUAUAUGGUUUUCACUUGAAGAUGACAAUGAUCGAAGAGGCAAUGAACAAGCUCUAGGUAAUCUCUGGGGAUAUCGAUCUCCAAUAAUUGAAUAAAAAGUAAUGAAAGACCACUUGUCACUGUUGCGGUUACAUGCAGGUGAAUCUGCUGACACAAAUGUCUGACUGUAGGUCCCAUUCUUGCAAGGAUGGGGAGCUUACUGAGGAUGGAAGAAAGGUUAUUUAUUAAUCAAUGGAACUUUUAUGUAAUGCCUUCAGUUCAAAUAGAACCAUCAAACAUUAACACUUCACUUAUCAGUCAUAAAAGUUACAUGCUUAGAAAUGCAUUUCAAAUAAUUUAAGGUUAUGUUUGAUGCUCAAAUUUUUUUAGUGAAAUUACUUAUUUUAACUCUUCCAUAUAAAAAUUAAUUAAUACAAAAAUAUAAUUUUUUUAAUUAAUUGUAAUAAUAUUUGAUUUUUUGUAUUUUUUUUAUAAUACAACAAAAUAUAAAAAAUGAUUUUCUUCUAAUUUUUUUAAGUACUUUUUAGGAACCAAAUAUAACUUAAAAAUUGUAUUUAAAAUUAUAGGUUUGAAGAACAUGUAGAUUAAGAGGUUUUGCAUAGCGUUUACAUGUAAAAUUAGGAUUGAAUAGGUAAAAACACAUCAAUCUUGGUGGUUUCAUGCUACUAAAUUACUACAACUUAUAUUUAAAAUUAACCUUUUGAAGAGUGGGAUAUUUAUGAAAAUUAAUUACAAAUUGCAAAACUUUCUGAAUGAAAACUAAAGAAACAAUUCAUACUUUUACAACUAGUACAUAUGUAAAUACAAAUAAUUCUUAAUUUUCAUAACUAAUAUAGAUCUAAAUAUUGCUAAAUUGAGUUUGACAGUCCAACCUGUAUGCUAUAUUUGGUUCUUAGAAAGUAUUAAGAAGGAAAAAAAAAAGCAUAAGAGAAUGUUUUUAUCAUGUUUGGUUUUAACAUGAAAAAAUACGAAAGAAAAUCAAAUAUAAUUAAAAUUAGUUAGAAAUUUAUAUAUUUUUGAAUUAUUUAAUUUUUAUAUAAAAGAAAAAAAGAAGUGAAAUGAGUUUGAAGUAGUGUAUAAAAUAAUUUAUUGAUUUAAUUUUUCUUUUUCCAUUUUUUCUUUUCUUCUAGUACUUUUCUUCUCUUUUUUUUUUUUUUUCCUUGUAAUUAUCCUCAUAUUUUCCGAGAACGAAACAUAACCUAAGAGUAUUGCAUAAUAAUACGUCAAGGCACGCAUAUACAUAGUAAUGGAUCAUGUAAACAUUAAAAUGCAUAUACAUGUUGCAUUUAUUUUCUGGUUUAUUUAUGCAACACAUGUUCACCCCAAAAAAGUUUAUAAAUCACCUUACUGCUUAUAAAUCACCUUAUUUUCACGGGGAUGGAGGCGGAUCGGGAGACCAUUUACUGGAAUGGGAGAAGGGUUAUAUAUGACCUUUUCAUUUGGAUCUACUUUCUCCCAUUUGAACCUUGUCACCAUAUUAUGGAUAAAUACAAGUAUUUGCAGUCGACUAUAUUCCUUCCCUGGACACAGCCGAGGGCCUCCUCCAAAGGGUACAAAAGUGUAUGGUGCAGGGCCUUUUCCUUCAAAUCUUGAGGGAUCGAAUUUCUCCGGGUCUGGGAAGUGCUUGGGGUUUCUGUUUGUUGUAUGUACACUCCAAUAUGUCUGCAAGAAAAUGAAAUUUUUUGUAGUGAUAAGCCACGGGCAUGAAACAUAGAUUUUUUCCUUUUGUUUAAUGACUAAUUGGAAGCAUAGUUGUAUAUAACAUACCUUCCAUCCCUUUGGAAUGGUAAAACCUUCAUAAGUGAAGUCAGUUAUGACCUCUCGGAAAGUUCCUUGGGCAGGUGGUGCUAACCUCAUUGUUUCAUUUGCCACACUCCAAGUAUACUUCAUCUUCUGAAUGUCAUUCCACUUCAGAAACUCUCCUGGAUCUUUGGACUUUGCUAUCUCCAUUUGCUCUAUAUAUGCAUAAUAGAAACCAAUUUGGAAUUAGUAUUAAGCUUGUUGUUUAAGAAUCCCCCCUCUAUAGAGAGUUUCCUACUGAAGAAUUAUUGAAACGAAGAUAUGUAUUAUCAAAGUUGCAGUGAGUCCCAAAAGGAACAUGUAAAUGGGUAUCCACUGAAGAUUCAGAAGGCAUUAUAGGAUAUGAGCAAGGAUGUAAAACUUUUGAAAUUGAUGGAUAAUGAAAUAUACACUAAGAUCAAAGGUAUAUGAUGUCACUUCUGUUUUUAUAUAUGGACCUUACAUGACAUCUUUUAGCAUAACAAAACUAAUUCCUGAGGAUAUAUAGAAAUUUAAUAGCAUAAGAAACUAUAUGAAAUCCCGUUCAAAUUUUUUAAGAACCAAACACAGCUUAUAUAAUUUGUCACUAAAUCAAGCUUGCUUGAUAAGGAUACAAGAAAGAGGAGACAAGGGUUUUACCUUUUAAGACCUUAUCAUAGACAUCAGGGAACUCUGCGAGAUAGUUCAAAACGAAUGUUAAGGUAGCACUUGUGGAAUCAAAGCUAGCAAGAAACAAACCAACAAUUUUAUCUGAUAUCUCCAUGUCAUUCAAACCCUUGCCGUUCUCAUCUGAUUGUAAAAGCAACGAAGAUAACAGGUCUUGGACUUCUGGUUCUCCCUCAUCUGAUAACUCAUUUCUUCUCUGUUUAAUGAUUGCUACAAGCUCAUCCCUUAGCAUUUUGCCUCCUUUCUUGGCACGGUUAAAUGGCGUACCAGGAAAAUCUAUAGGCACAGACACCAGCCCAGAUGUAAUCAGAUGGAAGGGAUGAGCAACCUUGGCGACCUGUUCAGGGUCUUUUAUGCUCAUGAACAAGCGACAAGCCAAAGCAAAGGUGUACUUCUUUGAUAGCGGAUAAACCUUUACUUCUCUAUUAGGAGCCCAAUCCAUCUCUAUGUGCUCCCGUGCCAUGGAAUCCAUGAUUUGUAUAUAGCGCUGUAGCACAUCUGGCCUUAGAAAUUCCAGGACAUAGCUGCGCAAUCCUCUUGGUUCUACCUUUGGGGGAGACUCGAAGAGCAGUAUCUUCUCCAUGGACCGCGGCUUCCAAGUGGCAACGAGCUUGUUGUGGUUUGAGAAUAGAAACUUGUUCCCUGCGGGGCCACAGAAGACAGCGACCUUCUCGCCCACCAAGGAGGUCCGGAACACAUCGGGGGAGUAUUUCAUCAUUCUUUCCUUUAUGAACCUUGUGGGGUUCCCACUCUUGCUUCCCAAAGCGAAUGCCAAAGUUUCUCCUAUGAUGGGCCAUCCUUGAUUACCCGGCGGAAGCUUUGCGGUGGCAGAUUUGUAUCUGCGGACAAGGAAGACUACGCAUAGAGACACAGAAAGGAGUAUAGGGUGAAGAAGAAAUGAGAAAAGAUCCAUGGCUCUCCCACAAUGAUGAUAAUGAAUCAAAAAAUGGGCAACGAAAAAGGCUCAGGCAUAUUCCGGGCGAUAUCUCCAAGAACUGAAUAGAAGUGAAAAACCAUGAUUGAGAUUACCACGUCAUUUAAGGAAAAAAAAUCAUUUAAUAGUUAAUGAAAAAAUAUUUUGAAUCUACUUUAUGGUUCCAACUCACUGUGUCGCAUGUACUUAGCAUGUUGGGCACGUAUCCUUUUAACUUUUUUUAUUGUGGUAUUUGCCAUAAAUAAAUAUUUGGGUUAUAUUUAAUUAAAUAUAAUAUAAGAUAAGAUAAUAAGCCAAGUAAGGCAUUUUUAUUCUAUAUUUAGAUGAAAAUGAGAUUAGUAAGUAAUCUCCAUAGGGUGUGUGUCAUCUUUUAAGCGAAAAAAAUUUCCUUGAUUUAAAAUAAUUUUUAUUUUUAAAACAGAAAAUAUGAUAUUUUUAGAGAUAUCUAAAUAAAAAAUAAAAGUAUACUCUUAUUAAAAUUUAUAAUUAGUUCAUUCUUAUCUUGCUUUUUCCAUGUUUUAUUUUUUAAAAUUCACAUAAAAUCAUUAUUUUAAGUUAACUCCCAUUCUUUUAAUAUUUGUAAAUAAUUUUUAGCACUUAACUUAUUUUAUGAUUUUAAUUUAAUUUUUUUUAUAUAAAUUUUAUCUUUCACAAUUUAUAUUAACAUAUUAUUUGGUUAAUUUUCUUAUGGAUUCUUCUUCACAUGAAAUAACUAGGAAGUAUUUCAAUAAUCAAACUAAUUGUAGUGAUGGAUCAAGGUAUGAGAGAGAUUCAUGUUUCUUCAAGUAUAAAUAAAGAAAAGAAUUAAUUGAUAAAUAAUAAAAUGUGAAAUAAACUAUAAAAGAUGAACAAUAAACAAUGUGUUCAAAUAUGAUAACAAAAUAAACUUAUUUGCAAAGAAUUAAAUAAAAACAUAACGUUUAAUCAUAGCAAACAUUUUCAUCACCAAUUAGAUGGUCAAUUUUCCCAUUAGGAUUCUCAAAGAAAUCUGAGACAUUUAAAUGGGUUAGAUCCACUUGGCUAUCACUAUCAAUGACGUUCAUUUCAACUUCCUUUCCUUUAAUUGAUGCUUGGUAAAGGUUGACCAAAUGUUUGGGUGUACGACAGGUAUGCGACCAAUGCCUCUUCAUACCACAUCUAUAACACUUAUUCUCAUGGUUCUUAGGAGGUUUAUCUUGUAAAUACUUCCCAUUUUCUUGUUUUACCUUAGUAUUAUUCCACUUUUGGUGGUGCAAUGAGGCUUUCAUUUUUUGAGAAUUUGGUGAAUUAUUACUAUAAGAACCAUGGUAUCGGGGAUUUCUUCCACAACCAUGACCACGUCCUUGUUAUCGUCCACGACUUUGGGAUAAUAUUGCAUUCACUUUAAGGAAAGAUUUAGAUCUAGUUGGACGAGACUGGUGAUUUCUCAUCAAAAGUUCAUUUUUUGUUAAACAUUCAUGGAGAUGAUAACGAAGGAAAAUCAAUGUUUUUGCACAAUCCUGCAGGGAUGCUUGAUUUCCUUCUUUGAUCAUAGCUCCAAGAUUCAUUGACAAUUUUGUUUUGAAUAACUUCUGGUUAUACAAGAGAAUUAGAAAUUGUAUGCAUAACUUCUGCCUAUGAAACAAUUGUUAAUAAAAAUUGUUUUCCAUAAUUCCUGUUGUGAAAAAUAAAAGAGUAUGAAAUAAAAAUUAAAUCCAAUAUUUUUCAUAACUUUAAGUUAUGAUUAUUUUGUCAAAACAAGAAAAUAUUCAAAUUUGUACAUAGCUUCAGGCUAUGGACUAUUUAUGUAUAACUUCUAGUUACACGAUAUAAUUAAAAAAAUUAAAAGUUAAUAUCUUUCAUAGCUUCAGGCCAUGAUUAUUUUGUCAAAAUAAUAAAAUAUUUAAAUUUGUACAUAACUUAGGCUAUGAACUGUUUUUAUAUAUAAAUUUGUAUAUAGCUUCAGACUAUGAACUAUUCAUUGGGUAGAUUUGUGCAUAGCUUCGGCCUAUGAACUUUCAUUAUGUAGAUUUGUACAUAACUUCAAGCUAUGAUUAUUUAUUUAUUUUAUAACUUUUGACUAUAUAAUAUUGUUUGAUAUAACAUCCAGUUAUACCAUAUAAUUAAAAAUAAAUAAUUGGAGAUCAUAUACAUAACUUCUGAUCAUGUAUUUGUAAUUCUAUAAUUUUUCCUCAUAACUUCUAGUUAUAGGAAUUGCACAUAUUUUUCAUAACUUCUGGUUAUGAAUUUACCCCAUAAUUUAUAAUAUAUGGUUGUAGGAAUUGUACAUAUUUUUCAUAACUUCUGGUUAUGAAUUUACCCUAUAAUUUAUAAUUUACCCCAUAACUUCUGGUUAUAGGGAUUAUACAUAUUUAUGUAUUCAAAUAAAAUAAAUGAAAAUAGAGAUCAAAAGGUAAUAAAGUAGAAAAUCAUGAUAUAAGUUUAUCAUAUACCUUUUUGUGAGAAAAAAGAAAAAAAGUCUUUCUAUUUCUCUGAAAGGAAGAAUGUCUUUCUAUUUCUUUAAAGAGAAGAACGUCUUUCUUAUUUAUUUGAAUAGAGAAAAAUCUUUAUAUUUCUUUUGUAGAGACUAUUCGUGCUGAUAACGUGUUGUAAAAUUAUAAAGUGAAAGGAGAAGAAAACAAGAAAGAGAAUCAUAAUGUAGAAAGAGAAUAGAAUGUAUGGGAAAACUCUAUAUUAAAUUUCAUUAGGACUCUCUCCUUUUUAUUAGAAGUUACAAGAGAUAUUUAUGAAUGAUCAUCCACAAGUUACCAUAGUGGUACAAAAUCUUAUAUUUUAUAACAGUUUUCUAUUUUUAUUUUUUUAUUUUUUUCUAUGGAACAAAUAUUAUCAUACUUAGUAGAAUGUGCCCAUAUACUUAGUAGAAUGGGCUCGUAGUACCAUAUCGGAUUCAAUCAAUUAUCUAUGAUAGAUAAAGUCAUUUUGUAUUUUCUUAUUUGGUGGCACAAACUUGACCAUGAACACAUACCAUUAUUCUAACACUAAAGUGGACCACUAAAAUGCACUACGAAUCACUAAUAUACAACUCACAAGUUACAGAGUUAUCAUGAUCCACAAUAAUGCUUCACAUAUUAUAAUUUUUGAAAAUAUGAUAUUUUUCUUUAAGUGUGUAAUGAAUAUCUUAUUUGGUAACUAUUCUAAAAAAUAAUUUUUAAAGAUACUUUUUAUAAAUUGUUCUUUGAUAUUUUAUAAAAAAUAUUUAUUUUAAAACUUAAAAUGUUUUUAAUCUACUUUUUAUAUUUUUAAAUGUAUUUUAAAAAUAACUUUAUAUAUAGUGUUUUAUUUUUAAUUAUUCUCCAUAUUCGUAUAAUAUUUUUUAAAAUUUUUUUUAAUAAAACUAUUCUAAAUAAUUGUUUUCAUAACCAUUUCCUAAAUAGACCCUUAAUUUUUAGUGUUUUUUUUUCUUUGAAGAUGCCAAUUAUUAUUAUUGGAAAGUAGUUUUAAAGUAAAUGUAGAGAGUAGUGAUCAUUUUGAUGCAUUAGUUAUAUAUUUUGGACAUCUUUCUCACUACUUUUUAUUAUAUUAAUUUGCUCUUCUACAUCUAUAUAUUGUAUUUUUUUUUUUUAAAUUUUUUUUUGAUAUACUUAAUCAUUUUUGUGACAAAAAAAUAGAUGAUAUUUACAUUUAUAUUGAGUAACGAUGAUUCUCUUGAUAUAUAUAUAUAUAGAACAAGAUGACCAAGUCAUAAGACUUCUAGAUAACAGAUCCGUUGAAAAGCAUAAGAAAGAUGGCUAUAAUUUCAUACACUUUGGUAUGAUUCAAGUAGCAGCUAAGCCUUUGACAAGAUUAGGUUUAAACACCGCUAUUGUCAUGUGUUUAAGGGAUAAUAGGCAUCUAACCGACAUUUGCGGAGAACCAAUUAUUAAGCAAAUCAAGCAUUGGAGAGCCAGAGUCAUCAGCAGAGACUUUGAAGCCUACCUAAAAAACAUGGGGCAUCUCAUUGCUGCAGAUUCCCUACAUCAGAUAUUUUGCCUUUUUUUGCCUAUUUAAGGAGGCUCGGUCCUCAUUUGUAAGCACGUUUCAUUUUUCUCUCCUAAGCUUAUGCUCUCCCUUCUCUCUUCUUUCUCUCUCAUCAUGUAAGCCUUUCAAGCUUUCAAAGUUUAUUAAAGGAGAAAGUUUCAUUCCUAAUCACUCAAUUCAUGGAACUUGCAGGAUUCACAAGAACAUGGCCCCCAAGAAAGACAAACAACCUCUUAGGUCCAUUAAUUCUAAGGAUUCCCAUUCAGCUCUCUCUGAGAAAUUCACGCCAUUUUAUGACCAUUUUGAAAUAGCAGAUUCUUCUAGCCACUUCAAUCAUCACAUUACUUCACCAUCCACUAGUAUGGAUAUAGACUCAAGCUCGGAAUCUCUACCUUUUGUGGAAGAUUCCUUACCCACAAAUUCAUCUUUUAAUAAUGCUAACACUUUGUCUGAUUAUGUCAAUUGCAUUUUUGAAUGGCAGGGAAGUUAUGAGACUCUUGAAAGAAAACUUGAGUCAGUUGACUUUCAUAAGCUCAUGUUAAACGCUCAAGCCUCAUUUUCCCCACUGGAAAAUGGUGAGAAAAACCCAUUCACCCCACUGGUGAAUGAGAAAUUAAGUAAGGAUGAGCAGGAGUGCAUUAUCUUUAGAAUGUUUCACCAAAGGAAUGAGAUCCUGUCCAAACCAUGUCUAGGAGAUCCAGUGAUUCUCAAGAUACUGUUGUAAACAGUGAAGAGAUCAAUUAUCCUAAGAUCCAAAAUGAUUUAGAUGAUUGGAAGUUACCCAAGGUGUCUAAUCAAGAAAUUUAUAAGAAAGGAACCUUUAAGUUCUUCACAUAUUAUACCAUUAAGACCUCUGAAAUGACAGUCAGUUUAGAACAAGAUGACCAAGUCAUAAGACUUCUAGAUAACAGAUCCGUUGAAAAGCAUAAGAAAGAUGGCUAUAAUUUCAUACACUUUGGUAUGAUUCAAGUAGCAGCUAAGCCUUUGACAAGAUUAGGUUUAAACACCGCUAUUGUCAUGUGUUUAAGGAAUAAUAGGCAUCUCGAAUAUCGAGAUUCUAUUAUAGGCGCAGUCCAAGAUGGACUACAAACCUUAUGAGACGUCACCCCAACCCUCUUACAGCCUAACAAACGCCUAUCCACGGCUAACAACGGCUCAACCGGCAGGGCUCGCGCUCCCAGGCACACUGCUACCUAUCCUAGGAUAGGCCAAGAACACCGACAUGCAGAUCCUGAAGAUAUGCUGAAAUGAAAACUUGUUUUUCUUCAGCACUGGACCUGGCUUUUUCACAAAUUAGAAGGGUUUUUUCCUUAAGGUUUUUAACAAGGAUAAAGGUUUGCUUAAUACAGAUGUCAUGGUUACAGAUAUGAACAUCUGUUAACUUAUACUUAAUGGCAAGUCUUUCGCCAUUGGCUCCAAAUAGAGACUCACUAGUCUCUUCGCAUAAAGGAAUAGGUACCAGACCUUCUUGAAGGCAAUUUUCCGCUGCUCCUGAAUCAAUCAAAGCAAUAAUAUCAAAGACAAAUUUAUCUUUGACUACUAUAGUAAGGGAGACUUCCCACCUCUAGAAGAUAACCCUACUCACAGUAUUCAAAAAAGUAUUUGUCUCAUUAUCAUUAAUAUGAGAAGAUUCUGGAAUAUCCAUAUGGAUUUCUUGGUUGCCAAUUCUAUUGAUUUGAUCUUGGAGAUCAGAGAGACCUAGACUUAUGAAUUGUCUUAACUCCUUAAUCUCCUUUUUAUGCUGCUUAACUUCUUCAUGAAGUUCCUUAAUGCUGACAUCCUUGGGAGACUGCUGGUCAAACCUGUUUAAGAUAUCGUUAAGGUUAUAAGGAUUAACAGUCUUCUUGGCUUCUAUCUUAACAACAGAUUUCUUAAAAACUUCAUAAAGGCUUUGCUUAGUUUUUUCAUCUUCAACUUUUCUUAAAGUAUCUAGGAUGAAUUCUUGAUCUUGGCUUAUGACAUUUAUGGUUUUAGGACGACAAUUACAAUUACCCUUAAUACAAACAUCUUGGUCACUAGAAGAUUGGCUAGAAACAUCGCCACUGCUAUCUAGUUGAUUAAUAUCAUCUUCAUUAUCUGAAUCAGUCCUUGAUUCAGAGUCUGAGUUUAACAUUACUUUACAAAGCAUAUUUUUUAGGUCAUCUGAGACACUUAAGUUGUUAAUCUUUUGCUUAACUCUACAAUCUUUUUUAUAAUGGCCAACUUUGCCACAUUUAAAACAGAUAAUUGGCUUGACAUCUAAAGGAGUUUCUACCUUUUUCUGAGUAUCUUUGUUGACCCUUCUUUGGACGUGUCUUGACUGCUUAGUAUCAUUCAUCCUAUAGUUGUCAUAGGUACCUCUCUUAUUGUGGUAAAACUUAUCUUUGCUAGGCUUCCUGCUUGGCUUUUGCUUAGAGGGAGGCAUAGUUUCUUUUUGGCUGAAACCAAACUGGCUACAGAAUGAUCCAAAUUCAUUCUUGUAGAUUUUUUGUUCAUUCUUCAUUUGUUGCUUAAGCUUGAAGUCAUUGUACAACUUAAUCCCUUAAGCUGUGACAAUGCUUAUAAUCUCACCAUAGGUUAGCUUAUCAUAAGGGAUUUGACCGUUAUACUGUUCCCUUAUCUUGAUCCUAAUUCUCUCAGAGAAAAGCUUGGGUAAUCCUGAGAUGAAUUUUUCUUUCCAAAAAGACUGGUUACAAUCUGACCUUAGCAUGACUUUGGUUAGGAAGACUUCCUUAUACCACCUAAAAUCAUGAAGCUUGGGACACUUAAGGUUGGUUAAGAGGUCUGCAGUUUUAUCCUUAAUUUUUGCAGGAUCUCCAAUGAAGUGCUUGGAUAUUGAGUAGAUUAGAGUAGCCACUGCAUCUUCAACAUCUUGGCCAUCUUCGUCCUUAACAACUUCAUUACUCUCAUUGAUCCUAUAGGCUUUAAGGAUACUAUUCCUAUCAUCAAAAGUGAGAUAAUUAUCCCACCAACCCUUAAGCUGACCUGUAAACCCAGCAACAAUGGUCUGAGCUACAGCAUGAUCUGGCAGUCUAUUGUUUAAUUUAUAAGCUGUACUAACCAUGGUCAUUUCUUGAAGCUUAGUGAGUAUGUUAUACUCGGUCAUACCGUCUAUGUUCCAUUCAUAGAUAGUACCACUGGUGUAUGAGGCUUGAGUAUAUUGAUUUCUUUCCUCAAACUGCAUGUCAGGAAAAGUAGGCCUAGGAUAGUAAUUCCUAGUCUUAAAGGUUUCCAAGUUGUUAAUAAUUUGAUUAUGGGGUUCCUCAAACAUCUUAAUUAGUUCAUCAGCUUCUUCUUCUGAACUAAUAUCACCUUUAACCAUAUUGAUUCUCUUAUCGGGCCGAACAGUCAAAGGAGUAACAAGAUUAUCCUUAAUCUUCUGAUUAAUCUUAUCGACAAUGGCUUGGUUGACUUGGGGAUUUUCUUGGAAAUCCUUAGAGAAUUCAUAUGGCUUAUUUUCAUUAUUACUACUGGUAACCUUUAUACGCUUAAAGGGAUAAUCUGGAUAUUCCUCUUGUUUGAAGAGUUCAAACCAAAUCCAAAACUUAAUAUUUUUCUUUUCUUGUCUUAAGUAGGCAUAGAAUUCUUCUUGGUAAAUGGUUCUAAUGACCUUAGGGACAGUGCUAAAGAACCAAUCAUUUCUUUGCUUAUUGACUUCAGAAUAGAAGUCCUUUCUUAAGAGAUCCUUGUUGAUCUCAAAGUCCUCAUCACUUAGGCUUAUUGUGUUAAUCAUCUGGGAAUAGGUAGGAGACAUAACAGGGGACUCAUCCUGUUGGGAUUCCUGAGUAGACUCAUUUUCUUCACUGUAAAAUGGUCUAGCCACAUUGGUGUAACUUCUGACACCUGUUAGCUUAACGUUCUUAGGAUUUCCUGAGCUGGAUCCUUCUUCUUCCCUAGUGGUUCUAACUGGGAUGGAAGAGCUUGAAGCUCUAGAGGGUUCAUAAACAGAAACUCUAGGGCUGCUGGAGUGUCUGAAAGAUUUGGAGAAGACAAGGUCAUAUGCAAAUGAACAAAUGAAUUAUGCCAUGAUUCAAAACAAAGAAGAGGGUUAGAAAAUACAAAAGAUAUGUUUUUAUUUCGGCUUAUCUUCAGGAUCUGCACAUUUAUCUCUCAGCCAUUCCUGGUCUCAGUGUUCUAGGAUUAAAUUUAACCAAGGAAAUGGAAUUUGAUGGCUCAAAGCUUUGCAGAAGUUGUACUGAAUCGCUUCUUCAUCAACAAGACAACAAGCCAAUUUGGAUCUUCUUGGGGAUGAUGAAAUCUGACACCUGUUAGCUUAACGUUCUUAGGAUUUCCUAAGCUGGAUCCUUCUUCUUCCCUAGUGGUUCUAACUGGGAUGGAAGAGCUUGAAGCUCUAGAGGGUUCAUAAACAGAAACUCUAGGGCUGCUGGAGUGUCUGAAAGAUUUGGAGAAGACCAGUUCUCCUCCUCCAUCUGGAUAUUGAACAAUUUGUUCAAUACUUUGGUUCCUUGGAAUGAGGAUCAUACCAAGAUUGUUAAAAUAGUAAAGUCUAGAGUCAAAACUCUACCAUGUCUCGCCUUAGCUGAUCAUAAAGCCUUUAAGAUUGUUGAGACUGAUGCUUCUGAUAUAGGUUUUGGUNNNNNNNNNNNNNNNNNNNNNNNNNNNNNNNNNNNNNNNNNNNNNNNNNNNNNNNNNNNNNNNNNNNNNNNNNNNNNNNNNNNNNNNNNNNNNNNNNNNNAGAUCAAUUAUCCUAAGAUCCAAAAUGAUUUAGAUGAUUGGAAGUUACCCAAGGUGUCUAAUCAAGAAAUUUAUAAGAAAGGAACCUUUAAGUUCUUCAUAGAUUAUACCAUUAAGACCUCUGAAAUGACAGUCAGUUUAGAACAAGAUGACCAAGUCAUAAGACUUCUAGAUAACAGAUCCGUUAAAAAGCAUAAGAAAGAUGGCUAUAAUUUCAUACACUUUGGUAUGAUUCAAGUAGCAGCUAAGCCUUUGACAAGAUUAGGUUUAAACACCGCUAUUGUCAUGUGUUUAAGGGAUAAUAGGCAUCUCGAAUAUCGAGAUUCUAUUAUAGGCGCAGUCCAAGCUGGACUGAAUGAUGGCCCAGUUUAUUUCCAGUGCUAUCCUAACUUCACAGUUAGAUUAAGAGAUGCAGACAUCUUAGAUUCAGUUGUCCUGCAUAUUAAGACUCAUGGCUUUAAGAUCAAACCAGGAAACAGUCCUGUUUCUAUCAUAACCAAGUUUGCUUAUAAGAGCAUGAACACAAGCGUUGGAUCUGGGGCUCUUUGCACCAGUCCUAAGGGUGAAACCACUUACUUUCUCUGAAUGAUGGCCCAGUUUAUUUCCAGUGCUAUCCUAACUUCAUAGUUAGAUUAAGAGAUGCAGACAUCUUAGAUUCAGUUGUCCUGCAUAUUAAGACUCAUGGCUUUAAGAUCAAACCAGGAAACAGUCCUGUUUCUAUCAUAACCAGGUUUGCUUAUAAGAGCAUGAACACAAGCGUUGGAUCUGGGGCUCUUUGCACCAGUCCUAAGGGUGAAACCACUUACUUUCACUCUGAUAUGCUAGAUAAGUCAGAUUUCAUCAUCCCCAAGAAGAUCUUGUGGAAAGAUGUUGAUUUCCCUGAAAAUUGGCAUUUUGCUAAUGCUGUUCCAGCCAUAGCACAGCGUUCUGAAAGUAUUGAACAAAUUGUUCAAUAUCCAGAUGGAGGAGGAGAACUGGUCUUCUCCAAAUCUUUCAGACACUCCAGCAGCCCUAGAGUUUCUGUUUAUGAACCCUCUAGAGCUUCAAGCUUUUCCAUUCCAGUUAGAACCACUAGGGAAGAAGAAGGAUCCAGCUCAGGAAAUCCUAAGAACGUUAAGCUAACAGGUGUCAGAAGUUACACCAAUGUGGCUAGACCAUUUUACAGUGAAGAAAAUGAGUCUACUCAGGAAUCCCAACAGGAUGAGUCCCCUGUUAUGUCUCCUACCUAUUCCCAGAUGAUUAACACAAUAAGCCUAAGUGAUGAGGACUUUGAGAUCAACAAGGAUCUCUUAAGAAAGGACUUCUAUUCUGAAGUCAAUAAUCAAAGAAAUGAUUGGUUCUUUAGCACUGUCCCUAAGGUCAUUAGAACCAUUUACCAAGAAGAAUUCUAUGCCUACUUAAGACAAGAAAAGAAAAACAUUAAGUUUUGGAUUUGGUUUGAACUCUUCAAACAAGAGGAAUAUCCAGAUUAUCCUUGUAAGCACAUUAACAACACCUCUAAAAAAGCUAAGAUAUGGAAAACCAGUGACAACAUUGUUAUAGAAUCCAUUCAUCCUCCUGAAGCUAAGAUAGAGAAGAAUAUUAAUGGAACCAUUGUCACAGCUUCACCUUUUAAGACUAAGCCAGAGGAUAAAGGAGCUGCUAGUGCAUCUGAUAUUAGAAGGAUUAUGGAACAAAUCAAUUAUACUAAUAUGUUUCUCAUAACCCUUGGAAAUCAAGUCAACAGAGUUGAAGAGAUUAUUGAAACUCAGGAUCACCUUAAGAAGCCUUUUGUUAAGAAUGAUAAUAAGCCUUUGUUUAAGCCUUUUGAAUUAUCUAAGAAAUUCCAGGAAAAUCCUCAAAUUGAUCAAGCUUUCAUUGAUAGAAUAAGCCAGAAGGUUAAAGAUAAUCUUGUUAUCCCUGAAACACCUCAACCUUCCCAUAGGAGAAUCCUUUUGGUUAAAAAGAAUAUUAGUCCAAAAGCAAAGGAUAAUGGACUAAUUAGGCUAACCAGAGAACCUUCUAUCCAAAACCCUUUUAAGAAUCAUGAUGAGAAACAAGAAAGGAUUAUCCUUAAUACCCUGACUAUUAAAGAUCUUCAAGAAGAAAUAGGGCAGUAUAAGAAGGAUAUUGAGAACCUAAGACAACCUACAAGCUCAGAAAUCCCUAUCCCUCAGGAUUAUAUCAACAGGGUAGGUUUUUACCACAGUAGUCCUAAAAAGGAAGACUUUGAAGAAGUUCUUGAAUCUUCACAAGACAAUAGUGAUAAGAUAAAUGCAUACUUAAAUACUAUUAGUAAAGUUAUCUUCCAAAGGUGGGAAGUCUCCCUUACUAUAGUAAUUAAGAAUAAAUUUAUCCUUGAUAUUAUUGCUUUAAUUGAUUCAGGUGCAACUUUGAAUUGUCUACAAGAAGGUCUUGUACCUACCCAAUUUUAUGAGAAAACCAGGCAAGCCCUCUUUGGUGCUAAUGGUAAAAAGCUUAUUAUCAAGUACAAGCUUUCGAAUGCCCAUAUUUGUAACCAAGGUAUUUGCAUUAAGCAAACCUUCAUUCUUGUUAAAGAUCUCAAGGAGAAAGUUCUCCUUGGAGUCCCUUUCUUAAGCUCCAUCUUUCCUAUGUGGGUAGAUGAUCAAGGUAUAAGAACUAAGCUUUUAGAUAAGGAAAUUCUGUUUGAAUUUGCCAAUCCACCUGGAGAAAGAAGUAUAAACACCAUAAAAGAUCAGGUGAUUAAGGCUAAGCAAAAUCAUAUUAAUCUCUUAAAACAAGAGAUUGCUCUGGUUAGAAUAGAAGAUCAACUGAAGGUUAAGAAAACCCAAGAUGCUAUAGAAAACCUUAAGAAUAAGAUUAUUAAGGAAGUUUGUUCUAACAUUCCUAAUGCUUUUUGGCACAGGAAGCAGCAUGAGGUAGAAUUACCCUAUGAGCCUGAUUUUAGUGAGAAAAAUAUUCCCACUAAAGCAAGACCAAUCCAAAUGAACAAAGAUUUGUUAAGCUAUUGUGAAAAAGAAAUCCAGGAUCUCAUGGAUAAGAAGUUGAUAAGGAAGUCUAAAUCCCCUUGGAGUUGUUCAGCUUUUUAAGAUGGAUCAGGUAUCCUAUCCCAAAUAAAAAGGACCUCCUUCAAAGAUUAGGGAAAUCCAAAGUGUUCUCUAAGUUUGACAUGAAAUCAGGAUUUUGGCAAAUCCAGAUUGCAGAAAAAGAUAGGUACAAAACAGCCUUUGUGGUCCCAUUUGGUCAUUAUGAGUGGAAUAUAAUGCCCUUUGGCCUUAAGAAUGCACCUUCUGAGUUUCAAAACAUAAUGAAUGAAAUCUUUAACCAGUUUUCUGAUUUCAUUAUUGUUUACAUUAAUGAUGUUUUGAUUUACUCAGAUUCUGUUGAGCAGCAUUGGAAACAUCUCAAUAGGUUUAUUGAGACUGUUAAGAGCAAUGGUUUAAGCUUGUCAGCCACUAAGAUUAACCUCUUUCAAACUAAAGUAAGAUUCCUAGGUCAUCAUAUUCACCAAGGAACAUUCACCCCCAUUCAAAGGUCAAUUGAGUUUGCUGAUAAGUUCCCUGAUGAAAUUAAGGAUAAGAAACAAUUGCAACGUUUCUUAGGAAGCCUUAAUUAUGUGUCAGAUUUCUUGAUCACAAGGAGUGAUGCUCCCAAUUGGAUUAGCAAAUUCAAAAAGAAUAUAUAUAUAUAUAUAUAUAUAUAUAUAUAUUUUCAUUUUUUUAUAAUUUUUAGAAUUUUCUUAUAAUGUUUGGGAUUUUUGAAUUGUGAUAUUAAUUUAUAGUUUAUCAUAUAAAUUAAUUACUAUUUGUUCCACACAUUGUUUUCCACAAAUAUUAUUAGUAGGUUACAUGUUUGCAUGACCUUAAGAACUUACAAAGCAUUGACGAAGAUCAUUGAGUUGAAAUUUUUAGUUUAGACAAAAAAUUGAGAUAGUGUAUGUUUUUUUAACUUAAUUUUAAAUAAAACUUAAAACUAAAUAGUAUUUAAUAAUGUUGACUAUUAAGUUAUUUGUUUUUUUAAAUAUUUUAUUUCUAUUAAGUGUUGAGAAGUAAAAAAAAAACUAAUAAAUUAUUUUUAGCAUUAAAAAAAAGUUAAAUAUUUUUAUUUUUUCUAUUCAAUCAAAAAAUUUAAGAAAUAAGUAAUAAGUAAUAAGUAAUAGAAAGUAAAAAAAAAAAAAAAAAACUGAAAUAUGAAAAUAAGUUGCUUUUAAUAAAAAGUUAAAAAAACAAACAAACAAACAAGACUUGAGUGGUAUAUAAACUCUUUUUUCAGAGCAUUGGAGGAGUUAUGUAAUAAUUAUUUAGUCACAAAAUUGUUAAAGAAGGAUAUUGCUGUAGGGACCACCCCCAAACGCACACGUGGCAGCCUCACAGAGCACUCCUCCAUUGGGCACGUGGCACGUCCAACUUUCUGUCCGGAUUUCCUCAAGGGGGCACGCAACACUCUCAAACUCUUUAUUUGAAUGACCCCCACUCUCUUGUCCGGACGUCUUGUCCAGACCCAGUGCUAGUGUCUUAGACAAAAGUCUUGGUCGUGUUUUGUGGGCCAUCAUUAUUUAUACUACUAAAAGCAUGCUUGACGGGACCCUCCUGACUCACUUCAGGCAACCUGUCACGACCUGCACCCCGUUGCCUGCAGAGUGAAAAGACAGAGAUGACGGCAAGUCAUCCCUCUCAUAAUUUCUGACAGCCGCCUCUACAGGACAAUGAUGGCUCUACCACCAUCUUCGCACCAUCAUGACAAGCCAAAAAGUCUUCCCACCAUUAAAGGAGACAAAGCUCCUGACACUAUAAAAGGCCCUCACACAUUAAAAGAAGGUAAGCGUUCUUGCCCAAAAGAGGAGGACCCAAGAGAUAAUAGAGAAAUGUUAGAGAUAAAGGCUAACAAAACCAUCGAAGGGUGUGUCCGGACCCCCUGUUCGGACAUCUUUUGUAGGUUGAAUGAAGCGGGUACCAUCUUCAGUUGAGGAGACGCGUCCAUCUGGCAUCUGUAGUGGCCCCGGUGACGCGAGGCCUCAACAAUUGCUACUCAUCCAGAGUAACUACUUUAGGUUGAUUAUCUUAUUCCAAAUAAUUCUUGCAUCUAAUAUUGUUGCAUAUUUUCUAAGAUUCAUAUAGGUCUUGAAGAUUUAAUUAAGAUCAUCAUCACUUUGUAAAUGAGGCCAUCCAAGUAAGUAUGGUUGAGUUAGUUUAGUGAAUGACAACAUAAAUUAAGAAGUAUAUUUUGGGCAUUAUUACAUAACACGAGUUUUACGGGUUUGGAAAAGCAAAUUUAAAGAGUGCUCAAGAACUUAAGAGCACUCACUAUGAAACAUGGUACUAUUAAACAUGAAGAUGUGCAUAGAUCCUAACCAAUGUAAAACCCCUAAGGAAAUUAAUAGCAUCUAGUUCAUGUAAAAUUGUGAUUUAUUUUUUUUGAAUUUGCUCAACAAUCAAUUGACCAAUAAUAUAUAAUUAAUUUAUAAAAAAUAUUUAUUGAUUUUUGUUUUGAAAUAUGAUAUAUCAUAUAUGAUAUAUGAUAUAUCCCAUUGAUCAGGGGAUAAAAAAAAACAAAAAAAACGAAGGAAUCAAGCCCCAUGUGUAAUUUCAAGAAUUCAGAUUAGAACUUCUAAAUGAGAACUAAAACUAAAUGAGGUUCAAUUUAAAUAUGUAUUUCUUGUUGAUGGACGUACAUGUUAUUAUUGUAUAGUCCAGUGAUGAACUCAUCCCUUCAAUUAUACUUUAAAGAGAACUCCUAUCACUAAUAUUUGACUUUUCAGGGUUACAUACAUAUACAUAUAUAAUGGAUGUACAAGCAACUAUAAAAAUAACAAGUGUAAUUUCAUUGAUUGGAACAUGUAAUGAAGUAUAAAAAUAAUUUAAAUAUUUAGUUUUUUUUUUUAAUUGAUAAUGGGUUAUGUUUUAAAAAAAAAGUAUAGAUCUAUACAUUUAAGGUACAAUAAUACUGUUCUUAAGUUAAAAAAUGAGUUACUCAAAUAAUGACUCUUAAAACAAGGUUGAUGAUGUGAUGUCAAAUGUCAUAAAAGGUUUGAUAUGCACUAAUUUAUCACUAAUUGGUUUUCAAAUGAGAUGAUGAAAACUCGAUCCUAAAUUAACAAAUAUGAGAGAUUGUGUAAGAUGCAUCGUAAUUGGGCAAAUUUAAAAAAUAAUAAUAAGAAAAAAAAAAUGAAAGGCUUGAUCCUUCAAGUCAGAAAUUAAUAUUAUGGUGAUAAAAAAACUGAAUGUAAGAAUUUAAGAAUGGGGCGCUGGUGAGUGUGCACAACCACCCACUACAGCUUUAAGAACUGGUGAGCUGAAAAAUUCAACUAUAUAUGAGAGACUGCUGGGUGUCAUGGAUAAAGACUGAUUAUCAAGGGUCAGUAAUCAAGUUUCAUCAUCCUCUAAAAGUAAAAAAAUAAUAAUAUAAAUUAGAUUUCUUUUAAUAAUAUGUACUUUGACUGGCAUUAAAGAGUCAACCUCUUCAAGAAACUGAGAAGUAAGGGUUGUACAUUUUAAACAUUUUCUAAUACUUAGGGUUUGUUUGCUUACCAAAGAAAAAUGAUAUUAAUUUUGGUAAAUUUUGACCUCAAAAGUAGUGUGAGUACUAGAAAAAAAAUAUUUAGGUCUUUUAUAAAUUGGAUUAUUAAAUUCGUGUGAACACAUGUGAUGAUAAACAUAGGGAUAUUAGGAAUUUAAAAUAUUUUCUUUAUUUUAAUAUAAAAAUUAAAUUUUAUUUAAAUAAAUCAUUUUAUGUUUACACUCAAUUCUUGGUUUUUUUUUUUUCUCUGUUUAAAUAAAUUUAAAUAAACAUAUUAAUUAUUAUCAUAAUAGUUGUUUUCUUUUUGUAUUUUUAAAUGAGUAGCCUGCUUUUGAUUAGGAAGAAGAGCUUUCAUAGUUCAAUAAAUUUUUGAAAAUGUUGUAAAACACUUUCAAGUUUCCAAGGCAAAUCAACAUAGUAGCAAAACAAUUUUCAUUUCUACCUUAAACCAAUAAUAUCAAAUAAUUUGUUACAAAUAAAAAAAAACAUAAUAAAAAUAAUAGAUUUAUGUAAAAAACCCUCCAUUACCACUAUAAAUCUUCUAAAAAAUCUCAUAAUUAUGGUUUCAUUUUAUAUGUCGCAUUAUGAAUUUUUUGGAUAACAAAACUCCAAUAUAAAUAUUUCAUACAAAUUUAUACGAUGUAUGAUUGAAGAAGAAACCAAAAUAAGAAAUAUCUUUUAUGAUUGACAAGUAUUUAUAAUAUUUGUCAUGAGAUCGGCCACAUCCAUAAAUCAAAAUAUCUUUUAUAAAGUCAAAAAAAUGUUGGAAUCUGAUUGAUUGCCAUGGUAAUGACAAAAAAAUCAAAAUAUCUUUUAUAAAGCCAAAAAAAUGUUGGAAUCUCAUUGAUUGCCACGGUAAUGACAAAGAACAGGGAUAAGACACAAAGACGCAAUAAUUUCAUUGAAGGUCCCUUCCCCCGAGUGAUAUGCCAUUUUGUAGAAUCUGUUGCUGCCAAUGCGUGCGCAAUACUUGUGGUGAAAAUGGCAAGCUGGAUUCUUGUCGUUGUAACACCUGUCUCGAUUUCAUUUCUCAUGUCAACAGCAACAACAGUGUAUCAUUUAUUUCCCUCCAUUUAUAAUUAACAAAUAAACCUUCUUUCCUCCCCCACCAUCUUCAUCUUCAGCCUAUUCUCUUCUUCUCCUCGGUUCCACAUUAUUUUUUUCCGUCCUUUUCGAACUCACUCAAAAUUGAACAUGGAGCAAAAAAUCCCAAUCAACGGAAAUUGUAGGGAAAAAAUUCUAUAUGAAAUACAUAAGUAUCUUUAAGGUUACAAAUUUCGACAAUUUUUUUCCAUGCAUUUUCUAGGAAACCAAACAAUGAAAAAACACAAGAGAAUAUAAUCCGGAAAAUUACCUGAUAACAAUAGGGUUUCAAAAUGUAAUUCUAUUGUUCUUCAUCGCCUCGAUACAUUGCCUUCUCUCCUCAGCAUCAUAGGCCCUUUUCAACCCACAAAGUGGGUUUGCAUUUGCAUAAUCACCUAGAUUUUCUUCCAAAUAAAAAAGAAAAAAAUAUAUAUAGAAGGAAAGAAAAAUCUGACCUCCCUAAUUACUCCAAAACCCGCUUCUCUCUCUACUAUCAUUUUUCCCACUCCCUCUACCGUUCUUCUUCCCACUACCUUUACAGGUCUCUAAUGAGACCCACUGCACCAAACUCUGAUUUUCAAGUAAAAAAUAAAUAAAAAAUAAAAAAAUUCCCCUUCUUAGUAAACAAUAUGAGUUCGCAUCUCAUUAGUGAGGAUCCCAAAUCCCAAUUGGUGUACCCCACUAUCUUUCUUCCUAAACCCCCUCAGGUUCACCUGAGUCAUAUUCUUUAUUUAUUUAAAAAUAAAAUUUAGAAUAUUUACAAAAAAUUUAACUUUUAAUUAGAAAAAAUAAUUUAUAAUAGUUAAAUAAAGAUAAGUUUUUAUGUAAGGUAUGGAAAAAAAUUAUUAUCAAGUAUUUGCUAUGCUAUAUUAAUGAUUUUUUUUUUAAUAUUUGCAAAAUUGUUUAGUGCCCAAAUCGUAAUAUUUAAAAUAAAUAAAUAAGAAAGUAGAUAAAAGAGCCAUAGAAAAAAUAAUUUAAUAAAAAUAUAUAAAUAAAAAUAGUGCACGUCUUACAUAAAAAAAAAGUUUAUCUUAUAUUUAAGUAUUAUUUUUCCAUUUAUAAUUACUUUUUAGGUGUCUCAUUAAUAAUUAUCUGAACAACCCAAAAUAUUCAAAAAAAUCAAAAUAGAUAAAAUGUCCAUGAUAUUAAGAGAAUCUAGAGUGUUAAAAACAUUAAUGUAUAUUUGACUAUUAAAGAAAUUACAAUUAUUUGUGAUAAUGAAAAAAUAUUUUAGGAAUGUUAUUUUUUUUUCUUAUCAAAACUCUCUAAUAGUUUUAAUUUAUUAAACUAUUAAUUAAAUAAUAAUAAAAUAGUAAUUUUCAAAUAGAUCAAAAUGGUUGAAUGUUUAAAAUGAAAAGUCAAUUUUUCUUUAUGCAUAUAGAUAGAUAUAGGAGAUCAAGUGAACAGAUGUUAUUAUUUUAGAUAUAAUCAAUUGACCAAUAUAAUUAAUAAUAAUUAGAUUUCUCAUCUUAAUACGAUUAUUAUUUUAGUUUUCUAAAAUGUUUAAAAUAUUGUAUCUAAUUUUUUUUUAUUUAAACAAAAUUAAUAAUUCUUUUUUUUUUUUUCAAUUUCUUGAAAUUUUUGAAAAAAUAAAUCUUGUAAAAAAAAUCCUAUUUAAUGAAACUAUAAUCCCUAACAUAGAGCUUCAACAAAUAAUAAGGUAUGCAUAUUUGUUAAAUAAUAAAAAAUUAAUUAAGUAAUAAUAAUUAUUUUUUAUUGACAUCUAAAUUUUUUAUUACAGAACAAAUAUAUAAAUAAACUUGUCACGACAUUACAAUAUAUUUUUUGAAAACAAAUGCUAAAAAAUUUAAAUAUUUUAUUUUAUCUUACUAAAUUAUUUUCUCAUAUAUAUUUUUUUAAAAACUAGAAUACCAUGUUUUAUAUUUAAAUUUUUGUUUCUUUAUACUUUUAUCCCACUUAAACACUUUUGAGAGUGUUUCUAAGAAUUCUUUUUAAUUGAAGUGUCAUUUUUUUCUUAAAUAUUUUUAAAAUUUUAUCAAAUACUAAGUGGAUGCUUGGUAAACCAACUUAAUAACUUAAAGUGACUUAAUAACUUAAUUUAAGUUAUUAAGUAAAUUAAGUAUGUUUAGUAAGACUUAAAGUAAAAAAAUAACUUUAAGUAAUAAAUAAAAACAAUUACUUAUUCUUAAACUUACAACUUUAUUUUAUAUUUCUUUACCCUUAUUUGUCUUAGUUACUUUCACGAUCUCUUUUACUACUCUACAACUUCUUGGUGUUGUGCUAACUGGAUGUAGGUCUAUCUAGCUUCACUAGAGUCAAACAAAUUUCUUCUCUGCACAAAAGGAUGUUCAAAUAGGUGGUUCAAGUACGCUCCUCUGAAGCUUAAGUCGAAAUCUAGCAAAAGUGAAUCGAACUUUUUGAAUGGCUAUGUGUGCGUACCUUUUUCAUCCUUUUGGAGGGGUUUUUAUAGAACAUUUAGCGCCAUGAUCACAACAUUGAUUGCGCAUUUAUGCCUUUCUUGAGUUGAUGAUCGCCGUCAUGGCAAAUAUUAUGCCUUAAUAAGGUAGUCAACGCCAUCAUCUUACCAUAGAUUGGGUAAUCAUAACAAACAAGAACCGUUGAUUGGUGCCAUUUGUAGGCUAUCAUGCAAGAAUCUCGAACCAUGUCGUUAAUUGUGCAUUUACAUUUGUCAAUGUCGUUGAUUGCAUGUAAUGACUAAUUGACAUUGAUUUUUGGGUGUAAAUGUCAUCUAGAUUGUCGCUUAGGCAUUGACGAUGAUUAAUCAUUUGUCAAAUGCUUAGAAUUUUCAAUUGGGUUGGUUUGUCCGUUUGAAAGUCCCCAGUCAACUUGUCUGUCCAUUUCGUCUGGCAUUGGGGAAAAAAGAAAUUUGUAUUUCCUCUUGUGUCAAAUGGAGCUUGUCUUAGUCCAGACGGAUUACACCCUAACAAAUUACCUGCUUACCUUGGACGGUCAAAGGGUCUUGAGCCUAGGUAGGACACGUGGAGAGAAACUUUCCACACAACCUCCAUGGUUAUUCGAUUUUGCCUAAAUUAUAAUUUAUGAGAAUAAAUAUAUAAAUUUAAUGAUUUAAAAUAAAUUUUAAGUUAAUUUUAUCAAAUAACCUUAAUAUUUAAAGUAAAAAUUAAGUCAUAAGUUUUCAAUUAACAACUUAAGUAUAAUUUAACUUAAAAUCAAUUUAAACUAUUAAGUAAUAAGUAUAAAAUUUUAUCAAACACCCACUAAUUGUUUUUUUUAUUUUAUUGAAAAACUUUUUUCUACAUGUUUUCUUAAAGAUUUUUUUGAACUUUUUUUAAAAGUGUUUUAAAGUUUUAUCAAAUACUUCAUUUGCUUUUUUUUGAAAAAAAAAUGUUUUUUUUUAAACUUAAAAUUAGUGGAUAUUUGGUAAACCAACUUAAUAAGUUAAUUUAAAUCAUUAAGUAAAUUAAGUAUGUUUCGUAAAAUAACUUAAUGAAAUGACUUAAAGUUAAAAACAACUUUAAGUAAGAAGUAAAAACAAUUAAUUUAUUUUUAAGUUCAUAUCUUCAUUUGACAUUUUUACCCCAAUUUGCCUUAAUUACCUCUGCAAUCUCCUUAACUAUUACUCAACUUUCUCUACCCUAAUUAUAAUUUAUGAUGAUAAAUAUGUCAAUUUAAUGAUUUAGAAUAAGCUUUAAGUUAAUUUUAUCAAACAAACUUAAUACUUAAAGUAAGAAUUAAUUAAUAAAUUUUAAGUCAACAACUUAAAUAUAAUUUAACUUAAAGUAAACUUUAGUUAUUAAGUAAUAUAUAUUAAAUUUAACUAAACACCCUCUUAGUUUUAUUUUGAAAUAACUAUCGGUAGAUUCUUACUCUUAUUUAAGUGUGUUUUUUUUUUUUUUUUCCCUCAAUGAUCUUGAUUAGUCAUACAUAUCCACACUUGAUAUUAAGAGUUGAUUUUCCUCUAAUGACAUUGGACCAACCUUUUUGAGCUUUACCGUCUCAAUGAUCUUGAUUAGUCAUACAUAUCCACACUUGAUAUUAAGAGUUGAUUUUCCUUUGAUGACAUUGGACCAACCUUUCUGAACUUUACCGUCUAACUAAAGAUAAGCACUAAACGGUUGUUGUGAGACUGACAUUUGGAGCCCUUCCACUUGCCUACAUAUACCCCAGAAGUUGGCUUUAGGUUUUCCAUCUUCAACCUCUCCUUUUGCCCAAUCUUUUAUCAUUGAAUAACAGACAUGGAUCUCUUCUUUUCAUAUCUACUAUACCUUAUACUAUUCUCCAUAUCACUUCCAAUAGUCUUCCUUAUUACUUACAGGCACAAAUCCUCCAAUCCAAACCUUCCCCCUGGGACAAUGGGAUGGCCAAUCAUAGGAGAAACUUUGGAAUUUUCUUUGGCUUGUCAAGGGGGGAACCCGGGGAGAUUCUUGAACGAUAGAAUGAACAAGUACUCCCCUCAAGUGUUCAAGACCUCCUUAUUGGAAGCGAACAUGGCUGUGAUGUGCGGCGCUUCGGGCAACAAGUUUCUUUUCUCCAACGAGGACAAACUUGUAGUCUCAUGGUGGCAGCGUUCAAUGAAGAAGAUUUUGUGCUUCCCAUCUGUCUUCAACGAAACUUUAACAGGAGAUAAGUUCAGACCCCCUACCUUCCUUCCUGAAUUUCUCAAGCCAGAAGCUCUGCAACACUACCUAGCCACCAUGGAUUCGAUGGCAAGCGAACACAUUGAGUUGAAUUGGUCUUCUAAUAGAGAGGUACUGGUUUUUCCGCUUGCAAGGAAGUACAGCUUUGCGUUGGCUUUCCGGCUCUUUAUGAGCAUUGAUGAUCCUGAGUAUGUUGAGAUGAUUUCUCAUCCCUUCCAGAUUUUGAACGAAGGAUUCCUUUCUGUGCCUAUAGAUAUUCCUGGGACGACAUUUAACCGUGCUCUCAAAGCCAGCAAAUUCAUUCACAAUGAGCUUCUAGCAAUCAUCAGAAAGUGAAAAAUGGAGUUAGAGCAGAAGGGAGACUUAGCUACUAGAGACCUACUGUCUCACAUGCUCUUAGCAUCAGAUGAAAAUUGUGAUGUUAAGAGUGAGAUGGAGAUCAGUACUCAAGUUAUUUGUCUGCUUUUUGCUACCCAUCACACCACAAGUUCUGUCAUCACAUUCAUCCUCAAGUACCUGGCCGAGUUCCCUGAUGUCUAUAGCAAAGUCUUAAAAGGUAAUACCUAAAAAACCGGCUGUCUCCUUUCUUUUGAAUCCAUUUCAAGCUUACAUGCAUUGUUGUUUGAUAGUGUUUUCAUUUGAAGUAUUUUUUAAAAAAUGUUUAUAGACGAGAUAUAAAGUAUUUGUCUUUUCUUUUGUCUUGGCCUUGAUCCAUGGGGUAGGUGAAUAGAUUCGUUGACGAAAAUUUUUAAAAAUUUUAAGAUAGUUUUUCUUCCUCAUCUUUCCCCAACUAUUGUGAAGGGUUGUUCAUUAACAGACCAAAUUUAAAAUUAAUUUUUUUGAUUCAAUAGAGCAAAUGGAGAUUGCAAAGAGCAAAGGUCCGGAAGGGUUUCUGAAGUGGGAUGACAUUCAAAAGAUGAAAUAUACUUGGAAUGUAGCAAAUGAAACAAUGAGGCUAACCCCACCUGUGCAAGGAACUUUUAGAGAAGCCAUAACUGACAUCACGUAUGCAGGUUUUACAAUUCCAAGGGGAUGGAAGGUAUGUCAUAUAUAAAGUGCUGUUUUGUAAAAUCAAAUUGUUUGUGGUACACUCACGAAACUUACUGGAAAAUUUUGUCCUGCAGAUGCAUUGGAAUGUAAAUACAACACAUAGAGAUCCCAAGUAUUUUCCUGAUCCCGAGAAAUUCAAUCCCUCGAGGUUUGAAGGAAAAGGGCCUCAACCAUUCACUUUUGUGCCUUUUGGGGGAGGGCCUCGGAUGUGCCCCGGAAGGGAAUAUGCUCGAGCGCAGGUACUUGCAUUCAUACAUCAUGUGGUGACAAGAUUCAAAUGGGAGAAAGUAGAUCCCUGUGAAAAGGUUGCAUAUAAUCCAUCACCCAUUCCUUCCAAGGGCUUCCCAAUUCGCCUCCAGCCUCUACAAAAUGGAUCUAUUUAAGAUUUGGUUAUUUAAGAAGCUAUAUUUGUGGUGCAUUUGAAUGUUUCAAUAAGAUGGCUGCAUGCAUAAGUUUCAGUUCCUGCAAAAUAAAGUGGACAACUAAUAUAGCAAAAAAAGAAAAGAAAAAUUAAAAUAUAUUAAUUCCAAUAAUCAAUGAAAGGACAUGUUGGGAAGUAUCCAAAAUUCCUAAUUAGUAUAAAUUCCUUUUUAUAAAGAAUAUUAUAUACAAUAUUUCCUAAGUUGAUACAUUAUUGUAAUAUUAGAUUUCCUUAUAGAAUAAAAAAAGUUCUUGGAAAUAUCUUUAUAAAUAUUUUAGGUCAUGAAAGGAAAAUGUUAUGAGAUGGAGACGAGCCUAUAAAGACCAUACGAGGUGGAUAGAUGUGAGGGAGAACCAUACAAGGUGGAUAGGAAUGUGAGGGAGAAUGAGAGAUACCCGGUGGAGCGAGAGAGCUUUUGGUAGGAUAUGGAUACAAAGAGUGGGGGAUAUGAUAUGUUUGGAGGACUCAAUAGUUGUAUCUAGUUCUAUAAUCUAUAAUGUUCUAUAUUGUAUAAUAGAAAGAUUCUCUCCUUUGUGAAUGUAGACAUGUUUGGUUAAACCACAUUAAAAUCUCAUGUACCAGGUGAGUAAUUGUUUUAUCUUUCUGUUCUUGAAUGGUAUCAGAGCUUUUGCUGACACAACAUGUACAAUUUUUUAUGAUUCACAGGAAUAAUAUUUUUCUCUCAUUCAAUCUCCACUAUGUAUAAGAAAAAUGAGAAAAGAUGACACCUUAUAAUAAAAAUAAUGGCGCUUUUUACAAGCCCCAACAAAUCAAGCAUUCUUAUAACCAUUUUUUGUAGUAGAAAUCUCUUUCUUGAUUUCAAUCCAAGGGCAAUGGAACUGAAAGUUUACUUGAGGGCUAGAGGUGACUUAUUUUUUAGUAACCUUGUUCAAGGUGGACGAAGAGUGGGUGUGGAGUGUAUGGUAUUCCUUCACAAGUGUGAUGAUUGGUUCAAGAUUUGAAUUGAGUGCCACGCAGGCCAAAGCUAGUGGUUUCUAUUAGAAGUUGUUACAUCAAUUAGUUUAUAUGCUGCAUAUAUUCAGGGGUAUAAAGGAGACUAUUGUAAUAGAAUAAGACUAGACUUCAGGAAAGGUUUUGGGGUGUGUUUGAGAGAAAAUAGAGAAGAUUUUCUUGAUGAGUUUUUUUAGAAAAUCAAACACAAACAAAGAGGGAAGAGAUCUGUAAGAACCUUGUACUCAAAGUUCAUCAACAAGAUUGACUCUGCAUAUUUUGGCAUAAGGACAAGUUUAUGAGGGAUUUCCUUGCUCUAUUUAAGAGGGAGUUUAAAUGAGGGCCAAAAGACUUAUUCUUAUUAAACUUAUGAAGAAAUUUUUUUAUUGUUUCAAUGAACUAAGCAGUUUCCUUCUAGAAGUUGUCCCUUUAUUAAUUUGCGUUAAAAUUAAGAAAAAAAUGCUUCAAGGUUUUUGGUUGUAUUAGAAACUGUCAUUUUUUUUUGGGUCCCCUCACCAGACCGACAUUGAAGUAUAAUAUCUGUAUUCAUAGGUGAAUUGAGGCACUUGAUCCGGCCCCUUAGAUUUUCAUCUCCUAAUUUGGCUCCUUGAUUGCAAAUCUCUUUAUGAUAUUUUGUCAAAAAGAGAAUAUGCUACCUUAAUCUAUUUGAUCAAUUCAAUGGCCAUUUGGACCUAUUUUGGUGUCAACAAGACAUCCAAACACCAAGAGACAACGUGCAUUAUCGACCUAGUUGGAAGCCUGGAGCUUGAAAUUGUUUUCUAUUGAUGAGUUAGGCUUGGGUUGUGGUGGACCUUGGCAUGAUUUGACCCUUUUUCUAAUCCACGUCGGGCCUUAAUUUAACGAAGUAGACUAAGGGAUUGAGCACUUGGUGGGAUUGAAGAAAUCUUUUUGGGGAAGUACUGGAUCUUGAAGCUUGAAACAUCAAUCUUUGAAGAUGUCAACAAUUUGAACAUGUGCCAUAGUGAAAUCAAAUGUGAAAAAACCUUUUUUUUUCUUUCCUUAGUACUUUUUAAGAACCAAACAUAGUCAUAAUGGUUAUUCCAAAUGCUAGAGGUUUAGGCUAUGUUUGAUCCUCAUAAAAUUUGAGAGAAAAUGUAAAGGAAAGAAAAAGUGAAGAAAAAUAAAAGAUAGAGUUAAAGUCGAUAAAUUAUUUUUAUUUAUUAUUUUAAACUCAUUUUUAUUUAUAUUAACUUACCAAUAUAAAAAUUAAAUAAUUUAAAAAUACAUAAAUUUCUAACUAAUUUUAACUAUAUUUAAUUUUCUUUGGAAUUUCUUAUAGGACAAUCAAACAUGAGAAAAUAAUUUUUCUUACCAUUUUUUUCUUUUCUUAACACUUUCUGAGAACCAAACAUAACCUUAGUGAUUUUAUCACAACUAAUAUUAAGAUAAACAAGUAAUUAACUCAUGAGUCUAAUCCAAUCCUUAAUAGUAAGUGGUGGAGUCUUUGGUCUUGUUUAUGCAUGUCUUGGAUUUGAUCAAUUGCUUUAAAAUUUUUGUUGAUUACGAAUCCAAAUUUGAGGGUUGAAGCAUAAAUUUAACAAGGGAAUUGAAUAUAUUAAUGAUUAAGUUAUGGUCGUAAUAUAUAUUGAGAAGACAGGACUAAGUUUAUUUUCCUUAUAUGAAUCUUAAAAAUCGUGACAACUUGAAGAAUAUAGUGGUAGGUGAUGUUAUAUGUACGAAUGAAAUAUUCCAUGAUUCGUUUCUCUCAUGAAUUCUUUUUCAUUGUAAGUUAUUUUUCAUUAAUUAAUUUUAAAAAUACAAAAUUACAAUUGAAACAAAAUCAAAUCUUUUGUUCAAAAAGAAAAAGAAUUAAAAUAUUUCUAAUAUAACUAGAAUAAUAUUAAUAUAUAACAUGAUUUAAUAUAUUAUCUAAUAUAUAGAAAAUGGAUUUAUCCAUUUAUGUUUUAUUAAUGUAUACCAUUUGAUUGCAUAUCACAAUAUUUUUUUCUUUAUAAGAUUUUAAAUUAUUAUAUUAUUCAUAAAAAAGAAAAAAUAAUAAUGUACUAAAAAUAAAUUAUGAAAAAAUAUAAAUAAUAUUAUCUUUUUAAUAUUGAAAAAUGAGAUGAAAUAUAUUUUUUGUUUUAAGAAAUACCGAAAAGCUAGGUAGAGAUAUGUUUUCUUUUUUUAUUUUUUUAUUUUUUUUUCCUAUGGAACAAAUAUUAUCAUACUCAAUAGAAUGGGCCCAUGGUACCACAUCGGAUUCAAUCUAUUAUCUGUGAGGUAACAAAUUCAGUAGAAUGGACCCGUAGUUAUGAUACUUGUAUGGCCACAUCCCUCCUAUGUAUAUUUGGUAAUGCUCCAUCAUAUUCACUCGGAUAUAUCAUAAUGUCAUAAGACCAAUUGUCCAUAGUUAUGAUAAAUAUUAUGAUAUAUAUAUAUAUAUAUAUAUAUAUAUAUAUAUAUAUAUAUAUUCGAUAGUGGAAAAAGUUUUUGAUACUAUGUAUAUAGUGGACUUUUAUCAAUUAUGUAGAUGUCUUUUAUAGUCGUGAGUGCCAUUAGGCAUAAUGUGGAGUGUACAUGAGAGGGAGCAAGGUCAUCCUAAAUAUGAUGGAAUGAGAUUAUGUUUGUCUAACUUUGUAAGUGUUAGGAUUGAGUCUCUAAAAGCAAGACAUGAUAUAACAAAGUUAGAUUUUACUGUCCUUUUGUUAUCCCUUGUAUGCAUUGAUAUUAAUUUUAGUAUUCAAACUCAUAUGAUCACUUGCAUUGUACAUGAUUUCAAUGCAAUAGAAGUUGUACAGAAGAUACAAUUCAUGGGUUUCUUACAAGAUGAUAAGUUCUUCACAAUCAAUUAAUGAAUUUGGGCAAUCCAAUAGAGGCUGUAGUGCACUACCUUCUAAUUAGAGGGAUGACUUAUUUUAAUCAUCAUGAUAAGUUUUCCAUGGUGAGUACAUUAGUAUGUAUGAUUAUACAUUGGAUAGGACUUACGGUGAAUUAUGAUGUAAGAUUAUUAUAUUGUCAUGAUUCACCAAACUUCUAUAUUGCAUGUACUCUCAACCUUGAGAGUAUAUUGAGUCUCUAUUGAAAUCAAUAGGAAGCUUUAAUUUGACCUACAGAUGAUACCCUAUAAUGGUCAUAUAUCCCUAUGGAUUGAAUCAUUAUUGAUGGAGGCCAAUGACAACAAGUAUUCUCAAUGGAGGCAUUAUCAUAUCUCAUGAGAUUAAAACAGUAUGUCCCUUUAGGUGAUCCAAAGGACAUGUGAUCAUGGAAUAUGUGGUCGCAAUAAUUCUUUUAGUAGAAUUUACUCCCAUCCACUUAUUUAGGUCUCCCUUUAGGUGCUCUGUGUAAAUCUACAAUAGUUUAGGAUGGAGUAAAAGAGAGAUUUUAUAAGAGGUUGUCCAUGUGGAAGAGACAAUACAUUUCCAAAGGAGGGAGUAUUAUUUUAAUUUGAAAUACUUUAUCUAUAACUAGCUUGCCCAUUUAUUUUAUGUCUUUGUUCUAUAUCACAAUGGCUAUUAGAAUGAGGCUAAAACAAAUUUAGAGGGAUUUUUUGUGGGAGGUGGGGUGUUAGAUUAUAAACCACAUCUUGUUAAAUGGACGAUUGUUUGCUUAGACAAAAGGAAAUAUGGGUUGGGUGUUAAGAGUCUCUCAAUUCUUAAUAAGACUUUUAUUUGCAAGUGGAGUUGGUGUUUUUCAAAUGAGAAUUGUGCUUUCUAGAAGCAAGUUAUUUGUGGGAAGUACAGAUAAGAAAAAAGGGGUUUGUCUUCUUGGAAGGUGAGAGAGGGGUGAAGGGUUGUGUUGGGUUGUAGAAAACAGUAAGGAAUUAGGAUUGGGAUCUUAUGAGAACUAGGUAUUCCUUCUUGGUAGGUAAUGGGCGGAGAGUGAAAUUUUAAAACGAUAAGUGGUAUGAGGGCAAUCUGUUGAGUGUGUCUUUCUCUUCUCUAUUUGCUUUAAGUAAUUCUAAGGAUGUGUGGGUGCGUGGAGGAAGUUUAGAAUUACUCAACUAAAAAGGGGGGGGGGGGGGGGGGGGGNNNNNNNNNNNNNNNNNNNNNNNNNNNNNNNNNNNNNNNNNNNNNNNNNNNNNNNNNNNNNNNNNNNNNNNNNNNNNNNNNNNNNNNNNNNNNNNNNNNNGGGGGGGGGGGGGGGGAGGGGGAGGAGGGAAGGUGAAAUCCUUAUUUUUCUAGACCUUUUAAUGAUUGGGAGAUGGAUUGUGUGGAGAGAUUUCUAGCAUGUUAAUUUGCAUGGGAAGAGAGUGUAUAGGGAUGCAGAAAAUACAAUGCUUUGGACAAUGACAAAGAGUGGCAAGUUUAUAGUUAAUUCUCUUUACAAUGCUUUGGAGCUAGACAACUUCGAGUCUUUUCCAAUAAGAGGAAUUUGGCUCUCAUGGGUAUAACCUAGAGUGAGUUCCUAUUUUAUUUUUUAUUUUUUAUUUUUUGUUGAAGGCUACGUGGGUAAAGUUUUAACCUUGGAUCAAGUUCAGAGAUGAGGAUGGUGUUUAGAAAAUAGGUGUUAUUUUUUUCAUUUGUUUGAAAAAUCCAUAGAUCACUUGCUUCUCCAUUGUGAAAAAACAAGGGUUUUAUAGGAGUUGUUUUUUGCAUUUUUUUUUUGAUAUUUUUGGGUGCUUCCUUUAUUAGUUAAAGAGAAUCAUUGGGGUGACAUGGUUUUUUUGUGGAAAAAAAGUGUGGGAAGGUUUAGAGUGCAAGCCCUUUAUAUUUGUUUUGGAGAUUUAGAAGACAAGGAACAAAAAUGUGUUUGAUGAUGAGGUGUUUUCUUUCAAAAAGCUAAAAAAUGAUUUUUAUUUGGUUUAUUUGGUUAGAGACUAAGUUGUUUAUGUAUGAUUGUCUUUUGACUUUAGUGAGUUACUUUGAUUGGUUGGGCCUUGGUGAGGGUCCAAUUCUUUUGGUUUUUUCUCCUAUUUGAGCCUUGGUGGUGGAGGGAGGUUUGUUUCUUGUAUACCUUAGGUUGCUCUUUUGGUGACUCAUUUUAAUUUAAUUUGAUUCUUUAUCUAUCAUUUAAAAAUAUAAAAAAAAUCAUAUCCUUCUUGGAGUUAGAAUAUGUCGGUUGAACAUACAAUAGAAAAAUUUACAACUCAAGUAUUAGAGGAGUAAUCUUGAUGGGUUGAUAACAUUACCCUAUUAUUUUAUGGACACCAAUUCAUGGGGUGUCUGUAUGCAAUAGAAAGUAGAUCACAAACCUGAGCUUUGUCUCAUUGCAAUUUCAUAAAAUACUGGCGUGUAGUUAACUCUUUUUAGUAGAGUAUUGAGUCAACUUCAUAAUUGGAAUAUAAAGGAGCCAAUAUUUUCUUAUAGGUCCCAAUGGUCCCCCAUCGAGCUCUUAGUUCAUAUUGGCAUGUUUUGAGGGUAUUUUGGCUAUGUACUUCAUAAGUGUAUAUAAGGGUGUUUUAAUAAGAAUAUAAUAUUGCACUAGAUCUUAUGAAUUGAUUUUCUUAAAUGGGCUAAUUAAUUAAUUGGAACAUGUUAUGGCUAAUUAAUUAAUUAAGACUGAAGCCUAAUUUGGGUUCAAGUCACUUAAACCCACAAAAAAAGCCUAUAUAAACCCCUUAGGGGUUAAGACUUUAUUCUUCUAGUUCGGUUUUCUAAAAUUGCAAAGAGAGGAACCCAAGUCAACCUCAAGAAGAGAGAAAAGCUCACCAUUCUCUCAUGCCAAGCAUCCAUUAUGGGAGAGAUUGGCUGGAAGAUCAUUGGAUAAACUAGUUCUACAACAACCACAACGUUUUCAUCAAAUGGGAUUCUAUCUAGGAACAUUCAAAUCACAAGUUUGAGCUCUUUCUAUGUAAAUCUAGGUUUUUUUUUGUUUUUAUACUUAUAGGUUUGAAAACGAUGAGAAAUCAGGAUAAAUAUGACCAAAUGUAUUUUAUAUGGAAGUGGAUGUUACCAAUAUGACAAAAUAUAUUCUAUGUUGACUGGAAAUGAUGUGAUAUCCAAUCAACCAAAUCACGUGGAAUACAUUUAGCAAUGAUAAAGUAGGUUUGGUGAUGUAAAUAUAAGGCCCCAAUAUUUGGGUUAGGCUCGUUUGGGUUAAGAACCUUUUCGGAUUUUCUUAUUUGGUGGCACAAACUUGACCGUGACAUAUACCAUUAUUCUAACACUAAAGUGGACCACUAAAAUGCCCUACAAAGCGCUAAUAUUCAACUCACAAGUUAGAUAGUUAUCAUGAUGCAAAAUAAUGCUUCCCAUAUUAUAAUUUUUGAAAAUAUGAUAAAGGAAAAGUUGAAUUAUCACAAUUCAUUUUUCGUAAGUAUGUAAUAAUCUAACAAAUUUAAAUCAUAUUUCGUAACUAUUAUCAAAAACGGUUCUUAAAAACACUUUUUGAAAAAUUUUCUUUAAUAUUUUAUAAAAAAAAUAUUUAUUUAAAAAUUUGAAAUGUUUUAAACCUAUUUUCCAUUUAAAAAAAAUAUGUUUUAAAAAUAACUUUAUAUAUACUAUUUUAUUUGUAAUUAUUCUCCAAAUUUAUGCAAUAUUUUUUAAGACAAUAUUUAUAAAACUAUUCUAAAUAAUUGUUUUCAAAACCAUUUCAUACAUAGACCCUUUUAUCGUUUUUUUCUUCUUUUCUUUCUUUUUUUUUUUUUUUUAAGAUGCCUAUUAUUAUUGGAAAGUAGUUUUAAAGUAAAUGUAGAGAGCGCUGAUCAUUUUGAUGCAUUAGUUACAUAUUUUGGACAUCUUUCUCAUUACUUUUUAUUAUAUUAAUUUGCUCUUCUACAUCUAUAUAUUGGUUUUCCUUGUUCUAUUUGAUAUACUUAAUCAUUUUUGUGAGAAAAAGAGGAGAUGACACAUACAUUCAUAUUUAUUUUGAGUAACGAUGAUUCUACAUUUUAUCAUUUUCUCAUAAUUUUUAGAAUUUUCUUAUAAUGUUUGGGAUUUUUGAAUUGUGAUAUUUAUAGCUUAUCAUAUAAAUUAAUUACUAUUUUUCCCAUGCAUUACUUUUCACUGGUGUUAUUUGUAGGUUACAUGUUUCCAUGAUCUUUAAAGACUUACAAAGCAUUGAUGGAAGAUCAUCGAGUUGAAAUUUUUAGUUUAGACAUAAAAGAUUGAGAUGGUGUUUGUUUUUUUAACUUAAUUCUAAAUAAAACUUAAAACUAAAUAAUGUUUAAUAAUGUUAAGUAUUGAGUUAUUUGUUUUUUUAAAUAUUUUAUUUAUAUUAAAUAUUAAGAAAUAAAGAUAAACUAAUAAAUUAUUUUAACAUUAAAAAAAAUUAACUUAAAAAUUAGCUCAUUGAAUAAGUAAAUUCGGUAGGAUGGUACCAAUGAAAUCGAGUGCUAACUCCCAUUUCUUAUUGAAUUAACUUAUCAACUUUCUAUCGAACUUUUGGAUUUGAUAAUUUUCGCAAAAAAAAUCAUUUAAUUUGACUUUAUUAUUAUUAUUAUGAGAAUAAAUCCUACUACUUUUGGUUAUGGGGUUUCCAUGCUUGAAAAAAAAAACCUAGGGCGUAUCACUCAAAUCAUUGGUCUAGUCCUGGAUGUAGCCUUUUCCCCGAGUAAGAUGCCUAAUAUUUACAAUGCAUUGGUAGUUAAAGGUCGAGAUACUGUCCGUUAACAAAUUAAUGUGACUUGUGAGAUACAACAAUUAUUAGGAAAUAAUAUUUUGACUUUUUUUAUUCAAUUGAAAAUUUUAAGAAAUAAAUAAUAAGUUAAUAAAAAGUAAAAAUAAAAAUAAAUGAUCUGAAAUAUAAAAAUAAGUUGCUUUUUUAUUUUAUUUAAAAAAGUCAAAUAAAUAAAGAGACAACACCUAAGUGGUAUAUAAACUCAUUUUUUCAUAGCAUUGGAGGAGUUAUGUAAUAAUUAUUUAGACAUAAAAUUGUUAAAAGGGGAUAUUGCUAGUGAUUUAGAUUAACUACUUUAGUUUGAUAAUCUUAUUCCAAAUAAUUAUUCGUCUAAUAUUGUUGCAUAUUUUCUAAGAUUAAUAUAGGUCUUGAAGAUUUAAUUAAGAUCAUCAUCACUUUGUAAACGAGGCCAUCUAGGUAAGUAUGCUUGAGUUAGUUUAGUGAAUGAUAUAAUUAAGAAGUGUAUUUUGAGAAUUAUUACAUAACAUGAGCUUUAUAGGUUUGGAAAAGCAAAUUUGAGAAGGAGUGCUCAAGAGGUUCUUAAGAGCGCUCACUAUAAAACAUGUUAAGAGUUAAACAUGAAGAUGCAUAUAGAUACUAGCCAAUGUAAAGUCCUCAGGGAAUUGAUAGCUUCUAAUUCAUGUAAAAUUGUGAUUUAUUUUUUCAUAUUAAGUGAAUUUUCUCAACAAUCAAUUGACCAAUGAUAUUUAAUUAAUAUAUAGUUUAUAUAUAUAUAUAUAUAUAUAUAUAUAUAUAUAUAUAUAUAUGAUCAAUUUUUGUUUUGAAAUUUGAUGUCUGCUAUUGAUCAAAGGAUUAAGAAAGAAAGAAAGAAUGAAUGAAUUAAUCAAUCUCCAUGUGUAAUUUCAAGAAUCAAAAUUAGAACUUCUAAAUGACAAAAUAAAACUAAGAAUCAAUUUUAUAGUGAUUUUAGAAAGUGUUUCUAACAUUUUUAACACUUUAAAAUUUCUAUCAUUUAAAUAUUAGAAAUAUUAUAAACAUUUUCUAAAAUCAUUAUCAAAUAUAUUUUAAAUGAGAUUCAACUUAAAUUUGUGUUUCUUGUUGAUGGACGUGCAUGUUAGUAUUUUAUAGUCGAGUGAUGAACUCAUCUCUUAAUUAAAUUUUAAAGAGAACUCUUAUCAUUGGAAGAUGUGGUCUACCAUGAUCUUUGACUUUUCAGGGUUAUAUAUAUUGAAUACUAAAGUAAAAAUUAAUAAAUUAUGGCUAAAGAGACUUAAAUCGGAAUUUCUUGCUGGAUGGAUGUGCGAGUGUAAAAAUAACAAGUGUAAUUUCAUUGAUCGGACGAUGUAAUGAAUUAUACAAAUAAUUUAACUAUUUUUUAUUUUUUUUAAGUUUGGAGAUGAAUCACCCAAAUGAUGACUCUUGAAAUAGACCCAUUGGAUGUGAUGUCAAAUAUCAUAAAAUGUUUGAUCUAUCCUUAUUGAUCACCAAUUGGUUUUCAAAUGACAUGAUCAAAACUCAAUCUUAGAGUUGGUAUAUAUAAGAGAUUGUGCAAGAAGCAUCGUAAUUGGGCAAAUAAAAAAUAAUGUUAAAUAACUAUAUUUUUCAUACAAAUUUGUAUGGUAUAUGAUUGAAGAAGAGAGUAAAGAAGUGUUGUUUGACUGGAAUUCUUAACAGCAAGGUCAGAGCUCUCUACAGGGAGUCAAUGAGGACUUUCCCAACAUUACCUUCUACCUGCUCUCUUCUCUUCUAAUUUCAAUUCUAACCGCUGGAAGAGAUGGGAGUGGUUUGGUGCCGAGGAUUCAUCCCCUCACCUCAUCCAAGUUUUUGUUGAGUCCAAACAAAACUUUAAACACAUGUUCUUUUCCAACAAUUUUCUUAUACUUCUGAGAAUACUUAGUACAACCGAAUUUAUUUUCAUCAAAUAAGUCUAUAUGUUGCCAACGCCUAUUGAGAAUAUUGAUAAAGUAUUGAGUUAUUGAGAGUUCUUCUUGCUUGAGAUCAUUAAGAAGCUUUCUCCUGGCAUUUCAGUUGAUGGUACAGAUAGCGAGGCCCAUACACCUAUGGCAAUCAGUGUUCCAGAUUCUGAUUUUCAUGAUUUUGAUUUGAACCAAACUAAAAGUUCUUUUGGAGAUAAUCAGGUCUGGUCGGCAUACGAAAAUGAUGAUGGGAUGCCUCGGUUCUAGGCACUGAUUCACAGAGUGAUCUCUUCGAAUCCGUUCAAGAUGAAGAUCAGUUGGCUUAAACCCUAAAAGCAACAGCGAAUUUGGUCCAGGAGAUUGAAUAGGCUGGUUGAAUGGAUAAUGGGGUGGGUUCAGUAUGGGGCCCUCCUUGAGAAAUAUCCAACAGCAAAUUAGGACCUUUUUGUCUUAUUCAAAAGGGUCAGACGGCUGGAACACAGGUGCUAUUGAGUUAAAUGUUGCCAUUGGGCAAGGAAUCGAGACCACUAGCAUCCACAGAGCAAACACAAUUGCACCGUGGCCCCACGUGCGCAUGGCCAUGCAUGGCGACCUUUGGCGUGCAAUCCCAGCCGCCACAUGUCAUCCUCUUAUUUCUUCUUUCUUCUGAUGUCAAAAUUUAAUUUCCCAAUUUCUAAUUUUUAAAUUUAUUUUUCAAAACUUCAAUUUUCAAAUAAUUUUCAAAAUUCUAAUUUUUAAACUUUUUUUUUAUUUUUAAAAAAGCACCUCAAAUUUCAAAUUUAAUUUUCAAAACUUCAGUUUUUAAAACUCCAAUUUUUAAAUAAUUUUUAAAACUCUUGUUUUCAAAUUUAAUUUUCAAAACUCUCAUUUUCAAAUAAUUUUCAAAACUCUAGUUUUUUUAAAAAUAAUUUUAAUUCUACUCCAGUUUUAAAAUAUUUUUAAUUCUACAAUUUUUCAUCAUUCAUUAUGAAUUUAGGUCACCAAAAAUCUCGAAUUUAAUAAACUUGUUGUCAUUCUUUUUCUAGCAUGCACUUUUACAAAUUUUAUUUGAUUUUUAAUUUAUUUUCUUUUCGUUUUUUCUCCUUUUUUAUAUAUAAAAAUGAAUAAAUUUUCAUAAUUCCAAAAUAAUGGAAUUUAUAGGAAUUAAUCCAUAAUAAAAUAAAUAGGUAAAUUGGGCUUUAGUAGGGGUCUACAUAUGAGUUUUCUCUUCUAAUUGUCAACUGUUAUACUUAAUGAAUAUUGUUUGAUCUUUGUUCUACUAUUUGACAUGCAUGUGCUAAUUUUAUCAUUAUGAACUAACCUUGUUUCCAUGAUAUCAUGUUCUUAUUUGCUAUUAAGGUAUGCUUUCACUCCUACUUCAUUUAUUUAUUCGUUCUUAUACUCAAAUUGUUUUAUUAUUUGAACAUUUCAUUGGUAUCCAUUGAUUUCCUUAGCAAUUGUCACACUUGCCUCACCUUAUUUAAUAGAGACCCAUUUUUAGAGACUUAGAAGGGUGCUACGACUCACCACCAUAUCUUUCCAAUAGGUAACCUAACCCUUGGACCUAGACUUGAUUUUUCACAAAUCUAUUUUUUUUUCUUUAGGAGUCAUACUUAAGGUUUUCUUUUUAAUUUUGUUUUUCCUUAAAAAAAAUAAAACAAAAAUAAGUGGCGACUCCAAGUAUUUUUCAAAAAAUAAAAUUUUUCAUAAAUAAAAAGUGAGUUCCUCAUCGAGUGGGAAUGCAUCGUGCAAAAAUGCAGGGUCCACGCCUUGAAAUUUAUUUUUAUUUUAUAGUAGAAUCCAAAGUUUUGUAAUACUUAAAUGGCAGAAAGAGAGCAAUCAAGCUUCAUGUGCUAGUAUUUUAUUUAUUUUUUAUUUAUUUUAGUAUUUCUUGUUUGGAUUGAAACAAAAACAAGGAUAUCAUACAAAAUUAUAAUAAAUUUUUAAAUCUUUUAUUUCUUUCAAAUAGAUUAGUAUAUAUUAUAUUAUACAUAAUGCUAAAUCAUAGAUGCUUCAAAUGAUUAAGAAGGAUAACUAAUUAUCUUUCUAUUAAAAAAAUAAAUGAUGUCAUUAAUUGUUGCAAACUAAUUUACAUUAUGGGAUGAUGAGUGGGUUGGUCAUUCUAUCAUCUUCAAAAUUAUCCUAGAUAAUAAAAGUAGUCCUAUAAUUAAUGAUUAAAUAAAAAUAUUUCUUUUUCAUUUUUUUUAAAGGUGGUUAAGAAACCAAAUGCUUGUACAUAUUAUGUUCUUUUCUUUUAAUAUUACAUUUGUCAUUUUUUUUUCAUUUAUGUACUGAAUUUUUUAAAGAUGACUUCCUUAUUUAAUAAGAGAAGUAAGUGUCUCAAUUAGAGUUUAUAAUAACGCUUGACUUUUUAUUAUAGAAAGAUGAAUAAUUUAAUCAUAAAACAAAAGCAAGUGUGGAAAAUUGUAGUAAUUCCUAUAUAAAAUGUAGGAGCUCUUAGAAAUUUAUCUUUAAAAAAAACAAAAAUUUUAAAAAUCAAUUCUUAUACAAAAUCAGAUAUUAAAAUUUUUUUGACUACCUCAAUUUUUAAAAAUCUUGAAAGUAAUUUUUAAAAAUAUAAAAUUUAUAUCUCAUGCAAGUUAUUGGAUUUCAUAUAUAAAUUACUAUUAUUUUCUCUUUUAGAAAACAUGAAAUUAGUAAGCCGGAGGACACUUAGACACAUAUACAUUAAAAUCAAGGGAAAUAUGGUAUCCACAUUUUUUAUUUAUGAAAAAUUAAAGAAAAUGAACAUGCCUAACUUUAUAAAUGGUUUGUAUGGAUUGACAUUUUAUAAGAUGAAAAUGACUACACUCCAAUAUGCUAAUAUUCAUGUCAUAUUUUAGUCGUGUUAUCAUGUUACAUCAAAAUUGUCAUACUGAUAUUUUUUUUUUUUAUAAAUUUAAUAAUAUGGUACAUAACUUUUGUAGAAAGAAAAGUUUAUAAGCUAGCCUUGCUAAACAUAUACCUAUAAAAAAUAUUUCAAAACAAGUGUAUAAAAAAUGGUCAUCAAAUAAAAUAAUGUUUGGAUUUAACAAAAUAACCUUGGGAUUUUAGGUUUAAGAAAUUUUGAACUAGGGCUAUCAAAGAUAGGAUUUAAUGAUAUUGGUUGGGAUUAUGAUAAUUUUUUUUUAUAUAGUAUUUGAAUUAUGACUGACUACAUCUAUAAUUAUAAUUAAAUAUUGAAUAUAUCUCUUUUCAUAAGGCACUAUGAAAUAAUUUGUAACAUAAUUGAAGCACAAUAAAAAAAAAUUUAAGCUACUUUGGUCACUAUGCAUAUGAUCUUAAUAGAUAAAUGAGGAUAAUUUAUCAAUGUCUCAAAGUCAUUCUUGAAAGUACUUGUAAAUAAUUUCAAAUAAAUAAAAUUAUCCAUGCCUAAAAACAUACAAAUUAAAAUCAACAAUUCAAAUUAUCCAUGCUAAAAAACAUACUAAUUCAAAUUAUACAUGCUUAAAAACAUAUAAAUUAAAAUCCACAGUCCAAACAAAAAGUCUCUUUUAUGGCAUUAUCAUUCUGGUUCAAUACUGCAUCUCUACCACCCUUCCAAUUCCAUAACCAAUAGUUAGUCAUGUUUCCAUGCGCAACCUGACCAAUGGUUAGUCAUAGUUUAAUUAUCCUGUGCUUUUUCAUCUUAGAAAUGAAGCAAAGUAAGAGCAAAACAAAUUUUAAUUCAUGCUAUGCAAUUUGAAAAACAUAUGAUAAUUGUUUUGGCCUACCAAUUAAAAAAUGAAGCUCUAAAUAAAAUUUUUAAUUAAUUCAAACAAAAUUAUGGCCUACCAAAACAGCUACAGUAAUAUGGUUUUUCUUUUUAAAAUCAAUAAUUCAUUCCAAAGAUAAAACUUUGAUAGGUCCUAAGACAUUUAUUAGAAAAAAUAAAGGAGUUUUAACUUUAGAUAGGUCUAAGAAUACAGGAUCUCCGAAUUUCAUAAAAUCUUGGAAUAAUUAAAAACAAAUAAAAUAAAAUAAAGGCAUAAAAAAAAUGAAAUUUGAAUUUUAUUUUACUAUAUCUAAUUCCAUAUUGAACUCUAUAUUCUUUCAAGCAUGUGAUCAUUUUAAAAUAUAUCUAUAUAUUUUUUUCCACUAAUUCUACUAAAUAUUUUAACCUUCAAUAAACACCAAAGACAAAGAAGGCAUACCUUAUGGGGUAGAGUUGGAAACUAGAGAUAUCUUCAUCUUUUUUGGUUGGAUUCACUGCAUCAUAACAUUUUUAUUUUAUUGUAAUGACUAAAUAAGAAAAUAUAGAUAUAAACUCAAAAGCAUAUAAGUUACAUGUUUCAAACAAUCUUGAUAUGGCCUUAAAGGAGUGGCCGAGUCAGAUAAGUAGGCUGCAAAGUAACUUUUUUGUUUUUAUUUUUGAAUCAUGAAUUAUAAUAAACAUACAAAUUUUUUAAUAUUUCAUGAAGUGCUUUAUCAUUUAACAAAAUAAGUGAUUAUUGAUAUUAGUUAUGAAAGAAAAAAUAUAUAAAAUAAAAAAUGAAACAAUGAAAUGGAUAAAGAAAAGUUUUAAUUAUUGAUAUUAUUUAUGAAAGAAAAAAACUUAGAAAUAAUUAAAUUGAUAAAAAUUUUAUUUAAAUUUUUUUUCUAACAAUAUAAUAUAAAUGUAGCACCAUCGUUAUCAAUAGUAAAUUGGUAGUAAAAAUCUUAAAGUCAACCAAAGCAACCUACCAUAAAAAAUUAUUUAAUAAAAUAUAAAUUAUUUAAAUAAACUUAAAUUUUAUCAACAAUUAAAUAGAAUAUAAUCUAAAUAAUCUAUCUACUUGAAUAAGUCCUAAUUUUUAUUUUUAUUUUUAAAAAAGAGUUUUUAACUUUCAGACAAACCGAAACUGCGGGAUCCAAAAAUCUCCUAAAAUUUUGGGAUAAUUAAGAACACGUGAUUAAAAUAAAAUCAUGAAAAUAUAUAUAUCAGCUGGGUUAUGAUUUCAAAUGUUAUCUAGAUAUUUCAUUUUUCACUAAUUCCAUCUAAUAAAUAUUUUAUUCAUUAGUGAAUGAAAAAAGAAGAGAGAGAACACAUACCUUGCUAGAGGUUAAAGAAACCCUUCAUCCUUUCGAAACUAGAGAAUUUUUUUCUUGGAUGAGUGAUCUUCUCUAUUAGCAGGCCUUUUUCUCGACGGCUGAGGCCAAUGCUUCUGAUCUUGGGCGUAUAUGAGAUGUAUCCCACAACUUUUCACUUUAAAGGAUGCGUUUUCGCCACAUGUAAAAGAGGCAUUACCGACAGGAUUGUCAAAGUGAGCCUUGAAGUUGUUCCACUUUCUGGAUCGAUACUUGCUUGGAAUGCCAAUCUGAGGGAAAUACGUCACCCACAGUGCUGGAUCUGAUGUGCUACCACUGUCGUAGCGUGUGCUGCCAUAUGAUAAACCGCUAAUAGAGUAUGUUUUACAAUGAGGAUGAAAACCAAUAUCAUCCAGUCGUUUAGAUUGAUCACCAUGGGAUAUCGCCAAUUUACAAUGUGGAAUAAAACCAGAUGUUCUCACGCAUUCAUCAUCAUCAUCAAGGGGAACAUGAUGGAAGAAUAAAACAAAUCCUAACAAGUUAUUAUCUUCAUACCAAUUCAUUGGAAGCUCUACACUUACUUCACAUCCCAUUCUUUGAUGACUUACCCACUCUGGUAUUCCACUACUUCCUGGAAUGAUAAUAUUAAAUUUCUGCUGCAGAAAAAAAAUGUCAUGUAAAUCUCAUGCUUUUUAAAAAAAAAAGAAAGAAAAGGGGAUAAUUAUGCCAUGAAAAUGAUACCUGAAUUGGUGAUUUCAAGUGUUUGAGCAAAGAAGACCAGAGUAGACUUGAAGAAGUUUCAGUUUCCAGGCUUGGACAACCAUGUGCCUCUAUCCAUCCAAGACUUGAUGGAAGCUCUCCAAUUACUUCAAGCAUCGGACAAUGAUUAAUGAGAAGGGUACGAAGCUUACAAAGUUGAGUGAUGCCAGCAGGGAUGCAACGCAUACGGUUUUCACUUAUGUUUAAAAAUACCAGUAAGGAUAGGCACCAUAAAUCACUGGGGAUUUCUUCUUCCAUCAGAUUGCAACCACCUAGAUCUAGCAUUGUUAAGCAACAUUGUAGGCUUCUCAAAUUGUCAGGCAAGUUGUGGAGCUUUGGACAGUUACGAACAUGAAGACUAGUGAGACAUGUCAAAUUACCGAUGCUAUUGGGAAGAGCCACAAGGUUCUCACAAUUGAUCAAUUCCAAGGAUUUAAGACCUCUCAGAUGUUCAAUUGAUGAUGGCAGCUCUGAGAUACCCGUCUCACGUAAAAAAAGGCGUUCUAAUUGUUCCAUAUCCUCCGUGAUCUCUGAAAAAGCCUCUAGAUUUGAACAACCAUUGAGAGAGAGGCCUUCGAGGGAUUUCAACUCACAUAUACUGUUUGGAAGACUUUUCAAGUUUUUACAAUUGUCCAAAUUUAAGUGAUCAAGUCUGGUGAGAUGACCUACUGAGUAGGGUAAUCCUUCAAUAGCAGUCUCAUCUAGAAAAAGAGCCCAUAGAUUCCCCAUAUUUUUUUGGAUCUCAGGAAACCUCUCAAGAUUUGAGCAACCACUGAGAGUAAGACUUUCAAGGGCCUGCAAGCGCCCAAUGCUAUUUGGGAGUUCCUUAAUAGCGGUAUUCUCUAAAGAAAGCUCCUUCAAGCAUUUCAUAUUCCCUUGGAUCUCUGGAAAUUUCUCAAAGUUUGAGCAAUAUGAGAGGUUAAGAUUUUCAAGAGAUUCCAAAUACCCAAUGCUCCCUGGGAGUUCCUUAAUACCACUCCUAUGUAGACAUAGCUCCCUUAAACGUCCCAUAUUGGUAAAUACAUCUGAAAAUUUCUCAAACUUCAAACAUUUUUCAAGAGAAAGAAUUUCAAGAGAUGUCAAGGACCCAAUGCUGUUUGGGAGUUCCUGAAUAGCAGUCUUCCUUAAAUAAAGGUUCUUCAAGCAUUUCAUAUUCCCUUGGAUCUCUGGGAAUUUCUCAAAUUUUGAGCAACAUGAGAUGUCAAGAAUUUCAAGAGAUUCCAAAUACCCAAUGCUGCUUGGGAGUUCUUUAAUACCACUCUUACGUAAAUGAAGCCUCCUUAAAUGUCCCAUAUAGGUAAAUGUAUCCGGAAAAUUCUCAAACUUUGGACAUCCUUCUAAAUAAAGCUCCCUCAAAAAUUUCAUAUUCCCAUGGAUCUUAGGAAAUUUCUCGAAGUUUGAACAAU